AGUCAUGGUUUGCUUCAUUACUUCACCUUCUCCCAACAAUUUGGCAACGCCAAAAUCUCCAACAUGUGCAACCAUGUCUUCAUCUAGUAAAAUAUUUCUUGGUUUUAUGUCACAAUGAAUUAUAGGUGUUGGAUGUCCAUUGUGGAGGUGUUCUAUAGCUCCCGCAACAUCUAUCAUUAUGUCGACCCUUUGUAUGAUAUCAAGGAAACAAAUUUCAGAGUGUAACCAUUUCUCAAGGUUUCCAUUAGACAUGUAAUCAAGCACCAAGGCUUUGAAGUCAACACUUGAGCAGCAAGUAAUGACCUUCACAAUAUUACGAUGAACUAUAUUACGCAUAGCAUCACAUUCAAUGUCAAAACUCCUAAAUGCUCCCUCUGUUUGCAAAUUGAAAACUUUUAUUGCAACUUCCAUUCCAUCUGAAAGCCUCCCUUUAUAUACAUAUCCAAAACUCCCUGAACCAAGCAUAUUGCUUUCCUCAAAUCCAUUAGUUGCUCGUGAAAGUUCAGCAUGUGAAAUUCUUCUCGGUGUCUUCAAAGACAACAAAUCAUCUUUAAUUGGUAGAGUUGUACUUCUCCUUUGGCAACUUCUAUACAUAAUAGUUAAGACUGUUAGUACUACGACAAUACCAAUUGUUGUAAACCAUACCUAAAAGCAUGCAAUAUAAUCAUUUGGGAGUUUUUGUGGAUGUCGUUUUUGCAAGGUGGGACUAGCAAUCUAGGUGGGCCACAAAGUGCAUAAUUCUUCAUGAAUGAUGUGCUAGAAAAGUUUGAAAAACAUCCUUUGCUGGGAAUUUCCCCUUCAAGUCUAUUGAAAGACACAUUAAAAUACUUUAGAUAUAAAAGCUUUUCCAAAGAUUUGGGAAUGACUCCAGAGAGAUUGUUAUUGCAUAAAUCCAAGAAUUCCAAACUAAUCAAUCCAUCAAAUGAUUCAGGGAUAUGACCAUGUAGUAUAUUAUUUGAUAAAUCUAAUGAAACCAAAGUUUGAAGACCCCCAAAUGUGGAUAAGAUAUCGCCCGUGAGAAGAUUCCUUGAUAAAUUUAGUUUCAGUAGACUCCUAAGAUUUCCAACAUCAAUAGCAUGUGAAUUGUGAAGAUGGUUUGAUGAUAAAUCUAUUUUUAAGAUAUCUUUAAGAUUCCACAAAGUUGAGGGUAUUGCAGAACUCAAUUUGUUGGAAUGUAACCAAAGAUAUCCCAAAGAAGUAAUAUUACCCAAACAAGAGGGUAUAGAUCCAUGCAGCUUAUUCAACCCUAAAAACAAGUUGUAUAAUCUCUCCAAAUCACAAAGGCUUUCUGAGAUGGGCCCUCCUAAUUUAUUAGAGGAAAGACCUAGACUUUGGAGAUUCCGCAGUCCUCCUAUUGAUGUUGGAAUGAAUCCACUUAAUUUAUUAUAGCCAAGUUCUAAAAGCAACAUGUUGCUUAAGUUACCUAUUUCCAUAGGAAUAGUGCCUUGAAGCUCACAAUCUUCGGCAUAAAAGUAUUGAAGGGAUUUUGAAAGGUUCCCAAUAUAAGUAGGAAGAACGCCACUCAAUGGAUUUUCUGAAACUCCUAUGGUUUUCAAAUUCUUACAAUUCGUCAAAGAAGAAAGAAAGCUCCACUCAUGAUCAGUAGCAGAUCCUGUGAUCAAAUUAUUGUUUACGAUUCGGAACCAUUCAAGCUGUCUUAAGUUGCCAAGCGUUUUAGGGAUUGGGCCAGAGAAUAAGUUAUCUCCCAAGUCUAGUUUCGUAAGCAUGGAAGCAUUGGAGAUAGAGUAGGGAAUGUUUCCGCUAAGUUUAUUUCCCCCCAAAAAAAGAAACUCAAGCUUUGGAGCAUUGGUAAUGGGUGGUAAAUUACCUGUAAAAUAGCAUCUUUUAGUAUACAUAUUAAUUGAAUACCAAAUUCAUAAAAUAUAUAAUACAUUAAAAUAAAAACUGUAAAACUUCAAAUCAAUUAAGAAUAAAAUUUUGGCAUGGAAAAAUGUGAUGAAAUCAAUUAGAAAGUUGAGACAUAAUAAGAAGUUUUGAGUAGUAAUUACUCAUGAUUUCUAUAGACAAAACAUAUAAUACACUGAUAAUUUUUUAUAAUUUUUACAAUAUUUACAAUUUCUAACAAUUUUUAAUAAUUUUAUUAUUUAAUACAAAUUUAAAAUUUAACAAUUUUUUAUUUUUUUAAAACAAUUAUAUAUUUAUAAUGUAGUUAUUUUUUUUAUAAUUUUUUUUGAAAUUUUAAAGAUUUUUUUGGUUUUUUUUCUAGAUGAUGAUGCCAUCAUGAUGACAUCAUAUGCCACAUGGCAAUUUAUAAUUAGUUAAAUAUCUCAAUCCAUUUUUCUAACGUCAAAUGGACUAAAACAAGAACACCUGAUAAUGUUAGAGACUACACUUGGAAUGUUUGAUAAUAUCAGGUACUAAAGUGGGCAAAAAAAUUAAGGACUAUAUUAAAAAUAUAUCUAUAAUAUAUAUAAAUGCAUGGAUUUUGAGAAACUUUUGAAAUGAUAAUUAUAUAGUCUUUGUUUUUUUUACUAUAUUAUUGAAUUUUUUAUUUUAAAUAUUUUUUAUUACUUUUAAGAUUUAUCAUAUGUAUGUAUAAGAAUUUUGGUUUUACUAAAAUAUUUGGUCAAAUAAAUUCACUUUAUCAAAAAAUCUAGCAUCCUUAUAAAUAAAAAUUUUGAUUCUAUUAAAAAAAUUAUUUUAAAAAAUAUAUAAUAAAAAUUUAAAAUUUAUAUUGAAUUACUUUAUACUUAAAUUAUUAUUAGAAACUUUAUCAUACACAUACGUGCAUUAGAACCAUGUAUUUAGAACUUAAAUUUGUGUUUUAAAAUAACUUAUGAUAAAUAAUGAAAUGUAUAAUUUGAAACUAUUUAAUAAUAACACAUGACAUAUCUACCAUAUUAAAAUAAAAAUAGAUUAAAUUGUAAGUAAAACAUAAUUUAAACAUAUGAAUACAUCAAAUUACGAAUACUAAAUGAAUACAGUUAUUUAUGAUGAUGUUGUUGUCAAUUCCUAAGUUGGUGUCGAGUUAAUUUGUGACAUCAUAAAUUUAAGUGAUAAAUUUAAGGUUUUAUGUAUUGAUGCGGAUUCAAAUAUCACCAUAAUUUUUUUUAAAUAAAAAACUAAAGUACCCUCAAAUAAUAUAACUUAUAUUAAAUAUGAAAGGGUAGUUUUGUAAUUUCUCUAACGAGUUGGUGCCCGGUUGACUCAUGACACCAACUCAAUCAAAAGCUUCAAUAAUAAUAUAGAUAUUCACGUUAAAAAAAAAGUACUUUAGUUCCAAAUAAUUAUAUAACAAGUAAAUUUAUAAUUGAUGAAUAAAUUUAUAAAAAUAUAUUUAUAUGAUCUAAUAUAUUAUAUUUAUAUUAAUUAUAUAUCAUCUACAAACUUUGAAGAUCAAUUCAUUAAGUAUCAAGAAAGGAAAAAAAUGAAAUUGAAUUAACACUAAAUCAAUUUUUAGAUUUUGUACAGAUGAUUUAAUGAUGAUAAAAAAAUUAUUAGCACUAUUUUUGAAUUAACAAAAAAUUAGUGAUAUAUUUUAAUUAUAUUUAUUAUUUAUUAUUUUUAAUAAUGUUUUUUUAAUUAUAUGAAGUAAAAUUACAGUGUAUACUAAAUAUGGUACAUAUACUUUAAUUAUAACUAGAAAAUUUAUUAUAUAAAUUAAUAUAUUUUAAUUAUAUUCAACCAUUUGAACAACAAAAUAAAAAAAAUAAUUAGAAUAAUUUAUUUUUUAAAGUUUAAUGGAAAUUAAAAAAUUAAAAAUAAAUCAAUUCAUAUAAAUUUUGUUGUUUAUUUCAGAUGAAAAUGAUAAAAGUAUAUGACAUAAAUAGAAGAAACAAAUUCAACACCAUGUUUUUGGAGUUUGGAAAAAAUUAAAGUGAAAAACAUACCUUCUAAUUUGUUGUCAUGGAGACCUAUUUUUUCGAGCAUAGUUGAAUUAAAAAUACUUGAUGGAAUCUGACCUGCACACAUAGUCGAAAAUUGAAGUGAAAAACAUACCUUCUAAAUUGUUCAACUAAAAAUACUUUAAGCAUAUUUUUUAGUAAAGCCCUUCAAGCUUGGGAAGAUGUUGACACGUUGACACAUAUCAUUAGGCAAAGACUAAUAGCUUUCAAAGAAGAAAUCUUGAAGAUGGAAGAUGGAACCUGACCAGAUAAUUGAUUGAGUCCCAAGUUCAAGAUCUCUAGAUUAGACAUGUUAGCAAGUGUUUCAGGGAUUGUGCCUAUAAAGUUAUUAUUUUUCAUUUCCAGCCUUCGAACUCUGUGUAUGUUCCAAAGCCAUGAUGGAAUUUCCCCAUUAAGACGGUUGUAGCUUAAUCGAAGGAUCCGCAAACGAUGCAAUUGGCCCAAUUCUUUAGGGAGAUGGCCAUAGAAAUGGUUGCUACUCAAGUCGAGAGAGAGUAGAAAUGAAAGAUUUCCAAGGUGUGGAGGGAUAGUACCCCUAAGAUUCAUGCUUGUAAGAUUCAAAGCUGUAACUCUUUUAUGGAGGAUGCCACAAGAAACACCAAUCCAAUUGCAAACAGAGGUUGAGACAGUCCAAUUGUUUGGCAAGACAUUUUGAGGACCGGCGAUGCGAUCCUUAAACUCGAGAAGUGCAAACUGAUCGGAGUUGAGAUUUCUGACUGUCAUAGCCAAGCAAAGUACGGAACAUGGUAUGAAUAAAGCUAAAAGAAGAUGAAAGCAAGUGUUGUAGUUCAUGAUUGCAAGACAGAAUAAGAAAAGAAAAUAAAAUAAAAAAAAGUAGGAAAAGGGAAGUUGAGUUGAUAAAAUAGUUUGGAUGAUGAAGAAAAGCCCAGACAGCAUGCUUUAAUAUGUUUGGAUGAUAAAUUUAAACUUGAUAAAUUUAAGACUACCCUAAAAAUACGUACAAAGAAAUUUCAAAAUUUCAAAAUAAAUACGUACAAAGAAGCGAAUUUUCAAAAUUUCUCCUAAAUUUUCUUCACAUUACUCUACAUAAUCCAUUAAAAAAAACUUAAAAAAUAUAUUUUAUUAAUUACUAUAUAUUCUUUUAUUUUCAGAAUCAUAAAUUGUUUAAAAUAUGCUAUUAGUCCCUGUAAUUUAAAAGUUAAAAAAAUUCAAUCCUCCUAUUUUUCUAAUUUAAAAAUUCUAGUCCAAUCAAUUUUAAUUCCAUUAAAAAAUUUCAACUUAAUAGAUUUUUUAUUAUCAAUCAUAUGCAACAUUAUAUGAAGACAGUCUACUCAGCAUAUAUCCAAGUUUACAGAUUUUAAUAGAAAAUACUUACAAUCCUAAUGGUAGGACUAAGUUUUUUAAACUAGAAAAGUAAGAAGACUUAAUUUUUAACUUUUUAAGUACAAGGAUUAAAUUUUAAAUGUUGUCAAAGUACAAGCACUAACAAAAUAUUUUGAUCUAAUAAAUGUAAAAAACUUUUUAAACAAAAUAAGGUUUGAAAUAAUCUAUUUGUCCUUGUAAUUUUAUAAAUUUGAGAUUUAAUCUUUAUACUUAAAAGGUUAAAAAUUAAGUCUUCUUGUUUUUAUUUAAAAAUCUUAGUCCUAUUGUUAAUAUUAUUUUUUUUUUGCCAAAAUUUGUCAACUUUACAUAUUAAUUAGGUUUCCCUUAUAUGUCGUGGUAUAUGACUAACACAAAAUAAGCAAGUUGACAAAUUCUGACAAAAAAUAUCAAAGAUGAUAAUAAUUGGAUUAAAAUUUUUAAAUUGAAUUAAUAACCUUUAAUGUAUAAGGAAUGGAUAUCAAAUAUUUAUAGGAAUAAAGGGACUAACAACAUAUUUUAACCAGAAAAUAAUAUGAGUGAUUAGAAUGAAUCUAAAAUUUUAUAGAAAUAAAAGAGACUAACAACAUAUUGAUAACUUUCAAAUCUCCUUCGAUCAUCCUUUUUCUACGUAGAAAAAGAAAAUUAAUUAGCAUCUAAAGUGUCAAUUAAUGAAACCUUCAAAAGAAAAUGUGAAAGUGAUUUAUCAAACAAUAAUAUUCUAACUUAUAAUAUAUUUAAUUACAUUUAGUAAUUUAUCAAUCAAAACUUAUUUAACAUCCAUCAAUACUUCAUACAUAAAAAACGCAAGCAUAAAUUACCAUUUAACUCAGAUUUAACUUUGCAAGUAAACUUAAAAUUUUAUUUAAUUUUGUUACUAAAUUUGAUUUGUUCACUAUAGAGUUUGGUGACUUAAAAUAAAAGUAAUAAAAAGUUAUUCUUUCAGAUAUCUUUUUAAUGUUUAAUAAUAAAUUAAUUUAUAAAAUAUACUUUCAUUGGACACAGGCCUCCAAAGCGGUGAACCACUAAUCAAAUUAAUUUGGGGAUACCUAAAUUUGUUUUCAUCAAUUAAGAAAUUUAAAAAAUUGUUGAGACCUCAUGAUUAUCUUUUAUAAUUUCAGUCUUAUCACCAAAAACUAAAAAAUAAAAACGUCGACAUUAAAUUUGUUGGUAUGCAAUCAAUUUUAAGAUGGUUUUUGGGGUUAUAUAUCACUUUAGCAUUGACUUACUUUUCUACUCUUAGUCUUCUCCAACAAGUUAAAUAUUUGAAUUUUAACAACAUUGGCAGGUCUUUGGGGUAGGGUCGACCAAAACUUAAUAGAAACAGAUGAUAUAGGUUGAGUUGGCUCGGCCAAGUCGAGUCGACUUGUUCAAAUUAUUUAAAUUAGUAAAUUUUAGGGUGCAGUUAGAAUUUUUUGUUUUGAGAUGCUAAGAUUAAAAAAUUUCAGUUGCUAAAACAAAAAAUUUGUAUUUAAAAAGGCAUAAAUUAAAUAAUUAAGUUUUUCAAGUUUCCAUUUAAUCAAAGGUUAAAAGGACUAAAUUGAAGCUUUUUAUUUUUAAGAAAGGCUGAAUGCCAAAUUGCCCAAAGCCCAUGCCCCUAGCUAUACAACUAACUUUUCUAUGAUUAGUCCUUGGUUUGCUUUGGGUGGAAUCUUCCAACUAGCCUCAUCCUUCGUUUUACUUUCCAACAAUUAGUUUAUCAUGAGUUUUGUUUUCUUUAAAAAAAUAUUUUUGUGGAUAUUAGGAGAUAAUGAAAAUUAAUUUAGUAUGAAAUUUUAAUAAAACUGGAAAAUAAGUAAUUUAUUUAAGAGAUCACAAUUAAACGUUAGAUUUCCAAUUUUUAAAUUUUAAAUUAUUUUGACAAUUGCAUAAUAUUUUGAGCAUUGUAGGAAUGCCAUAAUCUUCCCUACGCAUAAUCGACUCUUGAGCAUGAUGGAUCCUAGGCCUUCUCCUCUAUUCUCGUACCACAAACUGCUUCGAGUGUGGAUUCGAACAAUCACAAAUUAAACACAAAACCAGAAAUGAUUUAUUACUUUCAAUAGCAAAGUAAUUCUCUCUCAAUAGAAACCAAUAGAAUUGUAAUUCCUAAAAAAUAAAAUUUAUUUUUGGAAAAUAUAUUCCCACUACUUUCUAGCAGAAUAAUAAUAUGUGAAACUUAUGUCUUGUGUUAAUAGCUCUACCAGCACUAUCUAUUUAUAGGGAGAGACGAGAAUCCUGGUUGACUUAGUAAAACACGAAUAAUAUUUAUUUCAUUGAAAACAAUAUUCCACCCUAAGUAGAUCAAGUUUGUAUGACGCAUGGAUCGAAGCUCAAUCUAGGAGAAAAAAAAAAGGAAUUUUCUUUGUAAAGAAAAUCUGAGAUUGUACUAUUUUCAAAGUUAUAAAUAAAAUUAUAAGCUAAAUUUUCAAGUCAAUUUUCAACUCCAAUUUUGUAUGCACAAAUUUCUAAUACACUUGGUGGGACAUUCUUUGACUUUUAUCUAUUCUCUCAAAAAGUUAAAGUUCAAAGUUGCAUUAAACUCAAAGAAGAUAAUCAUUAGUAAACCAGCUCACAAGCCUGCUCAAGCUAAUCCUACAACUUGUUCCACUUCAUCAUCAAACACCAAUGUUCUUGCUUAUCCUUAUGGAAUUAAACAGUCUCAUUUUCUGCAUUUUGGAUACACACCUAGUUUUGUUUGAUGCUAAAACAGUCCCUGAGCACUCCAAAGCCUAUAAUUGAACAAAUAACACUAAUUUAAUCUUACAUAACGUGAUCCCAAAUUGAACUUGUAUCGAGGUUUUAACCCAUAAGUGACUAAACUUUACCUUCAACCGAUGAACAGUAAUUCCCACAUAAACUAAGACUCCGAUUGGCGAUUACGAGCCCUUGAAUCCUCCCCUAAUUGGCAUAAACAAAACACUUCAGAAGAAAGUUAACAAACAGAGACAAAUCACUUAUCUAAAACUUACUGAAUGAUCACAGACAAACGUGGAGCGACACAAGGCAGAGUGGGAAAAGAAAAAUCAAGAGGAUGAAGGGUGAAAGAGAGCAGAAAUUCGGUAGCAAUAAAGAGAAAACGGUAAGAGGGUGGAGGGAUUUUGGGGAAAGUAAAAAAAAAAGAUGAACAGAAUAUUUGAUAACUACCCCAAUCCCUUAUUUCUCUCCAUCAAACUCUCCACUAAAUCCACUACUCGAAUUUUUAGUCCAUCUCAAACUCUCCUGGACGCAUGAGCAAAAAAUAAUGCCCAUGCCAAAAUUUGAACACAUGACCUCCUUCACACCAACACUCCACUUAUCCACUAGACCAACAGGCUCAUUCUUUUAAUUAUUUGUCAACUUUUACUUAAAAGCCUACUGACCAAAAAAUACCAAAAUUUGCCCAAGUCCUAGAUUGAACUUGGGACCUCCCAAACACACCCAGAACACAUAGCCAAUUUUCAAGCAAUCUGACAUGAAUUCUCAAUCACAAUUAAUUGAAUUCAAGAUAUAUUUGGAUGAGAAGACAAAUAUUUCAAUUUUAACACAAACCAAUGCUUGGGAUGAUUUGGGAUAAGAACUCCAACAUUUUAAGAUCACAUUUUCUUUUAUAAUUUCAGGCUUAUCAACUAUUUUGAAAACAACAAAACGUCUUACACCAAAAACUAAAAAAUAAAAACUUCGACAUUAAAUUUGUUGGUAUGCAAUCAAUUUUAAGAUGGUUUUUGGAGUUAUAUCUCACUUUAGCAUUGACUUACUUUUCUACUCUUAGUCUUCUCCAACAAGUUAAAUAUUUCAAUUUUAACAACAUUGACAGGUCUUUGGCCGAAUAAUUUUAAACGUCUCAUCAUUGCAAAAAUGAAAUAAUAGAAAAGAAAGAGUAGCCAUUUUAUGAAAUCUAUAAUUCCAACUGUGAAUAAAAUAUAAAUUUUAUGAAUGUGGACAAGCCAUUUUAUUUAUAAUUUUCUGUGUUUUUCUGACUUUUUUUAAGUCAUUUUCUUUGUUUCCUAACCAAAAAAUUUGCCCAUCACUUUAAAUAUAAAUUUAAAUAUAAAUUUUCUUUUUAAAAUAUAAAUUACUUGUCACAAUUCAUAUUUCUAAGUCAAUUUGCCAUCACUUUAACAUACACUAACUGUUCUAUGAUUAGUCCUUGGUUUGCUUUGGGUGCAAUCUUCCAACUAGCCUCAUCCUUGGUUUUACUUUCCAACAAUUAGUGUAUUACGGGUUUUGUUUUCCUUAAUAAAUAUUUUUGUGGAUAUUAGGAGAUACUGAAAAUUAUUUCACUAUGAAAUUUUAAUAAAACUGGAAAAUAAGUAAUUUCUUUUAAGAGAUCACAAUUAAACAUUAGAUUUCCAAUUUUUAAUUUUAAAGUUUUUUGACAAUUGCAUAAUUAAUAAGGUACCAAUUUUGAGAGUUGUAGGAAUGCUAUAAUCUUCCCUACGCAUAAUUGACUCUUGAGCAUGAUGGAUCCUAGACCUUAUCCUCUAUUCUCGUACCAGAAAUUGUUUCGAGUGUGGUUCGAACAAUCACAAAUUAAACACAAAACCAGAAAUGAUUUAUUACUUUCAAUAGCAAAGUAAUUCUCUCUCAAUAGAAACCAAUAGAAUUGUAAUUCCAAGAAAAUAAAAUUUAUUUUUUGAAAAUAUAUUCUCACUACUUCCUAACAGAAUAACAAUAUGUAAUACUUAUGUCUUGUGUUAAUAGCUCUACCAGUACUAUCUAUUUAUAGGGAGACACACGAGAAUCCUGGUUGAAUUAGUAAAACACGAGUAAUAUUUAUUUCAUAGAAAACAAUAUUCUACCUUAAGUAGAUCAAGUUUGGAUGACGCAUGGAUCGAAGCUCAAUCUAGGAGAAAAAAAUAAAGUAAUUUUCUUUGUAAAGAAAACCUGAGAUUGUACUAUUUUCGAAGUUAUAAAUAAAAUUAUACGCCAAAUUUACAAGUCAAUUUUCAACUCGAAUUUUUUAUGUACAAAUUUCUAAUAGACUUGGUGGCACAUUUUUUGAAUUUUAUCUAUUCUCUCGAAAAGCUAAAGUUCAAAGCUGCAUUAAACUCAAAGAAGAUAAUCAUUAGUAAACCAGCUCACAAGCCUGCUCAAGCUAAUCCUACAACUCGUUCCACUUCAUCAUCAAGCACCAAUGUUCCUGCUUAUCCUUAUGGAAUUAAACAAAAGACAAAAGCUCUCUAAGAGUUAUUUGAACAGACAAAAUAUUCAGAUGUGUUGAGAUGGAAAGUGACAACGCAAAGUUGAUUGAAACUAUUUGUAACGGGUUGGCUACAAUAAGUAGUGUUGUGAAGUAAGAUAGAUUCACGAUUGGUGUUCCAAAAUUGAGUAGCUAGUUAUCUUGGAAGAUCCUCCACAUUAUGUGAGAUGCUGGCUUGAAGAAGAUAUUAGACAAUUGCUAGUGACUGAUGAUAAUUUUCAUUUGGACUGAUGCUUGCUUAAUUUUCUAAGCUUAUGUUCAACCAAAAAAAAAAAAAUUAAAUAUGUCUAAAUGAUCAUAGAGUUAACAUUUAGUGUAUAAAAAAUUAAUAUAUAAUUUGUUUUCAAUUGUAGUUUAGUUCUAGAAAUACCAACGAUGAACCUUAAAACGGAAAUGAAAAUUACAAAAAAAAAAACAAACCACAUCUAUUAUCAAACCAACAAUCCAUGUCUAAACUUAAAUUAACAAAAUUCGUUACGCAACUCGGUACACUAUUUUAUAUAAUCAAUAUAUUAGAUUUAUUCUUGAUGCACAUGUUUUAUUAUAGUUAAAAAUUAAAAUAUAUGAUUUACUAAGUUUUAAUUGAAUUAGUAUUGGUAUUAUAUCAGUGUAGGAAAAUGUGAGUUUAAUCGUACUUAAAUAUGUAUCCUCCAACUCAACAGUUGGGAAAAGGUUAUUGAUAAUUAAAUUAUACCAAUUUUUACAAUAUCUAAAAAGCAUUCAUAAACAUAUUCAUAUUGAUGGGCUCUUUCAUUAUUAAACUUUUUUUCUCUCACAAGUAAAAGUACUUGUGGUGAGGAUCAUGUAAAAUAAUAAACUGAAUAAUUUUAAACGUCUCAUCAUUGCGAAAAUGAAAUAAUAGAAAAGAAGCCAUUUUAUGAAAUUUACAAUUCCAACUGUGAAUAAAAUAUAAAUUUUAUGAAUGUGGACAAGCAAUUUUAUUUAACUUUUUUUAAAGUAAUUUUCUUUGUUUCCUAACCAACAUGAAAUUACUUGUCACAAUUCAUCUUUUUAAAUGAGAAACAUUUUCAACAAUUUGCCAUCACAUCAACAUACACUAACUUUUCUAUGAUUAGUCCUUGGUUUGCUUUGGGUGCAAUCUUCCAACUAGCCUUAUCCUUGGUUUUACUUUCCAACAAUUAUUGUAUCCUCCUCAUUACUUUUACUUACCGACGGAUGAAAAAUUCACUGAUCAAAUUAAUUCAAAGAUUUUUUUUUUCUAAAUCAAGUGAAUUCACGAGUUUUAUUUUCUUUAAAAAAUAUUUUUGUGGAUAUUAGGAGAUACUGAAAAUUAUUUUACUAUGAAAUUUUAAUAAAAUUGGAAAAUAAGUGAUUUAUUUAAAGGGAUCACAAUUAAACAUUAGAUUUUUAAUUUUUUAAUUUUAAAUUUUUUUGACAAUUGCGUAAUUAAUAAGGUACUAAUUUUGAGCAUUGUUGGAGUGCUAUAACCUUCCCUAUGCAUAAUCGACUCUUAAAUUCACUUUUUUCUCUAGAAUUUUAACAAACUUACAAAAUGAUUUAAUGAUAUUUAAUUAUUGAUGGGUAAAAAAAUUAUAUCAUAUAAAUUCCGAAUAAUUAAUUAUAUAUCUACAUAUUAUAACCAAUUCAUCUUUCAAAAUUAUUUCCUUAUAAUUAAAGCAAAAAUUAUAUUUAUAAAAUUCUAAAUAUAUUAUAAUUCUUGUAAAUAUAUAUAUUUACAUAUAUAAGUCCAAAUUGUAAUAGAGUUAACAUUUAUUGUAUAAAAAAUGUCUUGAAAUUUUUUUUUUCAAUUUCAAAAGAACUAUUCCAUUUAUAAAACCAUAAAACUUUAAAAAUAUAAACUCUAUUAAAUAAAAAUAAUAAUAUUUUUAAACAAUAAAUAUUGACUUUAUUUUAAAUUGACAUUAUCUAAUUCUUUUUAAUAUGUAUCGCUAAGCUUUACAUUAAUAUACAUGAUUUAUUUGUUCGUUAUUAUUAUUAUUAUUAUUAUUAUUAUUAUUAUUAUUAUUAUUUCUAUGAUUAUUAUAUUAUACUUAUCGGACUACAAUCAUAACCAUGUCUAUUAUCAUUCGAUAAAAAAAAAUUAAGUGUUGAGUAUAAUGACAAGGCACAUUACACUCUGAAGGGGAGAUUAAGGUUUGGACAAAGGAAGAAUAUGAUUCAAAUUUUGGAGACAACAUUCUUGAAAUGAGCAACCAUAAACCCCGAUUAUGAACCAUAAAACGAUCAUGAAAAGUACCCAAAAAAACACAUUUAUUACCAAAUAGUAAUCCAUCUAAGGAUUAAAUUAACAAAAUUCACCAUCCAACCGUGUAGACUAUUAUAAAUAUAUAUACUAUAUUUAUUCUUCAUGCAAAUGUUUAUUAUAUUUAAAAAUUAAAAUAUAUGGUUGAUUGAGUUUUAGUUGUGUUAAUAUUGAAAUUAUUGUCAGUGCAAAAGAACAUGAGUUCAAUCAUGUUUAAAUACGUUUUAUACUCCAAUUUAGGAGUUGGAGAGGAUUCUCAAUAGUUAAAUUAUAUUAGUUUUUGUCUAUUUAAAAAUGAUUUAUAAAUAAUAUAAGUAGAAAAUUUUAAAAAAAAUACAUAUUCAUAUUGAUCGGCUUUUUCAUUAUUAGACUUUUUUCCCCACAGUUAAAAGUAUUUAUCGAAUUCAAAUUUUGGGUUUUAAAUAAGGGUUUCGGAUUUUUUUUAAACAUUUGUGUGAGUUUUUGCCAAAUUUUAUAUUUUCGGAACGAAUAACUAAGUUGAUUUUUAAUUACUUUUUCAAACAAGUCGAUGUAAUUCCUCAAAAAUCUAGUCAAAGCGUCUAGGCUGGGUUUGGAGGUGUUACACUAACGUUACUAAAGUUAAUCUUAAUCUAUUUAGUCUAGAUCUAAACAUCAAUAUUCUCUUCCAAGAAAAAUCAAGAUUAUCAAAUUAUUACAACUGUGUAGCCAGACAAUCAUAUUAAAUAUGCAUAAAACAUAAUAAAUAAUUAGCGAAGAUUGAAACAAUCAAAGAAAAAAAUAAAUAAAUAAACUAAGAAAUAAGGAUCCAUUAUUGUUUCAAGAAAACAGAGUUUAGUUCAUAUUGAGUUGAGAAAACCAGAAAGGAGAUUCAAAACAAACUUGUGAUAAGGGGAACAAUGUCAAUAGAUCAUAUUCAAGUUGUUCGACUUCAGAUUUGACCUGAAAAGAAGAAACCAAACAUAUUUAGGAAAACAAGAAAAAACAAAGAAAAAAAACUAAAAUGAGAAAUUUAAGAAUAAAUAAUAAAUAUUAAAAAUAAAUAAAGAAAUUAUAGAAUAAAAAGUGGCAGAUGGAAUGAAGAAAUGAUGGAUAUAAAUAAAAGAUGGAUAUGACAUAUAGAUGAAUAAGUGUCUGAUAACUCUUGAAAAAAAGUUAUAUUUCAUGCCUUUAGACCUAGCUAAUUGCUUGUACUUAAGUAUAUUUUGUUGCUUUUUAAGACAUUUUAGUGAGCAUUUUUAAUAUUGUAUUAGGACUUAGACUGAGUUGGAAUUAGGUGCUUUUAAUCGCUUGUGGUGGAGUUUUUUGUGUGUUGGUAUGGCAGGAACAGGUUUUAGAUCGAGGAAAUAAAUGAGUGAAGUUUUGUUUGGGCAAAAGUGCAUAUAGUUUUCCAACAAGGAUGCCGUGGCAAUGCCGAGAAGACCAAGUUCAUAUUUUUUGUGCAACAGUCCUAGUUCAAAUUCAAACUUGUAUGAGAUAAAUCCCCCUAAAAGAGGAGAAGAUAAUUACAUUGAUGUUAGUUGACCCUAGCCUAAUCUAUCUAUUAAAUCCAAUGAAAGGGAUCUCACAAAUGGUAGAAAAAAGUGAGAGAGAUCUUUAGGGGUGAAUAAGGGUUUGGCUGUGCAAAGGAAAAGAAGUCAAGGGCAAUCAUUCUUAGCCUUCACAGGACGUUUUGUUGCCAAAGUGUGGACUGGGCAAGUGAAAGCUGUUUCCCAAAGUUCUUCUGUUAUUUCCAUCAGUGUUCCUUCGAAAGAUUGAAUUGAAGUAGUUGAACACAAUGUCAGAUAAUAUUUUGGUUUGAAAUUCUAUUUCCCAGUUUAUGAGCUAAAUCUCAUAAGGUUGGGAUUACUUUCGAUGAAACCUUUAAUUUUUUUUAUGGAUGCAAUAUAUAUCUAAUUUACAUUACAGUUUCAUUUGAUUGUUCUUAUUUCUUAAUUAAAAUGCAAAUGAUCUCUAGACAUAGAAGACUAUUCACAUACUUAUAAACUGAUUAUAAUUCUAAAAGGGUUGGAUUAAAAUUAAAUGAAAUGAGCAAGUAUUUGAUAGACACUUGUAGCCGACUCCAGACAUAGAGUCACGAUCAUACAGAAGGAACCCAUGCAAGAUAUCUGAAAAGCCUUUAGACACAGGCAAGGCAACUUGAGGUUAUUCUCUCACACGAGGCAGACCAUUUUAGAACUCUUCUGUGUUGUAAAGUAGAUACGAUUUUGCCAAGGCAUUAUUGACAAUAAGGGUUGAUUCUGGGUAAUCCCGACCUUCCAAAUCCACAUCGUAUAUCCUUCAUUAUUUUCCAUAGUAUCUUUUCCACAUCAUUAUUAAUUAUUUAUUUGUUCAUUUACAUAAUAUUCCCAUAGUAAUUCUCAUAAUUGCCAUUACAUUUCUACUCUCGAUUUGCCAUAGCAUUACCAAAUAUUCAUUAAUUCCACAUAUUGAUUACAUCAUUACUCUACUCAUUGCCAUUGCAUAUUUAUCAUUGACUUUGUCACAACAUUAAUUGUAUUUUAUGAUAAUAACUUGAUCGAUUUUGUGCCUCAAUCUGAUCAUCGUGGGAAUGAUACUCACUCAUCAUUUAUUACUUGAUUCAACGUGUAUACUUGCACAAAUCGCAUAUCAUUUCACAUGCGACAAUGUCCAAUUGAACCCUUUAAGAUAUAAACUCAAACAAACUCAAUUAAUGGCUUUAAUCAACCCACCAAGAAAUAAUCCUUGGCAAAUUGAAGGAUGAAUAAUGAAUUCCCAUGACUCCUUAAAGAAAAUUGAGAAGAAAACUGCUUCUAAAAAUUACAAGAAACAAUCUUGCACAAAGAAACUAACCUUGAGAGUUGGAAAUUUUAGUAACGAACAAAGACAAUUGUGUCUCUAAUGACCAUGAAAGAGCUUUACAUAGGCUAGAUAAGUACAUCCAAAUAAAAUUUCGAAGUAUCUUAAAACUUUAAUUAAUGUAAGCAAAAAGUAAUUUUCAACUAAAAUAGUCAUAAUUUCCGUAAUAAUCCCGUCUAGAAAUUCUACUCACAUAGUCAUCACUAAAAUAGUCAUCAUUUGAGCUCUUGAACUAGAAAUUGAGUGAAUAAAAGUGUGUUUGAUAGACCUUAGAACUCCAUCAAGACAUAUCAAUCGAAAAAUAUUUGGAUCCCAUCCAAAAAGUCAUUGCAAGUUAACUGAUUUUCCAAACUUGAAAAUUGGCAGCUUCAGUGAAUGAAAUUUAAUAAAGUUCACCCCAUCUGCUCAUGUAUAAACUUGCAGUGGUAAAAAGUAAAAAGAAAUAAUCUAUAGAGAAAAUAGUUGAAGAAUUUAUGACAAUUUAUUCAGACCUUUUUUUCUUCUAGCCUUUGCAAGCUUGAAGUUUCCGUUGGUGUGUGAGAGUUGUUCCUUACCCUUUAAGUUAUUUCUUUUCUUUUCCUUCUUUUUCUUUCUCUUCGAUCUCAUCACCUAAGGGUGCUCAAACAACUGAUUCAGUUAAUACCCGAACAAAGCUAUCAUUAAAUGAAAUUUUGAAACCCUUAAUCAUUAAUGAAACCAAUUUUUUGUUGAAACCUAUUAACCGGCCGGAUUGAUUUCGGUUAAUUUGUGCAGUUAACCAGAAUUUAUACAUUGUUUGUUUUUUAUCAAACAAUUUUAAAACAAAGAACAAUCCAUGACAACUUUUUCCUUGUUUUUUAUUCAAAAAUUAUUAAAAGAACUAAAAAAAAUAACAUAAUAACAACACUAAAUUAAAAACAUAAUAGCAUUCAUUACAGUACAAAUCUUUUUUCUUUUUUUUCUUUUUGUUGACUUUUUAGUUUAAUUUUAGUUUUUUUUCAAAUAUUUUAGUUUUCAUAUUCUUGUUAAGCUUAUUAUAAGAAAACUUAUAAAUCCAUUAGUUUUUAUAUAUUAGGUUUGUAUAAUGUAUUGGAGCUAUCUCUAUAAUAUAUUUUUAUUGAUUUCGGUUAAUCAAUUAAUUCGGUUAAUUAGUCGAUUUCAAACGAAACUAAUUGAUAAACAAAAUCUUCAAAAACAUUUAACCAACUCCCAACCAAAUUAGAUUCGUUGAUCGCCUGCUUAAUCAAGUUAAUCAUAUGGUAAAAUGGCAUAGUUUUGGAAUGGUUUUUUGGAAUUAUUGGUAUAGGUUUAAGUUAUGAUCUUGAGAUGUUGAGUUGAAUUAAGUUUGAUAUGUAUAUUGUGAUGCCUUCAUUGGCAUAUUGGUUAGAUAUUAAAGGAUGGUUGAUUUGGUAUGUUUUUAAAAUGGUUGUUGGUAUGUGUGAUCUAAAUUGAUUAAAUGAACUUGUAAUGUUGAAUGGUAUAAUAUUUGUUGGUACAUUAGUUAGUCUUAUAGGUUGAUGGAAUUGGUAUGUUUUAAAUGUGUUUAAAAUGUGUUUUGAUUGUUUAAAUGUUUGUGGAAAUGGUGUGUCUUGGUGUACAAGAUUUGAAAUUGAAAUGGCUUGAUUUAGAAGCAACUUAUGUUGUACACCACCUGGGACACUGGUUGUCACAUGGUUGUGUGUCAUUAUUGUUUUAGGUACAGGUUUCACACAAUCUGAGACUCGGCUCACGACAUAGCUGUGUAUCACAAGUCAGUAUGUAACACGGUUUGGUACAUGGCCUGCGACAUGACCGUGUGUCCAAACUUCGAAUGUCCACACGGUCUGGGCUAUGUCACACGGGUUGGCCACAUGGCCGUGUGACCCUUGUUUUCAAGUUUUCUAAAAUUUUCUAUUUUAUUUCAAAUUGAUCCUAGAAUAUUCUCAAACUGUUUUUAGGGCCCGUAGGUUCGAAUUAAGGCCCAUAAGUGUAUGUUUGCUAUAAUUAAGUUGUGUUAAUUAAUGUUAUUAAUUAAAUGGCAUGAAUAUUUUAUUGUAAGUUAAAUGUUUUAAUUUGAACUAUAAUGCUCCGUAACUCUAAUCUGGCGACGGAGACAGGUUUGGGGUGUUACAAUUUUGGACUUGAAAUUUGUUUUGGGGCUUUGUUCGAUGUUUGUUGGAUUUUAGUGUUUUAACAUUAAACUACAAAAUUGUAUGAUUUAACAAACUAAAAAUUAGGUUUUCAAAAUUAAAACUCUGGAAGUUUCUGUUUCAAAGAUUAAGUAAUCACUUAAGUGUUUUCCCAUAAAUAAUUAAAUGGUUUUUAACAAAUGUUUUCCUUAGUUUUGGAAAUGAUAUGCCAACAUUAGUACUUUUAAAACACAUGAUUUCAAAUUCAAAUUCUUGGUUUUAAGUAAGGGUUUUCAAACUUUGAUUUUUUUUAACAUUUGUGAGAGGUUUUUGCCAAAUUUUAUGUUUUCAGAACGUGUAACUAAGUUGAUUUUUAAUUAGUUUUUCAAACAAGUCAAUGUAAUUCCUCAAAAAUCCAAUCAUAGCGUCUAGGUCGGGUUUGGGUUGUUACACUGACGUUACUAAAGUUAAUCUUAAUCUAUUUAGUCUAGAUCUAAACAUUAAUAUUCUCUUCCAAGAAAAAUCAAGAUUAUCAAAUUAUUACAACUUGGUAGGCAGACAAUCAUAUUAAAUAUGCAUAAAAGUUAAUAAAUAAUUAGCGAAGAUUGAAACAAUCAAAUAAAAAAUAAAUUAAUUAACUAAGAAAUAAGUUCCAUUAUUGUUUCAUGAAAAUAGAGUUUAGUUCAUAUUGAGUUGAGAAAACCAAAAGCGAGAUUCAAAACAAACCUGUGAUAAGGGGAACAAUGUCAAUAGAUUAUAUUCAUGUUGUUUGACUCAAGAAAGAAAUAUUCGAAUCUAACUUGAAAAGAAGAAACCAAAUAGAUUUAGAAAAAUAAGAAAAAAAAACAAAGAAAAUAACUAAAAUGAGAAAUUUAAGAAUAAAUAAUAAAUAUUAAAAAUAAUAAAGAAAUAAAGAAAUUAUAGAAUAAAUAAUGGAAGAUGGAAAUGAAACGACGGAUAUGACAUAUAGAUGGAUAAGUGUCUGAUAAUUCUUGAAAAGAGUUAUAUUUCAUACCUUUAGACCUCACUAAUUGCUUGUACUUAAGUACAUUUUGUUGCAUAUUGAGACAUUUUUGUUCGUAUUUGUAAUAUUGCAUUAGGACUUAGAUUGUGUUAGAAUUAGGUGUUUUUGAUCACUUGUGGUGGAGUUUUUAGUGUGUUGGUAUGGUAGGAACAAUAUUUAGAACGAGGAAAUAAAUGAGUGAAGUUUAGUCAGCGCAAAAGUGCAGAUAGUUUGCCAACACGUAUGCCGUGGCAAUGUCGGGAAGACCAAGUCAACAAAUUUUUGCGCAACAGUCCUAGUUCAAAUUCAAACUUGUACUAGAUAAAUCUCCUUAAAAGAGGAAAAGAUAAUCACAAGUUGUUAACCGACCCUAGCCUAAUCUAUCUAUAAAAGCCAAUGAAGGGGAUCUCACAAAUGGCAGAAAAAAGUGGAAGAGAUCCUUAGGUGCGAAUAAUGGUUCAGCUGCGCAAAGGAAAGGAAGUUGAAGGCAAUCUUUUUUAGCCAUCACAAGACGUUGUGCUGUCGAAGUGUGGACUAGACAAGUGAAAGUUGUUUCCCAAAGUUCUUUCGUUAUUUCCGUCAGUGUUCCUUCAAAAUAUUAAAGUAGUUGAACAUAAUGUUGGAUAAUAUUUUGGUUUGGAAUUUUAAUUCCUAGCCCAUGAGCUAAAUCUCGUAGGGUUGGAAUUACUUUUGAUAAAACCUUAAACUAUUUUUAUGGAUGCAGUAUAUAUGUAAUUUACUUUACUGUUUCAUUUUAUUAUUCUUAUUUCUUAAUUAAAAUGCAAAUGAUCUCUAGACAUUGAAGCCUUUCACAUACUUAUAAACUGAUUUUAAUUCUGAAAGGGUUGGAUUGGUUGGAUUAAAAUUAAAUGAAAUGAGCAAGCAUUCGGUGGACACCUGUAGUAGACUUUAGACAUAGAGUCACGCUCAUACAGAAGGAACCCAUGCAAGAUAUCUAAAAAGCCUUUAGACAUAGGCAAGGUAACUUAAGGUUUUGCUCUCACGAGAGGCAGGCCAUUUUAGUACUCUUUUGUGCUUUAAAGUAGAUACGAUUUUGCCAAGGCAUUAUUGACAGUAAAGGUCGAUUAUGGGUAGUCCCAACCCUCCAAAUCCACAUCGUAUAUCCUUUACUCUUUGCCAUAGUAUAUUUGCCACAUCAUUAUAAGUUAUUUAUUUGUUCAUUUACAUAAUAUUUCCGUUGUAAUUCUCAUAAUUAUCAUUACUUUCUACUCUCGAUUUGCCACAACAUUACUAGUUAUUUAUUAAUUCCACGUAUGGCUUACAUCAUUGCUCUACUAAUUGCCACUGUAUAUUUACCAUUGACUUCGCCAUAGCAUUAAUCAUAUUUUAUUAUAAUAACUUGACCAAUUUUGUGCCUCAAUUCGAUCCUCAUGGAAAUGAUACUCACUCAUCACUUUAUUUGUAACACCCCAAACUCGGCCUAGACGUUAUGGCCGAAUCUGGUGAUGUCACAUGGAGAGGGAUUUGAAGACAAGAUUGUUGAGUUUAAAAACCGUUACAGUAAGUUAGCUUUUAUUUAGGGAAAAUCGUGUUUUGUAGAGUUGUAGUUUUUAGGAAAAAAAUCGUGUUUUGUAGAGUUGUAGUUUUUUUAAAAAACCCAAUAAAAAAUAGUAUAAAGUCCCAAAUUUAAAACCAAUCAGUCCAUAGUCCAGAAGAUACAUCAAAAACUCAAAAUAAGUAAUAAAUUCUAGGCAUUAACGGAAAACAAUCUAAAAUUUACGUGUGGCCACCAUUGAGUCCUCUGCUGCACCGAUUCGUCAAGUCUGAGGAUUACCUAUACAAAUUAAAUAGAGAAAGGGUGAGUUGUCGCAAACUUAGUGUGUAAUCCCCACAGAAAACAUGCAUAGAGAUAAUUAACAAAAUUUAGUUAGAUACAGUCUAGGGCCUGUGCCCAUCAUAGAAUCAGUUUGGGCCUUAGCCCAUUCAGAUAUAGUCUUAGAAAUACAUUAGGGCAUUGACCAGCCUCUACAAACCACCUCCAUCCAACCAUACACACCAUGUGGGGAUUAAAUCAACCAACCCAUCCCUACACACCAUGCUGUACCGAAAUGCGGCACAUAAUUAGAAGGUUGCAGCUGGGCUGCCAGAUAACAUAAGUCAUGCUCGGUAUAGAAAUCAGACAGACAGAUCACACAUAUAGGUGUCUAAGUAAAGCUUACUGACCCUACAGUAGGUCCACAGUUAACUUGGGCGACCCGUGCAAAAUUACAGAACUUUUUAGAAAAAUGGGCUUACACGCCUAUGUGGCCCACUCGGCCCAAAUUGGCCUUGACCACGUGAUCCAUUUUUAAUGUAACCAGUGCUAGUUAAUUAUUCAUAUAUGUUUUCACUAUUUACUUAUAUGUUAAUUUAAAGCUGUCUACUUGAGUCACUGUUACUAAAUUAUUUAUAUCUUGAGCUACAGAAUUUCAAAUUAAGAUCCGCUUAAUGUCUUUGAAACUAGACUCAAAUAUCUUUCUACUAUAAAAUUUUUAUAAUUUUUGGUUGAGCCAACAAGUACAGUAAAAUCUUCAAACCUUCCCCUAUUCUGCUGUCUGACAACUUCAACCCUUCUUUGCUAAGAAUUAAUUAUCUCUUAGUACAAGAUUUGGAUGAUGUUUACAUUUGUUUCUAUUGAAAAUAAACUCAUUAAUAAUUUAAAAAUGUAAAUUUUAAACCCCUAAUUAUUUUUCUCCAAUUUUUGAUGAUUUUCCAAAUUUAGAACAGGGGAACCUUAAUUCUUUCUGACCUUGUCUCACGAAGUUUAUUAUACCUCACAAUUUACAAUUCCAUUACUUACAUCGUUUAAGAUUUAAUUCCAUAUUUUUUUCAUCCUCUAAUUCAAUUUCCACAAUUUAUGGCAAUUUUUCAAAGUUAACCUACUGUUGUUGUCCAAACAGCAAGCAAUUUUGGCUUUUCGCCGAAUCCUUUUUUUUGCAUUUCGGGUACACACCUGGUUUUGUUUGAUGCUAAAACAAUCCCCGAACACUCUAAAGUCACCAAUGAUAACCAUCCAUUUAAAUAUUGUUAACACGAGAACACUGAAUUCACUAGUCCGAGUCUCCCCCUACGCCCAAAUCGCAGAGAAAAUACGUUACCACUUUAGUCGCUAAAAGAUUCAUGAUAGAAAAGAAGAGAAACACUUACCGAACUAAGCGAGCACUAACCGUGUGUGAAAAUGAAGGAAAAUAAAUGGAUUAGGGAAAAAUCAAGAACAAGAAAAAGAAGAAAAAGAAAAACUCAGAGAAUUUCAACAAGAGGAGAGGGAGAAGAAUAGACGGCGAAUAAAAUUCUGAUAACCCCCAAAAUCCCUUAAUCUUCUCCCCUAAUUCCCACUACACAUCCACUAUUCAUAACCCCCUAUUACAUAACUCUAUCCGAAAUCUGAUAAAAAAAAACAUAAUACCCUUGCCUGCAUAGGGGUUCAAACACAAAACCUCUACUAUAAUAACACAUCAUUUAACCACCAGACCAGCAGGCCCAUUCUGAUGUAAUUUACCCAAAAAUCAAAUAAAAGCCUACUCAACAAGAGUAAAGCCUAAUUCAUUCAAAAUACCAAAAUUUGCCCAAGCAAAAGCUUGAACUUGGGACCUCCCAAACACUCCCAGAACACAUAACUACUAAAGCUGACAAAUAUUUGUGUCAUAUUUUCACAAUAAUGAAAUUAGAAAUUUUGGGACAUUACAUUAUUACUUGAUUCAACUCUUGCACAAAUCGCAUAUCAUUUCACACACAACAGUGCUCAAUUGAACCCUUUAAGAUAUGAAAUCUAACAAACUCAAUUAAUGGCUUUAAUCAAUCCACCAAGAAAUAAUCAUUGGCAAAUUGAAGGAUGAAGAAUGAAUUCCCAUGACUCCUUAAAAAAAUUGAUAAGAAAACUACUUUUAAAAAUCACAAGAAACAAAUCUUGCAUAAAGAAACUAACUCUCAGAGUUGGUAAUUUUAGUAAUAAACAAAAACAAUUGCGUCUCUAAUGAACAUGAAGGGGCCUUUACAUAGGCUAGAUAAGUACAUCCAAAUAAAAUUGUCAAAUAUCUUGAAACUUUAAUUAAUGUAAGCAAGAAGUAAUUUUAAACUAAAAUAGUCAUAAUUUUCGUAAUAAUCCCGUCUAAAAAUUCUGCUCACAUAGUCAUCAUUAAAACAAUCAUAAUUUGAGCUCUUGAACUCAAAAUUGAGUGAAUAAAAGUGCGUUUCGAAGUUAAGUGAUAGAUCCUAGAACUCUAUGAAGACAUAUCAAUCAAAAAAAUAUCUGGAUCCCAUCCAAAAAGUCACCGCAAGUUAACUAAUUUUUCAAACUUAAAAUUUGGCAGCUUCGGUGAAUGGAAUUUAAUAAAGUUCACUCCAUCCAUUCAUGUAUCAACUUGCAUUGGUAACAAGUAAAAGAAAAAAAUCUAUAGAGAAAAUAGUUGAAGAAUUUAUGACAAUUUAUUCAAAUCUCUUUUUCUUCUAGUCUUUGCAAGCUUGAAGUUUCCCUUGGUGUGAGAGAGUUGUUCCUUACCCUCUAAGUGAUUUUUUUCUUUUUCUUUCUCUUCGAUCUCGUCACCUAUUGGUGUUCAAACAAUUGAUUCAGUUAAUACCCGAACAAAACUAUCAUUAACUGAAAUUUUGAAACCCUUAAUCGUUAAUCAAACCAAUUUUUUUAAAAAAAACCUAUUAACUAGCUGGAUUGAUUUCGAUUAAUUUUAGCGGUUAACCAGAAUUUAUACAUGGUUUUUUUUUGUUCAAAAAAUUUUAAAACAAAGAACAAUCCAUGACAAUUUUUUCCUUGUUUUUUAUUGAAAAAAUUAAAAGAACUAAAAAAAUAACAUAAUAACAACAAUAAAUUAAAAACAUAAUAGCAUUCAUUACAUUACAAGGCAUAUAUAUAUAUUUUUACUUUUUCUUCACUUUUUAGUUUAAUUUUAUAUUUUUUAAAAUAUUUUUAGUUUUCAUAUUUUUGUUAAGCUUAUUAUAAGAAAACUUAUAAAUCCAUUAAUUUUUCUAUAUUGGUUUUGUAUAAUGUAUUGGACUUAUCUCUAAUAUAUUUGGCCUAUAAUAUAUUUUUAUUGAUUUCGGUUAAUCAAUUAAUUCGGUUAAUUAGUCGAUUUCAAACUAAACUAAUUGGUAAACAAAAUCUUCAAAAACCUUUAACCAACUCCCAACCAAAUUAGAUUUGAUUGCUUAAUCAAAUUAAUUAGGUUUGAUAAAUUAAUUCGUUAAAACCAAAAAAUCCACACCCCUAUCAUCACCUUUAUUUUUAGGGAUUUUAAUCAUGUUGCUGCACCUGAUGCAGAAGUUGAGGUGGAACGAACUGCUUGCUACCACAAUUUAUGAAUUAUAGAGCAUGCUCCACCGUAGUGAAUCAAAUUCGGUGGAGUAGAAGACUUUUCUUCACUACUUUAUGCUCUAUGCUCCAAGUCUUCUAUUCUUCUUCUGAGACCUACAAUGGGAAAAUAAAAACUAAGAAACAAGUCUAAACUAACUUUGAAAAUUAGAAAUUUUCAACAAAAUUGAAAUAAAAUAUAAUUAAUCCAUAAAAAACUAUAAAAUGCAAUAAAAACAAACCUAAAUACUAAAAUUACCUCCUAAAAUGCUGUGGAAACUAUACUAAAAUAACUCUAAAUAUGAUAGUUAUCAGAAGCGACUUGAAUAAGCCAAUCGAGUAGAUGAUUUCAACUAUUGCAAAUAGCAUCAGUCGAUUAACCAUCCUCUUGAGAAGAUCAUAGAGUUGAAAGAAAAAAUCAUACAACUCCAUGAAGAAGAAAAAAUCAUGUUUGAAAAAGAAGUGGCAUUAUCAAACUUGACAUCAAUGCUUUGGUUUCUCAAUACAAUAUUAAGGAGAAAUUCAUCAAAUUUGGCUCUUUCACUCCUAUUACACUAGCUCUAAGUAGAAGUAAGAUGGUGAAUUUCGAAGGGAUUGGGGACAAUCAUCUAUUUUUGGAAUAUCAGAAUGGUCAUGAUUGGACUCAAAGAAGCCAAUGAAAUGCAUCUCUCCUAGGUAUAAGCUUAUAUUGUCACAUUGCUCCUAAGCACGAGCAUAAAUUGUUCAUCCAAAAUGAUGAUGCUCCUAAGCAUGAGCUUAAACUGUUCAUCUAAUGCUCCUAAGAAGGAGCCUAAACUAUUCAUAAAAAAUAAAUGAUGAUCCAGUGAAGCACGAGAUUAAACUAUUCAUACGAAAUAAAUGAUUACCUCCUAAGCAUGAAUUUAAAUUGUUCAUACAUAAUAAAUGAUGAUACUCCUAAGCAUGAGCUUAAAUAGCAGUCCAAAAAAAAUUGAACAACAUUAUAACUUUAUCUUUUAAAAAUGAAGGUACGUAGAUAGCCUGGUUUCAUUGCCAAGUUCAGUCAGUGAAACAAAUUCUUGAAAGUAGGAAGCAAAUAAAAUUUCAAGACUUGUACCCUUUCUACGCCCAACAAAAUUCAGAAUUCAGCAUUUGUUAUUACUGUUUAUCUCUAACUAAAUUAAUGAAAAGAUAAAUCAAGAAAUUAAAUCCUUUUAGAACUGUCUUAUAAAGAAACCAUAUUCUUUAAGGAUUACUUUAUCUAUAAUUAAUUAAAUUAAUAAGAUAUGAAUAAUAAUAAUAGAGUUUAAAUUCUUAUAGAACACUCAAAUGAAAAAGCUAAAUUCUACAACAACUCUCUUAUAUCAAAGUGAUUGGGCACUAUAAAAAUGGGUCACCUCCAAGUCAUUCUACACAUUCACAAGUUCAAGAAGUUCAAAAAUUCUUUACGAAAAUAUGAAGAAACUAAAGAAGUAGAAGAAAUUCUGAUGAACAUCAUAUCAGUUCUAAAGAAAAACUGCCUCCUAUCCAAUUCAAUUGAGAGGAGGAUGUCAACAGAAGAGAAGAAUCGAAGAAGUUUUGUUUGUAAAUAAAUUCAAAACUAUACACUCUUCGAAAUAAUAAAUAAAAUUUGACGCAAAAUUUUCAAGUCAAUUCUCAACUUAAAAUUUGCGUGUACAAUAUAUAUAGGAAAGAAUCCAUUUACAUUAUAUAAAACUAGUGUAUGUAUAAUACAGAAAUAUUUAGUACAUUAUCAAUAAAGUUUUUAAACUAUGCACUGUGAUUAAAACCAAAAUAAUAAUAAUAAUAACAACCAAUCACUUUAUUUGACUAACUUUUCCCUACAAGUCUUUAGUAUGGAGACAAAUCAGUUUAAUCAGCCUUUGGAGCUAUUAACUGACAUUUCCACCAUUGAUUUGAAAAUCCUAACCCAUCAAUUCACUUUAAAUGAAACGAGAUCCACUAGUGUUUGGUGUUAUAUUUUUAAAAUGUAUUUAGAUUAUUGUUUAUUAAUUUUAUUUGUUUAUAUUUAAAUCAAAUGUAAUAAAUUGUUGAAUUUAUAUACUUCAUAUUAUAACAAUAUAUUUUAACUUGCUACUUCUCUUUUUAAUUUAAUUUUUUGUAACUCUUCACAAUUUAUUUUGAAAAAAAUUGAAAAAACUAAAUGAUUAAAUUAAGGCUCAACUUUUCACUAACCUUAGUUUAUUUAGUCUAACUUUUCACAAAUUAAUAUACUCAUUUCAUGUUUCAUACCAACAACUUUUCUUUUUGGUAAAAAGAAAAAACAACUAUACGUUUUUUUUAAUCCCAAAAUUAAGGCUUUAUGAAUGAAAAUAAUAUUAUAUUAACUAUGAUAAUUAAGUCUUUAUUUUUAAUAUGAUUAAUAUUAUAUAUAAUAACUUUAAAUAUGCUUCCACUAAUCAGAUAUACUAAAGGAAAGAGUAACUUUCUUUUUAUGGUAACUAAUUUUCAAUUAUGUAUUUUAAUCUAUCACUAAAUAAUUAAUUAUAAUCAAGAUGUUAAUUUUCCAUAAAAUGUACAUAAUUUUGGUUGGUAUAUUAAUAAAUUUAGCCCUAAAAAUUUACACAUGCAAUUUGGUCUUAAUUUAACAAAAUUUUCCCGCAACAUUUGUGUAAAUAUGUAAAUGUUGAGGUUAAAUUUCUUGAAUUUUUUUUAAAAAAUUAAGGUCAAAAUGACAAAAAUAUAAAUAUUGAAAACUAAAUUUAUUACUGUACCAAUCAAAAUGACAAAAUAUAGCUAGGGACAUGGGCUUGACCGAGCCAACUCAACCUAUUUCAUCUGUUUCUAUUGACUUUUGCUCGACCCUACCCCAAAGACCUGUCAAUUUUGUUAAAAUUGAAAUAUUUAACUUGUUGGAGAAGACUAACUGUAGAAAAGUAAGUCAAUGCUAAAGUGAUAUGUCGACGUUUUGUUGUUUUCAAAAUAGUUGAUAAGCCUGAAAUUAUAAAAGAUAAUCAUGAGGUCUUAAAUGCAAUUAUGAUAUUUCUAAAAAGAUAUUUCUCAACAAUUUUUUUAAUUUCUUGAUUGAUGAAAACAAAUUUAGGUAUUUCCCAAUUUGUAAAAACAUGAUUUUUCUUUGAAUUUCUAGGUUUUUCUUAGCUUUUUUUUAUAUUAUUUUGGAAUUUUUGUAAUCUUCUUAUAAUUUCUUAAAAAAUAAUAUAUUUGUAAAAAUUUUUAAACCAUAAAUACCAAUUAAGAAGAAUGUGAUAAAAUUAGGGGUAAAUGUGUAUUUAAGCCAAAGAAAAUAAAAGAAUAAUAAUGAAAUUCACCUAAAAACAAUUACAAGGACUAGAUGAACAAUUUGACCUAAAACUUUGUUUGAAAUGAUGUCAUUAAUGUGUUACAUCAGCUUUCUUAGAGAGAUAAAAAUUAAAUGAAUAUGAGAUACAUGAAACUUGUAUCUCUUUCCAAUAAUUUAACAUUAUUUCAAUAUUUUCAUCUUGAAUUCACGAGUGAAGCGUACAUCAUAUACCAACUCAAUUGGAAAAAAGUCUUUAAAUUAUUUUUAAAUUGUAACAAAUAUUAUUAUUAAGAUGUUUUUCUUUUUAUAUUUUUUAUAAAAUAUAUUAAAAAACAAUUAAAAUAAUUUUAAGAGAAAAAAACUCAUACAAGGUAGAAUUUAAUCUAAAGAUGUCAAAGUUUUAAAGCCUCAACUUUAACAUUUCAACCGAAAUUCCAUUAGUAUAUAAAUAUUUAUAAAUAUAGAUUUUAUAUAAAAAAUUUUAUGUAAACUUUUUUUUAACCCGCAUCACAAGUACACCAUAUUUAGAGAUAUUCAUAGUUAGGCAGUCCACUUUGAGUCAAGCUUGAGCUUAGGUUUUCAAUCUCAAGUUGGCCCAAUUCAACUUAUUUUACUACUUAAAAAUAUAAAUAUAUGUUAUAUUGAUAUUUAUAUAUGUCUAUAGUUAAAAAAUUAUUAAAAAUAAAUUCAACUUAUUUAUUAAUUAAAAAUAUAAAUAUAUGUCUAUAAUUAAAUUUUAAAGAAAUUUAUUGUUAUUUUCUAAACAUAAAACAAAGAAAACUUUCACCCAAAUUAUAAGUUUGUGGUCAGGCAGCCCACUUUGGGACUGGAAUCAGCUUACUUUUUUAAUCUUGGGCUUUAAAAAUAAUAAAAAUAUAAAAAUAAUGUUCUAUUAAUAUUUAUAAAUUUUAUAAAUUUAAAUUUAAUUAUAUUUUUUAAACAGUAAAAUCAACCAUUUAUAUGGGCUAAAUUGAGUUAAGUUCGGUUUGCAUCAAGCCUUAACUUUGACCAAAUCCAACUAAAAACACCUCUAACCAUAAUCUAGUAUUGUUUUUAUGAAUUCAAUUUUAACUUGUAAUUUUCAAUUCUAUUACAAAAUUUCUUUGCCUACGAUAAGAAAAUAACAUAUUUGUAACUAAGUAAUUAAUUAAGUUAAUGUCACGAGUGAAUCAUACAUUAUAUGCCAACUCAAUUGGAAAAAGUUUUUAAAUUAUUUUUAAAUUGUAACAAAUAUUAUUAUUAAGAUGUUUUUCUUUUUAUAUUUUUUAUAAAAUAUAUUAAAAAACAAUUAGAAUAAUUUUAAGAGAAAAAAACUCAUACACGGUAGAAUUUAAUCUAAAGAUAUCAAAGUUUUAAAGCCUCAACUUUAACAUUUCAACUAAAAUUCCAUUAGUACAUAAAUAUUUUAUAAAUAUAGAUUUUAUAUUAAAAAAAUUAUGUAAACUUACAUAUAUGGUUCGUCAUGCAAAUGUUUAUUAUAUUUAAAAAUUAACAUAUAUGGUUAUUGAAUUUUAAUACUGGCUUGAGGAGUCGACUCUAUUGUAGAUUCUAGAUUAAUCUAAUAUUUCACCCUCUUUUAAUUUUCUUUAUUGGAAGAGUCUUUAAGAGAUAAGUUAAGUAGUAUAGCAGUUUCAUCUAAAACAACAUCUCUGCUAAUCACAACUUUUCUAUUUUUAGGACACCAUAACUUAUACCCUUUUACAUCAGCUUUAUAACCAAUAAAAACACAUUUAAUGAAUCUCGGUUCCAAUUUUUCAUUAUCAACAUGAGCUUACGAAGGACACCCAAAGAAUUUAAUCUAAAGAUAUCAAAGUUUUAAAGCCUCAACUUUAACAUUUCAACCGAAAUUCCAUUAGUAUAUAAAUAUUUUAUAAAUAUAGAUUUUAUAUAAAAAAAUUUUAUGUAAACUUUUUUUUAACCCGCAUCUCAAGUGUACCAUAUUUAAAGAUAUUCAUAGUUAGACGUCCACUUUGGGUCAAGCUUGAGCUUAUGUUUCCAAUCUCAAGUUGGCCCAAUUCAACUUCUUUUACUUUUUAAAAAUAUAAAUAUAUGUCUAUAAUUAAAUUUUAAAGAAAUUUAUUGUUAUUUUCUAAACAUAAAACAAAGAAAACUUUCAUCCAAAUUAUAAGUUUGUGGUUAGGCAGCCCACUUUGGGACAGGAUUCAGCUUACGUUUUUAAUCUUGGGCUUUAAAAAUAAUGUUCUAUUAAUAUUUACAAAUUUUAUAAAUUUAAAUUUAAUUAUAUUUUUUAAACAGUAAAAUCAACCAUUUAUAUGGGCUAAAUUGAGUUAAGUUCGGUUUGCAUCAAGCCUUAACUUUGACCAAAUCCAACUAAAAACACCUCUAACCAUAAUCUAGUAUUGUUUUUAUGAAUUGAAUUUUAACAUGUAAUUUUCAAUUUUAUUACAAAAUUUCUUUACCUACAAUAAGAAAAUAACAUAUUUGUAACUUCUCCAAUUCGACGUAAAUGUUCAGUCUGAAUUCAGAAGAUUACAUCAGCCAUAAAGAUGGCCUAGCAAGGUUAUUAGAGUUUUCAAAAACAGGCAUCUUUAAAAUGCUUGUUUAAUUUAUACAAAAACUUAUUUAAUUUCCAAAUUAUUUAUUACUUGAAAUCUUAAUUAUACUUUGAAAGCAAGAAGUGGUAACUAUUUAUUUUUAAUAAAAAUCAGGGUUCAUGUAUAAUUGAUUAAUAACUGUUAGAAUUAAGCGACCCGAAUCUUUAUUUAAAUGAAAUACAGUGGUAAAAUAAAAUAAAAUUAAAAUCCCUAUAGAACUACACUUAUUUUAUUUUAUUUUAGAAUAAGGAUUUUUAAACCUUAUUAAACUCCAUCCAUUUGAUAUUGAUUAGAAUAAGGUGUUUCAAUCUUACUACACUCCUAUUAGAAUAUGGUUUUACAAGCCUAUAAAUAGACAUAGUCUACUCCUCUUGUAAUUAUUCGAAUUCGACAUAGGGAUUUAUCUUCUCCUCUACCAAUAGCUUUUUCCCUGAAAGGGUUUCCACGUAAAAUCUGUGUGUUUUUUUUAUUUUUCUCCCUUUUAUUCUUUGCAAUACAUUGUCAUUACCAACAUUCUAUUUUUAGCAAAUUGGUAUCCAAGCUUCCAAUUUGUUCAUCUCAAUCAUGGUAAUGGCGUCUUUGAAGUAUGAAAUUCUGCUAUUGGAUCGCAACACCAGAUCCGCAUUGUGGCAGAUAAAGAUGCAGGCAGUUCUUACACAGAUAGACUUAGAGGAAGCCUUGCUAGGGGUAGAUAAAAUGUAUUCAACAUUAACAGAGGAAGAGAAGAAGCACAAGGAUCGAUAGGCGUUAACACAAUUACAUCUUCAUUUGUCCAACGAAAUUUCACAGUAUGGAGAAGACCGUCGCUGGAUUAUGGAAGAGGUUGGAACAAAUAUGUACGUCGAAUACUCUAACUAGCAAGUUGCAUAUGAAGCAGCUUCUUUAUGCUCAUCGUUUGGAGGAAGGUGUCUCUAUGCACGAACACUUAAUAGUGUUUAAAGGAAUUCUCUCGAACUUAGAGGUCAUGAAGGUUCAGUAUGAUAAUGAAGAUCUACGAUUGAUUCUACUUUGUUCGUUGCCUCUAUCUUAUUCAACCAUUAGAGAUGGGAUUUUAUAUAGCCGCGAGUCUCUCACAGUUGAUGAGGUUUAUGAUUCUUUAACCUCGUAUGAUAAGAUGAAGCAUCUUUUUCGUAAAACUGACUCUUAGGGAAUGGGUCUCAUUGUUCAUAGUAGAUAAGAUCAGAAUGCUGAUGAUGAUCGUGAAAGGACACAGGAAUAGAAUUCUCGCGAUAAAUCUAAGGAUAGAUCAAAGAUUUCAAGCAGAGGUAAAACUUGUAACUUCUGCAAGAAGAAAGGGCACAUUAAAUCUGACUGUUAUAAGCUACAAAUCAAUAUCAAAAGGGAGGUUGUGAAACAAAAUGGAAAACAACUAGAAUAUGUUGGUAAAGCUGAUGUUGUAGAAGACUAUAGCGAUGGUGAACUUCUAGUCACUUCUAUCAACAAUUCUAAAAUAAGCGAGGAGUGGAUCCUUGAUUUGGGCUGCACCUUUCACAUGAGUCCCAAUGGAUAUUGGUUUAUAACUUACGAAAUAGUGUUUGAAGGUGUUGUUUUGAUGGGAAAUAAUGCUUUAUGUAGAAUUGCAGGUGUUGGGACAAUAAAAGUUAAGAUGUUUGAUGGAGUUCUCAGAACACUUAAUGACGUACGACAUGUUCUAGAAUUGAAGAGAAAUUUAAUUUCAUUGAGUACUCUUAUUCAAAAGGUUAAAAAUACAUAGCUAAAAGUGGGGUUUUUAAUAUUUCCAAAGGUUCUCUCGUUGUGAUGAAAGGGCAGAGAAAGACUGCCAAGUUAUAUGUUUUGUAGGGUUUAGGAGUUCUUUGGCAUAUACGCCUAGGGCAUAUAAGUGAGAAUGACAUGGCAGAAUUGAGCAAAAGAGGACUUCUUGAUGGGCAAGGAAUUUGCAAACUGAAGUUCUGUGAUCACUGUAUUUUUGAGAAGUAAAAGAGAGUUCGAUUCAUCAGAGGAAUCUAUAACACGAAGGGAACAUUGGAGUAUAUUCAUUCUGAUCUGUCGGGGACACCCAGAGUGCAUUCAAGAGGUGGAGCUAAUUAUAUGCUAACUUUUAUUGAUGAUUUUUCUAGAAAAGUUUGGGCGUUCUUCCUAAAGCAGAAAAUCGAUGUGUUUUUCGCAUAUAAGUCUUGGAAAACUAUGAUUGAAAAACAUAUGGAAAAACAAAUAAAAUAUCUCCACAUAGAUAAUGGCUCAAAGUUCUGUUCUAAUCACUUUAAUAAACUGUGCAAGUCAGAAGGGAUCGUGAGACACUUGACAGUUUGCCACACUCCACAACAAAACGGUGUUGCAGAACGAAUGAACAGAAUGAUCGUGGAGAAGGUUUAAUGUAUGUUUUCAAAUGCCAACUUAACAAAGUUGUUUUGGGCCGAAGUAGCCUCUACUAUAUAUUUUUUGAUCAACCGAUCUCUAUCUAUUGCCAUUGAGAAAAAGACUCCACAAGAGGUAUGGUCUGGUAAUCCUGCUAACUGUUCUGAUUUAAAGAUCUUUGGGUGUCCUGUGAAUGCUCAUGUUGAUAAUGGAAAAUUGGAACUGAGAUCCAUUAAGUGUGUUUUUCUUGGUUAUAAAGCUGGUGCAAAAGGGUAUAAGUUAUGGUGCCCUAAAAAUAGAAAAGUUGUGAUUAGCAGAGAUGUUGUUUUUGAUGAAACUGCUAUGCUACCUAACUCAUCUCUUAAAUACUAUUCCAAUAAAGAAAAUAAAAAGCAGGUGGAGUAUCAGAGUAAUCCAAAAUCUACAACAGAGUCGACUCCUCAAGCCAAUACAAAAAUUCAAAAUAGAGUUGCUUCUUUACCACAAUACUCUAUCGUAAAAAAUAAAACUAGAAGAGAUAUUAAACCCUCAAAGAAAUAUGCCGAGGCUGAUCUAGUUGCUUAUGCUUUAAAUAUUGCUAAAGAUAUAGAUGCAAACCAAGAGCCAUCUAAUUAUUUUGAUCCGGUUAGCUAUAAAGACUCAGAAAAAUGGAUGUUUGCUAUGUAAGAGAAGAUGGAAUCACUCUACAAAAACAAAACAUGGGAUCUUGUAAAACUUCCUAAAGGUAAAAAGGUUGUUCGUUGUAAAUGGGUGUUUAAAAAGAAAAAGGGGACUCUGGGAGUUGAAGAACCCAGAUUUAAAGCAAGGCUUGUUGUAAAGGGUUACAGUCAAAUUCCAAGAGUGGACUUCACAGAUGUGUUCUCCCCAGUUGUGAAGCAUAGUUCGAUUUGAGCUUUGCUUGGUAUUGUGGCCAUGCAUGAUUUGGAGCUAACUGUAAAAACUACAUUUUUGCAUGAAGAACUUGAGGAUGAUACUUACACGCAACAACCAUAGGGUUUUAUAGUCUCAGAAAAAGAGGACUAUGUUUGCCUGUUGAAAAAGUCCUUUUACGGUUUGAAACAGUCACUAAGAAAGUGGUACAAGAGGUUUGUUUCCUUUAUGACUUCUUAUGAUUUUAAAAAAAGUAGCUUUGACAGUUGUGUUUACUUUAAGAAAAAUAGUGAUGAUUCUUUUGUGUAUCUACUUCUUUAUGUUGAUGACAUGUUGAUAGCAACAAAAGAUAAAUGAGAGAUAAGAAAGGUUAAAGCCCGACUAAGUGAAGAUUUUGAGAUGAAAGAUUUGGGACCAGUAAAGAAGAUACUUGAUAUAGAGAUUCUCAGAGAUAGAAAAGUAAGUAAAUUGUACCUAAGUCAGAAGGGGUACAUUGAGAAAGUUCUUUGCAAAUUCAAUAUGCAGAAUGCUAAGCCUGUUAGUACUCCUUUAGCAGCCUAUUUCAGACUUUCAUUGGCUUUGUCUCUACAAUCAAAUGAUGAGAUUGAGUACAUGUCAUAUUUUUCAUACUCUAGUACAAUGGGAUCUCUCAUGUAUGCUAUAUUUUGUUCACGUCCAAAUUUAUUAUAUGCAGUCAAUACAGUUAGUAGAUAUGUGGCAAAUCCUGGUAAAGAACAUUGGAAAAUACUGUUUCCAAAAAUUUAUGGAUUUCUGGUGAGUGAACUUCUAGUGAAAUUAUUGUGCUAAGUCCAUUGGGGCAGUCUGUUUGAGUAAGUACACUUUAUAGGAAUGUACCUUUGGAAGUACAAGGGAUUGUGUUUUCGGCAGAUCUGGUGAGGUUACUUCUAGUGAAAUUAUUGUACUAAGUCUGUUGGGGUAGUCUAUUCGAGUAAGUAGACUUUAUAGGAAUGUACCUUUGGAAGUACAAGGGAUUGUGUUUUCGGCGUUUUAUUCACAUAAAAGCAGCAAAAUUUAGCGACAUUGUCUACAGCGGCAUUUUUUACGGCGCUUGUGAAAGCGCCGCUAUAGGCCUAAAAAACACCGCUAAAAGCCUAUUUUGCUGCAGUGAAUUAAUAUUAUUAUAAGUAUAUUUUCACCUUUUCAUUCUUUUAUAUAAUCUUCAAGUAAAAUGAUUGAAAAAUAUUAUUUGAGAAUCAAACACAAGACUAACAAUAUUCAUAUAGAAAACGCUUAUCACUCCACUAAUAAUCAUUUGUUGAUGUAUUUUUGGUAAAAAGAGCCCUCCAAUCCCUCUUAAUUUCACAACUUCUCAAAUUAGUCCCUCUCAAAAAAAUUGGAGCAAUUUAAUCCCUAUCAAUUUUGAAAGUGAGUAACUAAGGACAAUUAAUUAUGGUGUUAAAUUCUUCAAUCAAUUGUACAUAAUUUUGAUUGGUAUAAUAAUAAAUUUAGCCUUUAAUGUUUAUGUAUUUUGUCAUUUUGGCCUUAAUUUUUUUAAAAAAAAUUCAAGAAAUUGAACCUCAACGUUUACAUAUUUGCACAAAUGUUGCAGGAAAAUUUUGUUAAAUUAAGACCAAAAUGCAAGUGUAAAUUUUGUUAAAUUAAGACCAUAUUUUCCCCCUUUAUUUUUUCAGUGCCGACCGGAAAAAAAAAUUUCAGUCUCAUCUAAAUAAGACAUACUUCAGCAGACCAAUAGACUGCAGAUCAGACCCAAUUCAAGGGUAAUGCAGUCCAAAGUUCCUUGAACUCCCUCCUCCAAAGUGAAAAACAAAUCUAUAUAUUUCUGCAUGAUUCAAACAGAAAGGACUGUUGGACAUGUAACUCAGAAAGAAUGCAAAUACAUUGAAAGUACCAUAGACUUUAUAAAUUAGUUUCAUGUUGUUAAAUUUCAACACUAUAAACCUAAAAAUUCCCAGAACGAAAUGCGGGAAUCAUGCCUUAAACUCCAAUACUCAAAUAAGAGACAGAUAAAUUGCACAUUUUUUAAUAUAAUAUUUACAGACUAGAGAUAAAAAUAUAGAAAAAUAUAAACAUGGACAUCGACAAAAAGACUAAUUGACUGUGCAUGUGUGCUAGAGAGUGGCAAUUAAACAUUAUCCAAACACAAUCAUUUCUCAACAUUUGUAAAACAAAAAGAAGAUUAAGAUUAGCAGUAAACUAAAUAAAACCAAAGAAGUGAGAACCACAAGUAAAUGAGAAAGAAAACAAAAUAGAGAUCCUAGUAGCUUUCCCAUUGAACUUCGUAUAAGAGAAAUAACAACAUUUGAACUUUAAGCAAAUAAAAAUGUAAAAUAUUCAGAAUCAAAACAAUCUUUUAUCAAAAUUCAAGCCAAAAACAAUGAGCUUCACUCUAUACAAGAAGCAUGUUAAAGUCAUAGGCUUUCUCGUUUCUGGAAACCAAAUCCAGAAACGUCUCCCACCAAAAAUCAAGAAAAUAACUUCUGUUUUUGAAAAUCACAUUCAAAUCGUGAAAUAGGAGCAAGGUCCUUCAAAUUCAAGCAAAGUUGGUAGUAAAAGCUUAACUUUCAAAGGUCAAACAACACAGCAUUAAGUAUAAAACUAACCCAAUCUCCACCAAUUCAAAAACAAGAAACCAAACACGAACCCGAAGAUCCAAACACGAUUUCGAAAAAAAAAAAUAGAUAUUCCUGAAAAUCGGAUAAAAAACUAGCAUAUACUUAAUGAAAAGAGAAAUUGACGAAAAAUCACAAGAGAUCUGCAUGCAAAUAUAGGCACACUUUUGCUUGAUUAUUCGCUUAAAAAAGUAACAAUGGAAAACAAGAUGCAAGUGUCACGGGCCGCAGUUCAAAGCCCGUGACCAGCGCACCAAAUGCAUCCAAUAGAGAUCUAUUGCUCAGAUAGGGAUCAUUUGGCCCACAAGAACUGGCUCGAUUCAAGGAGCUAUUGGACAAGCCUGUCAGAUUGAAGCCUGGUUGGCCCGAAAACGAAGAGAUGGCAACUUAGGCUAAUAUGGUAACUAAUCUUAGAAGAUAGAGGGAAUCUUAUCUUGUAAAGAUUAGAUUAGAUUAGAUAAGGCUUAUCUUGUAAAUCCCUAAAAUUAAGGGAUAUGGGUUAAUCUCAUCCGUCGAUGUAAAUGUAUAUUGACCGUCGAUUUUGGGGGAGAUCAACUAUAAAUAGAGAGCCUCCCCCUCAUUUGUACUCACUCUUGUAAUUAUUUCAUUAUUCUUUGUGAAUAAGAGAAUUGAGAGCAUUUACUCAAACACUUUACGAGCGUCCUUUCUGUUGUUCUUUUGUUUAGCUUCUUUUGGCACAAUCGCUUCCGCUAUACAAAUUGGUGCCUUGGAGGAGUUCUAAAAGAAUCCUCACUUGAGUUAAGCCUGACUUGGGCGAGUUUGGAUGAACAAAUUGUCUAAGGCUGCACGAAUUACGAGACGAAAGGUCUAGCCCUGUGACAAGUGGUAUCAGAGCCAAGUUUUGAACCAAGUGACAUUCGAGUUGGUUUGAAGGCACCGUUGGGAUGUCAAGAGAAGAGUUCGAACAAAGGUGGGAGAAGAAGUAUUUGAGGGAGACAUUAUCGGUAGUAGAGAAACGUGUGGGUAAACUCGAGGGAUCCAUGGAGGAUGUAAAGGAGGCACUCGAUGGGGUCGAGGAUCACAUUGCAAACUGGAAGGAGCAGUCUAGAGACUAUGUAAAGAUGUCUCUUAGUUCCAUCAUGGAUAUGGUAAACGAGUUGUUUAAUUCACACAGGGAUAAGCUGUCGGAAAGGAAUGAUGCUCUCGAGGCCAAAAUGAUGGCUUUGAAAGAGGAAACAAUGGCCACGACGAGGGCUUUGAGCACAAGAAUAGAGGAGCUCGAGGGAGAGCUGGCCUUGUGUUGAGCAGCCGUGAGGAAAGGAGUGGCAAAUGUAGCACUCAGUAACGAGGAUGUCCCAAAGCUGAAAGAGUUUGUGGGGACAAGGUCUGCGUGCGAUGUGGAUAAUUUCUUAUGGAGGAUGGAAAACUACUUCCGUGCCAAAGGCGUCAUGGAUGAUACGGUUAAGGUAAACACUACUUCAAUGUUUCUUACUGCCAUUGCACUUUUAUGGUGGAGAGGUAGGACCACAAAUAAAAGGCAAGGUGAGAUUGGGACGUAGCAAGAGUUCCAAUGCGAAUUGAAGGGACAGUUUUACCCAGAGUUUACCGAGGAAGAAGCUCGGGCAAAGUUGCAAGGGAUAACGUAACAGGGCACAGUGGGGGAGUAUGUUCGAGAGUUCAAGGAACUCAUGCUCCAAGUUUUAAAGGUGACCGAAAGAGAGGCAUUGCUUGCUUUUCAAAAUGGAUUGAAGCCGUGGGUCAGACAGGAGGUGGAACAAAGAGGUGUCCAAAAGCUAUCGGAAGCCAUGACGGUAGUUGAGUCUGUGGUUAAGCUUAGUCUAGGGAAAGACAAGCUUGGAUCUUCCAAGUCCGAUGGAAGGGGUAUAUGUGAAAUGGAUCAAAAGGAAGAUAGUGUUGAUGGCAAUGGCAACGGCAACAAUGGUGGUAAUGGGAAACCAUGAGUUGGGAAGAAGAAACCCAAGAGGAAAAGGGACAAGCUAAAAUGCUUUCUCUGCGACGGUCCACACAUGCUGAAGAAAUGUCUGAAAAAUUUGAGCUCAAGGAGAAGCCGGUGGGUAAGGCCUUGGUACUUGGUUCGAGCGCAAGGGGUGUCGAAGCCAAGAAGGCCAAAAGUAAGAAGAAGCCAGUGGAGUGGUUCUUGUGUCAUGGUCCGCAUAGGUUACGAAAGUGUCCGAGGAAGUCUAUCAUCGAGGGGAAUGAUGGAGCAGACAAGGAGCCCAAGAAGCUUGGUUCGAGCAAGGGAAAAGCCGAAGCCAAAGGGGCAAAAGGGAGCAAAAAGAAGCGAGUAAAGUGCUUCUUGUGCCGUGGUCCGCAUGAGUUACGGAACUGUCCAAAGCAAGCCGGAGUCAUAAGAAAGGCAACGUCUGAGCUUGGUGAGUCAUCGGAGGGGCUUCCACCCAAGGAAGAGGUGAGUUUGUCAUCGAACUUAAAGGAAAUAGUUGCGAUGAAAACAGUGAAGCUGGGACCAAUGAGGCUCAAGUUGAGUGAAGCGUCGGAGUUGGCCGAGUCAUCGAUAAGGCUUCCACCUAUGGGAGAGGUGGGUGGUGCAUCAGACUUCAAGGGAAAAGAAGGGAUGCAUGUGGGACAGUUGACCAGAGUAAAUGCGACGAGUAGGACGGUUUGAGUUAAGAAGCGACGUAAGCCGAGGCAAAAAUCCCGAAGGAAGGGAAAGGCUAAGGCAUUGAGACAAGACCGAGGUGAAUCGAGUCAGUGCCAUUCAAAAGUCACAACGAGGACGGUGCAAGAAUGUGUGGGGGAGAAUGUCACGGGCCGCAGUUCAAAGCCCAUGACCAGCGCACCAAAUGCAUCCAAUGGAGGUUUGUUGCUCAGAUGUGGAUCAUUUGGCCCACAAGAACUGGCUCGAUUUAAGGAGCUAUUGGACAAGCCUGUCAGAUUGAAGCUUGGUUGGCCCGAUAACGGAGAGAUGGAAACUUAGGCUAAUAUGGUAACUAAUCUUAGAAGAUAGAGGGAAUCUUAUAUUGUAAAGAUUAGAUUAGAUUAGAUAAGGCUUAUCUUGUAAAUCCUAAAAUUAAAGGAUAUGGGUUAAUCUCAUCCGUCGAUGUAAAUGUAUCUUGACCGUCGGUUUUGGGGGAGCUCAACUAUAAAUAGAGAGCCUCCCCCUCAUUUGUACUCACUCCUGUAAUUGUUUCAUUAUUCUUUGUGAAUAAGAGAAUUGAGAUCAUUUACUCAAACACUUUGUGAGCGUCCUUUCUAAUGUUCUUUUGUUUAGCUUCUUUUGGCACAAUCGCUUCCGCUAUACAAAUUGGUACCUUGGAGGAGUUCUAAAAGAAUCCUCACUUGAGUUAAGGCUAACUUGGGUGAGUUUGAACGAACGGAUCGCCUAAGGCCUCACAGAUUGUGAGACGAAAGGUCUAGCCCCGUGACACAAGUGCUAGGUAAAACCAUCAUGUCUGCUUACUCACCACAAACAAAGGCCCUCUAGGACCUUCAUGAAUUUUUGUCUUAUAAGUGCUUCCAUUGUGAGCCUGAACAGCUUGAUAGCCCACAAGAUAAGGAUAUCGAUCUUUACCCUACAGAUUAACAAGGUUAAAUCCACUUAAAUGAAGCACCAUUAGUCUAUAACAAUUUACUUCAAUUUUCUGCUGUUAGUUCAAAUAUUUAUUUUUUUAAUUUGCCAAAACUUGCUAGGAUCGAAGAUUUGGAAUUCCUAAAUUUCAAUUACAAAUUUACACCGUACUUGCAGAAAAAUAUAUUACUAUUAGAGACACCAGCAAUCAACCAGAGUUCUUUAGUUUUCAAUCAAGUUAUUCGACAGGUAUCUAUAUUGAUUACACAAAAAAAAUCAUACACCGUGAGAAUGUCGAGUAAAUUACAAAUACAAAAGCAAACGAACCCUAAAGGAGCUCCAAUACUUCUUCUCCCAGGGGCCUUUGUAUAGAGAUCCAAUGGAAACGAUCUCUAGAUCCUCUAAUUUCGUUGUUUGUUCUCCUUUUUUUGUUUUCGCCAUUCAAAGAAAUGAGAAGAAAGCAAGAUUUCCAAACAACUAACAAUAAGAGAGUAGAGAGGAUUUUCAAGAUAGACGAAGACAUGGCAUUUUAAAAUAGGGGAACUAAAAUCUUAAAAUGCAUGAUUUCCCUUGAAAUUCUAAAUAAAAACUUUAUUUGAUUAGGAAAAAUGUGAAUUGAUUUUGGGAAAAAGAAGGGAAAAAAAAGAAAAGAUUUCAUUUGAAAUAUUGGGAUAAAAAAAUAUAAUUACAAAACGACGCCGUUUUGAAAAAAACAUAUUCGUGGCGUUUGGAAAAAAAAGUCACUAUUGCUCGACUUUUAGCGACAUUUGGACCAAAAACGCUACUAUUGUUCAACUUUUUUCUGCAUUUACAACAAAAAAGCCGCUAUUGCUUACCUUUUGCGGCGUUUUUUUUAUAAAUGCCGCUAACACUUGACUUUUUUACAAUUUUUAUAUUGAAUUAUUGUAUCUUUCAUAUAAAUUUUAAAUGAAUAAUUUUUAGUUUUUGUAUUUCAUUUUUAUUUUUGUAUUUCAUUUUUAUUUGUUAUAAUUUUGUCCUAUCCAAAAUAGAUAGUUACCUAUCCAUAUCAAUCUGUUACUUUUUUUUAUUUAUUUAUCAAUAUUUUUUUAAAUUUAAUAGUUAAAUAUAUUAAAUGGUUUAGAUUUAAUAUUUUUAAAUAUAAAAGCAUUAAUUGAUUGUAUAAAAUUUUAUCAUUUAACAAAUCUCAAGUAAACCUUAAAUCCUAAACCAUUUAAUAUAUAUAAAGUUUAUCUAUUAUCUCUUAAAUAAUUUAAACUAUAAUCAUAAUUUUAAUAUAUUAAAAUUAAAAUUAAAAUGAUCUCUUUUACAAUUAUAUAAGAAAUUAUUUAAUAUAUAAAUUAAAAAACACUAAUUAACCUAAACCCUAAACCCUAAACCCCUAUCCCCUAAACCUUGAAUUAUAAAACAUAAAACAUAAACCCUAAAUCCCUGAAUCCCUAACCCUUAACCCCUAACCCCUAACCCCUAAACCUUAAACCCCAACCCUUAAACCAUAAUCCCUAAACCCAUAAUCCAUAAUCCAUAAACCUUAAAAUAGUAACUCUUAAACCUUAAACCCUAAACCAUAAACCCUAAACUAUAAUGAUAAUUAAUUCAAUAUUUUAAAAUUAAUACUAUCUCUUUUACGAUUAUAUAAGAAAUUAUUUAAUAUAUAAAUUAAAAACAAUCAGUCAUGUACCCAAGAAACUUUAAAAUUAUUUUAAAUAAUAUAUUUUAAUUUUUUCAUUUUUAACAAAUAUUUUCUAUGUUUUUACUUUCAAAAUUUCUCUACGUGUCAUUAUUUUUUUCUGAAGAAUUUAAAUAUUCAAUUAAAAAUAAAUUUAUUUUAAUUAAUAUAAAUAAAGCGGUUAAAUAAUAAAUAGACAGAUAAAAUACUUUUUGCGGUGAUUUUCAUAAAGUGCCGCUAAAGCUCGAUCUACAGCGGCGUUUUACGAAAAAGAGUCUUACUGAAUUUUUUGGGGCAUUUUUCAAAAAGCGCCACUAAUUCUCGAUCUAUAGUGGCGUUUUUCAAGAAGCGCCGCUAAUGCCACUAAAGCUCAACAUAAAACACCAGCAUUGAGCUUAAUUUUUUUGCGGCGUUUUUCAAAAAGAGCCGCUAAUGGUAGACCUAUAGCGGCGUUUUUCAAAAAGCGCCACUAAAGCUCAACAUAAAACACCGGCGUUGUGCUUAAUUUUUUUACGGCAUUUUUCAAAAAGCGCCGCUAAUGGUCGACUUAUAGCAGUGGUUUUAAAAAAGACCCACUAAUGCUCGAUCUAUAGCGGCAUUUUUCAAAAAGCGCCGCUAAUGCUCGAUCUAUAGUAGCGUUUUUUAUCCAAACGCCGCUAAAAAUGCCACUAAAAACCUAUUUUGCUGUAGUGAUUUGUGGGGUAAGUGGUUGAACAUUUUAAUAUAGACUGACUUUUCUAUAAUUAGUCCUUGCUUUAAUUACUUUGGGUGGAUUCUUCCAACUAGUCCAAGCAUUAUUGUACAAUUACAAUUAAUCUUUUUAAAUGAGACAAACAUUUCAAAUUUGUCAUUACUAUUUGUGAGUGAUUUGGGGGUAAGAAGUUUAACUCUUCUGGAUGUCUUAUAGAAUUGUGAUUAUACUUUUUGAGUAUUGACUCAGUUUUCCACAAUUGUGGGUCUCUAUUUGAGCAAAACAAUUUCAACAUUUCUUCAUCUCGUUUAAUCCAAAUGCAUUUAUGCAUUUCUUAUAUCAUUGAAUUUGCUGCUUCAUAUUCAAUUUUUGGACAAGUAGAAUUUUCUAACCUAUUUUCCAUCAACUUCACUUGAAUUUUCAAUCACAAUCAAUUGCAUUCAAGAGCACCACAUCUUUUUGGAUGAAACAAAAAUUUCAAUUUUAAGAUAAACGGGUCUUUAGGGUUAUAAUUUCAAUUUUUAAAAGUUUAAAAUAAAUUUGUAUUUUUAUUAACAAAAUGUAUAUAAAAAAAAACUUGUUUAGACAAGCCAAGAGACCUUUGGGAUCAUACGGGUGAUUUUGAUGAUGUUAAUGGUUAUUUUGGUGGAGAGAGUGAAAAAGAAACAAAUGAUUCAUUAUAUAUAUUAUAAUUAUGAAAUUCAAGCCAUAUAUUGUAUGUUUCAUACAUAAAAAAAAUUGGAGCAAUUUAAUCCCUAUCAAUUUUGAAAGUGAGUAACUAAGGACAAUUAAUUAUGGUGUUAAAUUCUUCCAUCAAUUGUACAUAAUUUUGAUUGGUAUAGUAAUAAAUUUAGCCUUCAAUAUUUAUAUAUUUUUUCAUUUUGGCCUUAAUUUUUUUUAAAAAAUUCAAGAAAUUCAACCUCAACAUUUACAUAUUUACACAAACAUUGCGGGAAAAUUUUGUUAAAUUAAGACCAAAUUGCAAGUGUAAAUUUUGAGGGCUAAAUUUAUUAUUAUACCAACCAAAAUCAUGUACAUUUUAUGGAAAAUUAACAUCUUGAUUAAUUAUUCUUAGUUGUUCACUUUCAAAAUUAAUAGGGACUAAAUUACUUUGAUUUUUUUAGGGUGACCAAUUUCCUCAAAGUGGAAAUUGAGAGAGACUAUUGAGAUCUUUUGCAUAUUUCUUUUAUAAAUAUAUUUUUUAAAUAUAAAAUAUAUUUGUUCACACACAUCGUGAGUAUGAUCUCAAUAGUCCACAUAAUCCAUUAAAAAAACUUAAAAAAUAUAUUUUAUUUUUUAACACCUAAGUGAUUCUCCAGCUAACGACCACCCAAGACACACCCCGACUUUAUAACACCCCAAUCUUAUUUAAUUAUUAGUUAUUUAUUAAUGCAGAAGUAAAUUAUGAGCCAAUUUUAAUCUUUUCCUCGGUAAUUUAACCUAAGGCCAAUUUCAUCAUUUUACCACCUAUUGUAAAACUAACCCGAUUUUAGAUAUAACAACAUGUUUGGUUUGGUGUAAUAGAUUAGCCAUUACACCCCUAUUUCGUGGGCCCCACUAAUCCCCACUUAUUCUUGUGUUUGGUUUGAUGUAUUGCCUAUUACAGGCCUAUUACAACACGAAUGUAUUCCUCAUUUUCUCUGCUUCAACAAUGAUUAGCCAUUCCGUUCCAAAAGUAAGGAUUAGCUAAUCGUCUCUGUUUUACCCUCCUCAGCCAAAAUCUACUGCUCCACCCCACCCUCUCCCUCCCAACAUCAACAGCAGUUUUCUUCGAACCAAAUCUCCACCGUCUCAGAUCGCCUGUGAGUAAUCUCAACAGCAGUUGCCAGUGAAAAUUGCCCUUUCUUCAAAAACCCAGCCCUAAACCCUUCUUCUCUUUCAAUACUCCAUUCGAACAGGUUGCGGUGUCUCCCUCCUCUGAGGUAUGGCUCUGUUUCUUUAACUUUAGCAUUGAGCGACUCUUUUCAAUUCCAAAAUUAGUCUACUCUGCUAAGGGUUCUUGCUUUUCAAACCAUUUUUUCACCAUUUUUCUUGUAAUUCUUUUUCUUGUUAGAGUUCAGAUUUUAGAUUUUUUUUAAAAAAAAACGAUUAGAUUGUGAGGUUCAGUUAAUUAUUAGGGUUUUCUGUUUUGGGUUUCCCUGUUGCGUGGUAAUUUUGAAGUGCAUAUAAAAUGGAUGCUUUUGAGGAUCUUAAGCAAUUCGGCGAUACUGAUAAAGGUUGAUAUUCGAUUCAUUUUGCUUUAAUUUACUUGGUUUAUGCAUUUUGGGGAUAAAAUUAGCUUUGUUUUCUUCUCUUUUGGUUGGCUUUAAGCUGAGAGUAAAAUUUGAAACCUUUGUGGUGGAGGAGUUACCGUUCUUCUGAGAUCAAAUGUAUAACAGGUUAGAAGGAAAUGAAAUUAGAUCCUUAAAUAUUGUGUUUUCAAUGUUAAGGGCAGGCUUUUGUUGCUAAAACAAUUGUGGUAACACUGUUUGAUUCAGUUAGAAGUCAAAUGUCGUUUCCAUGUGUGAACAAUUUCUGGUUUUUAAGUAGCGACUUUGUUUCAUGUUGGCCUGGACAUUUUCCAAAUUAGUAAUUAUAAGUUUGAAUUUGGCUACUAAAUCACGCCAAUUAAUGAUUUCAGUGUGCUGGUGUUUCAGACUUUCAGUUGAAUUGACUUUGGUUUCGAAUAUUUUUAGUGAUGGAAAUAAGCACGAUUUAUUUAAAUUAUGAUUGAAUUGGAGAAACUGCUUUUUGUACAUUUUGAGAAAUAUCAGGCCCUUGGAUACACAAAGGGUGUUAACUUGCGCCUAUCUCAAUUACCCCAUUCCUGCCCAUUGAAUUGGAGAAAGUUCUUUUUUUUAAUGAUUCUGCGUUGCUACUGAUUUUUAGUGAAAUGGUAUUUUUCUUAUGAUGUGUUUUCUUCUUUAUGAAGAGCUCAUUUCAGUAAAGUUAACCUUUCUAUUAUGCAGAAGGUGCAGUAUUUGAUGCAUCACAAUAUGCAUUUUUUGGAAACAAUGUUCUCGAGGAAGUUGAAUUGGGGGGGCUAGAUGAUGAGGAUGAGGAUUUACCUGCAGCUGGACUUGAUGAAGAGGAGUUUUUGUUUGAUCAAGAGGAGGUUAAUAUUCUUGUUUCUUUCAGUUUUAUUUUUCCUGUUUCGAUUGUUCUUGCAAGUUUCUGCAGCAUAGCACAACCAGUGACUAUUCGAUCGAAAAAUAAAUGUAUCCCUUCCAGGCGUCAUGCUAAAAAAUAGCCUUUUGGAUUAGUGUUGGAUUUUUUCUCCAUGUUCUUUAACAGAUAGAUUCCACUGCAUUCAAUUAGUGGUUGGCAUGCGAGUUUUAUUUGUGGAAUAAAGCUCUGUGGGAGUUCAUAUUAUAUAUUGUUCUAUUUGUCUGUGCAAAACAUUGUGAACCUUGUUCUCUGUAUUUAUAAGUUGACAAUGUAGCCAUCUUGGUUGGCUGCUUUCCGAAGUCAAUUUAUUUGAUUCGUUCUCUUUGCUCUUCACAAUGAGAGGUAGCUCUUUUGUACUUUUUUAAUAAGAUCAUAUUAUACAUGCUCUUUUGCAGUGGUCUAGUGGUUUAGUAUCUUGUUAAUAAAACCAUAUUGUAUAUUUGAAUAGUUUGGAGAUUGUGUUAACUGUAUUUGGUGCAUCUUGAAGUAAUGUUUGUUGUAUCUUAUAUGCUUCCUGAAUCAAAUAUGGAGAGAAGGUAGUAUAUGGAGUUUAUAUUUUCAAGUAUUUUUCACACAAUUGAUUUAUCUGUUCCCUUCAUUGAGGGGAAAACAUGGAAUGAAUUGACUUACACCUCACUUCUUCCUCAAACAUCUUUUGUACCACUUAUUUUCAUAAAAUGAUAAGAAUCUUUUUAGAUUACAACUUCCAGAGGUCUAUGUCACCUUCUUGACAAUCAGGUUUUUAGGAAUAUUUUUACCCAUCAUGCAGAAGUUUUAGACAAAAUCUUGUUCGUGGUUGCUGCUAGAUGCAUGAUACUGCCUCAUUUCCUUUGUGGUGGUUCUUCGCUCUCCCCCUUCUUAGUAUUUUUGGUUGUUGAGUCUUGGAGGCAGUUGUAUUCAGUAAUGGCUGGCUUGCUUUGAUGCAUUGCUUCUGUAUAUCUUUGUAGAAAACGAAUCUGUAUCUAUUAUUAACACAAAUUUGAUUAGUUCAUGCCAAUGGAUUUGUAAAGUUAAAUUAGUUAUUGGCGUUAGAAAUUUACUCUUAUGCCUGGAAGGAGAUCUGGCUUACAGAUCAACUACUGGAGUUAAUUGUGGAAAUUUGUUUGAUUUGGUUUCUUAUAAAAUUGUUACCCUGUUCUAUUUAUGUUGGAGUAGCUGAAAUCUGAGGUUGCAUUUGUCAUUAACAAAUAGAAAUCCAAAAAGAGAGGAAAGUGAUAUCAUCCCCUCCACUUUUUCCUUGGAAUUGCGUACUUCAAACUUUUUUAAUUGUAUAAAUUCAUAUAAGAAAAUUUAUUAUGAUGUUGUAAAACUAUAAAACAUAUGGAUUAUGAUGUAGAAUUUCAUUUUCAUCUAACCUUUUCUUAAUAUAAGUUAAUUAUGUUUAUGCAGAAUAUAAUCUCAAGUUAUAAUUUGAUUUUAGUAAAUUCAUAUAAGAACAUUUUAUUAUUAAAUUAUAUUUAAUAUUAAUUAUUUUAAAUUGUAUAAAUUCAUAUAAGAAAAUUUAUUAUCAAGAAUUUUAUGAAAUUAUAUAUCAUUAUUAAAUUAUAUUUAAUAUUAAUUAUUUUAAAUUAUAUAAAUUCAUAUAAGAAAAUUUAUUAUCACGAAUUUUAUGAAAUUAUAUAUUAUUAUUAAUUAUAUUUAAUAAUAAUUAUUUUAAAUUAUACAAAUUCAUAUAAGAAAAUUUAUUAGUUAUAAUUAUUUUAAAUUUUAUUAAAUCAUAUAUUUUAAUUAAAAUAUUUUUAAUAUUAAUUACUUCAAAUUAUAUUUUAUAGUAUCAUAUAUUAUGAUUUUAGUAAAUUCAUAUAAGAAUUUUGAUUAUUAAGAAUUUUAUUAAAUUAUAUAUUUUAAUUAAAAUAUAUUUAAUAAUAAUAAUGUUAAAUUAUCUUUUAUCGUAUCAUAUAUUAUGAUUUGAGUAAAUUCAUAUAAGAAUAUUAAUUUUUAAGAAUUUUACUAAAUUAUAUAUUUUAAUUAUAAUAUAUUUAAUAAUAAUUAUGUUAAAUUAUAUUUUAUAGUAUCAUAUAUUAUGAUUUGAGUAAAUUCAUAUAAGAUAUUGAUUAUUAAGAAUUUUAUUAAAUUAUAUAUUUUAAUUUAAUAUAUUUAAUAAUUAUUAUGUUAAAUUAUCUUUUAUAGUAUCAUAUAUUAUGAUUUGAGCAAAUUCAUAUAAGAAUAUUAAUUAUUAAUAAUUUUAUUAAAUUAUAUAUUUUAAUUAUAAUAUAUUUAAUAAUAAUUAUGUUUAAAUAUGAUUAAAUUAUUUAUUAUUGAUAUUAUUAAUCUUAUUAAAAUUUAAAUAACAAUAACAAUAAUCAUUUACCCAAACAAAUUUAUGCUAAUGGUAUUCUAGUCAUUUUAGUUUUUUUCCAUUAUGCUAUUACACCUCUAUUCCAUUCAACCAAACACAAGAAUACUAUUACGCCUCUAUUCCAUUACGCCUCUAUUCCAUUCAACCAAACAAUUGAUUUGCUAUUACGCCUCUAUUCCAUUACACCUCUAUUCCAUUACGCCUCUAUUCCAAUACAGCGAACCAAACGUGCUGUAAGUGUUUACCAACCUUCUUUUAGUUAAAUUAUGCAAGCCUAAAAUUUUCAGCUUUAUUUGAGUACGUUUUCUAUGUCUAAUUCAAGUUUUAUUAUUAAGGACUAAAUUGUAACUUAAACAAAUUAGAAUACCAAUUUAAAGAGACAAAAUUCAAAACCCCAAAACCCACACGGGCAUGUGGGUAAGUGGCACGGGCCAGUGGAGACUGGAGCUAUCACAUAAGGCGAGUGAGAUUGAAACAUAUGAAAUAAAUUAAUCCACUUAAUUUUCCAACAACCAUGCUAUACUACCAAACCAAAUAACGAGUGAAGCUUUGAAUAGGGGCGAAUCUAAAAAAAAAAUUAGAAGAAUUAGAAUUAAAUUAUAAAAUUUUGAGAAGUUAUCAUGUAUUAAUUUAUUAUUUUUUUAAAGGGUCCUAAUAGAAUUUUUUUCCCAUUCUGGUUGGGCCAAUACCUUUGACUGCCUCUUUAAAUUUGCUUCAACCCUAAACCCAAUAUUCGAUUUGGAUUAACAACAAUAUAUAGGUUUGUAUUUGUGGGAGUUUGACGAAUAAAAAUUUCUAUUUAAAAGGUUUAAAUUAUAAAUUUUUGAAAGUUUAAAAUAAAUUUGUAUUUUUUAUUAACAAAAUAUAAAAGAAAAAAAACAUGUUUAGACAAGACAAGAAACCUUGGGAUCAUACGGGUGAUUUUGAUGAUGUUAAUGGUUAUUUUGGUGGAGAGGGUAAACACGAAACAAAUGAUUCAUUAUAUAUAAUAUAAUUAUGAAAUUCAAGCCAUAUAUUGUACUUUUGGUUUUUCUGCAAUAUGAUACAUGUAUUUGGUAAAAAGUUAUAUAUUUUGAUACUUAAAAGUAACAUUGUUAAUUUUUUUAGUGCUUAAUCUGAAUUUUAGAGUUUAUUUAAUGAACAUUAAUUGUUAAUAUUGUUAUGUUUAUUUUUUUAUGAUUUUGUUAAUAAAAUAAAUUUUAUGUUUAUCUUGUUAUCUUUUUUAUUUUAGAAUUGAUUACAUGAAAGUUAAUUGCUAAUAUUAUUAGUUAACUAUUAGUUUUCUUCAAAUCAAAUUAAAACCCGAAAGAUCCCACUUUUUUUUUAUAUUAGUUUUAGUUAUCCAUUAAAUUUGUUUCUUUGUAAUAAAAUUAAAUUAUAGAAAUAACAUUAAAAUUUUAAAUAAAAUUAAUUCACAAUAAUUAUACAGAAUUUAAUUUUCUUUCAAAUACUGCAGUUAAUAAGGAAAGUGAAUAUAGUAAAAAGAAAUAUUGUUUAAUUAGUUAAUUUAAAAAUCAAUAGCGUCUAAAAACUGUCAGAAUGGAAUAUUAGAUUUUAUAAGAUUUCAUUAUUCUAAAAAAUAAAAUAUGACAAUGCUUAAAAAUUUUAUCAAAAAAGUUUUAAAUUUUAUAUAAAAUUUUAAAAAAUAAAAAAACAGUAUUAAAAAUUUUUAUAAGCAAAUUAAAUAUUAAUUAGUAAAUUAUUUUUGUAAUAUUUAUAUGUAUUUUCAUUUUUAUAAAUACUAUUAAAACUUUUUUUAAAAAAAUUGAAUGCUAUGUAAAAACAUUAUUAAAAAUAAAAUAUUAUAUGAAAGUUAAAAUGAUGUAAAAACAUAUUUUCAGUGUUGGCGUUGCUCGUUCGUAAAUGGGUUAGUUUCCGUUUUGAUGUGUUUUUACGUGGAUAGUAAAAGAAAUGUGUUAAUUUUUGGAUUAUGGAGUUGAUCGUUUUUAAUCAAUUCUCCAGUAAGUUGACUCGUUUGUUGUUGUUAUGUGCUAGGAUAAGAGAUUAAUUCUGAUUUGGGCCUGUGUGGUUGUGUAGAUUUUCCAUGUGAAAUCGUUUGGUAUUUUUAGGAUAAAUCAUUCUUUAAAUCGUAUUGCUACCAUCGCGAAUGUGAUGUUUUAAUUUAUGCAUUUAGGAUCUGGUAGUCUUAUAGGUGUUUUCGCAUAAAAAAUUGAACCAUGUGUGUAACGAAAGCUAAAAAAUUGCACUGUUGACGCCACACGGCCAUGUGACAAGUCGUGUGCUGGAUCAUGUGUAACACACGAUUUGAGCUAGUUGAGCCAUGUGGAAAACAAAGGUGUGUGUGAAGGCGUGUGCCACACCAUGUGGGCCACACAGGCUGGCCAUUUAGGCCGUAUGGGACCAAAAUUCUAAUUUUUUUCCUAGGGUUAUACACAGUGUGUAUACUUGUCUUUGAAUUGAAAAAUUCUAAACAACUCUAAAUAAAUGGAAAGCAGCAAAUUACCUGACGAGGCAAGCUAGGUCAAUUACGACCAUUGUGUUAUUCUUGUCUCUGAAUUGAAAAUUUUAGAAGAAACUAAAGAGAAAGUGUUAGAAAAUAAUUGAAAACAGAUAAAACUUAUGUCUCAUUGAUUGGAUAAACUACGAUCACCCAUAAUAGACCUUGUACUUGACUUUUUGUUUAGGGAGAUUGACUCUUUUAGGAGAAGUCUUUUGAGUGUUGUUUGCUAGGCAAUCGGUGCUGCCCUCAACAACUAAUGGUAGUGUCCCCAUGUUGGGAUUUUAUCCCCAGCCUCUGCGGAAUAAUCAUUGAGGAUAUGUGCGUAGGGAUUCAAACUACCAAUCAAUGCAUGUGUAGCCUUUACCUUGCAACCAUCUCCAUGAACCCAUAGGGUUCUUAGCGGGAUCAAGAGACGAAACCCUAAUGUGGGAACAAUACCAUUUGUUGAAGGCUUUGUUAAUAGGGUCACACCUAGGGGAGUUGGCAGGGGUCCCAACCCCCCUUAAAAUGAAAAAUUUUCCAUUUAGGCCCUUUAAAAUUUUUAAAAUUUUAAAUUAAUAAAAGUAAAAUUGUACUUUGGCCCCCCAAAAAGUGAUAAAACUUCGAUUUAGUCCUCUAAAAAUUAUAAAAUAUAGGCUAUUAAAAUGGUGAAAUUGCAUUUUUACUAUCAUAAAAAUUAUAAUUUAAUUUCACCCCCUAAAAAGAUUUUCUGGCUUCGCCCCAAAUAAAAUCUUUGCCAAAAGAUUAAAAUAAAAUUAUACCGUAAAUGAAAAAAUAAACUAAGAAAAUCCAAUCUAACAAAGAAAAUAACUUGAUGUCCAAAAGCUACCAUGAACCGUAAUUCAUGGGAAGUCUUGUUGCUCAUUUUAUUGGUUUCCAUUUUGAUUUUGCAAAAUAAGUUUGAAUUUUGAAGAGAGCCUACUACGUGAGAGCAAAAGAAAAAAAUUCUAUAAAGAUUUUGAAUUUUGAAUUUUGAAUUUUGAAUUUUGAAUUUUGAAUUUUGAAGCAGAUUUUCAUUAAGAUUGAAGAUUCCUAAUUGAUUUCUUAGGAGAUUAUCAUGAGUUCCUUAUUUCUUUCAGUUAUAUUGCCCUUUGGAUUUUUUAUUUUUAAUCAUGAACUACUUUUCUAAAUACGUAAGAGAGAUGAACCCUAUGAUAGAUUGUGACACCCCAAAGCUGACCGGGAUAGACCGGCCUGAAUUCAAAGCAUUACAUUAGCCACCUAAGGACCACUCAAGACACACCCCGACCUUAUAACACCUCAAUCUUAUCUAAUUACUAGUUAUUUAUUAAUGCCGAAGUAAAUUAUGAGCCAAUUUUAAAGUUUUCCUAGGUAAUUUAACCUAAGGGCAUUUACAUCAUUUUAUGACCUAUGGUAAAACUAACCUAGAAAUACCGAAAACAUUCCAAAAUAAUAUAAAAAAAAAGCUAAGAAAAACCUAGAAAUACAAAAAAAAAUUCAUGUUUUUACAAAUUGGGAAAUACCUAAAUUUGUUUUUAUCAAUUAAGAAAUUAAAAAAAUUGUUGAGAAAUAUCUUUUUAGUGAUUGUUAGCUUUGACAAGUUCUCUCCACCACUUCUCUUACGCUCCUUCCAGGAUCUUGCUUUUUGUGUGUUGAAAACUCAAAUGAACAAAAUAAAGUGAAUUUACGAGUUUUGUUUUCUUUUAAAAAUAUUUUUAAUAUUUUUGUGGAUACCAAGAGAUACCAAAAAUUAUUUCACUAAGAAGUUUUAAUUCACUCGAAAAGUUAGUGUUUUAUUUCAAGGGGUCAUAAUUAAUCAUUAGAUUUCUCAAUUUUAAAUUUUGAAUUUUUGACAAUUGUGUAAUUAAUAAGUACCAAUUUUGAGUGGUGUAGGGCUAGUACAAUCUCCCUUACACAUAACCGACUCUUGAUCUAAUAAAUAUUUAUCCUUAUACUUUGAUCUAAAUAUUUUGAUGUAAUCAAUGUAAAAAACCUUUUAAACAAAAUAAGGUUGAAAUAAUCUAUUUGUCUUUAUACUUUGAUAAAAUUUGGGAUUUAGUCCUCAUACCUAAUGUUGACACCAUUUUUUUGUGAAAACGGGGUUGACUUGGAUUUUGUAAACGAAAACGAAAACGGGGGUCGCCACCAAUUCUUUUUGAUAAGGUGUGAUCGGGCCACCUUGAAAAGUGGUUGUUUUUAAUAAACAAUUUAAUUUUAUGAAAACAACGAUUUUGGUCCACGAAAUUCAGAAAAACAGGUUCGGGAGUCGGUUACGUACGAGGAAGGAUUAGCACCCUCAUAACGCCCAAAAUUGGUACCUAGUUGAUUAAUUAAUGUCUUAGUGUAGAAGAUUGAAAACUCUAAAGAGAUUUAAAACACGAUCCUUUACUGAAAUGAUAAAAAUUUUCGGCAAAAAGGGCAUAUUUCACAUUAAUCGAGAAAGAGAAUUAUAUCCAAUAAGUUAGAACACAAUGUCUUGAAUUCCGAUGCGCGAAUGAAUACCAAAAAUUUACUUAUUUAAAAGAUAUUUAACUAUCUCGGAUUUAAAAAAGGGAUCAUGCCCAGUAAGUUAGGACACGAUCUUUUCUUAAUUCCCGAGAUCGUUUAAAACUUGAGAAAAAAGGGAUCAUGCCCAGUAAGUUAGGACAUGAUCUCUUCUUAAUUCCCGAGAUCGUUUUAAACUUGAGUUUGAAAAGAUUCGUGUAUUUAAAUUUAUUGUGAAAAUUGAAACCCCGUAAGUUAGGGUACGACCUUCUCGAAUCUAAACAUGAGAUUUUGCUUAUUCAAAAAAUCAUAAUUUAUGCAUUGAAUAAAAUUAAUCUAACACGAAAUAGUAGAAAUGCAACACGGUGUCAAUAUGUGUAACAAGACAAAAAUGAAUAUGAUAAUGUAAGCAUAAAUAGUACGAACGACAUCGUAAAUGAGAUAAAUAAUAGGAGAGACAAAUCCAUCAUAUCACAACAAAUAAAUAAAUGCAAUAUUAAGACAUUCUUUUCAAAUGAUAAUGAACAUAUACGCAAAUAAACAAAUUAACAUCGAGUGAAACAAAAAUGCAAUAACGAAAUUAAUAAAACUAUAAAAAGUAUAAAAAUAUGUGUGUAUGUACGUGUAGGUAUGCAUUAUAAAAAUAUAUGUGCAUAUAUAUAUAUAUAUAUUUGAAAUUACAAAAUAUAAAAGAUAUAUAUAGGUAUGUAUAUGUAUGAGUUAUAAAAUAUAUGUAUGUAUAUGUGUACAUAACUAAAUUUGAAAUAAAUAGAUAUAGAUAAACAUAAUAAUAAUAUAGUAAGACAGAUAUAUUUAAUAUUUAAAUAAGUGAACAUAAUAAAUGGGAGUAUAAUAAAUAAUAAUAAUAAUGCAAAGCUAGUAAUAUGAUAUAAUGAUAUAAUAUUAAUGACUAAGUAAAUAUAAGAAGAAAAUAUUAAUAGAUAAUGUAACAACCCGGUUUUGACCCUAAUCGGAAUAGUGGUUUCGGGACCACAAAUCCGAACUAGAAAAAUAUUAUUAAUAUUAUUUAGUGUGUUUAUAUUGUGUGCAUUUGAAUGUGUGAAAUUUUCGUGUUUUAAUUUCAUCGUUUAAGUGUCCGAUUUAAUAAAAGGGUUUAAUCGCGUAAAAUGAAAAAUUAGGGGUUAAUUAUAAAAGCACCUAAUUGUUGUUGGCUUUAUAAUUUAGAGGUUUUACUAUGAAAUUAGUCCACUAUAUAAGUUAGUGGGUGGCAAAAGACUAAUGUAACCUUAUUAUAUAUGUUUUAUAUAUAUAUUAGUAAAGGUUAAAAUAGUAAAUUAAUUAUAAAGUUAAUAUAUGUUUAAUAUAACAAAUUAAAUGGCUAUGUUCUUCAUCUUUUGGCCGAAUGGGUGAGAAAAUAAAAGGGGUUUAAAGCUUUUUGUAUUUCGGCAGAUUCAAGCUUUGAUUUAGGUAUGUUUUUGCUUCGGUUUUUGAUGAUUUUUACGUUUUUGAGAUCGUUGCUUUGAAUACUUCAAAACCCAUGUCUUAAUUUUGUGAAUUGAUGAAUAUUUUGAAUUAUGUCAUUGAUGAAUAUUUGUGUUUUGGGAUGUUUGAUGAUGAAUAAUGGAAGAUAUGUCUUAGAUUAACAUGUUUUGUAUUGGUAUUUUUGAUGAAUUUGAGUAUUUAGGGCUAAAUUGUGAAAAUAAAUUUUUGAGGGAUUAAAAUGUGAAAUAAAUGCAAUGUGUGGACUUGUAUGAGAACCAUGAAUAUUCGGCCCUUGUGUGGUAUGGGCAAAUUUUGUGUAUUUUGUGUUUUGUGCAAAAAGGACUAAAUUGCAAAAAGUGCAAAAUGUUAGGGGCAAAAUGGUAAUUUUCACAUUUAUGUAUUGAUGGACUCAAAUGAAUGUUUUGAUGAAUAAGAAGGUUAAAUUUGACUAUGUUUAGAUCAAGGAACGAAGAAAACGAAUUUGGAUCGGGGGAAGUCGAAAGUAAUCGAAUAGUCGAUCGUGUUUGCUGAUAUCCGAGGUAAGUCUAUUAGCAACUAAAAGUUAUUAAGUUAAUAUUUAUACAUGCAUACUAAUUUUAUCUUAUGAUUGAGCUAUAAUUUAAAGUAUAAAAGUUGAAUAAACUUUGGACUAUAGAUAUUGUAUAUAACAUGUUCGAAUAUACAAGUAUGAUCUUGUAUAAAUUAUUGGAUUAAUCAAAGAUAUGUAUAAGAUAUAUGUAUAUACAUAUAAGGUUUGAAUGAUUAUAUGAGUAUGUAUAUAUAUGUAUAAACUCUUGGAUUUGAUUUGUGAUAUGUAAUUUAUAAUUGUAUAUAUAUAUAUAUAAAGUCGAAUAAGCAUGCAAUUAUACAUGUAUGUGUUGUGUAUUGAAUUUAGAUAUGUCAUUAUAUAAGUAUAUGAGGAUUGAUUGUGAAUUUAUAUAUGUAUAAGUUUUUGUUUUGAAAUUAAGUAUGAAAUUAUACAUUCAUAUGGUAGAUUCGAAUAUGUAUAAAUGCACAUGUAUAAUUUCUUGAAUUGAAAUUAGGUAUGGAAUUAUAUAUGUAUGUGAAAGUUUCGAUUUGUAUGUAUAUUCACGUAAAAUUUUUUGAAUGGAAGUGAAGAUAUGAAAUUAUUAGUUUGGAUCAUUAUAAAGUGAUUGAAUGUAAUACAGACGUUACGUCUAGCAGGCUUGAUGCCGGUGAAGUAAUUCAGACUUUAAGUCUAGCAGGCUUAAUGCCGGUGAUACAUUUCAGACUAUAUGUCCAGCAGGCUAAGUGCCGGUGUACUGAAUCAGGCUUUAAGCCUAGCAGGCAAAAUGCUAGUGAAUCUUUUUAAAUUAUGUGAGAAUAUGCAAUUGAUAUAUCUAUGAUUUUGAUUAUACGAAAUAGAUGAAUACAUGAACAUUCGGUUUUUUUUUAUAUGCCUGGUGAGCUUACACCUACAUUCGGGUUUUAUAUUGGUUAAACAUAAUUGUAUGGAUUCGGUAUAUACAAUUAAUAAAGGCAUAUGUACAUUAGGUAUAUGCGAUUGCUGAAAUUAUAAAUGCAUAUGGUGAUAUGUGAUUGUUAAAUAUACACGUUGAGCCUAUGUGUUCGAUAAUUAAUUAUGUAUGCAAUUGAGAUAUGUAUAUAUAUACAUGUACUCAUUUAUAGGUAUAUAUAUUCGAAUGUAUAUACUAGCUAUGUAUUCAGGUAUAAAUCCAUAAUGAGUAUAUAUAUAUACAAACGAAUAUAAAAUGUGAUUGAUACAUAUGUGUUAGAUUCGAAUUGAUUUAAAGUUUACCAUGAGUAUACAUACACAUUCGGUUAAGAUAUGUGUAUAAUAUAUAUAUAUGCUCGAUUGUAUACAUUGGGUUGUAAUGUUGUUUUGUAUAAUAUAUAUUCAAUUGAUUUCAUUCGACAGGUAUACAUAUCUGACUAUAAAUAAAAUGGUCUGAGUACAAUAAUGUAUGAAUGUUAGUUGGUCGUGUUAGUUGAAAUUUCAGUAAAAUAGAUUAAAAGGUUAUAUUAAUUAUGUGUUUAUAUAUACAUUUAGUUAUGCUGUAGACUUACUAAGCUAUAAAAGCUUACUUCAUUUGUUUUCGUUCAUUUGUUUUUAUAGAUUUUGGAGACGCGUUACGAGCUCGGGGAUCAUCAGCAUAGUCCAUCACACUAUCGACUUCUUUUGGUAUUUUGUUAAAUAUUUGAACUCGAUCUUAUGGCAUGUAUAGGCUUGAUAAUGUUUUGGUUAGUUUUGGAUCCUAAUAUGUAAAUAGUCAUGCGAAAAGGGUUUAAUUUCCAUGCUUGAAUUUGACUACAUAUGAUCAUGAUUUGGGCUUGCAUUUGAAUGAGAUAUUCAAGUUACAUGUAUGUUAUAAAUUUUGGAUUAUGUUAGGUAUUAAAGUCAUGUUUAUGUGUGCUUUGUUUCGUAAUGCCUCGUAACCCUAAUUCGGCGACGGAGACGGGUUAGGGGUGUUACAGAUAAUAGCUAGGUUAAUAAAAAAAACAAAAUGGACUAAUUCAUGAUAAAAAUUAAAUUUAAAGGUUCAAUCUAUAAUAAAAUAAAUAAAGUGGGUCCAAAAUGAAAAGGCACGAAAGGGCGGAGGGCCAAAUGAGCAAUAAACCCAAAUUCCAGGCCACGCCCAGGGGUCCAACGAAUUGAGGAACGAAUUGAAAACCGCAACAAACCUACGGUCCAAAUUACAAAACGAGGGAAAAAAGAAAAGGAACUAAAUCAAAACAAAUCGAUAAUGCGGAGGGGCCAAAGGAGCAAAUAACCCAACACUUAACAAUGCACGGAUCCUCUGGUCGGGUCGAGUCGACGAGUGGAUCUGGGGGGCAAAACGACGCCGUUUUGGUACCUGGGAGGCCUGCCCAAAACGACGUCGUUUUAGGGCCUAUAUAAGUAAAAAAACAUAAACAAAAAAAUCAUUUUAAAUCCAUUUCAGAAAAAAAAAACUUUCCCUUUUUUAUUUUCUCUCUAGCCCCACUCCCUUCGAUCCAGACUCCGACCGAUGGCCGUCGCACCGCCCACCGACCACCGGCGACGGUGCCGCCCACUGACCACCGAUGACGGCGCCGUCGUGCACAGUUGUCGGAAAGUUCAAAACCCCUUUUUCUCUUCUCUUUUCGAGUAAAGUACCUAUUUGGGUUUAAGACAUCCCAAAAGUCCUUCAAAAUAAAAAAAGAAAGAGAGAAAAAUCUAGAGACCUUUCGGUUUCUCAUCACCGCCGAUGGAGUUUUUGGCGAACCCGUUGGUUUGACCACCCCAAGACCGGAGGUACCUCCGUCCGCGGCAAUAAAGGUAAUAGAUUUCUCUUUUUAUUUACUAUUAUAUUUAUUUUCGAAAUAAAUAAAUAAAUAAAAAUAUAAAAGAGGCACCUUUGUUUUUUCCAAAUCUGUUUCAAACUUUUUUAUUUUCGAAAAAAUCCCAAAAAUCCCCAUGAUUACAUUGAAUUUGUGGCUUUUAUAGCCCAAUGCAUAUUUUCUUUUUUCUUUUUGUUUAUCACUGCUUCUCUGCUAUUUGUGCUGUUGUUGCGUGUUUUUUUCAUGUUUUGCAGGUCUUGACGGAGCAGGUGGGCAGGUGGCAGAGCAAGUGGCGGUGGGUGGUGUCAGAGGUGGCAGAGGCAGAAGGUGACGCCAGAAGAUAGGAACCCCUAGGUGUGGCGCACCUAGGGUUUGACAUUGUUGUUUUUUAUUUGAUUUUUUGGGCUAGGUUUAGACAGUUGGGCCUGUGCAUUUUGCUUCGGGUUUGGGUUUAAUCUCGUUGGGCCGGGUGUAAUUGUGUUAGUUAGGCCGGGGCAUAAAUUGGUUAUUACACCUAAAAGGUUAAAAAUUAAGUCUUCUUAUUUUUUUUUAAAUCUUAGUCCUACCGUUAAUUUUUUUUUGUCAAAAUUUGUUAACUUGACAUAUUAAUUAGGUUUUCCUUAUAUGUCGUGGUAUAUGACCAACACAAAAUUAAACAAGUUGACAAGUUCUGACAAAAAAUAUCAAAGAUGAUAAUAAUUUAAUUAAAAUUUUUAAAUUGAAAAAGUAAGGGAUUAAAUUUAUAACUUUUGAAGUGUAAAGAAUGAACUUAUUGAAAUACAAGAACUAACAACACAUUUUAAAAUAUUACUAGUAAAUUAUAUAUCUACAACGUAAGCUCUUAUAUUAUAUUCUUGUAUCUAUUUUGUAUCUUUCAUUAUAAUAUGAUUUAUUAAUUUUAAUAUUUUUAUAGAAUAAUAUGCUUUAAACUAUUUUUUGUAUAAUUUAUAAAAAUUAUAAUAAACUUGCAAAAUGAUUUAAUGAUAUUUAAUUAUUAAUGGAAAAAAAAAUGAUAACAUAUAUAUUCUGUAUAUAUUAAGAUUUUGAGUCAUUAAUUAUAUAUCUACACAUUAUAAUAAAUUCAUCUUUCAAAAUGUUCCUUAUAAUUAAAGCAUAAAUUAUAUUUAUAAUAUUAUAAAUAUAUUAUAUCAUAAAUAUUCUUUCAAAUAUUUUUUAAUGUUUAAUAAUAAGUUAAUUUAUAAAAUAUUCUUUCAAUAAAUUAACGUGAUGCGAUCGUUAGGUGCUUGGAUUUGGUGAUGGGGGAUGAAGAGAAAAGGGAUGGAAGUGAAGAAAAAUGUUGAGAAAUGGAAAGGGUUAGCAAGGGAAGCUGCCAUGAAAGUUGGUUCUAUGGAUAUGAACCUUCAAGCUUUUGUGGAUGAUGUUACUCAAGGUUGUUGGAAGUAAAUUUUAAAAAAAUUGAGGUAAAAUUAAAAAAAUGUUAGAGCUAAAUUUGUCAUUAUGACUAAAAUGUAAAACCAAAAUUUUUUGAAAAUAAAAAAAAAUGGAAAAUAACAAAUUCUGUCACUCAUGUUUGCUUAAAAUAUAGUUUUGGUCACCAAUCUUUUGAAGUAAAUAUAUGGUCACCAAUAUUAUCCAUUUGUUACUCUGCAAUAACUCACCUCUAUGAAAUUUGGCAGGCCGUGUCAAUUUUGUAGAUUUGCGCUCUGAACUGUGAAAAAAAUGCAAAUUUUAGGUUAUUCAAGCAUUUUAAUACGUAUAUAUGAAAAAAAGAAGAAGAUAGGAGAGAACCUUCCUAGAAUAUUUAAGAAAAUAGCUCCAAAGACACUAUUGAAGUCAACUUUGAAGCAAAUUUUCAUCAAGAUUGAAGAUUCCCAGUUGAUUUCUAAAGAGAUUAUCAUGAGUUUCUUUAUUUCUUUCGGUUAUACUGCCCUUUGGAUGUUUUUAUUUUUAAGCAUGAACUAAUUUUCUAAAUACCUAAGAGAGAUGAAUCCUAUGGUAGAUUGUGGCACCCCAAACCCAAUCGGGAUAGACCGGCCCGAAUUCGAAGCAUUACACUAGCCACCUAAGUGACUCUCCAGCUAACGACCACCCAAGACACACCCUGACCUUAUAACACCUCAAUCUUGUUUAAUUAUUAGUUAUUUAUUAUUGCAUAAAUAAAUUAUGAGCCAAUUUUAAACUUUUCCUAUGUAAUUUAACCUAAGGGCAAUUUUGUCAUUUUACCACCUAUUGUAAAACUAACUCGAUUUUAGAAGUUUUUACCAACCUUAUUUUAGUCAAAUUAUACAAGCCUAAAUUUUUUAGCUUAAUUUGAGUUUGUUUACUAUGUCUAAUUCAAGUUUUAUUAUUAAGGACUAAAUUGUAACUUAAACAAAUUAGAAUAUCAAUUUAAAGAGAAAAAAUUCAAAACCCAAAAACCCACACGGGCAUGUGGGUAAGUGACACGGGCGUGUGGAGACUGGAGCUAUCACACACGGGUGAGUGGGAUUGAAAAAUAUGAAAUAAAUUAAUCCACUUAAUUUUCCAACAACCAUGCUAUACUACCAAACCAAAUAACGCUUGAAGCUUUGAAUAGGGGUGAAUCUUAAAAAAAUUAAAAGAAUUAGAAUUAAAUUAUAAAAUUUGAGAAGUUAUCAUGUAUUAAUUUAUAAUUUUCUAAAGGGUCUUAAUAGAAUUUUUUUUUUCCCAUUUUGGUUGGGCCAAUACCCCUACCUCUUUAAAUUUGCUUCAAUCCUAAACCCAAUAUUCGAUUUGUUGUGGAAGUUUGAUGCAUAAAAUUUCUUUUUUUAGAGGUUUAAAUUAUAUAUUAUUGAAAGUUUAAAAUAAAUUUGUAUUUUUUAUUAACAAAAUAUAAAACAAAAAAACAUUUUUAGACAAACCAAGGAACCUUUGGGAUCAUACGGAUGAUUUGGUGAUGUUAAUGGUUAUUUUGGUGGAGACAAGCCAAGAAAAGAAACAAAUGAUUCAUUAUAUACAAUAUAAUUAUCAAAAUUCAAGCCAUAUAUUGUCUGUUUCAUCCAUAAAAAUUUCAUGGGAGGUCCAAAGGUAAUUAAAUGACUUGUAGGCUUGCUGAAUUUCUUUGAAAGGCCCAAAGGCAAUUUAACACUCACAAAAUAAUCUCUAAAUACUGUAAAGACAAAUCAAAUCCACAGCAGCAUUAGAGUUGAUUAAGCUAAGCAUUGGCAAAUAUUACUUUGAUUUUGCAUGCAAUAUCGGCAAAACCCCCCUCUUACAUUAGAAAAAACAACAUAAUCCAUGUAACAUUGAUAGCCCAAUACAAAUUUCAUCAAGAAAAAAGUCUCUUUGUUUUGUAGAACAUGAUAGUAAAGAUGUGGAGUUUCAUUCUUCUUAUUGGCCUCCUUUAGUUUUCCUUGAUCAACAACCACUAGCCAAAAACACAAUUAGAUUAGAUUAUGAAUGAUACUUUCAACUAUGACAAUAUUAAAUACAAAACACUCCAAAUAACUCUAAAUAAAUGGAAAGCAGCAAAUUACCUGACGAGGCAAGCUAGCUUAAUUAAGACCAUUGUAUUAUACUUGUCUCUGAAUUGAAAAAUUUAGAAGAAAAUAGAGAAAAAGACUUAGAAAAUACUUGAAAACAGAUAAAACUUAUAUGUCAUUUAAAAUAAAAAAAAAUUAUUUAAGCUGUUUAAAAUUUUUAAGAUUUUUAAAAUUUUAAAAUGAUAAAGGUAAAUUGUACUUUGGCACCCCUAGAAAUGAUAAAACUUUGAUUUAAUCCUUUAAAAAUUAUAAAAAUAUAGGCUAUUAAAAUGAUGAAAUUAUAUUUUUACUAUAGUAAAAAUUACAAUUUAAUUUCACCCCCUAAAAAGAUUUUCUGGCUUCGCCCCUAAUAAAAUAUUUGGCAAAAGAUUAAAAUAAAAUUAUACCGUAAUUGAAAAAAGAAACUAAAAAAAUCCAAUCUAACAAAGAAAAUAACUUGAUGUCCAAAAGCUACCAUAAAUCGUAAUUCAUGGGAAGGCUUGUUGCUCAUUUUAUUGGUUUCCAUUUUGAUUUUGCAAAAGAAGUUUGAAUUUUGACGAAUACCGACAUAUUAUAUAUAUGACUAAAAUUCCAGAAUAGGUUAAAAAUGUUGAAUUAAAGAUGAAAUUAAGUGUGAAUUAAUAACCACAAGUGUACUCAUUACUCACCAUCUCUGUUAAAAAUGUUGGAUGUUGUUUAGCAACCUUUGUUUGAUUUUCUUCAGCUCAACCACAACAUCUUUCAUAUCUUUUCUUUCUUCUGGUAACUCAGCUGAACAAUUCAAAGCCAACUCCAUGAUAGAUGAAAUACAAUUUGCUUUAACAACAAUGUACUCAUCCUCUCUUCUUAGUAAAUCAACAUCUGCAAUUUCUAUCGCUCCUUUAGGCAAUGAACUUUCCAUCCAAUGCCUUAUAGUCUCUUCUUCAACAAAAACAUUAUCAGAUGGCUUUUUCUUUGUGAAAGUUUCUAUAAGGACGAUCCCAUAACUAUAGACGUCAGAUUUUAUAGAAACAAUUCCUGCUGAUCCAAAUUCUGCAUUUCAAGUAUAAUUAGAACAUCAUUCAUCCUCAAUUAUUUCUAAAAUGCUUAUUCUAAUAUCUAUCCAUAUACACAUGAAACAAAAAUAUAAAAUUCAAAUUAGGAAAAUAAUCAUACAAAAAUAAAAAAGAAUUCACCUGGUGCCAUAUACCCGAUAGUUGCAAGAGUCAUGGUUUGCUUCAUUACUUCACCUUCUCCCAACAAUUUGGCAACGCCAAAAUCUCCAACAUGUGCAACCAUGUCUUCAUCUAGUAAAAUAUUGCUUGGCUUUAUGUCACAAUGAAUUAUAGGUGUUGGAUGUCCAUUGUGGAGGUGUUCUAUAGCUAACGCAACAUCUAUCAUUAUGUCGACCCUUUGUAUGAUAUCAAGGAAACAAUUUUCAGAAUGUAACCAUUUCUCAAGGUUUCCAUUAGACAUGUAAUCAAGCACCAAGGCUUUGAAGUCAACACUUGAGCAGCAAGUAAUGACCUUCACAAUAUUACGAUGAACUAUAUUAAGCAUAGCAUCACAUUCAAUGUCAAAACUCCUAAAUGCUCCCUCUGUUUGCAAAUUGAAAACUUUUAUUGCAACUUCCAUUCCAUCUGAAAGCCUCCCUUUAUAUACAUAUCCAAAACUCCCUGAACCAAGCAUAUUGCUUUCCUCAAAUCCAUUAGUUGCUCGUGAAAGUUCAGCAUGUGAAAUUCUUCUCGGUGUUUUCAAAGACAACAAAUCAUCUUUAAUUGAUAGAGUUGUACUCCUUCUUUGGCAUCUUCUAUACAUAAUAGUUAAGACUAUUAGUACUACGACAAUGCCAAUUGUUGGUAAACCAUACCUAAAAGCAUGCAAUAUAAUCAUUUGGGAGUUUUUGUGGAUGUCGUUUUUGCAAGGUGGGACUUGCAAUCUAGGUGGACCACAAAGUGCAUAAUUCUUCAUGAAUGAUGUGCUAGAAAAGUUUGAAAAACAUCCUUUGCUGGGAAUUUCCCCUUCAAGUCUAUUGAAAGACACAUUAAAAUACCUUAGAUAUAUAAGUUUUUCCAAAGAUUUGGGAAUGACUCCAGAGAGAUUGUUAUUGCAUAAAUCCAAGAAUUCCAAACUAAUCAAUCCAGCAAAUGAUUCAGGGAUAUGACCAUGUAGUAUAUUAUUUGAUAAAUCUAAUGAAACCAAAGUUAUAAGACCCCCAAAUGUGGAUAAGAUAUCGCCCGUGAGAAGAUUCUUUGAUAAAUUUAGUUUCAGUAGACUCCUCAAAUUUCCAACAUCAAUAGCAUGUGAACUGUGAAGAUGGUUUGAUGAUAAAUCUAUUUCUAAGAUAUCUUUAAGAUUCCACAAAGUUGAGGGUAUUGUAGAACUCAAUCUGUUGGAAGCAAAGUAAAGAUAUCCCAAAGAAGUAAUAUUACCCAAACAAGAGGGUAUGGAUCCAUGCAGCUUAUUCAACCCUAAAAAAAAGUUGUAUAAUCUCUCCAAAUCACAAAGGCUUUCUGAGAUGGGCCCUCCUAAUUUAUUAGAGGAAAGACCUAGACUUUGGAGAUUCCGCAGUCCUCCUAUUGAUGUUGGAAUGAAUCCACUUAAUUUAUUAAAGCCAAGUUCUAAAACCACCAUGUUGCUUAAGUUACCUAUUUCCAUAGGAAUAAUGCCUUGAAGCUCACAAUUAGAGGCAUAAAAGUAUUGAAGGGAUUUUGAAAGGUUCCCAAUAUAAGUAGGAAGAACGUCACUCAAUGGAUUUCCUGAAACAUCUAUUGCGGUCAAAUUCCUACAAUUCGUCAAAGAAGAAAGAAAGCUCCACUCAUGAUCAGUAGCAGAUCCUGUGAUCAAAUUAUUGUCAUUGAUUUUGAGCACUUCAAGGUGUUUUAAGUUGCCAAGCAUUUUAGGGAUUGGGCCAGAGAAUAAGUUAUGUGACAAUUCUAGUUGCUUAAGCAUGGAAGCAUUGGAGAUAGAGUUGGGAAUGUUUCCGCUAAGUUUAUUUCUCCACAAUAAAAGAAUCUCAAGCUUUGGAGCAUUGGUGAUGGGUGGUAAAUUACCUGUAAAAUUGCAUCUUUUAGUAUACAUAUUCAUUGAAUACCAAAUUCACAAAAUAUAUAAGACAUUAAAAUAAAAACUGUAAAACUUUAAAUCAAUUAAGAAUAAAAUUUUGGCAUGGAAAAAUGUGAUGAAAUCAAUUAGAAAGUUGAGACAUAAUAAGAAGUUUUGAGUAGUAAUUAGUAAAACAUAUAAUACAUUAAUAAUUUUUAAAAUAUUGUAAAACUUGAAAUAAAAUAAAAAUAAAAGUUUGGCAUGAGAAUGUGGCAUCUAAUCAAUCUUAAAAAUGAGACUCACAUUGAAUAAUAAUUAGUUAUGAUUUGGGAAACAAAAAUGUUAAAGCCAUUGUUUUUAAUGUAAGCUGGUAUGACUUUUAUCUAUUGGGUUAAUUAUUUAUUUUUAUUAAAUUAUAGUGUAAAAUUUAAAUAUUAUUAUUUGCUUAAAUUUUUUGUAUUUUUCGUAUAUUUAAAAUUUAAUCUUUAUAUUUUUAUUUUCUGUGAUUUAGUCCCUCUACUUUUUGAAUUGAAAAUUUUAGGUUUAUUUAUUAACACCGUUAAAAAGUUUUUGUGUUAGUAUGGCAUUUUGAAAACUAAAAUAAACUUGAUAUCUAUGUUUUUAAUUAUUCCAAAUAUUGUUUUACUAUUUCAAGAUAAAUUAUUUGUGUCUAGACCAAUAUCUUAAGAACUAUUGUUGCAUAUUUAAUUAUUCUAAAGAAUUGUCGAUUGAAUCUUAGCUUGAUUGGCAUGUGCAUUGUUGCCAAUGUAGGAGAAUGUGGGUUCAAGCAUGCAUGCUGAAAUGCAUUAUCCUCCUAUUUAUGAAUUGGUAAAGUACUAAAUUUUGAUAUAUUUUAAAAUAUUAAAAAUUUAUUAAAAUAUUUUUUUAUAAAAAUUGAUUGUACCACAAUAUACAAUUUUAAUAUCAAAUUUUUAAUUUUUUUAAAAAAUAUUAGCGAAUAUGUACUUUAUUUCAAGUUACACAAUUUUUACUAGUUUUUAAAUUUUUUUAAUUUUUAUCGUCUUUUAUAAUUUCUAAUAAUUUUUUAUAAUUUUUUACAAUAUUUAACAAUUUCUAAAAUUUUUUAAUAAUUUUAUUAUUUAUUACAAAUUUAAAAAUUAACAAAUUUUUAAUCUUUAAAACAAUUAUAUAUUUAUAAUGUAGUUAUUUUUUUUAUAAUUUUAUUUGAAAUUUUAAAGAUUUUUUUGGUUUGUUUUCUAGAUUAUGAUGCCAUCAUAAUGUCAUCAUAUGCCACAUGGCAAUUUAUGAUUAGUUGGAUAUCUCAAUCUAUUUUUUUAACGUCCAAUGGACUAAGCCAAGAACACCUGACAAUGUUAGAGACUACACUACGAAUGUUUGAUAAUAUUACGUAUUAAAGUGGACAAAAAAAAUUAAGGACCAAAGUUAUAAAAAAAAAAAAAAAACAGCAAUCGGCUGCAGGGAAUAAACUGUGCAUUAAGCCAUUAAAAAUAUAUCUAUAAUAUAUAUAAAUGCAUGGAUUUUGAGAAACAUUUGAACUGAUAAUUACAUAGUCUUUGAUGUUUACUAUAUUAUUGAAUUUGUUAUUUUAAAUAUUUUUUUAUUACUUUUAAGAUUUAUCAUAUGUAUGGAUAAGAAUUUUGGUUUUACUAAAAUAUUUGGUUAAAUAAAUUCAUUUAAUAAGAAAAUUUAGCAUCCUUAUAAAUAACAAUUUUGAUUCUAUUAAAAAUUAUUUUCAAAAAUAUAUAAUAAAAAUUUAAAAUUUAUAUUGAAUUACUUUAUACUUAAAUUAUUAUUAGAAACUUUAUCAUACACAUACGUGUAUGAGAACCAUGUAUUUAGAACAUAAAUUUGUUUUUUAAAGUAACUUAUGAUAAAUAAUGAAAUGUAUAAUUUGAAACUAUUUAAUAAUAACACAUGUCAUAUCUACCAUAUUAAAAUAAAAAUAGAUUAAAUUGUAAGUAAAACAUAAUUUAAACAUAUGAAUACAUCAAAUUAAGAAUACUAAAUGAAUACAGUUAUUUAUGAUGAUGUUGUUGCCAAUUCUUAAGUUGGUGCCGAGUUAAUUUGUGACAUCAUAAAUUUAGGUGAUAAAUUUAAGGUUUUAUGUAUUGAUGUGGAUUCAAAUAUCACCAUAAUUUUUUUAAAUAAAAAACUAAAAUACCCUCAAAUAAUAUAACUUAUAUUAAAUACGAAAGGGUAUUUUUGUAAUUUCUCUAACCGAGUUGGUGCCCGGUUGACUCAUGACACCAACUCAAUCAAAAGCUUCAAUAAUAAUAUAGAUAUUCACGGUAAAAAAAAUUACUUUAGUUCCAAAUAAUUAUAUAACAAGUAAAUUUAUAAUUGACGAAUAAAUUUAUAAAUAAUAUAUUUAUAUGAUCUAAUAUAUUAUAUUUAUAUUAAUUAUAUAUCAUCUACAAACUUUGAAGAUUAAUUUAUUAAGUAUCAAGAAAAGAAAAAAUGAAAUUUAAUUAACACUAAAUCAAUUUUUAGAUUUUGUACAGAUGAUUUAAUGAUGAUAAAAAAAAUAUUAGCACUAUUUUCGAAUUAACAAAAAAUUAGUGAUAUAUUUUAAUUAUAUUUAUUAUUUAUUUUUUAAUAAUUUUUUUAAUUAUAUGAAGUAAAAUUAUAUUGUAUACUAAAAAUGGUACAUAUACUUUAAUUAUACUUGAAAAUUUAUUAUAUAAAUUAAUAUAUUUUAAUUAUAUUUAACCAUUUGAAUAACAAAAUAAAAAAAAACUAAUUAGAAUAAUUUAUUUUUUAAAGUCUAAUGGAAAUUAAAAAAUUAAAAAUAAAGCAGUUCAUAUAAAACUUAUUGUUUAUUAUCAGAUUAAAAUGAUAAAAGUAUAUGACCAAAAUAAAAGAAACAAAUUCAACUCAAUGUUUUUGGAGUUUGGAAAAAAUUAAAGUUAAAAACAUACCUUCUAAUUUGUUGUUAAAUAGAUCUAUUUCUUCGAGCGUAGUCGAAUUAAAAAUACUUGAUGGAAUCUGACCUGCACACAUAGUCGAAAAUUGAAGUAAAAAACAUACCUUCUAAACUGUUCAACUAAAAAUACUUUAAGCAUAUUUUUUAGUAAACUGUGCAACAGGUGAUAUGAGAAUCUAUGUAUAUAAAUGUAUAUGUAUAUAUAUCGUUGUUUCAUUUUGUAAAAUAAAUAUAUUUUCCACAUUGGUUUCUUUUCUUCUACAGACAAAGGAUUUCUAAUGAUUCUUUUUUAUUUUUACUUAUAAAAUAGGUUAGUUUCUGCAAUAAUAAAAACAAUUUCUAAUGAUUAUUGUUGUUACCAGAUAACUAAUUUUCAUUCAAGUAAAGCCCUUCAAGCUUGGGAAAAUGUUGACACAUAUCAUUAGGCAAACUACCUGAUAGGCUAUUGUUGGAGAGAUCAAUGGUCUUCAGAGAAGAAAUGUUCGAGAUCGAAGUUGGAAUCUGACCUGUAAGGCCUUUAAUUUCUUUAAUAUUAAGCAUUUCCAAACUAAGAAGAUUACCAAUUUCCUUAGGAAUUUGACCUGCAGACAGUCAAAAAAUCAAUGUUUUUCAGCAUAUGUUUUUCAUCAAAUGAAAUAAAAAGUUCUUCCUUUUGUUAUCUAUUACAAAUCAAACUCUUUUAUAAAAAAAAAACUUUAAAUUCAAGAAAUCAAGGAAAUUGAUUACCUUCUAGAUUAUUAAACCCUAAAUAUAACUUCUGGAGUCGUGUUAGAUUUCCAAUACUUCUUGGAAUGAUACCCAUAAAUUGAUUAUAGGACAACGACAAAAUUUGAAGGUUGUUGCAUUUGCCCAUGCCAAAUGGAAUGUUACCAGAUAAUUCAUUCAAACUCAAGUAAAGCCCUUCAAGCUUGGGAAGAUGUUGACACAUAUCAUUAGGCAAACUACCUAAUAGGCUAUUGCUGGAGAGAUCAAUAAUCUUCAGAGAAGAAAUCUUGAAGAUGGAAGAUGGAACCUGACCAGAUAAUUGAUUGAAUCCCAAGUUCAAGAUCUCUAGAUUAGACAUGUUAACAAGUGUUUCAGGGAUUGUGCCUGUAAAGUUAUUGUUUUUCAUUUUCAGCCUUCGAACUCUUUGUAAGUUCCCAAGCCAUGAUGGAAUUUCCCCAUUCAGACGGCUGUAGCUUAAUUGAAGGAUCCUCAAACGAUGCAAUUGGCCCAAUUCUUUAGGGAGAUGGCCAUAGAAAUGGUUGCUACUCAAGUCGAGAGAGAGUAGAAAUGAAAGAUUUCCAAGGUGUGGAGGGAUAGUACCCCUAAGAUUCAUGCUUGUAAGAUUCAAAGCUAUAACUCUUUUAAGAAGGAUGCCACAAGAAACACCAAUCCAAUUGCAAACAGAGGUUGAGACUGUCCAAUUGUUUGGCAAGACAUUUUGAGGACCGACGAUGCGAUCCUUAAACUCGAGAAGUGCAAACUGAUCGGAGUUUAGAUUCCUGACUGUCAUAGCCAAGCAAAGUACGAAACAUGGUAUGAAUAAAGCUAAAAGAAGAUGAAAGCAAGUGUUGUAGUUCAUGAUUGCAAGACGGAAUAAGCCAAGAAAAUAAAAAAAAGUAGGAAAAGGGAAGUUGAGUUGAUAAAAUAGUUUGGAUGAUGAAGAAAAGCCCUGAGAGCAUGCUUUAAUAUGUUUCAAUCAUCGCACACUUGAUAAACUUGAUAAAUUUAAGACUACCCUAAAAAUUAAAAAGGAAAGCAAAGUUUUGAAGAAAUUUCAAAAUAAAUGUCAAGUCUUCUUCUUUUAAAAAUACGUACAAAGAAGCGAAUUUUCAAAAUUUCUACUAAAUUUUCUUCACAUUACUCCACAUAAUCCAUUAAAAAAACUUCAAAAAAAAAUAUUUUAUUAAUUACUAUAUAUUCUUUUAUUUUCAGAAUAAUAAUUGUUUAAAAUAUGCUAUUAGUCCCUGUAAUUUUAAAGUUAAAAAAAAUCCAAUCCUCCUAUUUUUCUAAUUUAAAAAUUCUAGUCCAAUCAUUUUUAAUUCCAUUAAAAAAUUUCACCUUAAUAGGUUUUUUGAUUAUCAAUCGUAUGCAACAUUAUAUGAAGGCAGUCUAAUCAGCAUAUAUCCAAGUUUAUAGAUUUUAAUAGAAAAUACUUACAAUCCUAAUGGUAGGACUAAGUUUUUUAAACUAGAAAAGUAAGAAGACUUAAUUUUUAACUUUUUAAGUACAAGGAUUAAAUUUUAAAUGUUGUCAAAGUACAAGGAUUAAAUUUUAAAUGUUGUCAAAGUACAAGCACUAACAAAAUAUUUUGAUCUAAUAAAUGUAAAUGAACUUUUUAAACAAAAUAAGGUUGAAAUAAUCUAUUUGUCGUUGUAUUUUGAUAAAAUUUGAGAUUUAGUCUUUAUACCUAAAAGGUUAAAAAUUAAGUCUUCUUGUUUUUAUUUAAAAAUCUUAGUCCUAUCGUUAAAUUUUUUUGUCAAAAUUUGUCAACUUUACAUAUUAAUUAGGUUUCCCUUGUAGGUCGUGGUAUAUGACUAACACAAAAUAAGCAAUUAAGUUGACAAAUUUUGACAAAAAAUAUCAAAGAUGAUAAUAAUUGGAUUAAAAUUUUUAAAUUGAAUUUAUAACCUUUAAUGUAUAAGGAAUGGAUAUCAAAUUUUUAUAGGAAUAAAGGGACUAACAACAUAUUUUAACCACAAAAUAAUAUGGGUGAUUAGAAUGAAUCUAAAAUUUUAUAGAAAUAAAAGAGACUAACAACAUAUUGAUAACUUUGAAAUCUCCUUCGAUAAUCCUUUUUCUACGUAGAAAAAGAAAAUUAAUUAGCAUCUAAAGUGUCAAUUAAUGAAACCUUCAAGAGAAAAUGUGAAAUUGAUUUACCAAACAAUAAUAUUCUAACUUAUAAUAUAUUUAAUUACAUUUAGUAAUUUGUCAAUCAAAACUUAAUUAACAUCCAUCAAUACUUUAUAUAUAAAAAACGCAAGCAUAAAUUACAGUUUAAAGUAAUUGGGAUCUCGAGUGCAACAAAUUCCUCCUUUUAUUAUUAAAUGUUUUAUUUUAGUUACUCUAAUCAAAACUUAAUUAACAUCCAUCAAUACUUCAUACAUAAAAAACGCAAGCAUAAAUGACCAUUUAACUCAUAUUUAACUUUGCAAGUAAACUUCACUAAUUAUAGAGUUAUAGUGUAAACUUUGAAAAUAUAAGUAAAUUUACCAUUUAACUCAGACUUAACUUUGCAAGUAAACUUAAAAUUUUAUUUAAUUUUGUCACUAAAUUUGAUUUGUUCAAUAUAGAUUUUGGUGACUUAAAACAAAAUUAAUAAAAAAUUAUUCUUUCGGAUAUCUUUUUAAUGUUUAAUAAUAAGUUAAUUUAUAAAAUAUACUUUCAUUGGGCACAGGCCUCCAAGCCGGUGAACCACUGAUCAAAUUAAUUUGGAGAUAUCUUUUUUCUGAAUAAAGUGAAUUUACCAGUUUUGUUUUCUUUUAAAAAUAUUUUUAAUAUUUUUGUGGAUAUCAAGAGAUACCAAAAAUUAUUUCUCUAAAAAAUUUUAUUUGACUCGAAAAGUUAGUGUUUUAUUUCAAGGGGUCAUAAUUAAUCAUUAGAUUUCUCAAUUUUAAAUUUUGAAUUUUUUCACAAUUGCGUAAUUAAUAAGUUCCAAUUUUGAGUGUUGUGGGGCUAGUAAAAUCUUCCUUACACAUAACCGACUCUUGAACCUACUCUUUUCUUUAGAAUUCAAUGCAGACCUCAAAUUUAUCUUUUGAAAAGAAUUUUAAAAUCUCUGUAUAAAAGGUGUUUCUUUUUGUUACCGAUCACAUUUAACAAAAAUUUAAAAAUUAUUAAAAAAUAAUUUCUUUUUGAAAUUUAAAAUGAUCUAAAAACAUAUUUUUAAUUGCUUUGGACCAUCUAUUGCUGAUUUCCUUAUUAUAUUAAGUGUUUGCAAUCACUCUUAAUAUAUUGUGCUUGAGUUGUGACAAAGCCGAUCGUCAACGUGCCAUAAUGAUCAAUUGACGCUGAAACUGAAGUUUUUGUUAUAUUGAUAGAGCUUGUCCUUCAACGCAUACAACGUGUUUGUUAUUUUUCUCCCUUCAAAUUGUAUGAUCUUAUUCAUUAAAUGAAUUAAUGAAUAUCCCUUUUAAAAAGAUAUAUUUUUAAAAAUUAAAUACUUCAUAAAAUAUUUAAAACCAUUUAAAAAUUUGUUAGCCUUAAAACAAUCAACAAAAUAUAUUUUUCUCUAAAAAAUCAAUAAAAAUAUGUUUGAAAUUUUAUAUGAAAUUUAAAAUUUUUUAACAAUAAUAUAUUUUAAAAUUAUAGUAACGCUACAAAAUAUAUAUAUUUACUAAUUAUAUACACCUUUUUUAUAUUUUUUCCUAACAUAUCAUUAUUUUCAACAUUAUCGUAAUCCUGUUUUUAUAAUUCCCUUGUCAUACAUCCUUUUUCUACUUAGAAUUUCAAAAGAAAAUGUGAAUUAAUGUAGACGUGAGAAGACUUCAAGGUAAGUCACCCAAUGAAAGUGACCUAAACCGACUUAUGGAAGAAUCAAACAAUAAUUUUGUGUCUUGUAAUAUAUUUCUUGUAAUAUAUUUAAUUACAUUUAUUAGUUUAUCAAUCAAAACUUAAUUAGAAUCCAUCAAUAUUUCACACAUCAAAAACCCAAACAUAAAAUUCACUUCUAAAUUAUUUGGGAUAUAUUUGUAUUAUAGGAAAUGGAUUAAAUUAGUCUUUUUAUUAUAAAAUGUAUUAUUUUAAUCUUUGUAUUAGGUAUGAAUGAUAUCUCCUAGAUUGAACCCAAAGCUAUUCUUGAAAGACUGAAAUUAGGAUUUAGAUGUGUUGAGAUGGAAAGUGACAACACAAUGUUGAUUGAAACUAUUUGUAAUGGGUUGGCUACAAUAAGUAGUGCUGUCGAAAUAAGACAGAUUCACGAUUAGUCUUCCAAAAAUUGGGAAGUCAAAUUUCGACAUAUUUAGCGGAAUGCCAAUAAAAUUGUUGAUUGCUUAGCUAAGGCAAAUGGAGGGGUAAUUGAGCAGCUGGUUAUCUUGGAAGAUCCUCCGCAUUAUGUGAGAUGCUAGCUUGAAGAAGAUAUUAACAGUCACUGGUCUGAUGAUAAUUUUCAUUUGGACUGAUGAGCGCUUAAUUUUCUAAGCUUAUGGUCAACAAAAAAAAAUUAAAUACGUCUAAAUUGUAAUAGAGUUAACAUUUAGUGUUUAAAAAAUAUCUUAAAAUUUAUUUUUUCCAAUUGCAGUUCAAUUCCACAAAUAUCGACGAUGAACCCGAACAUAAAAAUUACAAAAAAAAACACAUCUAUUAUCAAACCAACAAUCCAUGUCUAAACUUAAAUUAACAAAAUUCACCACGCAACCUGGUACACUAUUUUAUAUAUAUAUAUAUACUAGAUUUAUUCUAGAUGCACAUGUUUUAUUAUAUUUAAAAAUUAAAAUAUAUGGUUGACUAAGUUUUAGUUGAAUUAGUAUUUGUUAAAAAUAUAAUGUUGGUAAUGACAAUAUAUAGCAAAGAAAAUAGAAAUAGAAAAAUAAAGAACACACAUAUUUUACGUGGAAACCCUUUCGGGAAAAAACCACAGGCAAAAGAGAAGAAAAUUCACUAUGUCGAAUUCAAAUCAAUUACAAGAGGAGUAGACUAUGCCUAUUUAUAGGCUUGGAAACCUUAUUCUAAUAGGAGUGAAACUCUUUAUUCUAAUAAUAUCAAAUAGAUGGAGUUUAAUAAGGUUUAAAAAACCUUAUUCUAAAAUAAAAUAAAAGAAGUAUAAUUCUAUAGGGAUUUUACUUUUAUUUUAUUUUACCAUAGUAUUUAAUUUAAAUAAGGAUUUGGGUCACUUAAUUCUAACAAUCUCAACCUUGACACGAAUUCUUAAUGAACAAGUUCUUCAUCGCGAACUCUCAACGAACAAGUUUCUCCACCUCUUCCAUAAAACCCCUUAAGGGUUUAUUUUCAACAAUGAACACCAACCAAGUCUAAGCAGUGCUCAAACUUGGUUAUAGGAAGUGACUUAGUCAUCAUAUCUACAGGAUUUUCAUGAGUACUAAUUUUGCUCACAACAAUAUCACCACGAGCAAUAAUAUCACGAACAAAAUGAUACCGAACAUCAAUGUGUUUUGUUCUCUCAUGAAACAUUUGAUCUUUUGUAAGGAAGAUGGCACUUUGACUGUCACAAAAUACUGUAUUAAUUUGAAGGUCUUCAUUGAGUUCACUAAAGAGUCCGUUCAACCAAAUAGCUUCUUUGCAAGCCUCAGUAAUCGCCAUGUGCUCAGCUUCAGUGGUAGACAAAGCGACUGUAGUUUGCAAAGUGGCUUUCCAACUGAUUGCACAACCUCCGAUUGUAAAGACAGAACCUGUGAGAGAUCUUCUUCUAUCCAGGUCUCCAGCAAAAUCAGCAUCAACAUACCCAAUGACUCCAUCUCUAGUUCUUCCAAACUGUAAGCAAACAUCGGUAGUACCUCGUAAGUAUCUUAAAACCCACUGAACUACUUUCCAAUGUCUUUUAUCGAGAUUCGCCAUGUAUCUACUAACUGCACUAACUACAUAUGAUAAAUCUAGAUGUGAACAAACCAUGGCAUACAUGAGAGAUCCUCCUGCACUAGAGUAUGGAACAUGUGACAUGUACUCAAUCUCAUCAUUUGAUUGUGGAGACAAAGCUGAUGAUAGUCUGAAAUGGGCUACUAAAAGAGUACUAACAGGCUUAGCAUUCUGCAUAUUGAAUCUAGAAAGAACUUUCUCAAUGUACCCUUUCUGACUUAGGUACAAUUUACUUGCUUUUCUAUCCCUGAGAAUCUCCAUACCAAGUAUCUUCUUUGCUGGUCCCAAGUCUUUCAUCUCAAAUUCUUCACUUAGUUGGGCUUUGACCUUUCUUAUCUCUCAUUUAUCUUUCGCUGCUAUCAAUAUGUCAUCAACAUAAAUGAGUAGAUACACAAAAGAACCAUCAUUGUUUUUCUUAAAGUAAACACAACUGUCAAAGCUACUUCUUUUAAAAUCAUGAGAAGUCAUAAAGGAAUCAAACCUCUUAUACCACUGUCUUGGUGACUGUUUCAAACCGUAAAGAGACUUUUUUAGCAAGCAAACAUAGUCCUCUUUUUCUGAGACUGUAAAACCCUCUGGUUGUUGCAUGUAAAUAUCCUCCUCAAGUUCUCCAUGCAAAAAUGUAGUUUUUACAUCUAACUACUCAAGCUCCAAAUCAUGCAUGGCCACAAUACCAAGCAAAGCUCGAAUCGAACUAUGCUUCACAACUGGAGAGAACACAUCUGUGAAGUCCACUCCUGGAAUUUGACUGUAACUAUUUGCAACAAGCCUUGCUUUAUAUUUGGGUUCUUCAACUCUUGGAGUCCCCUCUUUCUUUUUAAACACCCAUUUACAACGAACAAUCUUUUUAACUUUGGGAAGUUUCACAAGAUCCCAUGUUUUGUUUUUGUGGAGUGAUUCUAUCUCCUCUUGCAUAGCAAACAUCCACUUUUCUGAAUCUUCACAACUAAUCGCCUUAGAAUAAUUAGAUGGCUCUUGGUUUGCAUCUAUAUCUUCAGCCACAUUUAAAGCAUAAGCAACUAGAUCAGCCUCAACAUACUUCUUUGGAGGUUUAAUUUCUCUUCUAGUUCUAUUUUUGGCGAUAGAGUAUUAUGGUGAAGAAGCAACUCUAUUUUGAAUUUUCGUACUGGCUUUAGUAGUCGACUCUGUUGUAGAUUCUAGAUCAAUCUGAUGCUCCACCUGCUUUAGAUUUUCUUUAUUGGAAGUCUUUAAGAGAUAACUUAGGUAGCAUAGCAGUUUCAUCUAAAACAUCUCUGCUAAUCACAACUUUUCUAUUUUCAGGACACCAUAACUUAUACCCUUUUACACCAGCUUUAUAACCAAGAAAAACACAUUUAGUAGAACUCGGUUCCAAUUUUCCAUUAUCAACAUGAGCAUACGCAGGACAACCAAAGAUUUUUAAAUUAGAAUAGUCAGCAAGAUUACCAGACCAUACUCUUGUGGAGUCUUUUUCUCAAUGGCAACGGAUGGAGAUCGGUUGAUCAAAAAACAUACAGUAGAGGCUGCUUCUGCCCCAAAAUGACUUUGAUAAGUUGGCAUUUGACAACAUAUAUCAAACCUUCUCCAUGAUCAUUUUGUUUAAUUUUUCUGCAAUGCCGUUUUUCUAUGGAGUAUGACGAACUGUCAAGUGUCUCACGAUCCCUUCUGACUUGCACAGUUUAUUAAAUUCAUCAGAACAGAACUCUAAGUCAUUGUCUGUGCAGAGGCAUUUUAGUUGCUUUCCUAUCUAUUUUUCAAUCAUGGUUUUUCAAGACUUAAAUGAGGAAAACACAUCACUUUUCCGCUUUAGGAAGAAUGCCUACACUUUUCUAGAAAAAUCAUCAAUUAAAGUUAGCAUAAGUAGCUCCACCUCUCGAAGGCACUCUGGAUGGCCCCCACAGAUCAGAAUGAAUAUACUCUAACGUUCCCUUCAUGUUAUGGAUUCCUCUGGUGAAUCAGACUCUCUUUUGCUUCCCAAAAAUGCAGUGCUUACAGAACUUCAGUUUGCAAAUUUCUUGCCCAUUAAGAAGUCCUCUUUUGCUCAAUUCUGCCAUGCCAUUCUCACUCAUAUGCCCUAGGCGCAUAUGCCAAAGUUUAGUAAUAUCAUCAUCUGACAAGGAAGAGGAUGAGACAGUUGCAUCACCAGUAACAGUAGAACCCUGCAAAACAUAUAACUUGGCAGUCUUUCUCUGCCCUUUCAUCACAAUGAGGGAACCUUUGGAAAUCUUCAAAACCCCACUUUCAACUGUGUAUUUGUACCCUUUUGAAUCAAGAGUACUCAACGAAAUUUAAUUUAUUUUUAAUUUUAGAACAUGUCGUACGUCAGUGAGUGUUCUGACAACUCCAUCAAACAUCUUAACUCUGAUUGUUCCAACACCUGCAAUUCUACAUGAAGCAUUAUUUCCCAUCAACACAAUACCUUCAGACACUAUUUCGUAAGUUGUAAACCAAUCCCGAUUGGGACUCAUGUGGAAGGUGCAACCCGAAUCAAGGAUCCACUCCUCGUCACUUUGGAAUUGUCGAUUGAAGUGACUAGAAGUUCACCAUCGCUGUAAUCUUCUACAACAUCAGCUUUACCAGAAUUUUCUAGUUGUUUUCCAUUUUGAUUCGCAGCCUCCCUUUUGAUCUUGUUCUGUAGCUUAUAGCACUCAGUUUUAAUGUGCCAUUUCUUCUUGCAAAAGUUACAAGUUUUACCUCUGUUUGAAGACUACUUUUAGAUUUACUGCGAGGAUUCCGUUCCUGUGUCCUUCCAUGAUCAUCAUCAGCAUUCCGAUCUUGUCUCCCAUGAACAAUAAGACCCUCUCCCCGAGAGUCGAUUUUAAGCACAAGAUGCUUCAUCUUAUCAUACGAGGUUAAAGAAUCAUAAACCUCAUCAACUGUGAGAGACUCGCGGUUAUAUAAAAUCGUAUCUCUAAAGGAUGAAUAAGAUGAGGGCAACGAACAAAGUAGAGUCAACCCUAGAUUUUCCUUAUCAUACUGAACCUCCAUGGCCUCCAAGUUUGAGAGAAUUUCUUUGAACACUAUUAAGUGUUCGUGCACAGAUGCACCUUCCUCCAAACGAUAAGCAUAAAGACGCUGCUUCAUAUGUAGCUUGAUAGUUAGAGUUUUCGACAUACAUAUCUAUUCCAACCUCUUCCAUAAUCCAGCAGCAGUCUUUUCCUUCAUCACAUCCUGCAAAAUUUUGUUAGACAAAUGCAGAUGUAACUGUGUUAAUGCCUUUCAAUCCUUGCACUUCUUCUUUUCUUUCGUCAAUGUUGAAGGCAUCUUAUCUACCCCUAGUAGGGCUUCCUCUAAGUCCAUCUGUGCAAGAACUGCUUGCAUCUUUAUCUGCCACAAUGCAAAUCUAGUAUUGCGAUCCAACAGCAGAAUUUUGUACUUCAAAGACGUUAUUACCGUGAUUGAGAUGAACAACCCAGAAGCUCUGAUACCAAUUUGUUAAAAAUAUAAUGUCGGUAAUGACAAUAUAUAGCAAAGAAAAUAGAAAUAGAAAAAUAAAGAACACACAGAUUUUACGUGGAAACCCUUUCGGGAAAAACCCACGGGCGGAGGAGAAGAAAAUUUACUAUGUCGAAUUCAAAUCAAUUACAAGAGGCGUAGACUAUGCCUAUUUAUAGGCUUGUAAACCUUAUUCUAAUAGGAGUGAAACUCCUUAUUCUAAUAAUAUCAAAUAGAUGAAGUUUAAUAAGGUUUAAAAAACCUUAUUCUAAAAUAAAAUAAAAGAAGUAUAAUUCUAUAGGGAUUUUACUUUUAUUUUAUUUUAUCACAGUAUUUAAUUUAAAUAAGGAUUUGGGUCACUUAAUUCUAAUAGUAUUGAUAUUAUUGUCAGUGUAGGAAAAUAUGAGUUUAAUCAUGCUCAAAUGUGUUUUAUCCUCCAAUUCAAGAGUUAGGAAAAGGUUAUUGAUAAUUAAAUUAUACCAACUUUUAUGAUAUUAAAAAAGGGUUUAUAAAUAAUAUAAGGAAAAGAAAAAAAAGCGAGAAACAUAUUCAUAUUGAUAUUAGACUUUUUUUUUUCUAUCACAAGUAAAAAUAUCAAAGGUGAUAAUAAUUAAAUUAAAAAAUUUAAAUUGAAAAAAUAGGGGAUUGAAUUUAUAACUAACAACAUAUUUUAACCACAUAAUAAAAGUAGUUAUGAAGAGGAUCAUGUAAAAUAAUGACCUGAAUAAUUUUAAACGUCUCAUUCUUGCAAAAAUGAAAUAAUAGAAAAGAAAUAAGUGUUGGGUGUAGUGACAAUGUACAUUAUACUUCUAAGGGGAGAUCAGGGUUUUAGGCAAGGGAAGAAUUUAAUUUAAACCUACUUUUUUUUCUCUAGAACUCAACCCAAACCUCAAAUUUAUCUUUUUAAAAGAAUUUUAAAAGAUCUAUAUAAAAGGUGAUUUUUUUUUAUCGAUUACACUUAACAAAAUUUUAAAAUUUCUUUUUUUGAAAUUUAAAGUGACCUAAAAACAUAUUUUUAAGUCCUUCAGACCAUCCUGUGCUGAUUUCUUUAUUAAUUUGAUUUGUUCAAUAUAGAUUUUGGUGACUUAAAACAAAAAUAAUAAAAAAUUAUUUUUUCAGAUAUGUUUUUAAUGUUUAAUAAUAAGUUAAUUUAUAAAAUAUACUUUCAUUGGAUACAGGCCUCCAAGGCGGUGAACCACUGAUCAAAUUAAUUUAGAGAUACCUAAAUUUGCUUUCAUCAAUUAAGAAAUUAAAAAAAAAUUGCUGAGACCUCAUGAUUAUCUUUUAUAAUUUCAGGCUUAUCACCAAAAACUAAAAAAUAAAAACGUCGACAUUAAAUUUGUUGGUAUGCAAUCAAUUUUAAGAUGGUUUUUGGAGUUAUAUAUCACUUUAGCAUGGACUUACUUUUCUACAGUUAGUCUUCUCCAACAAGUUAAAUAUUUAAAUUUUAACAACAUUGACAGGUCUUUGGGGUAGGGUCGAGCAAAACUCAAUAGAAACAGAUGAUAUAGAUUGAGUUGGCUCGGCCAAGUCGAGUCGACUUGUUCAAAUUAGUUAAAUUAGUAAAUUUUAGGGUGCAGUUAGUAUUUUUUGUUUUGAGAUGCUAAGAUUAAAAAAUUUCAGUUGUUAAAACAAAAAAAUUGUAUUAAAAAAAGGCAUAAAUUAAAUUAUUAAGUUUUUCAAGUUUCCAUUUAAUCAAAGGUUAAAAGGACUAAAUUGAAGCUUUUUAUUUUUAAGAAAGGCUGAAUGACAAAUUGCCCAAAGCCCAUGCCCCUAGCUAUACGCCCCUGGUAAAAUCAAUUUUAAAAUUAGUUAUAAUAGUUGAAGCGAAUUGAUUAUUGAGUAAUGAAAUACAUAGUUCAACAAAAAAAAUAAGUUGACAAAUUUUGACAAAAAAAUAUCAAAAAUGAAAUAAUAGAAAAGAAAGAGUAGGCAUUUUAUGAAAUUUAUAAUUCCAUGAAUAAAAUAUAAAUUUUAUGAAUGUGGACGAGCCAUUUUUUUAUAAUUUUCAGUGUUUUUCUUCUUUUUCUUACUUUUUUUAAAGUAUUUUUCUUUGUUUCCUAACCACCAUGAAAUUACUUGUCACAAUUCAUCUUUUCAAAUGAGAAACAUUUUCCACAAUUUGCCAUCACUUCAACAUACACUAACUUUUCUAUGAUUAGUCCUUGGUUUGCUUCGGGUGCAAUCUUCCAACUAGCCUUAUCCUUGGUUUUACUUUCCAACAUUUAGUGUAUCACGAGUUUUGUUUUCUUUAAAAAAAUAUUUUCGUGGAUAUUAGGAGAUAAUGAAAAUUAUUUUACUAUGAAAUUUUAAUAAAACUGGAAAAUAAGUAAUUUAUUUUAAGCGAUCACAAUUAAACAUUAGAUUCCAAUUUUUUAAUUUUUUUUUUACAAUUGCAUAAUAUUUUGAGCAUUGUAGGAAUGCCAUAACCUUCCCUACGCAUAAUAUACUCUUGAGCAUGAUGGAUCCUAGACCUUCUUUAUUCUCGUACCACAAAUUGCUUCAAGUGUGGGUUCGAACAAUCACAAAUUAAACACAAAACCAGAAAUGAUUUAUUACUUUCAAUAGCAAAGUAAUUCUCUUUCAAUAGAAACCAAUAAAAUUGUAAUUCCUAGAAAAUUAAAAUUUAUUUUUUCAAAAUAUCUUCUCUCUACUUUCUAGCAGAAUAACAAUAUGCGAAACUUAUGUCUUGUGUUAAUAGCCCUACCGGUACUAUCUAUUUAUAGGGAGAGACACGAGAAUCCUAGUUGAAUUAGUAAAACACAAAUAAUAUUUAUUUCAUAGAAACCAACAUUCUACCCUAAGUAGAUCAAGUUUGGAUGACGCAUGGAUCGAAGCUCAAUCUAGGGGAAAAAAAUAAAGGAAUUUUCUUUGUAAAGAAAAUCUGAGAUUAUACUAUUUUCGAAGUUAUAAAUAAAAUUAUACGCCAAAUUUUGAAGUCAAUUUUCAACUCAAAUGUUGUAUGUACAAAUUUCUAAUACACUUGGUGGGACAUUCUUUAACUUUUAUCUAUUCUCUCAAAACGUUAAAGUUCAAAGUUGCAUUAAACUCAAAAAAGAUAAUCAUUAGUAAACCAGCACACAAGCCUACUCAAGCUAAUCCUACAACUCGUUCCACUUCAUCAUCAAACACCAAUGUUCUUGCUUAUCCUUAUGGAAUUAAACAAAAGACAAAAGCUCUUUAAAGUUAUUUGAACAGACUUCUUUAAUGGUAAAUGAUAAUCCACUCUAUGAUGCUUCUUCGCCCAACUCAUGAUUUAAAAGAAGUUUCUACUCAUAGAUCAAGUGUAGCUCGCCAGUUAUCAUUAAGGAGAAAAAGGAGUCAAUCAAGUGAAAAUUAUAUUCCAACAUCUCCCCAGAACCAAAUUUCAUAGUGAUGAAUGUCAUGACAACUGACACUACAUUCUUAGAAGAAUAAGUAGAUUUCUAGCAAAAACGAUGGAGAGUUUUACUACAAGCAUAAAAGAAAUGGAUGAUCAAAUUGAACAUCUUAGUGGAAGUAACCAAACCUUUUCCAACGAAACUCAACAUCCUCUUCACAAAGUUGUUGGAAUCUUAAUUGUUGAAGGACUUUAAAGUGUUUCUUUAGAUCAACUCAAGGAGUUUAUUAAAAAAACCAUCAAAGAUCAAGUCAAAAGUGUUACUUUGCCUUCAUAUACAUACUCAAAGUCAUACAUCUGAAGGAUUUAUCAUUUGAAUAUGCCUGAGCAUUAUCCACCUUUAAAAUUGUAAUAGUUUGAUGGUAAAGGAAAUCCAUGUAAACAUGUCGUUCACUUCAUGGAAACUUGUGAUCGCGUCGAUGUAACACCCCACUCGUGACCCAAUCGCUGGAUUCAAGAAGAGAGAUACCAAAAUCAUGUUGGAAAAAAUCUUCGAUAAGUGUAGCAUGAGUGCUCACACUCUCCAAACACUCCAUACUAUCUUUGGUAUUGAAGUUAAGCUUGACACUCCCUUAUCUCUCUAAUGUUAUCUUCAGGCCAUAAUGCCCUAUCACAUAGUAAAAAAGGUGAGUACUCACAAUCCUAUGGCAUGCCAAUGAUAUCUAAUGGUUUCAAGUGUUCACAAUGCCAACAUAUGUUUUGUAUCACAUUCACUUUACACAAUUUAAAAGGGCUCACAAUACAGCAGAUCUCACGUAUAAUAGUUUUUAAUAACACAAUUCACAUUUCUGUAGGGCUCGUAUUAUAUAUAAGUUCGUAAUAACAUGGAUUCGCAUAACACUUAUGGCUCGCAUAUAUUUAGGGCUCAUAUGUAACAGUUGGGAUCCUAUAUAUUUAAACUCGCAUAAUACAGGGGCUCGCACGACAUAUUUUGGCUUGCAUGCAAUAUAGGGCUUGAUCACAUAUAUAGGUUCACAUGAUCUUAGGGCUCGCAUCACAUAUAUAAGCACGCAUGAUACAUGGGUUCACUCAACAUGUAUAUAUCAACUCGUGCAUCAAAGUAUAGGCUCGCAAGCAUUAAGGUGAUAGAGUUUGCAAACAAUUUAGAGCUCGCACACAUCAUAGGCUUGCAUACAUACAUGUUAGCAAGGUCUGCAGGUUACAAAUCGAGGCUCACAUAACUAUAGAGGCUUGCAUGGAAAUAUAAAAUUGUUCAGAUAUCAUUUUAAUCGGCUUCACACAUUAAAUCAAAUGGUUUGCAUGCAUUCCUUGGCUUUCAUUAGCAUGCGAACUCGUGUUUUUAACACAGUGUGCAAGGACACUCACUAGUUGUUUGUUGAUACUGUCGAACCUAUACCACCUUUUGCUUGACUUUUUCCUUGCUCAUGGAUGCACCUUCACAUUGAAAGGAUUUGCAUAAAACAAGAAAUAAUACAGAUUACUACUUUCACAGACAUAAUAACCUUCUUAACAAACAUAGUAGCGAAUCUUCCAAUCUUCCUUAAUAAUUCCUUAAAUGAAGCUAAACCAAAAUGCAUUAUAAAUUCAAUCAAUUUACCAUUAAACCAGCCCCCAAACACCCACUUAUAAGUUCAAACUGAUCAUUGAAAUUAUAAUUAUUUUAUGAAUCCAAACUAGUUAGAUUCCUUAAACUGUAUUGAUGCGAAUUGUAUGUACAAUCGUUCUUCACCUUUACGGAUGAUUUGGGGUGUUUGGGUCAACACCUAAUUCAAUAAUAUACUGGAAAACUAGUAGUUAACCAAUUCAUAACCUUUACCCAACAACUAUGUCGAAAUAACAAACUAGUUUAUAAUUAAUCGUACUUAUACCAAAUUGCGAGAUCUGAAUGGCUAAUUGAUCAAGAAUGUGUUUUGUAACAUCCCAAAAAUUAGGUUAGAAGAAAUGGGGCUUUGAAACCAAGAGUGGUCAUCCCCCGAUUAUGAGUUUAGAUCUUGGAAAAUUUGACAAGUAAACUGAUCUGGUUAAUGGUUAAGUGUCUUGGUUAUAUGUGUCAGGUUUUGGGUUCAAAUCUUGUUUUUGGAAAUUUUGUUACUUUGCUUAAACUCUUACCUUGAAUGUUUGGUUUAUAAGUUAAAUUUAGUCAAUUGAUGUCAAGAAUGAGUCUAUUGGUUCAAUGGUUAAGUUUUUGUAUAAUCAUUGGUCUUGUGUUCGAAUCUCAACAAAAGUAAUAGGGAAUGUUUUGUUUUUAAAUUUUUUUUAUAGGGUAGUUAGUUUCGAUUGGUUAUUUAAAGCCUUCCAGAAACCUCUAUUGCUUUUAUUUUUAUUUUGUUCUUUCUUUUUCUGCGACAUUUUCUAUCAUUUUGUUUCUGUUCUUUAGUUUCGUCAUAUUGGUUUUUUAUUUUCAAGCAACUUUUUUUUUGUUAUGUUACAUUACGCCGAUUGUGUACGGAGUCUAACUUCACCCUCUAGUUAAUUCGCUGGCCGGUAAGUUCGAUUUAAAGUUUUGGUGUUGAAAGUUUUUUAACGUAAAUUUAAUUUUGAAAUGUUAGUUUUUAGUGGUUUAGCUGCAAAUUAAUCGUUUGUUGGAAAAUUGCUUGUCGUUCAGGGACAUGAAUUUAUCCUUGUUACUCUUGCAUCAAGUUCGUAUCAAGUGGGUAUCAGAAAACCCUUCUUCUUUAAAUUUUAGUUGUCAAAUAAUGGCACUAUCGAUGCCACAUAGCUGUGUGGCAGGCCGUGUAACUUACUGUUCAAAAAAAUUAGAGGCAUACGAGCGUGGGCCCAAAUUGUGUGUGGUUAUGAAUUGUGUAGGGUUCACACAGGCCAGUGACACUAGCAUGUGUCAGGUCGUGUGGGACACACGGGCAAGUACACGAGCGUUUACCAGACUGUGUGGAGUCACAUGGGCCAGUUCUCUAGGCCGUGUAAAACCAUAUAGGUAUGUGAAGCAAUAUUUGGAAUUUUUCCCUUGGGUUACAAGAGUUGUUUGAAACAAACGCAUAAAUACUGUAGGGUCCGUACGAUUUGGAUUAGGCUAUAUAACUUGAUAUUUGAUGAUAUGAUGAUGAACAACUUGUGAUCUAUACGUAUAUUUGUUAUGUUUGAACCUAUGUGAGUAGGAUCUGUUAGAAUGUAACAUGUUAUUUUUUGUUGUGUGUGAACUAUCCAGGUACAAUUUGUAUUCUAUUAAGUUUUUUGGUACGCCUAUGUGUUACUCUAUUGAUGAAGAAUAUGUGACAUUUGAUUAUGUUAGAUUGAUUGUUACUGAUUAUAAUUUAUAACCCUCUACGUUACUUCAUUGAUGAGGAAUACACGUAUAUGAAAAUGUUAGAUUGAUUGUUACUGAUUCUAAUUUAUAGUCGUGUAUGUGACUUCAUGGCAAAUAUGAUAUGAUUUGUUGAGGUUUGAUAAGUCUAUUUUACAAAACAUGGACCCUCAUGUCUCCUGAUUCUGUUAUUGAAAGAUAUCAUGACUUACAUGCUCAUCACUCUAAUUCUUCAUAUGUAUGUCAUGACACGUUGCAUGGGAUUUGGGUUGAUGUGAAAGGAGGAAGUUUUUGGCAGUUAAUGAUCUGUAUUAUCUGGUGGUUUAUCCAUGAUUCUGUUCCGGCAACUUAGUUGUACUAUAGUGGCUUGACCAAAUGUAACCGAUCUGGCAGUCUUAACUGCAAAAUUUUGGUGGCACCAUUCACAAUUAUCUAUUGGUGUAAUUUGGCCGGAUGAGUUAUGGGGGAACUCUAUUUUGGUUAGUAGCAAAGUUUGGGUAUGAUGUUUUCUGAUAAUUUUGCAUUCUAAUCUAUUUGAAAAAUACAAUAUUUGCAUAACACAUUUUCUACUCUGCUCUAUUCUGUUCUACUCAGUUCUAUUCUGCUUGAUUUAUUAUGUUCUGCUUCAUUCUGUUGUGUUCGGUUCUGUUGGACUGUUGUUGUGAAAAUUUUCGUGAUACUCUAGAUCUAUUCCAUACUGGUUAUAAAUUUGUUAUUAAGUUCUUUGCGUUACUUUGAUUUAUAUAAUAAAAUCUGUUUAUUUGUAUCUAAGUUUCAUUAUACACGACGCUUGGUGUUUCACCCUUUGUCUUAUCUUAAUCUGUUCAAGUGCACAUCUUACUUACGACUAGAUGUACAGGAGCUCAGAUUGUUUUGCAUUGAUAUAACUAUGAUUUGAUCUUUUAGGUUGUAAUUUGUUUUUGGACUUGUCUUGCUUUUCUUUUGAUAAUCUCGUCAAUAUCUGUCAUUUUCUAACACAAAAAUAAAAAACCACCUAAGUCGACUAAAAUGAAUUUCUGGUUUUCAAAGUUGAAAUUUUGAAAAGAAACUAGUUUUCUGCACGUUGGCGUAACUCGUCCAAAUUUGGCUUAAAUUUGUAGGUCGAGUUUGGGGUGUUACAUCUUUCCCUAAUUAACAUGUGAUUAAAUAUUUAUUAGAAGGAUUCAAAAACUCAACUUAAUGCUGGAAAAAUAUGGGCAAGAACCAAGAAACAAAACAACCCCCUUUCUUACACAUAGCCGUACGAACCACCACCCAUGAUGGCCAAAAUUGGGGUUGAAUUUUAAAAUGGUUUGAGAUCUCAUUAAAAAUAUAGAAAAACACAUUUGUGUCGAAACCACUAUUUAUUUUUGAAAAAUGGGAAUCAACUUUAAAAAAUGAAAAUGGGAGUCACCACUGAUCUUUUAUUGAGGUGUGAUCAGAUCACCUUAAAAAUGAUUUUAGGUCUACGAAUUUUAAGAAAAUAGGUUUCGGAGUUGGUUACACACGAGGAAGGGUUAGCACCCUCAUAACGCCCAAAAUUGGUAUCGAAUAGACUGUUUAAUGUCUUAGUGUCGAAAAUUUGAAAACAUUUUAAAAUACGAUCCUUUUUUAAAGAAAAUUUGAAUAAGUUGACUUAGAAGAUAAGACCCUUUUAUUUCGAAGAAGUAAAAUAUCACAUCCAGUGAGUUAGGGUGCAACAUUUCUAAUCCUUAAAAUUAAGUUUGUCUUUUGAUUUUUAAAACUCAUGCAUUUAAAUUUGAAAAGGAUAUUCAGUUAUUUGGGUCAAAUGAAAAAUCAAAACCCAAUAAGUUAGGGUUCAACUUCCAAAAAUUGCUAAAUACCGAAUAUUGCCUUUAUUUUUUUUAGAAAUCCAUAACUCAAGAUAACCAAAUGACAUAUCCAGUAAGUUAGGAUCCAACAUUUUGAAAUCCCAAUAGAGAACUUUUUAUUUAGGAUUUGUAUGGUUUUAUUGCAAAAGAGAUACUUGGCUAUCUAAAUUCAUCGAAGAGAAUUGAAGCCCACUAAGUUAGGGCAAAAUCUUCUCGAAAAUCGUGAAUACCGAGUAUUUUGAAAAUUUACGAAAUAAGAUGAUUUUAAUGCUUUAAGGAAACAUAAUUUUUAAAACAAAUGUAGUGUGAUUGAACGACAAUGUACAAUGCAAAAGGAUAAUUAAAAAAAAACAUGUAUACAUUAGUGAAUAACUAUCAAUCAAUAAAUAUAAAUAAGUAAAAUGAUACAUACGAGAACAAUAAUCUUACAUUCCAGAUUAUGCAAAUACUAAAUUUUAAAACUAAUGAAUUAUAAAUUAAUUUUGAAAGAAAUGCCAAGCAAACUAACACAAAUAAAAUAUAACAAGUUUUAAAAAUAAAAAGAAAUAAAAAAAGUACACAGAAAGAAAUUUAAAAUCAUCAGUACAAACAAUAAGUUAUAUGAAUAAUAUUUCAAAAUAAACAAUAUAUAUAUGAAUUUGAAAUAGUUCAAAAAUAAAGGUAAAAAAAUACUAUGUGAAAAGAAAUAAUAUCUAAAUGAAUUUUAAACAAAUAUUGUAUACAAAGAAAAUCAAAAUAAGUAAUACACAAAAUAAUACACGUAUAUCAAUCUAAAUGAAUAAUACAUAUUAAAAAAUCUUUAAAUCAUAGAAAUAUAAAUAAGUGAAUUUUUUAAAAAAUUUAAUUAUACUGCAAAAUAAAACCAUUAAAGAAUGUGUACAAUUCUAUUGAAUUUAUAUAAAAUAAUAUAUGACAAAUUAUAAUAAUAAUACAUAAUAAAUCUGAAAUAACAAUAUACAAUAAACUUAGAUAAUAUUAAUGAUAAAUUUAAGAUAAUAAUAAGUUUUAACAUUCAAAUAAUAUUAGAUUUAAAAUUAAAAAUAAAAAAUAGCAUAAUAAAAAAUACUUAAAUAAGUAAAAAGCAAGCAAAUUAAAAUAAAGUAAUGAGGAUUAAAUUGAAUUUAAAACAAAAUUUAAAAUAAAAAAAUGAGAAUAAAACAAAACUGAGAGCCAAAAAAAGACGCGCGGAUAACAUGGGGACCAAAUGGGAAAUAUUCCCUUCCUUCAAAACGCAGCGUUUUGACACGGACCAAAUUGGAAUGAAACAUAGAAUGCGUGGCCAAAUCUAAAUAAAAUAAAAGGAUAAAUUUGAAAGAGUUAUAAAAAGAACGGGGACCAUUUGCGCAAAUUUCUCCUACGCUAUAAAACGCGCGGAUACUUCUCCGGGUAGGGUCACCGGGCGCGUAUAGGCCAAUAUAGUGUCGUUUUGAAGCCACUGAAGCAGGCUGAAAAUGACAUCAUCACAAAAUUAGUAUAAGAUUAAAAUUAAAGCAAACAUUAAGCCAUUUAACCACAGAAACCCUAGCCCCUUUCGCCGUUCUGAACUUUGCUAAUUCUUUUAGCCUUGAAACCCUUGCCAAACUCUGAUCACGGCGAAGCAAACAAGGAUUUCGCGGCGGUUUUAUUAAGGUAACUUAUUCUUUUGUUAAUCGCCUCUUUUUUAUAUCUAGUAAUAAACAAAAUAAGGAUUCAAGAGCAGAGAAGAGAACUAUCAAGAGAAAAAGAAAAAAAUGAAAACUCAAAUCACCUUUCGAGAUUUCGUAUUUUUUGCCUAUUAGAUUUCUUUUUCUGAAUCAGUAUAUGUAAUCCUUUUACAAAUGAAUCAAUCGGCUUUAUAUAGCCGAAUAAAACCAAAAAAUUACAAAAUUAUUAUUUUUGUUAUUUAUCACUGCUGCUAUUCUCGUUUUUUCUUUUAUGUUAUUGCCUUCCUUCGUUUGCUUGUUUGUUGCGUCUAUUGUAGGUACCAAACCAGCUGGAGCACACGCAUGGAGGCACAAUGGAUGGGGGGCACACGCGUGUGGGGUUGGAGCUGCUGCGGCGUUGGGGCAACAGGCUAGGGUUUUUGGAAACUGCUUAGGUUUAUCUAGGUUUGGGCUUGUUGGGCCAAAUGGGGUUAGUUUUGGGUACUUUAAGUUAAAAUGAUUUGGGCUAUGUAUUUGGGUAUGGGUUUUAGGCUAAUACUGGACUACUAUUAUUUUUAUUUUAUUUUGGUUUAUUAUUGAUUGGGCCUAGGUUUUAUUAGAUUUGUAAUUGUAUUUGGUUUUUUAGUAUUUGGUUUGGGCUAGGCAAAAUUUGGUAUUACAAUUUGAAUUCAUUUAAAAUCCCCCAAAUUCCAGAUCUAAAAUUUUUUCUUUUUAAUUGACAAGAUUAAUUAAGAAAUUGAAGAGAAAAGAGAUCUUACCCAAGCCAGUUGAGAGAAAUGACGAUGACACUUUCUUUGCAAUGCUCAAGAUCGAUCUUAGGGUUCAAGAUUUUAGAUUUGGGGAUGAUUUAAAUGAGGAUAAAUGAUAGCAAUAGAGUAAAGGAGAUGGUGCACAAUCUUGAUGCAAAAAGAAGAAGAAAGAGAUGGUAAAUGGGAGGUGUAAGCAAUGACAACAAUGGGAGAAAGAAAGAAAAUAAGAGAAAAGUGGGGAGGAAGAUGCUGAACAGAUAGGGUAGGGAAAAAUUGAAUUUUAGGCUAAAAAUAUACUUAGGGUUCAAGGUUAUGGACAGCACACACAUUUAAAAAACAAAGGAUUUUGCAAAAUUUACUAUUUUGCAAGGGAAAGGAUUCGAAAUUGGGACCUCAUUUAAUUUUCAUGUUUUCUCAUAUUUCUUUUAACCAUUAGGAUUUUUCCUCAUUCUUAAAAUCAUUUUGAAAUAUUUAUUUUAAAAAUAAGGCAUGUCACACUAGGGUUUAAGGCAAAAUUAGCAAAAUAAUAAAAAAAAUGAGAGAGAAGGGGGUUUCAAGGAACGCUUCACUAAAACUUAUCCAACAAACCAACACCUCAUUAUUUUCCUAAAUAUGCAUAGGUAAUCAUCAAAAUUAAGGCAUCACCACUCUUUCUCGAUUCACAAACCCGAUUCUACUAACCCUUGAUUUUUGGGAUGUUAUAAGGUGAGUUCGUAGUGUAACAAUAUAUAUGUGUGUGUUUUGGGGAUACGAUUGGCAUGCCAAUAGGGUUAGUUACACUUCAAUGCCUCUCUUUACAAUUUGGUGCCACUGUAUUUGCACUACAGUGCCUCUGUUAGUAUUUCGAUGUUUAGGGGAAACCCGAGUAUCCAAGUCAUUUUAAUAUAGUUCAAAAGGCCAUGAAAUUUUAUGUUUAAAUGUUAAAUUACUCUUGAGUUUGAUUUAUGUAUAAAAUGAUAUAUUUGUGUAUAUACGUAUAUAAGCAUGGAUUGCUUUGGUUUGAGCCAUUGUUUAUAUUGAAUCAUAUGAGACAAAUGUUUUGAUUAGUAUAGUUUGAGAAUAAAUAUUAAUGCUUUGGUGUAAUUAUAUGAUUCAUAUGUCUAUAAACAUGAAUCUAAUUAUGUUUAUGGUGUGUUUAGAGAAUUAAAUGGUUAUAUGAUUAUUUUCCAGGUAUUCGAGGUUGUUUAAUUUGGUUUAAUGGGUAAAUAAAGCUUUAAAGGGUAUGUGAUUACAUGAAAUGAACUAUCAUAUUUGAGUAAUGAUAUGGAUUAUGAUGAAAUGUUUAAUUGAAAAGAAAAUAUGGUUUAGUAUAUAUGUAUGAGUGGUGAAUUAUGAAAGUGAAAUGUAGAUAUGUUUUAUACCAUGUUUUGAUUUGAAUUAUAUAUGAUAUGUUACACCAACUAACCUUGUGAGGUGGUGUGUAUAGGAAAGGAAAGUUGGCUUAAAACAUAAUGAAAUUAUGCUUGGUUUUUUAACUUAAAAUAUUCAAUAAGUUAAGUUUCAUUUAUAUGAACUUACUAAACAUUAAUUGCUUACAUAGUUAUUUUUCUUUAUUUUGUAGUUCAUCAGAAGCUCGGCCGGUUGGAAUCAUGUCAGAGCACGAUCACACUAUCCAUUCAACAUUUUGAUAGUUUUUGGUUAUUUUGGUAAAUGGUUAUAAAUGACAUGAAAUAGGGUUUAAAGGUCAUUCCAGUGAUUUGACUUGUUUUGAGUUGUGUCAAGCUUAUUGUGAUUAAUGUUGUUAGUUGCUGGCAUGUAAAUAAUGGUGUAAAUAUGUGUGGUCGGACCCUUAUGCAUGCUUUAUUGAUUAAAGAUAUCAUAUGUUAAAAUGGCAUGUUUUUGGAAUGGUUAUUUGGCAUGAUUGGUAUAGGUUUAAGUUAUGAUCUUGAGAUGUUGAAUUGAAUUAAGUUUGAUAUGUAUAUUGUGAUGCCUUCAUUGACAUAUUGGUUAGAUAUUAAGGGAUGGUUGAUUUGGUAUGUUUUUGAAAUGGUUGUUGGUAUGUUUGAUCUAAGUUGAUUAAAUGAACUUGUAAUGUUGAAUGGUAUAAUAUUUGUUGGUACAUUCAUUAGUCUUAUAGGUUGAUGGAAUUGGUAUGUUUUAAAUGUGUUUUAAAUGUGUUUUGAUUAUUUGGAUGUUUGUGGAAAUGGUGUCUCUUGGUGUACAAGAUUUGAAAUUGAAACGGCUUGAUUUAGAAUCAACUUAUGCUGCACACUGCCUGGGACAUGGAUUGUCACAUGGCUGUGUCAUAAUUGUUUUAGGUACGGGUUUCACACAAUCUAAGACUCGGCUCACGACACAGUUGUGUAUCACAAGUCAGUAUGUAACACAGUUUUGCACAUGGCCUGCGACACGAUCUUGUGUCUAGACUUCGAAUGUCCACAUGGUCUGGGCUAUGUCACAUGGCUUGGCCACAUGGUCGUGUGACUUUUGUUUUCAAGUUUUCCAAAAUUUUCUAUUUUAUUUCAAAUUGAUCCUAGAAUAUUCUCAAACUAUUUUUAAGGCCCCGUAGGUUCGGAUUAAGGCCCCGUAAGUGUAUGUUUGCUAUAAUUAAGUUGUGCUACUGAAUGUUACUAAUUCAAUCACAUGAAUAUUUUGUUGUAAGUUAAAUGUUUUAAUUUUUACUAUAAUGCUCUGUAACCUUAAUCUUGCGAUGAAAACAGGUUUGGCGUGUUACAAUUUUGGAUUGUAAAUUUGUUUUGGGGCUUUGUUCUUUGGUUCUUGCGAUGUUGGUUAGAUUUUGGUGUUUUAACAUUAAACUGCAAAAUUGUAUAACUUAAUAAACUAAAAAUUAGGUUUUCAAAAUUAAAACUCUGGAAAUUUUUCUUGCAAAGUUUAAGUAAUCACUUAAGUGUUUUUCCAUAAAUAAUUAAAUGGUUUUUAACAAAUGUUUUCCUUAGUUUUGGAAAUGAUCUGCCAAUAUUAGUACUUUUAAAACACAUGAUUUCAAAUUCAAAUUCUCAGUUUUAAAUAAGGGUUUUCACACUUCAGUUUUUUUUAAACAUUUGUGAGAGGUUUUUGCCAAAUUUUAUGUUUUCAGAAUGUGUAACUAAGUUGAUUUUUAAUUAGUUUUUCAAACGAGUCGAGUAAUUCCUCAAAAAUCCAGUCAUAGCGUCUAGGCCGGGUUUGGGAUGUUAUACUGACGUUACUAAAGUUAAUCUUCAUCUAUUUAGUCUAGAUCUAAACAUUAAUAUUCUCUUCCAAGAAAAAUCAAGACUAUCAAUUUGUUAAAACUUGGUAGGCAGACAAUCAUAUUAAAUAUGCAUAAAACUCAAUAAGUAAUUUGCGAAGAUUGAAACAAUCAAAGAAAAAAUUAAUUAAUUAACUAAGAAAUAGGAUACAUUGCUGUUUCAAGGAAACAGGGUUUAGUUCACAUUGAGUUGAGAAAACCAAAAGGGAGAUUCAAAAUGAACUUGUGAUAAGGGGAAUAAUGUCAAUGGAUCAUAUUCAAGUUGUUCAGCUCGAGAAAGAAAGAUUCAGAUUUAACUUGAAAAGAGUAAACCAAAAAGAUUUAGAAAAACAAAGAAAAUAACUAAAAUGAUAAAUUUAAGAAUAAAUAAUCAAUAUUAAAAAUAAUAAAGAAAUUAUAGAAUAAAUAGUGGAAGAUGGAAUGAAUAAACGAUGGAUAUGACAUAUAGAUGGAUAAGUGUCUUAUAAUUCAUGAAAAGAGUUAUAUUUCAUGCCUUUAGACCUAACUAAUUGCUUGUACUUACGUACAUUUUGUUGCAUUUUAAGACAUAUUAGUUAGCAUUUCUAAUAUUGCAUUAGGACUUAGAUUGUGCUGGAAUUAGCUGUUUUUAAUCGCUCGUGGUGGAGUUUUUUUUGUGUUUUGGUAUAGAAGGAACAUGUUUUAGAUCGAGGAAAUAAAUGAGUGAAGUUUUGUCAAGGCAAAACUGCAGAUAGUUUGCCAGCACGGAUGCCGUGACAAUGCCGGGAAGACCAAGUCAACAUUUUUUUGUGCAAUAGUCUCAGUUGAAAUUAAAACUUGUACCAGAUAAAUCUCCCUAAAAGAGGAAAAGAUAAUCACAAGACCCUAGCCUAAUCUAUCUAUAAAAGCCAAUAAAGGGGAUUCUCACAAAUGGCAGAAAAAAGUGGGAAGGAUCCUUAGGUGUGAAUAAGGGUUUAGCUGCGCAAAGGAAAGGAAGUCGAAGGCAGUCCUUUUUAGCCAUCACAGGACAUUGUGUUGCCGAAGUGUGGACUAGGCAAGUGAAAGUUGUUUACCAAAGUUCUUUUGUUAUUUCCAUCAGCGUUCCUUCAAAAUAUUGAAGUAGUUGAACACAAUGUUGGAUAAUAUUUUGCUUUGGAAUUUUAUUUCUCAUCCCACGAGCUAAAUCUCGUAGGGUUGGGAUUACUUUUGAUGAAACCUUAAACUAUUUUUAUGAAUGCAGUAUAUAUCUAAUUUACUUUACUGUUUCAUUUGAUUGUUCUUAUUUCUUAAUUAAAAUGCAAAUGAUCUCUAAACAUAGAAGACUGUUCACAUACUUAUAAAUUGAUUCUAAUUCUGAAAGGGUUGGAUUGGUUGGAUUAAAAUUAAAUGAAAUGAGCAAGUAUUCGAUGGACACUUGUAGUAGACUCUAGACAUAGAGUGGCGAUCAUACAGAAGGAACCCAUGCAAGGUAUCUAAAAAGUCUUUAGACACAAGCAAGGUAACUUGAGGGUUUGCUCUCACGAGAGGCAAGCCAUUUUAGUACUCUUCUGUGCUUUAAAGUAGAUACGAUUUUGCCAAGGCAUUAUUGACAGUAAGAGUCGAUUUUGGGUAAUCAACCUUCCAAAUCCACAUCGUAUAUCCUUUAUUCCUUACCAUAAUAUAUUUGCCACAUCAUUAUUAGUUAUUUAUUUGUUCAUUUACAUAAUAUUCCCGUAGUAAUUCUCAUAAUUGUCAUUACAUUUCUACUCUCGGUUUGCCACAACAUUACCAGUUAUUUAUUAAUUCCACGUAUUGCUUACAUCAUUACUCUACUAAUUGUGACUAUAUAUUUAUCAUUGAGUCUGCCAUAGCAUUAAUCAUAUUUUAUUAUAAUAACUUGAUCAAUUUUGUGCCUCAAUUCGAUCCCCAUGGGAAUGAUUCUCACUCAUCAGUUUAUUACUUGAUUCAACUGUAUACAUGCACAAAUCACAUAUCAUUUCACACACGACAGUGUUCAAUUGAACCCUUUGAGUUAUAAACUCGAACAAACUCAAUUAAUGGAUUUAAUCAACCCACCAAGAAAGAAUCAUUGGAAAAUUGAAGGAUGGAGAAUGAAUUCCCAUGACUCCUUAAAAAAAUUGAGAAGAAAACUACUUCUAAAAAUCACAAGAAACAAAUCUUGCACAAAGAAACUAACUCUCAGAGUUGGAAAUUUUAGUAAUAAACAAAAACAAUUGCGUCUCUAAUGAACAUGAAAGGGCCUUUACAUAGGCUAGAUAAGUACAUCCAAAUAAAAUUGUCAAGUAUCUAGAAACUUUAAUUAAUGUAAGCAAGAAGUAAUUUUAAACUAAAAUAGUCAUAAUUUUCGUAAUAAUCUCGUCCAAAAAUUUUGCUCACAUAGUCAUCAUUAAAAUAGUCAUAAUUUGAUCUUCUAAACUCAAAAUCGAGUGAAUAAAAGUGCGUUUCGAAGUUAAGUGAUAGAUCUUAGAACUCUAUGAGGACAUAUCAAUUGAAAAAUGCCUGGAUUCCAUCCAAAAAUUCACCGCAAGUUAACUAAUUUUUCAAACUUGAAAAUUGGUAGCUUCGGUGAAUGGAAUUUAAUAAAGUUCACCCCAUCUAUUCAUGUAUCAACUUGCAUUGUAAAAAGUAAAAAGAAAUAAUCUAUAGAGAAAAUAGUUGAAGAAUUUAUGACAAUUUAUUCAGAUCUCGUUUUCUUCUAGUCUUUACAAGCUUGAAGUUUCCCUUGGUGUGAGAGAGUUGUUCCUUACCCUCUAAGUGAUUUUUUUUCUUUUUCUUUCUCUUCGAUCUCGUCACCUAAGGGUGUUCAAACGAUUGAUUCAGUUAAUACCCGAACAAAACUAUCAUUAACUAAAAUUUUGAAACCCUUAAUCAUUAAUCAAACCAAAAUUUAUUUGAAACCUAUUAACCAGCCAGAUUGAUUUCGAUUAAUUUGAGCGGUUAACCAGAAUUUAUACACUGUUUGAUUUUGUUCAAACAAUUUUAAAACAAAGAAUAAUCCACAACAAUUUUUUCCGUAUUUUUUAUUCAAAAAAAUUAAAAGAAUUAAAAAAAAUAACAUAAUAACAACACUAAAUUAAAAACGUAAUAGCAUUCAUUACAUUACAAAGCAUAUAUAUAUAUUUACUUUUUCUUGAAUUUUUAGUUUAAUUUUAGUUUUUAUUCAAAUAUUUUUAGUUUUCAUAAUUUUGUUAAGCUUAUUAUAAGAGAACUUAUAAAUCCAUUAGUUUUUAUAUAUUGGGUUUGUAUAAUGUAUUUGACCUGUCUCUAAUAUAUUGGGCCUAUAAUAUAUUUUUAUUGAUUUCGGUUAAUCAAUUAAUUCGGUUAAUUAGUCGAUUUCAAACUAAACUAAUUGGUAAACAAAAUCUUCAAAAACCUUUAACCAACUCCCAACCAAAUUAGAUUCGUUGAUCAACUGCUUAAUCAAAUUAAUUAGGUUUGAUAAAUUAAUUCGUUAAAACCGAAAAAUUGACAUCCCUAUCACCACCUUUGUUUUUAGGGAUUUUAAUCAUGUUACUCCACUUGAUGCAGAAGUUGAGGUGGAACGAAUUGCUUGCUACCAAAAUUUAUGAAUUAUAGACCAUGCUCCACCCGGUGAAUCAAAUUCAGUGGAGUGGAAGACUUUUUCUUCACUACUUUGUGCUCUAUGCUCCAAGUCUUCUAUUCUUCUUCCGAGACCAACAAUGGGAAAAUUAAAAAUAAGAAACAAGUCUGAACUAACUUUGACAAUUAGAAAUUUUCAACAAAAUUGAAAUAAAAUAUAAUUAAUUAAUAAAAACUAUAAAAUUCAACAAAAACGAACCUAAAUACUAAAUUUACCUCCUAAAAUGCUAUGGAAACUAUAUUAAAAUAACUCUAAAUAUGAUAGUUAUCAAAAGCGACCUGAAGAAGCCAAUAUUCGAGUAGAUGAUUUCAACUAUUGCAAAUACCAUCAGUCGAUUAGCCAUCCUCUUGAGAAGAUUAUAGAGUUGAACGAAAAAAAUCAUACAACUCCAUGAAGAAGAAAAAAUCAUGUUUGAAAAAGAAGUGGCAUAAUCAAACUUGACAUCAAUGCUUUGGUUUCUCAAUACAAUAUUAUGGACAGAUUCAUCAAAUUUGGCUCUUUCAAUCCUAUUACACUAGCUCUAAGUAGAAGUAAGAUGGUGAAUUUCGAAAGGAUUGGGGGCAAUCAUCUAUUCUUGGAAUACCAGAAUGGUCAUUAUUGGACUCUAGCCACAUGUCAAAGAAGCCAAUGAAAAGCAUCUCUCCUAGGUAUAAGCUUAUAUUGUCACAUUACUCCUAAGCACGAGCAUAAAUUAGUCAUCCAAAAUGAUGAUGCUUCUAAGCAUGAGCUUAAAUUGUUCAUCUAAUGCUCCUAAGAAGGAGCCUAAACUAUUCAACCCAAAUGGUCAUGCUUUAAGAAAAAUCUUAAACUAUUUUUAAGGCCUUAUAGUUCGGAUUAAGGCCCGUAAGUGUAUGUUUGUUAUAAUUAAGUUGUGUUAUUGAAUGUUAUUAAUUCAAUCACAUGAAUAUUUUGUUGUAAGUUAAAUGUUUUAAUUUGUACUAUAAUGCUCCAUAACCCUAAUCUGGCAAUGGAAACAGGUUUGGCGUGUUACAAUUUUGGGUUCUUGCGAUGUUGGUUGGAUUUUCGUGUUUUAACAUUAAACUGCAAAAUUGUAUGAUUUAACAAACUAAAAUUAGGUUUUCAAAGUUAAAACUCUGGAAAUUUUUGUUGCAAAGUAUAAGUAAUCACUUAAGUGUUUUUCCAUAUAUAAUUAAAUGGUUUUUAACAAAUGUUUUCCUUAGUUUUGGAAAUGAUCUGCCACCAUUAGUACUUUUAAAACACAUGAUUUCAAAUUCAAAUUCUUUGUUUUAAAUAAGGGUUUUCACACUUCGUUUUUUUUUAACAUUUGUGAGAGGUUUUCGCCAAAUUUUAUGUUUUCAGAACGUGUAACUAAGUUGAUUUUUAAUUCGUUUUUCAAAUGAGUCGAUGUAAUUCCUCAAAAAUCCAGUCAUAGCAUCUAGGCCGGGUUUGGAUGUUAUACUGAUAUUACUAAAGUUAAUCUUCAUCUAUUUAGUCUAGAUCUAAACAUUAAUAUUCUCUUCCAAGAAAAAUCAAGAUGAUCAAAUUGUUAAAACUUGGUAGGCAGACAAUCAUAUUAAAUAUGCAUAAAACUUAAUAAAUAAUUAGCGAAGAUUGAAACAAUCAAAGAAAAAAUAAAUUAAUUAACUAAGAAAUAGGAUCCAUUAUUGUUUCAAGAAAAUAGAGUUUAGUUCACAUUGAGUUGAGAAAACCAAAAGGGAGAUUCAAAAAAAACUUGUGAUAAGGGGAAUAAUGUCAAUAGAUCAUAUUCAAGUUGUUCGGCUCGAGAAAGAAAGAUUCAGAUCUAACUUGAAAAGAAGAAACUAAAAAUAUUUAGAAAAACAAGAAAAAACAAAGAAAAUAACUAAAAUGAUAAAUUUAAGAAUAAAUAAUCAAUAUUAAAAAUAAUAAAGAAAUAAAGAAAUUAUAGAAUAAAUAGUGGAAGAUGGAAUGAAUAAAUGAUGGAUAUGACAUAUAGAUGGAUAAGUGUCUUAUAAUUCAUGAAAAGAGUUAUAUUUCAUGCCUUUAGAUCUAACUAACUGCUUGUACUUAAGUACAUUUUGUUGCAUUUUAAGACAUUUUAGUUAGUGUUUCUAAUAUUGCAUUAGGACUUAGAUUGUGUUGGAAUUAGGUGUUUUUAAUCGCUCGUGGUGGAGUUUUUCUGUGUGUUGGCAUGGCAAGAACAUAUUUUAGAAUGAGGAAAUAAAUGAGUGAAGUUUUGUUAGGGAAAAAGUGCAGACAAUUUGCCAACACGGAUGCCGUGACAAUGCUGGGAAGACCAAGUAACAUUUUUUUGCGCAAUAGUCUCAGUUGAAAUUAAAACUUGUACCAGAUAAAUCUCCCUAAAAGAGGAGAAGAUAAUCACAAGAUGUCAGCUGACCCUAGCCUAAUCUAUCUAUAAAAGCCAAUAAAGGGGAUCUCACAAUUGGCAGAAAAAAGUGGGAGAGAUCCUUAGGUGUGAAUAAGGUUUUAGCUGCGCAAAGGAAAGGAAGUCAAAGGCAGUCCUUUUUAGCCAUCAUAGGACGUUGUGCUGCCGAAGUGUGGACUAGCCAAGUGAAAGUUGUUUCCGAAAGUUCUUUUUUUAUUUCCAUCAGCGUUCCUUCAAAAUAUUGAAGUAGUUGAACACAAUGUCGGAUAAUAUUUUUCUUUGGAAUUUUAUUUCUCAGCCCAUGAGCUAAAUCUCGUAGGGUUAAGGUUACUUUUGAUGAAACCUUAAAUAUUUUUAUGGAUGCAGCAUAUAUCCAAUUUACUAAACUGUAUCAUUUGAUUGUUCUUAUUUCUUAAGUAAAAUGCAAAUGAUCUCUAAACAUAGAAGACUGUUCGCAUACUUAUAAACUGAUUCUAAUUCUAAAACGGUUAGAUUGGUUGGAUUAAAAUUAAAUGAAAUGAGCAAGUAUUCGAUGGACACUUGUAGUAGACUCUAUACAUAGAGUGACGAUCAUACAGAAGGAACCCAUGCAAGGUAUCUAAAAAGUCUUUAGACACAGGCAAGGUAACUUGAGGUUUUGCUCUCACGAGAGGCAGGCCAUUUUAGUACUCUUCUGUGCUUUAAAGUAGAUAAGAUUUUGCCAAGGAAUUAUUGAGAGUAAGGGUCGAUUUUGGAUAAUCAACCUUCCAAAUCCACAUCGUAUAUCCUUUAUUCCUUACCAUAGAAUAUUUGCCACAUCAUUAUUAGUUAUUUAUUUGUUCAUUUACAUAAUAUUCCCGUAGUAAUUCUCAUAAUUGUCAUUACAUUUCUACUCUUGGUUUGCCACAACAUUACUAGUUAUUUAUUAAUUCCACGUAUUGCUUACAUCAUUACUCUACUAAUUGCGACUGUAUAUUUAUCAUUGAGUUUGCCAUAGCAUUAAUCGUAUUUUAUUAUAAUAUCUUAACUAAUUUUGUGCCUCAAUCUGAUCCCCAUGGGAACGAUACUCACUCAUCACUUUAUUACUAGAUUCAACUGUAUACUUGCACAAAUCGUAUAUCAUUUCACACACGACAAUGUUCAAUUGAACCUUUUGAGUUAUAAACUCGAACAAACUCAAUUAUUAGCUUUAAUCAACCCACCAAGAAAGAAUCAUUGGCAAAUUGAAGGAUGAAGAAUGAAUUCCCAUGAAUCCUUAAAGAAAUUGAGAAGAAAACUACUUCUAAAAAUCACAAGAAACAAAUCUUGCACAAAGAAACUAACUCUCAGAGUUGGAAAUUUUAGUAAUAAACAAAAACAAUUGCGUCUCUGAUGAACAUGAAAGGGCCUUUACAUAGGCUAGAUAAGUCCAUCCAAAUAAAAUUGUCAAGUAUCUAGAAACUUUAAUUAAUGUAAGCAAGAAGUAAUUUUAAACUAAAAUAGUCAAAAUUUUUGUAAUGAUCUCGUCCAAAAAUUCUGCUCACAUAGUCAUCAUGAAAAUAGUCAUAAUUUGAUCUCUUGAACUCAAAAUCGAGUGAAUAAAAGUGCGUUUCAAAGUUAAGUGAUAGAUCUUAGAACUCUAUGAGACAUAUCAAUUGAAAAAUGUCUGGAUUCCAUCCAAAAAUUCACUGGAAGUUAACUAAUUUUUCAAACUUGAAAAUUGGUAGCUUCAGUGAAUGGAAUUUAAUAAAGUUCACCCCAUCUAUUCAUGUAUCAACUUGCAUUGUAAAAAGUAAAAAGAAAUAAUCUAUAGAGAAAAUAGUUGAAGAAUUUAUGACAAUUUAUUCAGAUCUCUUUUUCUUCUAGUAAUAUAUUGGGCCUAUAAUAUAUUUUUAUUGAUUUCGGUUAAUAAAUUAAUUCGGUUAAUUAGUCGAUUUCAAACUAAACUAAUUGUUAAACAAAAUCUUCAAAAACCUUUAACAAACUCCCAACCAAAUUAGAUUCGUUGAUCGACUGCUUAAUCAAAUUAAUUAGGUUUGAUAACUUAAUUCGUUAAAACCGAAAAAUGCACAUCCCUAUCAUCACCUUUGUUUUUAGGGAUUUUAAUCAUGUUGCUCCACCUGAUGCAGAAGUUGAGGUGGAACGAACUACUUGCUACCAAAAUUUAUGAAUUAUAGAGCUUGCUCCACCGCAGUGAAUCAAAUUCGGUGGAGUGGGAGACUUUUCUUCACUACUUUAUGCUCUAUGCUCCAAGUCUUCUAUUCUUCUUCCGAGACCUACAAUGGAAAAAUAAAAAAAUAAGAAACAAGUCUGAACUUACUUUGAAAAUUAGAAAUUUUCUACAAAAUUGAAAUAAAAUAUAAUUAAUCAAUAAAAACUAUAAAAUGCAAUAAAAACGAACCUAAAUACUAAAAUUACCUCCUAAAAUGCUAUGGAAACUAUACUAAAAUAACUCUAAAUAUGAUAGUUAUCAGAAGCGACCUGAAGAAGCCAAUCGAGUAGAUGAUUUCAACUAUUGCAAUAAUAUUGGUCGAUUAGCCAUCCUCUUGAGAAGAUCAUAGAGUUGAAAGAAAAAAAUCAUACAACUCCAUGAAGAAGAAAAAAUCAUGUUUGAAAAAGAAGUGGCAUUAUCAAACUUGACAUCAAUGCUUUGGUUUCUCAAUACAAUAUUAUGGACAGAUUCAUCAAAUUUGGCUCUUUCAAUCCUAUUACACUAGCUCUAAGUAGAAGUAAGAUGGUGAAUUUCAAAAGGAUUGGGGGCAAUCAUCUAUUUUUGGAAUAUCAGAAUGGUCAUGAUUGGACUCUAGCCACAUGUCUUCGGAACAUCAGAAUGGUCAUGAUUGGACUCUAGCCACAUGUCAAAGAAGCCAAUGAGAAGCAUCUCUCCUAGGUAUAAGCUUAUAUUGCCACAUUACUCCUAAGCACAAGCAUAAAUUGUUCAUCCAAAAUGAUGAUGCUUCUAAGCAUGAGCUUAAACUGUUCAUCUAAUGCUCCUAAGAAGGAGCCUAAACUAUUCAACCCAAAUGGUCAUGCUUUAAGCAAAUAUUAAACUAUUCUUAAAAAAUAAAUGAUGAUCCAAUGAAGCACAAGCUUAAUCUAUUCAUACGAAACAAAUGAUGACCUCCUAAGCAUGAAUUUAAAUUGUUCACACAUAAUAAAUGAUGAUACUCCUAAGCGCGAGCUUAAAUUGCAGUCCAAAAAAUAUUGAACUACGUUAUAACUUGAUCUUUUAAAAUUGAAGGUAAGUAGAUAGCCUGGUUUCAUUGCCAAGUUCAGUCUAUAUGAUAAAAAAAAUUUGAAGGUGAUCUUUGAAACAAAUUCAUCAAAGUAGGAAGCAAAUAAAAUUUCAAGACUUGUCCCCUUUCUACGCCCAACAAAAUUCAGAAUCCAUCAUUUGUUAUUACUGUAAUAAUAUCUCUAACUAAAUUAAUGAAAAGAUAAAUCAAGAAAUUAAAUCCUUUUAGAACUCUCUUAUAAAGAAACCAUAUUAAGGAUUACUUUAGAUCUAAUUAAUUAAAUUAAUAAGAUAUGAAUAAUAAUAAUAGAGUUUAAAUUCUUAUAGAACACUCAAAUGAAAAUGUUAAAUUCUACAAGAACUCUUAUAUGAAAGUGAUUGACACUAAAAAAAUGGGUCACCUCCAAGUUAUUCUACACAUUCACAAGUUCAAGAAGUUGAAAAAUUAUUUACAAAAAUAUUUGAAGAAACUAAAGAAGUAGAAGAAAUUCUAAUGAACAUCAUAUCAAUUGAGAGGAGGAUGUGAACAGAAGAGAAGAUUGAAAAGAGUUUUGUUUGUAAAGAAAUUCAAAACUUGUUAUAAAAUUUGACGCAAAAUUUUCAAGUCAAUUUUCAACUUGAAAUUUGUGUGUACUAUAUAUAUGGGAAAGAAUCCAUUUACAUUAUAUAAAACUAUUGUAUGUAUAAUACAAAAAUAUUUAAUACAUUAUCAAUAAAGUUUUUAAACUAUGCACCUGUGAUUAAAACCAAAAUAAUAAUAUUAAUAACAACCAAUCACUUUAUUUGACUAACUUUUCCUCACAAGUCUUUGGUAUGGAGACAAAUCAGUUUAAUCAGUCUUUGGAGCUAUUAACUGACAUUUCCACCAUUGAUUUGAAAAUCAUAACCCAUCAAUUCACUUUAAAUGAAACGAGAUCCUCAAGUGUUUGGUGUUAUAUUCUUAAAAUGUAUUUAGAUGAUUGUUUAUUAAUUUUAUUUCUUUAUAUUUAAAUCAAAUGUAAUAAAUUGUUGAAUUUAUAUACUUCUUAUUAUAACAAUAUAUGGACUAUCUUCCUACUUCUUUUUUUAAUUUAAUUUUUUGUAACUCUUCACAAUUUAUUUUGAAAAACAUUGAAAAAAAACUAAAUGAUUAAAUUAAGGCUCAACUUUUCACUAAUCUUAGUUUAUUUAGUCUAACUUUUCACAAUUUCAUAUACUCAUUUCAUGUUUCAUACCAACAAUUUUUCUUUUUGGUAAAAAGAAAAAAACAACUAUACUUUCUUUAAUCCCAAAAUUAAGGCUUUAUGAAUGAAAAUAAUAUUAUAUUAACUAUGAUAAUUAAGUUUUUAUUUUAAAUAUGAUUAAUUUUAUAUAUAAUAACUUUAAAUAUAAAUAUAUAUAUAUCUAUAAUUAAAUUUUAAAGAAAUUUAUUGUUAUUUUCUAAACAUAAAACAAAGAAAACUUUUUACCCAAAUUAUAAGUUUGUGGUUAGGCAGCCCACUUUGGGACAGGAUUCAGCUUACGUUUUUAAUCUUGGGCUUUAAAAAUAAUAAAAAUAUAAAAAUAAUGUUCGAUUAAUAUUUAUAAAUUUUAUAAAUUUAAAUUUAAUUAUAUUUUUUAUACAGUAAAAUCAACCAUUUAUAUGGGCUAAAUUGAGUUAAGUUCGGUUUGCAUCAAGCCUUAACUUUGACCAAAUCCAACGAAAAACACCUCUAACCAUAAUCUAGUAUUGUUUUUAUGAAUUGAAUUUUAACUUGUAAUUUUCAAUUUUAUACAAACUUUCUUUGCCUACGAUAAGGAAAUAACAUAUUUGUAACUUCUCCAAUCUGGCGUAAACAUUCAGUCUGAAUUCGGAAGAUUACAUCGGCCAUAAAGAUGGCCUAGCAGGGUUAUCAGAGUUUUUGAAAAUAGACAUCUUUAAAACGUUUGUUUAAUUCAGUAAAAAACUAAUUUAAUUUCCAAAUUAUUUAUUACUUGAAAUCUUAAUUACACUUUAAAAGAAGGAAGUGGUAACUAUUUAUUUUUAAUAAAAAUUAGGGUUCAUGUAUAAUUGAUUAAUAACCAUAAUUCGAAAACAUUAAAACUUAAAUUAAAUGUCAUGCAAAAUAAAACAAGCUUAAACCUAAAUCUCAUGCCACAGUUCAAAAUAAUUUAUUGUAGUCUUCAAAAAUAAAAUAAAUCAUAUAAUCAACCAAAAAUAAGUUUUGUAAUUUAGCAAUGUAUCGAGACCUUCUAGAUGUCAUGCCCGCGUCCUAACUUGGUUAUUUGUAAGUGUAACGACCCGAAUAAUUUAUCUCUAUUUCUGUAAAUAUUUGACGCAAAUACUUGUUUGCUUCAGUGGUUAAAUGUUUUGGGUGUGUUUGAGAGGUCUUGGGUUCAAGUCUCAUUUUUGUAAAAUUUUGUUAUUUUUAUGAUUCAAGCCUUAGCCUUGUUGAGUGGGCUUUUAUGAAAUUGUUUGCUACUUCAUAUUAGAAUGAGCUUGCUAGUUCAAGUGGUAAGGAGUUGGUGUGAAGGAGGUUCUGUGUGUGAAUCCCUGCACGAGCGUGGGUAUUAUUUUUUUGCUCAGUUAUAUGGUAGAGUUUCGGUGCUUUUGGGAUUAUAGGGUAGUUGGAUGUGAAUUAGUGGGGAGUUAGGAUAUUAGUGGGUUUUUAAUUAGAUUUUAUUUAAUUUUUAUUCUUUUUGUUUUUCCCAAUUUUUCUCUUAGCUUUUGACGUUCUGUUUCCCUUUUCUCCUCUGCUGAAUUUUUGCCGCUCCCUCUCAUUUUUGAUUUUUCCAAUUCGUCUCCUUUUUGUGCAAUGUUUGAUUGCAUUCGUUCGGUAAGUCUUGUAUUGUUACGAUCUUAUUGUUUGGUGGUUAAUGUUUUAAUGGGGGUUUUGUGUUUACUCUCGAUUAAGGGAAGGGCAAGAAGAGUUGGUACUCCUGCAAGAUUUGAGCGUUAAGGGUGUCUGUUCGUUGGCGGUAAGUUUUCAAAUUCUUUGUUGGUUAUUGUAAGGCUCCGUUUGUGGAAUGGUUUCGGAUUGAGUUUCGUAAGUGUGUAUCGAAUUUGGGCUUCUGGAUACUGUUUCUUAGGUUCGGUGGUCUCAGGGGUGCUUGUGCAUCAAAAUGAUAUCAGGUGUGUACCCGAAACGUAGAAAAUCGAGUUUCGAUGAAAGGUAAAAAACCUUAUUUUCGAUGCCACACGGGCGUGUGCAUGGCCGUGUGGUUGGCCGUGUGCAGGACACAGUCAUGUGUUCGACGAGGGUAGGGCCGUGCGCAAGACACGGCUGUGUGACGAUGUGGGUGUGGCCGUGUGGGCCACAUAGGCUAGGCCAAGUUGGGCUUGUGGGUUUUGGGCCACACGUGCAUGUGCCUUUUAAACAAGUCCGUGUGGACCACACGGGUAGGGCUAAUAUGGGCGUGUUGGCCACAUGGGCAUGUGGGCCGAAAAUUCUAAAAUUUUCCUUAAGGUCGCACAGGUCGUUCUAGUCGACUGUGGGCCUACCGUAGGGUCGGUAAGGGCUAACCAAACCCUAAAACUAUGUGAUCUGUUAGUUUGAUAUUUUGUUCUGAAUAUGAUACUGCUAUGCAUGUUUGAUUAGUUUGGUGUAUGUAUAUAUAUAUAUAUCUGAUAUCUAUGUAUGAGCAUGUGAGCAUGGUAACUCUAAUUAUCUAUAUCUGAUUGGGGUGGGAUUUGUAUAUGUGGAGGAAGUGUUCUGUAUGGCGGUCAUCGCUUAUAUUCUGGCAGCUUGGCUGCACAUUAUCUGACAUGUGUCGUAAUGGCACGAUAUGGUGUGUAGGGAUGGGUGGGUGUUUUUAACCCCACAUGAUGUGAUGGGAUAGUUGGAGUUGGUGUGUAGAGGAUGGAGUUAGGAUUUUGUAUUUCUGAUCUGAUCUGCAUAUCUGUUAUGUUAUCUGAAUCUGUAAAGGACUUAGGUCUGAAUCCGAAUCUAAAAUUGUAUCUGACUAUGUAUGAGUUUACUGCAUGUAUUGCAUGCAUUUUUUUAUUGGCUUACACACUAAGUUUACAAAAACUCACAUUUGUUUGUCUGUUAUGUUCAGGUAAUCCACAGAUUUAGGCGGGUCGGUGUGACGGAGGCUCAGUGGUGACCACCUGAUUGAGAACUAUUUUACUUAGUAAAUUAUGUUUUAUUUAUAAUUUCUAUUUCAUUUGAGAGUUUUUAAUUUUUGAGACUCUCAGUACUGCUGGUUUUUAUUUUGGUUUUGGAUGCGAUUUUAGACUAUUUUGUUGCGAUGCAUGAUGGAAAACACGAUUUUAUGAAAAAAAGUUAUUCUGAAAAUACGAACUGGAUUUCUAAAAUAUAACGGUUCAAAAACUUUCACUAAAAAUCACGUUUUGGUAAAUAAAUGAAUUAAAUAAUACUUUCAAAAAUGGUUAUAAAUAAUUAUGAACUAUGAAUCUUUAAUGAUUUGAUGAAACGACCUUAUUUUCAAAACCAUACCUUGUGACCACUCCGGAUUCAGCCAUAACGUCUGGGCUGGUUUGGGGUGUUACAGUAAGGAUGAAAAUUUAAGGGAAUGAGCUAUGACGCUUACUAUGAGUUCAUUCACAAUAAAUUCAACGCAAACGGUUGGUAGGACACAUUAAAUAAUAUCGCAUAAAAUAAUCACAAUUAGAUAAUAGUUCAGAAUGUCGGUUUUACAAUUUAACCACCAAUAUAAUCACAGUAUUCACAGUUGUAAUUUUAGAAUAUCAAAUUUCCACAUCAUUCACAAUAUUCAGAUAUAUAUAAAUAUAUCAUAACAGAAUUCUGGAUUUGUAUGCACAUGAUUUAGAAGAUGCCAUACAAUUUCAGGUUUUAACAGAAUAAAUCCUACCCCACGUUACAUACCAUAAUGGGAGUUCCCCUAAACUCCCUUCUGCAACACACUGGGUUAUGGAUAAACCACUACCGGUUUACAGAUAAUAACUAUCAUUUGGUUGUGGACACACAGCAAGUCUCCACAAUUGGAUUCUAGAUUUGGUUGUGGGUUCACAGCAAAAAAAAUCUACAAAUGAAGCCUGCUUUUGCCUGUAGAUUAUACAACAUAUACCCAUAGUUGGAAUCUGCCUUCGGCUAUGGAUGCACUGUAACACCUCAAACCUGACCUGGACGUUAUGACCGAAUCCUGAGGAAUUACUUUAACUCACUAGAAAACCCAAGAGUUUACUAUGAAAUCAUGUGGUUAAACUAGUGUUCACUUUGAUAAAUCGUUUUCCAGUUUUAGGGAAAAUUAUUGUUAAAACUGUUACUUUAUUACAAUAAAACAUUAAAGUGAUUAUAUCAUUUUGUAACGGAAUCUACUGAGCUAUAAGGUUAUGAAAAUCGUGGUUUAAUUUGCAACAAAUCAUUUUGUAAAUAGAAAUUUAAUACUACUUAAUUUGGAAAAGCAUGCUAAAACGAAAGCAAAGUCCAAACUAAUUUAUGAUUUAAAAUUCUAAAAAGUCCAAAUUAAACAUAAAGUCAAUUUAAACCAGUUUAUCGAACGUGUAACACCCCAAACCUAGCCUGGAUGUUAUGGCUAAAUCUGGAUGUGUUACGAAAAAAAAGUUUAUAAAACGACUUCCUUAUUAUUGGCAAAUCAUCGCAACCAUUAUUACUUAGUAUGCUCGAUUUGUUUGGAAAACUUAUUGAUAUACUUAUUUGAUUUAAAAUCAUUGCUCGCUUAUGCCUUUCUAUUAAACUGAAUGUUUUGUAGUGGAGUUUCUUUAAAACACCAUAUUUUGGCAAAUCAAUUUGUUUCUUGAAAAUCGUUAUUUCAAAAAAAUUGUCAUUUUUAGAAAAAACUAUUUUAUCAGUUGUUACGCUUAGAAACCAAAAUAAAAUCCAAAACCAAAAAUAGUCCCAAAAAGUCCAGAGAGUCCCGAAAUUACAAAACUCUCAAAACCAGAAAAGUUUGAACUAAUUUAAAAAGAAUGAAAUUUUACGGAAAUAUGGUUAACACUGAGCUUCCAUCACACCGACCCACCUAAAUCUGAGGGUUACUUGAAUAGAACAAACAAAUAGAGAGAGUUUUGAAACUCAGUGUGUAACGCGAAUAUAAACAAAAAUUCAGAAUCAAUCUCAUGCAGAACAUAUACAAAUGUAAACCAUUUAUAGAAUAAGAAUUAUACAGAUACAAAUAUGCAACAUCCUACCCUCAUCCUAUACACACCAAUUCUGACCAUCCCAUCACACCACGUGGGGUAUAAAACACCCACCCAGCCCUACACACCGUAUAGUGUUUAUACAACACUUUUCAAAAUAAUCGCAGCAGAGUUGCCAGUAUAUAGGUGAGAUAUCGCUUCACACAGAACACUUCCUCCUCAUAAUACAAAUCCCGCUCCAUAGCCAGAUACAGAUAGAAUAUCAGGUAAAACAAAUUAAUAGAUACCAGAGUUAACAUAUCACGCGUGAGCGUAUAACAGAUAUUACACAUGCUUAUACAUAACAGAACAAAUCAUACAUACCGUAUUCCAUAAUACUCAUAUAAAUGUUAUUUUUUAAAUUGUAACAAAUAUUAUUAUUAAGAUGUUUUUCUUUUUAUAUUUUUUUAUAAAAUAUAUUAAAAAACAAUUAGAAUAAUUUUAAGAGAAAAAACACUCAUAAACAGUAGAAUUUAAUCUAAAAAUAUCAAAGUUUUAAAGCCUCAACUUUAACAUUUCAACCAAAAUUCCAUUAGUAUAUAAAUAUUUUAUAAAUAUAGAUUUUAUAUAAAAAAAUUUUAUGUAAACUUUUUUUUAACCCACAUCACAAGUAUACCAUAUUUAGAGAUAUUCAUAGCUAGGCAGCCCACUUUGGGUCAAACUUGAGCUUAGGUUUCAUCUCAAGUUGGCCCAAUUUAACCUAUUUUACUAUUUAAAAAUAUAAAUAUAUGUUAUAUUGAUAUUUAUAUAUUUCUAUAAUUAAAUUUUAAAUAAAUUUAUUGUUAACUUUUAAACACAAAACAAAGAAAACUUUCACCCAAAUUAUAAGUUUGUGGUUAGACAGCCCACUUUCGGGGCAGGAUUCAGCUUACGUUUUUAAUCUUGGGAUUUAAGAAUAAUAAAAAAUAUAAAAAUAAUAUUGUAUUAAUAUUUAUAUAUUUUAUAAAUUUAAAUUUAAUUAUAUUUUUUAAACAGUCAAAUGAACCAUUUAUAUGGGCUAAUUAGAGUUAAGUUUGGUUUGAAUCAAGCCUUAACUUUGACCAAAUCCAACUAAAAACACGUCUAACAAUUAUCUAGUAUUGUUUUUAUGAAUUGAAUUUUAACUUGUAAUUUUCAAUUUUAUUACAAAAUUUCUUUGCGGACGAUAAGAAAAUAACAUAUUUGUAACUUCUUCAACCCGGCGUAAAGGUUAAGUCUGAAUUUGGAUUACAUCAGCCAUAAAGAUGGCCUAGCAGGAUUAUCGGAGUUUUUAAAAACAAACAUCUUUAAAACGUUUGUUUAAUUUAUAGAAAAGCUUAUUUAAUUUCCAAAUUAUUUAUUACUUGAAAUCUUAAUUACACUUUAAAAGUAGGAAGUGGUAACAAUUUAUUUUUAAUAAAAUUCGGGGUUCAUGUAUAAUUGAUUAAUAACCGUAAUUCGAAAACAUUAAAACUUAAAUUAAAUGUCAUGCAAAACAAAACAAGCUUAAAUCUAAAUCUCAUGCCGCAGUUCAAAAUUAUUUAUUGUAGUCUUAGAAAAUAAAAACAAUCAUAUAAUGAACCUAAAUUUUUUAUUUUACUUUAAUAAUGUGUCAAGGUCUUACAGAUGUCACGCCUGCGUUCAAUCUUGGUGGGUUAUCUGUAAGGAUGAAAAUUUAAGGGGGAGUGAGCUAUGACGCUUAGUGUGAGUUCAUUCACAAUAAAUUCAAUGCAAACGGUUGGUAAGACACAUUAAAUAACAUUGCAUAAAGUAAUCACAGUCAGAUAACAGUUUAGAAUGGCGAUUUUACAAUUUAACUACCAAUAUUAUCACAAUAUUCACAGCUGUAAUUUCAGAAUAUCAAAUUUCCACAUCAUUCACAAUACUAACAUAUAUAUAAAUAUAUCAUAACAGAAUUCCAGAUUUGUAUGCACAUGAUUUAGAAGAUGCCAUACAAUUUUGGGUUUUAACAGAAUAAAUCCUACCCCACAUUACAUAUCAUAAUGGGAGUUCCCCUAAACUCCCUUCUCCAACACACUAGGUUGUGGAUAAACCACUACUCGUCCACAGAUAAUAACUAUUAUUUGGCUGUGGACACACAACAAAUCCCCACAGUUGGAUUCUAGCUUUGGCUGUGGGUUCACAGCCAAAAGUCCUGCAAAUGAAGCCUGUUUUUGCAUGUAGAUUAUACAACCUAUACCCGCAGUUGGAAUCUGUCUUUGGCUAUGGAUGCACUAUAACACCCCAAACCCGACCUGGACGUUAUGGCUCAAUCUUGACGUAAUGCCCCAAAAUUUCUAAUUUCGUUAUUGUGAAAAUAUGACACAAAAUAUUUGUCUGCUUUAGUGGUUAUGUGUUCUGGGAGUGUUUAGGAGGUCCCAAGUUCACGCCUUCACAUGGGAAAAUUUUGGUAUUUUGAAUGAAUUAGGUAUUACUCUUAUUCAGUAGGCUUUUAUUUGAUUGUUGGGUAAAUUAUAUUAGAAUGGGCUUGCUGGUCUAGUGGUUAAAUGGUUUAUUAUUAUGGUGGAGGUCUUGUGUUCAAGUCCCUAUGUAGGCAAGGGUAUUAUUAUUAUUAUUAUUUGCUCAAAUUUCUGGAUAGAGUUGUGUAAUAGGGGGAUUCUGAGUAGUAGAUGUGUAGUGGGAAUUAGGGGAGAAGAUUAAGGAGUUUCAGGGGUUAUCGAGAUUUUAUUUUAUUUUUUCCCAUAACCGAAUUUUGACUUUCUUUUUCCAAAAAAAAUCUGCCAUCUAUUCUUCUCCCUCUCCUCUUGUCGAAAUUCUCUUAGUUUUUUCACCUUUCUCUUCUUUUUCUUCUUCUUGAUUUUUCCCUAAUCCAUUUAUUUUUCUUCAUUUUCGCACGCGGUUAGUUUUCGCUUAGUUUCGAUAAGUGUUUCUCUUCGUUUCUAUCAUGAAUCUCCUAGCGACUAAAGUGGUAACUUUUUUUCUCUGUGAUUUGGGUGUAGGGGAAGGCUCGAACUGUUGAAUUCAGUAUUCUCGUCUUAACAAUAGUUAAAUGGAGGGUUAUCGUUGGUGGUAAGUUGGGUUUCUGUUCAUUCUUAGUUGUCAAUUUGCUUGUAAAUCUGUUAAAUUGAUGUUGAGUAUCUUGAUUAUAGGCUUUGGAGUGCUUGGGGACUGUUUUAGCAUCAAACAAAACCAGAUGUGUACCCGAAACGCAAAAAAAAAGGGAUUCGAUCGAAAGCCGAAAUUGUUUGCUGUUUGGACAGUAGCAGUAGGCUAACUUUGAAAAAUCGCCAUAAAUUGUGGAAAUCGAAUUAGAGGAUGAAAAAAAUAUGAAAUUAAAUCUUAUUGAGUCUAGUUUCUCAUAGAAGAACGGUGUAAGUAAUGGAAUUUUAAAUCGUGAGAUAAUAAACUAUGUGAGACAAGGUUAGAAUAAAUUCGGGUUCCCUUGUUCUGACUUUGGAAAAUCAUCAAAAAUUGGAUAAAAAUAAUUAGGAAUUAAAAUUUACAUGUUUAAAUUAUUAAUUAGUCUUUUUUCAAUAGAAACAAAUGGGAACUUCAUCCAAAAUUUUUACUAAGAGAUAAUUAAUUUUUAGCAAUGAAGGGUCGAAGCUGUCAAACAGCAGAACAAGGGUAAGUUUGAAGAUUUUACCAUACUUAUUGGCUGAGCCAAAAAUUUAAAAAUUUUAUGGUAGAAAGGUAUUUGAGUCUAUUUUCAAAUACAUCAAGUGAAUUUUAAUUAGGAAUUCUUUAGCUCAAGAUAUAAAUAAUUUAGUUACAGUGAGUCAAGUAGAAAGCUUUGAAGGAACACAUAAGUAAAUUGUGAUAAGAUAUAUGAAUAUUUAGCUAGCACAGGUUACAUUGAAAAUGGAUCACGCAGCCAAGGCCAAUUUGGGCUGAGUGGGCCACAUGGGCAUGUGAGCCCAUUUUUCUGAAAAAUUCUGUAAGGUUGCACGGGUCGCCCAAGUCGACUAUGGACCUACUGUAGGGUCGGUAAGCUUUACUUAGACGCCUAUAUGUGUGAUCUAUCUGGCUGAUUUCUAUACCGAGCAUGACUUAUGAUAUUUGAAUGUAUGUACUUUUAAUUACAUAAUGGCAUGACAAAUUUUGUAUGUUGCAUUGCAUCGGAGUGGGUUGAUGAUAUUUGGAGGAAGUGUCUAAAAGGCUAUUAAGCCUGUUAUCUGGCAGCUCAGCUGUAACCUUCUGAUUAUGUGCGCAUUUCAGUACAACAUGGUGUGUAAGGAUGGGUGGGUUGAUUUAACCCCCACAUGGUGUGUAAGGUUGGACAAAGAUGUGCGUAGAGGCUGGUGGGUAGGAUUCUGAUUUCUGUAUCUACAUUAUGUAUCUGAUAUGGGCCAAGGCUCUAAUGUAUUUCUGAGACUGUAUCUAAACGGGCUAAGGCCCAAACUGAUUGUGUGAUGGGCCUAGGACCCAGACUGUAUCUAACUAAAUUCUGUUGAUUAUUUGUAUGCAUGAUUUCUAUGGGGAUUACACACUGAGUUUGCGAAAACUCACCCUUUCUCUAUUUAAUCUGUACAGGUAAUCCCCAGACUUGAUGGGUCAGUGCAACAAAGGAUUCGACAGUGGCCACACGUAAAUUAUGGAUUGUUUUCCGUUAAUACCUAGAAUUUAUUAAUUAUUUGGGGUUUUUGAUGUAUCUUCUGGACUAUGGACUGGUUGGCUAACAUACCUUUUUGCAUUGCAUCAUGUGCACGACAUAUUUGAAUAUUAUUGGUUUAUGCUACGUAGUGUAUUUUGUUGUAUUGAAUGGUAUCAAAAUUAAUGAUUGUCACUCGAAUGAAUUAUGACCUAUGCUCAUACACUGUUUGACAUCAAUUUGAUAAUGGCUAUGUAACGAUAUGAAAUUCCUAUAAUGGUUCUAUUUUCUUCUGUUAAAGCUAAUUAGUUUUACUGUAUUUGAUAUUUAUGUUUGUUUCAAUAAUUGUUCGACUCACGCUGAGCUUUUCAUAAGCGCACCCCUAAUAUGUUAAACUUUUCAGGUAAACCUCGAAAUUAAGACCAGACUUGGCAUUCGAAGAAUCACCUUAGACCUUGAAUUAUUUUUCUAAUAAGUAUUAAUCAAUCUCUAAUGGUUUUCGUUUGUAAUUUUUAAUUAUAUCUAGUCUGUGGCUUGAUAACUUUUCUUCUGGGAUUUUUGCAUGCAUGGAUUACUCAAGCAUAGUAACCGGAUAAUGCAUGAUAUUAGGCUUAAGUAAAAUUUGAUAUUGUUCCCUAGAUUCCGCUGCAUUGCAAAGGAUUUGUUUUUGAAAAACAAAUUGAUAAGGUAACUAAGUUUUCAAAAUGACUUGAAAAAUGGUUUUUCCCCUGCAUUAGUUUAACAUCGAAUUUUUUUUAAAGGAGAGCAACAAGCAAAUGAUUUUUCUAAAACAACACUAUCAACAAUAAAAUGAAUUCUAAGUAUACACAACCUAAUGAAUGAAUGCUUUUAAGCUAACUUAAAGUACAACUAUGGUUUUCUCUAAAAUGAGUUUAUUUAAAGUUUUCAUAAGUAAUGUAAGUUAGCUUAGCCAUUUCGGUGGCUAAUGUAGCCUUCUCAUUCUAGCCAUAACGUCUAGGCCAGGUUUGGGAGGUUACAGUAUUGAUAGGAACUGUGGUAUAAAUUUUAUUUUGGACAUUCUUAAAUUGUUAUUUGGACUAAACUUUAGAAACUAUGGAUUUUAUACUGAGCCUAAAUUUACGAAGUUCAUGCGUGGUUUUUACGAAAAUGAAACUCAUAUGAAAUUUCAAAACCGUGAUGUUUUUUUUAACGCUCCAAUUUGAAAUUGUACAAGAAAUGUCAAUUUGAAUUAUUUUUGAAUGUUUUUUAUGCCAAUUAAAUAUUGUUUCAAAACAUAGCUAAGUAUUAUUUAAUUUCGUAAAGAUGAAGCAAACUCCGAACAAUCUAAAACUUCAAGGACUAGUUUGCAAUUUUUUUUUCCUCAAUUGUCUCCGGUUUGAUUCAAUUCUUGAUCUAUACAAUUAUUCCAUUCAAUUCAUCAAUAUUAAACAUUUAUACAUUAUGUCAUGUCAUGAAUGAACCUAGAUAAAUUCAUUUUUUGAUACCCUUAAAGUUUUACAUUUAUUUCAAUUUAGUCUCUAAAAUCGAAAUAGUCAUAACUUUAAAUUCUGAACUUCGGUUUGAAAAUCGACCUCAAUUUCAUUAUAGACUCUCUACUAUCCAUUAUUAUCAAAAUUUCACAUCAAUUUCACAAUUUAUUUACUUUAGUUAUUAUGUACAAAAUUAACAACCAAACAUCACAAUUUAGUCAUUUUUCAUAAUUUAAGCUUAAAAUCUAUCAAUUUAAUACCAAUUUCUUCAAGAAAUCAACCAUGAUAACUAUAAAAAAAAAUUAACAGUUUUGCAAAUUGAUACAUAGGUCAUUUAAAUCAAACUUUCAUGACCUCAGAAACACAAAAAAAAAUUAUACGAAAAUGAUUUAGAAAUGCAUACCAAUUGAGGACCGAAAGCUUGAAGCUCAAAAUGGCUUUUUCCCUUGAGGUUUUAUGUUGAUUAAAUGAUGAAGAAGAAGAAAUAAAGAUGACAACUUGCACUAAGUCACCUUUAUAUACUUAGAUUAAAUCUUAAUUAAUCAAAUUUAAUUAAUUAAAUCUUAAUUAAUUAACCUUAAUCACAAUUAAAAAAAAUUAGUGGAUGUUAACAUCAUCCUACACUAUUUCAUAUAACCAAAUGAUCUAUUUACCAUUUUGAACCUUUAGCUAAUUAGAAAUCUAUAGCGAUAAGACUUUUAAAAUUUAGUUUCUGUAUCUUAAUUAUGCAAUUAAUAGACAAAGUUGAAGGUUUAAAAUUUAAUGUUCUAUUAUACCAACUCUGUAAAUAUUCAUAUUUAAUAUUUACAGACCCGAAUUACGAAAAUGAGAUUUUGAAAUUGUAUUUUCCAAUACCACUGAAAAUCGAACAAUUAUGUAACCUAUUUGCACCAAAGGGCCAAACAUGGCAAAUACUUGACAUGUAUGUCUUAAUAUCCUCAUCUAUUCUCUUCAAUAUAAUAACAUCCAAUAAUUGUUUCAUCCACUGUAACUAUCACGAAGAUUAGAUUUACCAAUACAGCCUACAAUUUGCAGAAGCGCGACAUUUUCAUUCUAGAGAAAGGUAUAAUUGAAACAAAAUUGAAAUAAAGAUUUCAAUACAGAAUCAACAGACAUUCCAGCUAAUACUUAUCAAUUAUUUGCAGCUUCAUUGCUCCAACUAAGAUGGUUUUUAGUCGAAUAUGGUAAAUGAAAUCAAUGAACACCAGCUACUUGAUGAACGAGUGAAUCAAAGUCCUGAUAUGUGCCGGCUUAUUGGUGAAAAAAUACAUGGGUUAGUUUUGCAGCAAUUCAUGAUCUUACAUUUUAUAACCUUUGCUUACAAUUAUUCACUGACUAAUCAUUCAAUGAAUGUAGGCCUCAAAUUUAGCCACUAAACUUUGUUCUUUAUUUUUAGAUACAUAUUAUUUGAUCACUUCAUACAGCCUAUUACUCAUAAUAACUUCCAAUUUCCCUUCUUUAGGUUAGUUGCAAAUGUACAGCUUUUUCUAGAAGAAGAAAAUUGUCAAGAGCCACCUGUUCAAGAGAGGCGCAAACAGAAUGUAACAAUACCUGACCUACUUACGGUACAGCCAAGUAAUCAUGUGUUUCUAUGCUAGAACAUUAAAUCAAUGACUACAAAUUUCAUGUCAUGGUUGUGUAUCAUUUAUGCCACUGAUGCUGCUAUUUUCUAUUCUAAUGCAUAAUAGGGAUUUAGUGUUUUUACCGUUAAAAUUGUGUCCUUUAAUUUUGGCUUUUUUCAAUUGUUGAUCAUGUCCACCUAUGCUUUAUUUUACUACUAUUGCUUUCUUCAAUGAUAGAUGAUUGAAUCGGUAGAAUUUUAUUAAUCCUCUACAUGUUUUAGCUUGAUAUGUGGAUCCUAAGCAUUCCUUGGAUUGUGCCCUCUUUGUUCAUUUAUUUUUUUUCCUGGAACCUUAUUACAUGUUGUAACACUCCAGUUUUUUGGAGACAUUGAAGACGACUAACUGCUGAAUUCUUUCUUCUGCAGAGGAACCAAUGGCAAGAGACUCUAAAACUCCUACUCUUUUUUAUACCUUCCUCACCUCUUUGUGACAUUAUAGCUGAAAAAUGAUGUAUGCUAAUACAUGAAAUGUUUCCUCUUGCCUUUCUUUUUGUAGUACUAAAACUACAAAUAGUGUCUGUAAAUCUCUUUUCCCGUAAUCUUAUCUUUUCCUCAUUGUAAUAGUUGGAAAACAGCUUUGUUGAAGACAAUGUCAACUACUGGGAUAAGUUACAAACACUGUUAUUGUUUAUUUUGUAGUCUAAAUUAUGAUAAUUUCUGCACAAAAUUCACAUAAAUGGUUACCCUCCCGAAGCGGAGCGAGGGUGAUGCUUACUAGUUAUUAAGAAAACAGGACCUUGUAGGGCUUAACUGUUGAAUCGAGAAAGAAAUUUCUUUUAAUGCCUUCAAUUUUUUUUAAAGCUGAUUUUUUUUUACAAAUUAAAGUUUUGAUUGUAUGUUAAUUGCUUGAGGGAAGGUCGGAUACUUUAUUAUCCCUAUUUUUAUUUGUUAUAUAUUUUAACCAUAAUGAUUUUUUUGGCCCUACAAUUUUACCAAAAAAAUCAUAUUAGCUUUCAUUUAAUUUUCGUCUCUUUUAACCCUUUAACUUGUAUUUUUUUUGUCAAAUCACCCCAAAAUGGAUCGAAAACUUUAACAUUUGUGAACUUUGAUUAUGUGACAUACACAUGAAUUGUCACAUGGAUGACAAGUCAACAUUUCUUUUAAAAAAAAACUUAAAAAAUAUUAAAUAAAAUAUUUUUGAUAUUUUUUAAUGAUUUUUAAAUUAAAAAAAGUUUUUAAAUAUUUUUUAAUUUUUAAAAAUUAAUUAGACGCAGGCAUGGAAAUUCACAUCUAUGUGUCACAGGCCGUGGAUUAAAGCCUGUGACCAUUGCGCAUAGAACACCCCAUAGAAUUUUGGCUUUUUAUUUGGUCAAUCAUGUCCACCUAUGCUUUAUUUUACUAUUAUUGCUUUCUUUAAUGAUAGAUGAUUGAAUCGGUAGAAUUUUAUUAAUCCUCUAUGUAAUAACCAAAUUUUGCCCGGGCCCAAUGCCAAACAAAUAAAACCCAAACCAAAUAAAUAAAAUAAGAGUCCAAAUUACAGUCCAUUAGAGCUCAAUUCAGACCAGCCCACUAUUCAAUCAGACUGGCCCAACACCCAAAUAACCUAACAACCCUAGCCCAACAAAAUCAGAAAAAUGAACAGCAAAAAAACCUUAGGUGCGCCGCACCUAGGUCUUUUGGCCUAACCGCCGCUGUUCGCCUAUCACCAGCCUCCUCGCUGCCACCGCCGCAUGCGCACCAGGCCUCCUCCAUGUGUGUCUGACACCUGCAAAGAGAGUCACACGCAACAGUAGAAACAAAAACAAAAAACAAAUAGCAAAACGACAAAAAAAAUAAUGAUUAAGGAGUUCGUAAUCCGACUAUAAAAGCCCUAAUCUGUGACUUGUAAUUUUUUGACACACAUUAGAAAAUAAAAACCAAAAAAAAAAAACUUUAAGGUGAUACUCAUUUCAUUUUAUUUUUGUUUUAUUUUAUUUUAUCAUUUUUAUCUUUUUAUUUCGAAAUAACAUAAAUAAAAAGGGGAGGCUGGGUUGCCGUUGCCAGAGCAUAUUUUGUGCUAAAGGGGGUUGCGCAGGAGGAAAAGAGGAAACUUUUCAGUUUCCCGCCGCCGUGAUGGCCGAACCUCUGACUGGCGCUUGGAGAAAGAAGGGGAGAGUUUGAGAGAAUUUUAGGUUUUUUGUUUAAGAAAAGUGAAAAAUGAAGAAUUCUGAAAAAAUUAAUAUUUAUAGCACCUAGAAAUGGCGUCGUUUUGGCCAGUUUCAUUUGGCCCCAAAAUGACACCGUUUAAUGGCCUAUACCGGCACAGUGACCCGACCCGGGGAAGGAUCGGAGUGUUUUGUGCUAUUGGGUAAUUUUCGCAUUUGGUCCCUCUUAUUUUGUAGUGUUUUCAAAUUAGAUUUUAUUUAUUUUAAAUUUCAACAUACAUUUUUGUUUUUGUUUCACUUAGAUCCUGAACAAUGCGCAGCGUUUUGGGGGCGAGGAAAUAUUUCCAAUAUGGCCCCAUGUAAUCUGCAUAUUACACUUUAACCCCUCGUCUUGUUUAUAAUUCUAUUCUUUUCUUGUUAAUUUAGAUUCAAUUGCGAUUUAAUCUUUUGUUAAAACAUUUGUUUUCUUUAUUAAUUUAUUAACUAUUUUAUUAUUAUUUUAGUGGUAUAUUCGGUCAUAUUUUCAUUAUCUUAUUAUAUAUUAUCAUUUUGAGUUUUACUUAUAUUAUUAUUAUAAUUUUAUAAUGUGUUAUUUUAUUAACUCAAUAUAACAUAUAUAUAUAUGUAUUUUUUUGUGGUUUUAUUUUUAUAAUAUAUUUUUUUAAAUCCAUUUUUAUGCACUUUAUAUUUAAGUAUUUAUACAAUAAUAUUCUUAUAAUAUUUUUAUACAUGUACAAUUUAUAUAUAAUUAUUUCUUAUACGUGUAUAUAUACAUAAUAAAUCAUCGAUUACAUGUUAUUAUAUUAUUUCCACUUAUUUCAUAUAUAAUUUAUUUCUUUUAAAAUACUCUAUUAUAUACUUCAUUUAUUUCAACCUUUUAUGUGUAUCAUUAUAGAUAUACUAUUAUAUGAAGUUUUUCAAUCCCUAUGCAUUACUUAUUUAAAUUAAUAUAUGUAUAUUAUUUUAUGUAUUUAGAUUUAUUUUGUAUAUAAUAUCUACUUUUAAAUUUAUUUGGAUACUAUUAUUUUAAGUGGAAUUUAUUUUUAACUAUAUUUUUUUAUUUAUUUCAAUUUUUCAUAUAUGUAUAUAUUAUUUAUUUUAAAUUUAUUUUAAUCAUAAUUUCCCUUCUUUCAUAUUUCUUAAGUUUAAAAAAAAAAACUUGUACAAUUUCAUGUGCGUCAAUUUGUUUGGUGCUUUGAUUGUUUUUUAAUUCAUUAGCCUUUGAAUGUUAGCAUAAUACAUUAUGUGAGAUUAUUGCUCUUAUACGUAUUAUAUUGCUUAUUUUUAUUUACUAAUUAUUCGUAGAUCAUUAGAAUACAUUUUGGUUUACAAAUUAUCGCUUUGUAUUGUACAUUAAUAUUCAAUUGUUUUUUUAUUCGUUCGAAAGAUUACGUUUAAUAUCAUUUAAGUAUCAAAAUCGAUUUAUUCAAAAACUUUCAAGAUAACGUAAUAUUCUGUAUUUGGGAUAUUCGAGAGAAUUGAGCCUUAAUGUAUUGGGUUCCAAUUUUCCUCGUUGAAUCUAGAUAAUCGAGAAUAAUCUUCAAUCAAAAUACAUACAUAAAAAGCUCAUUAUCGGGAAUUCGAUACAUUGUGUCCUAACGCAUUGGAUACGACAUGUUGUUUUCUCGAGAUGAGGAUUUUUCUAAAAAAAAUAAUAAAGGCAAUAUUCCGUAUUUGGGAAAUUUGAGAGAUCGUGCCCUAACUUACUGGGUUUCGAUUUUUCUCCUUUAACCCAAAUAAUCAAAUAUCCUUCUCAAAAUGCAUAGGUUUUAAAAGUCAAAAGAUAAACUUAAUUUUGAAGAUUAAGAAUGUUGCGCCCUAACUCACUGGGUGUGACAUUUUAUCUCUUUGAAAUAAGAGUGUCUUAUCAUUUAAUUCAAUUUAUUCAAGGUUAAAAGGAUCGUAUUUUAAAACCUUUUCAAAAUUUCAACACUAAGACAUUAAGUAAUCAACUAGGUACCAAUUUUUGGGCGUUACGAGGGUGCUAAUCCUUCCUUGUACGUAACCGACUCCCGAACCUAUUUUUUUGAAUUUCGUGGACCAAAAUCAUUAUUUUAAUAAAAUCAAACCAUUUAUUAAAAACAACCACUUUUCGAGGUGACCCGAUCACACUUCAUCGAAAAAGAUCGGUGGCGACUCCCAUAUUCAUUUUCAUUUUCAAAAUCCAAAUUGACCCUGUUUUAUCAAAAAAUGGUGUCAACACUGCACAUGUUUUAUCUUGACAUAUGGAUCCUAAGCAUUCCUUGGAUUUUGCCCUCUUUGUUCAUUUAUUUUUUCUUGGAACCUUAUUACAUGUUGUACCAUUCCAGUUUUUUGGAGACAUUGAAGACGACUAACUGCUGAAUUCUUUCUUCUGCAGAGGAACCAAUGGCAAGAGACUCUAAAAAUCCUACUCUUUUUUAUACCUUCCUCACCUCUUUGUGACAUUAUAGCUGAAAAAUGAUGUAUGCUAAUACAUGAAAUGUUUCCUUUUGCCUUUCUUUUUGUAGUACUAAGACUACAAAUAGUGUCUGCAAAACUCUUUAGAGAAAAACAAAUGUCUGUAAAUCUCUUUUCCCGUAAUCUUAUCUUUUCCUCAUUGUAAUAGUUGGAAAACAGUUUUGUUGAAGACAAUGUCAACUACUGGGAUAAGUUAUUGUAAGCAUCUUUUCUUUAAGUGUUUCAUAUUAAAAACAAACACUGUUAUUGUUUAUUUUGUAGUCUAAAUUAUGAUAAUUUCUGCACAAAAUUCACAUAAAUGGUUACCGUCCCGAAGCGGAGCGAGGGUGAUGCUUACUAGUUAUUAAGAAAACAGGACCUUGUAGGGCUUAACUGUUGAAUCAAGAAAGAAAUUUCUUUUAAUGCUUUCAGUUUUUUUAAAGCUGAUUUUUUUUACAAAUUAAAGUUUGGAUUGUAUGUUAAUUGCUUGAGGGAAGGUCGGAUGCUUUAUUAUCCCUAUUUUUAUUUGUUAUAUAUUUUAGCCAUAAUGAUUUUUUUGGCCCUACAACUUUACCAAAAAAAUCAUAUUAGCUUUCAUUUAAUUUUCGUCUCUUUUAACCCUUUAACUUAUAUUUUUUUGUCAAAUCACCCCAAAAUGGAUCGAAAACUUAACAUUUGUGAACUUUGAUUAUGUGGCAUACACAUGAAUUGUCACAUGGAUGACAAGUCAACAUUUAGUUUUUUUUUUAAAAAAAAAAACUUAAAAAAUAUUAAAUAAAAUAUUUUUGAUAUUUUUUAAUGAUUUUUAAAUUAAAAAAAGUUUUUUAAUAUUUUUUAAUUUUUAAAAAUUAAUUAAAUGCAAACAUGGAAAUUCACAUCUAUGUGUCACAGGCCGCGGAUUAAAGCCCGUGACCAUUGUGCAUAGAACACCCCAUAGAGGUCAACUUAUUAAACAAGGUUCAUUUGACCCGCAUGAACUGGCCCGACCCAUGGAACCCGUGGAGAAGCCCAUCUACUUGAAGCCUUGGUGGUCUAGUGAAAUAUAGUUUAAUUUUUUUUAAACAUAGGGUAAGGGAAGAAGAAUGCCUUAAAAUUAAUUUUUGUUAGAAAACUAAUAAGAAUGAGUUUGUUGGUUUAGUGUUAAGGCCUUAUCCUAUCCAUAGAUCCCAAGUUUGAAUCCCUUGGUGAGCAUUCAACCAAAAUAUUUUUAUUUCCUUGUUUUUACCACACUAAAAGUGACAAAUUUUAAAAUAACCCAGCCCAAAAACUAUUUUUUUUUAAUUUUAGUCCUUAAUUUAAAAUUUUCCCAAACCUACAUAAAUUUUUAAAACCUAUUCCAAUUAGGAAAAAUAAGUAUUAUAAAUAGACAAUUUCAAAACAAACUCUAGAAUUUCAUCUAGCAAAUUUUCAAGAAAACAUCCAUAAACACUUUCUUUUCCAAAUCAAACUUUCAAGCUAAAGAAAUCAGAAUCUUCAAAAUCAUCCCUCAAGUAGAUCUUCAAUCUUUUCUCCAGCACUAAGGUUUCUAAGUAUUCAAAAUAGGUGUGGGAACUAAACCUAAAUCUUUGUGUAUAAUUGAAUCUAAUAGCAAGUAGAGAACCAGUAUAGGCUAACCCUAGGAGAAACCCCCUGUAUGUGCAAUCAUGUAGGUGUGAGCCUAUAGAUGCAAAACCCAUUGUACAUGAAAACCCCAUGCAUGCAAACCCUUACGUGAAACCCCCCUUUCAUGCGAACCCUGUAUGAAUACCAUGUGAACCCUAGAUUAUAGUUGCGAACCCUAGGUUGUUAUGUGGAUACCCAUACUGUGAACCCAAGUGCACAAACAUAUAGGAAUAUUCAUGCGAGCCCCCUUGCAUGCGAACCCUAGUUAGUGUACAUACGGGUCUCAUAUUUACAUGCAAACCACUACUAGUGCGAGUCAAUUAUAUGAUAUCACAUACGAACCCUACUAUUACAUGCAAACCUUUAUACAUGUUAUAUUCGAACCUUUUUUUGUUAAAACUGGUGAGACUUGUCUAGUAUUACAUACGACCUAAUUUGCGAACUCAUAUGUUAAAAGUAUGUGAACCUAUCUAUGUUUGUUAUGCGAGCUCACAUGUUAGCAGUAUGUGAACCUAUAUAUAUCAGUUAUGCAAACUCACAUGUUAGCAGUAUACGAACCAUAAGUCUGUUAUGCAAACUCACACGUUGGCAGUAUGCGAACCCUAUAUACACCUUUAUGCAAACUCACACAUUAACAGUAUGCGAACCCUAUAUACGCCUUUAUGCAAGCUCACACGUUAGCAGUAUGCGAACCCUAUAUACGCCUUCAUGCAAACUCAUAUGAUUUGCAGCAUGCGAUCUCUAUAUUUAUGCGAACCCUUGUAAUAAAAAAUAUGCGAACCUUAACUUGCGAACCCUUGGCAGGAACCCUGCACUCGCAAAGCCUUCUUCCGGACCUGUACAUAUGCUAGAUAACCAAGCCUAUUAGUUUACAUUAAAUCACUGUACAUAUGAGACUGUUUGUUUACUUGCACAAGUUAUAUGUGUAUUUACUAUUCGAUACAAGAGUACCUAUCGACCUUUUGAUGAGAAUUCAGAGAUUAACGAUGAUAAUUCCAACAAUCGGUGUAAGAACGAGUUAAAUCGAGAGUUGAUGUAAUUUAAGGUAAUAAAGUUAAUUUUUCAGUAAUAAAUGUAAAAUUGUUAUGGAAAGAAACGAUGGGUAAAAAAAAAAAUGAGAGUUUUAAAGAAAAGAGAGGAAAACUUCAAUUUAGGGUUGAAGAGGAACUAAAAAUCUACGUGAAAUUAGGAAAAAAUAUAAAAUACCUAGGAUUAAGAAAUUUGAGGGGGUUGAAUGGUAAAAUACCCUUUUUUCUUAAAAAUGAAAAAAAUGGAAAUGGGUAUUAAGUUUGGCACGACUUGAAACUUGGAAGCAAAGGAAAAAAUUACAAAGGCCUUACCAUUUGGGUUGCUACCCACAUUUGGCAUAUUUUUACACUAUUUAAAAUAUAUCCUAGCUUAGUUUUGAUCAUAGGUUGUUGAAAAAAAAAAACAAGGGGUAAGAGUGUGGCUUCAACCUUAAUUCUCUAGUUAGUAUACUAAGCUCUGAACCAUUAAAAUUAAGGCUCAUGUCUUAGUCAAUUAAUUCAUCUAACUCUAUAUAUUUUGAGGUAUUACAUCUUGAAUUAGAAAAACCCAUAAAAUGCAUGUAGACUUGUAUUGCUCGGUACUUGGUACUAUAUAUGUAGACUUGUAUGUUGAUUAAGCUAGCUUAAUUAAGACCAAUGUGUUAGACUUGUCUAUGCAUUGAACAAUCUAGAAGAAAAUGAAGAAAAAGACUCUGAAAAUACUUGAAAACAGAUAAAACUCAUAUGUCAUCGACUAGUUAAACUAUGAUCACCCAUAAUAGACCUUGUAUUUGACUUUUUGUUGAGGGAGAAGUUUCGUGAGUGUUGUUUGUCAGGGAGUCAGUGUUGCCCUAAACAACUAAAGGUAUUGUCCCCAUGUCGAGAUUUUACCCCCAGCCUCUGCAAAAUAAUCAUGAAGAAUACGUGCGAAGGAAUUCAAACACCAACCAAUGCAUGUGUAGCCUUUACCUUCCCACUAUCUUUGGGAACUCAUAAGGAUAAAAUCCCAACAAGAGAAUUGUAUCAGAGGGGUCUGUCAACACAAUGAAUGAAAUUUCAUACUUUUUUUUUAAUGAAAGUAAAUAUCAUAUUUAGUUAGAGAAAAGCAACGAAAAAUCUAACAAUAAAAUCCUUAGCAAAAGAUUAAAACACAAUUGUACCAUAAAUUAAAUAAGAAAUUAAAAAAAUUCAAAUCUAACAAAGACAGUAACUUGAUUCCUCAAAGCUACCACAAACAGUAAUUCAUAGGAAGGCCUGCUGCUCAUUUAUAACACAAACUUCAUGGUGACGGAUACCAACAUACUAGAUACUAUGAUUAAAAUGCUAGAAUAGAUUAAAAAUGUUGAAUUAAUGAUAAAAUUAAGAGUGAAUUAACACAAAGUACUCAUCCUCUCUUUUUAAUGAAUCAACAUCUGCAAUUUCUAUCACUCCUUUAGACAGUGAACUUUCCAUCCAAUGCCUUAUAGUCACUUCUUCAGCAAAAUAAUUAUCAGUUGGCUUUUUCUUUGUGAAAGUUUCUAUAAGGACAAUCCCAUAACUAUAGACAUCACAUUUUCUAGAAACAAUUCCUGCUGAUCCAAAUUCUGCAUUUCAAGCAUAAUUAGAGCAUCAUUAAUCCUUAAUUAUUUCUAAAAUGUUUAUUCAAAUAUACACAUGAAACAAAAAUAUAAAAUGAAAAUCAAGAAAAUAAUCAUAAAAAGAAUUCACCUGGUGCCAUAUACCCGAUAGUUGCAAGAGUCAUGGUUUGCUUCACUACAUCACCUUCUCCCAAAAGGUUGGAAAAGCCAAAAUCUCCCACAUGUGCAACCAUGUCUUUAUCUAGUAAAAUAUUGCUUGGUUUGAAGUCAGAAUGAAUCAUAGGUGUUGGAUGUCCGUUGUGGAGAUGUUCUAUAGCUGUCGCAACAUCUAUCAUUAUGUCAACCCUUUGUAUGAUAUCAAGGAAACAGUUUUUACAAUGUAGCCAUUUCUCAAGAUUUCCAUUUGACAUGUAAUCAAGCACCAAGGCUUUUUUAAAAAUAAAAUAAAAUAAACUUGGUAUCCAAAAUGUUUUUGUGUUGACAUGGCAUUUUUAAAAAUAAAAUAAACUAGGUAUCCGUGUAACAAAAAUAAAAUUGUAAUAUAUAGGCCUAAUUUUAGUAAAGAAUGUUAAUGAUGUUAAGAAUUCUUUAAAUUUCACAUAAUCAUUUUUAUUAGAAUAAAGUAUUUAGACUAACUAAUUAUAUUAUAAAAAUUAAGAUACCAAAUUAUGUCAAAAUUAAAGUUAUAGAUUAAAUCUCAAUUUUAACAUUCUUAUAAUUUAAAAAAGUAGAAGAUUGGAAUUAAAUAAAUUUAUAAUCCUUAAUUGUAAAUUUGAUAAUUCCUAUUAAUCUAAAUUAUUACAAUAAUGUGCUUACUAUGCUUGGUUUUACUCAAUGAGUGAUAUUAAAUUAAUUAAAAAAUUAGAUAAAAAUCAAAUAUCUUAUUUCUAAUAAUAAUAUUAUUACUCCCUCACAAAACUAUAUUUCACUUGAAAGAAAUUCUAUUCCCUUCAAAAAAAAAUUACCAUCUUAAAACACUUCCAUCUUUUAAAAAAUCUUAAUGCACACUUUAAUCCUUGAAUUAUAUCACUUUUUCAACUUUAGUCUUAAAUUUUUUUUAUUGAUUUUAGUCCCUAAUAUUAUUAAACGUUUCCAAUUUAGUUCAUUGGACAAUAAAAAUUGAUUGUCGUUGGGAUAUCCAACCAAUCAUACACUACCAAAUAUUGUACGAUGAUAUCAUUAUGACAUCAUCAACAAAAAAACCUUAAAAAUCUUUAAAAAUGAAAAAAAUUAUUAUAAUUAUUUAAAAAUAGAAAAAAAAUAAAAUUGUAAAAAUAAAAAAUCUAUGUAAAAUAUAAAAAUUUACAUAAAAUUUAAAAAUAUAUUAGAUAUUUUAAUAUCUUUAAAAUUUUAUAAAUCACAUUUACUAGAGUUUGAACCUAUGAUUAUUGUCAACAAUUGUUUUAUGACUCAAUUAAUCAUAAUUUAUAAUUGGUAGAUCUUUUUAUGUGAUAAACUUGGAUAAUUUUUUUUUCAAAUUAUUUAAAUAAUGAAAAGUAAUAUUAUUUCAAAUAAAUAAUAAAUUAUAUAAUAUUUAUAAUUAUUCCAAAUAUUUUUUUUUACUAUCUUAAGAUAAAUUAUUUGUCUCUAGACCAAUAUCUUAAGAACUAUUGUCGUGUGUUUAACUAUUCUAAAGAACUUUGGUAUAAAAUAGAAAAAGCAUGUGCACAAUGGUAAAUAGGGAGUCGAGUCAAAUAAACUUGUUGCCAGUAACGCUGGUAAAGUACUAAAAAUUGAUGUAUUUUAAAAUAUUAAAAUUUUGAUAUAAAAAUUUAUUCAAAUUUUUAUUAUAAUAAUUUUAAAUAAUUUUUUAUAAAAAUUGAUUGUAUUACAAUAUACAAUUUCAAUAUCAAAUUUUUAAUAUUUUAAAUGUGAUUAGCGAAUGUAUACUUUAUUUCAAGUUACAUAAUUUUUACCAGUAUUUUAAAUUUUUUAUUUUUUUACAAUCUUUUAUUAUUUCUAAUAUUUUUUAUAUUUUUUACAAUAUUUAAAAAUUUAUAAUAACUUUUAAUAAUUUUAUUGUUUUUAGAAAUUAAAAGAAUUAACAAUUUUUUAUUUUUUAAAAAAAUUAUAAAUUUAUAAUGUAGUUAAUUUUAUUUAAGUUUAUUUGAAUUUUAUGAUAUUUUUAAAAAAUAUUUUUUUAUUUUUGCAAUCGUGACAUCAGCAUAUGACACGUGGUAAUUUAUGAUCAGAUGAAUUUUUAGUUUUUUUUUUAACGUCCAAAGGAUUAAGCUGAGAACACCUGGUAACGUUAGGGACUACACUAAGAGCAUUUGAUAAUAUUAGGUACUAAAGUGGGCCAAAAAAACAUUAAGGACCAAAGCAAAAAAAAUGCUAUACUUGAACUUUCAAAAUUAUCUUUCAUUUAGUUAGGAUUAAUAUUUAAUGAUUUACUUAAAAAAUAGAAAUUUAAAAAUUUGUAGUAUUGAGGUUAAAAAAUGAGUAAGAGGUGGUGGAUGGUUCAUACAAUGGUGAGGCACAAAGAACCAUUUUAAAAUAAGAGAAGGGAGGGGUGCUUAUUCUUGAGGUUAAGAAUGAGUAUUUAUAGGUGAGGUUAAUCAUCCUUGAUCAUUAGACCUUGACAAGUGUUUGAUGCCAGUCUUAUCGUGGUUGGCCACUAAGGGAAUGAUGGACCUCUAGGUAGUGAUGGAAUUGACAUGAAUUAGAUGAGAUUAGGAUGACAAUUUGGAUUUUGAAUUCGGAUAAUAUUGGAAUUAAAAUUUUGAAAUUACUAUCUGUUGCAUAUUUGAAGUGAAUGCGGAAAGAUAUUUCAGAAUUAUAUUAGUCGAAUCUACUUUACUUAUUCGAAUAGAUGUAGAUUGGAAUUUAGAUAUCUGAAUCAACUAGUCACGAAAUGUGUAUAGUUUUGAUUAUAUAUAAAAAAAAUUUGGUGGAUUCAAUUUUGAAUUUUCGUGGAUUUGGAUAUCCAAAACAUGAUUGAAAUUUUUAAAAUUACUCCUUUUCUGUUGAUUCAGAUAUUUGACGAAUAAUAGUACUUAACUUAAGCCAAAUUUAGACAGUAAUACUCGGAUAAUUUGUAUAUAAUAAAUAAAUUUUGAUUUUCAAGCAAAUAUGCAUAUUCUAAUUCAAAAAAUGUAGUUACUAACCUAUUGCCAUUCCUAGGCAAGAGUACCCUACGUGUGAUCCAUGCACAGAAGGAUCCAACAUCUUUCACUGACGAGGUAGAUUAGAAGCGUCACGUACCAGGCAUAUAUGUAUCAAUGAGGUCUAUAGCUGGCAAAGUGUAGCCCACAACUGAAAUCAUAGUUGACGAGGUAGUAGUUGGGCGACAUGAUGGUGACAAAAGCCACUCUGGUAAAAUAUUAAUAGCAAUCACCCUCCAAUUAAUGAGAAGUUAUAAAAUGACCUAAUUAAAUGGUAGCAUAGUUUACCAUAAGUGUCAUAUGUGUUGUAAGGCAUGAGCUCAAACCCUACCAAACUCAAAUGAUCAAAUUUCCUUGGUAGGUGGUCAUACGUCACGUACCGUUUGUCCCAACAAGGCGCUCCCACUCUGUUGAACCUGUCACCUCUUUAGGUAGCUUUAGGCACUUGAGAUCUUUACAAAGUCGAGAGGUAAAAUUAUUGGAAAAAAAAAACUCGGUUUGAAAAUAGUUUUCUUACACAGUAGAAAAAUAAAAUUUUGAAAAUCGACCUGGUUUGUGAUAUUUAUAACAAAAAAACCUUAACUGAAUUCAUACAUGUGUUUUUGGAUAAGUGGAUCCUUGAUGUUUUCAGGCUUUCAACCAAAUGAUCUUUUGCACUAUUCUCGUACCACGAACUGCUUCGAGUGUGGCCUCGAACCAAUUGAAUCAAAACACAAAACUAGAAAAGGUUUUCCUUUUUGGGUGAAAACCAAAAUUCUCUCUUCUUUAAUAGAAAUCAGUAAAAUUAUUAUUAUGAAAAAUAUGUUUAUAAGUUGAGAAUAAAUUCUCUCUAUUUUUCGACAGAAUAAAAAUCUCUCAAAAGUUGUGUAAAUAGCUCUACUGGUGCCAUUUAUUUAUAGGAAGAGAAAGUAGAACCCUUGUAGAGUUGUAAAAGUUUAUAUCCACUAGAAAAAUAAUAUCCUAGCCUAUCUAGGAUAUAGGGAGCAACAACCGUAGUUAAUGAUACUAGGGUUUUGUCAUCCCACCUCUUUAUAUGAGGGGUUUUAGGCCUCUCUCACAUCAGAUCCAAGUACAAGUACUUCUUAAAUAUAAAUUUGAAUUUGAUAUAUUGAUUACAUAUGAAUUUAUAUAUUGUGAGUAAAAUUUUUAUUUGAUAUAUUAAUAAUGUAUAAAUUUAUAUAUUGUUAAUACAUCAUAUGUUUAAAAAAUCUAAUAAUUAUAUAUUAUUUUCAAUAAUUUUUAAAUUUAUUAAUUGAUUUAUUGGUAUAUUAAUAUUAUUUAUUAGUAAUAUGUAAAUUUAUACCCUGUCAAUUUAUGAAAUAACAUUUAGUGAGUGGAAUAUAUAUAAAAGAAGAUAUUCUAAAUCUUUCUAAAUUCUUCCUUAAAAUAGAAAAAGAAAUAAAUUGUUGAUAUAGAUAUGUUGAUAAGAUUUUCAUGUAGGGCUUUUCUGUAAUUCAUGAUUUUGUUACAUGCAUAAAUUGUAAUUGUGAUAUUUUAUAUUUUAUUUAUAUAAAUCAUGUUAAAUUUGAUUUAAAUUCCUUUUUUAAUUAUUUAUUCUUUUAAGAAAUUUCAAGUAUUCAAUAAAUAUUAAUGUAUACUUUUUCUUAAAUUGAUAUAAUAGUGAUAUCAGAUUAGUUUAAAAUUUUGCGUGUAUGACAAGUACAAUUAUAUCGAUAGAUUCAAUAGUCGGAUUAUUCAAAUAUUACUCCUACAAAUAUAUAUAUGAAGAAGUAUAAACUGCUUUAAUUUUACAUUGGUAUAAGUAGAUCUCUCUCUUACAUCUGUUGUAUAUAUGAAAUUUUGAUUUUGAUUCAAACGUACUCAUUUAAAGAAAUAAAUACAUCAAUUUAUUUUUAUAUUGAAUAAGUAUAAUUAUUUGGAUAUGCUAUAUAUAGAUGUAAAAUGAUGGUAUAUAAAUAACGAUGUUAGAUGUUUGUAAAAAUUGAAUCAAAUCAAUAUUUCAUGUAUAAAAUUGCACAAUGGACCAAAGUUCAUGUACAAUUUUGAUCUUUAUAUCUGAAAUUUAUUAAUGCAAAUUAUUUUCCAAAAGAUCACAUUGAGUAAGAUUAAUUUAAAUUUCAAUAUUUAAAUUUUUUCUCAUAUAGAAAUAUAAUUUUUUUAAAAGAAGUGUAUACUAAUUGUUGAAAGAUUUCCGACUCUUUUGGAAAGUCUUCGAAGUGGCAUAUUUUGAAGAUGGUGGACCCUCAACACGUCCAAUAUUAUCAUUGGUUAAGGUUUUUUUUGGAUCUAGUGUCCUAAGUGUAGUACUUUUCAUCAAUAUACAGUUGUAAAUUUUUUUAACAAAUUGGUUAAUAAAACAAAUUUAUUGAUUAUAUUAAUAUACUUUAUAUAAUUGUCCUAACAUAGUUUUUGCACGCAAAGCAAAAUGGAAGUAAAUGUUGCUCAUUGGUUGCCUAAAUAUUUAAUUAAUACUAAGCGGUAUUAUGUGUAUAAAAAGACAGCUUGUAUUAGUAGACAAACCUAAACAUGUCCUUAGCAUAAUUGGAAAUUAGUAAAUUGAUUGAAAGACUAAUAUGUCGUCUAUCAAGUGUAUUUGGGGAGAUGCCUUGUCUUGGGCAUCGAAGCAGAUGACUCCCAAAAGGUAGAGACAUAGAUGUGACUGACUGGACUGGUAGUAAAUUGGAUAGCACACAAACAGAAUAGAUCCUGAAUUCGUUUAUGGACUUAUUCACUUGUGAUGUCCAUAGUGUGGCAUACAUAAAUCUUGAAUGGAUAGCGGAGUACGUAUGUGUGACUUUUACACUUUGAUGUAAGUAAAAACAUAAGUUCAAUUAGAUAAGGAACCAGAAUCUGGUACAUUUGGUUUACGACUUCUAUAGUAUGUAGCAUCAUUCAUAAUAGUGAAAUUCAUAGCGCAAAACAUGGGUAAAUGAUAUCCUCUCAUUGACAUUACAUGGUUAAUGAAAAGUAAACGUGGCCACGGGUUGUCCGUCUUUGUGAUGGAAACUUGAUCACUAAUUGAUAAUGAUUGAUUUUUCACGAAAGAAGAUGUAAUGGCUACCAUGAGAUAAAAUAUGAUAUAUUGGGAGAACAAAUAUUAUCCCAAAGAGAUCAAGGAUAUCCUAUGAGGGUAACACACUAAUGACAAGGUUAUUGGACGAGCAUUAAGUAGUUGCUUUCGUAAUGGUAUGUCGUUGGGGAUAUUUCAUUCACGACACUAUAGUGGAAUGACUUCAUCACUAAAUGAUUUUAUAAUUAAUAGGUGAAAAAAAUAGAAUUUAAAUAUAAAUCAUUUGAGCCUCAACUUUAUAUGUCUACUCGGUCCCCCAACUGUUAGUUCAUUGAAACCAAAAAUUAAUUGCACGUUUGAAUGGAAAUCAGCGAAAUGGAUAGAAAAAGAGAAAUGAGAAACAUUCAGGAAUGAUUAUGGUUUCCUCUAAAAUGGAGAAAUGGAAUAAUUUGAAAAUGAAUGUAGGUUUCCAAAAACGGAAAUAGAAAUGAAAAUGGAAACUUGCAAUUUUAUAUAUGAUUACUUAAAAAAUGAUGGAAGAAUGAGUUUAUAUUUUUGGACUAUUUUGAAGCUCGAAAAUGAAAAUAAAUCAUUCAGUCAUAGUGAACAUAUUGAGUUGUGUCAUAUUAAACGAAUUUUCUUGAAAUUUUAUUGGAGGUAAAAUUGCCAAAAUUUUACUGGGUAAAAUUGUCGUGAGAAAAUAAUUUAAUAUGUAAAUAUUAAAAUUUAUUUUGGAAAUAGAAAAAUUGAAUCGGGUUGGACCAUAUUACAAAGUACUAGAUCAAAAAGGCCCAGAAAGUACUCGUACUUGGACCCGAUGUGAGAGAGGCCCAAAACCCCUCAUGUAAGGUGGGACGGCAAAAACCUAUUAACUAGGGUUGUCGACCCUUAUAUCUUAGAUAGGCUAGGAUAUUAUUUUUCUAGCGGAAAUAAACUUUUACAACUCUACAUGGGUUCUACUUUCUUCUCCUAUAAAUAGAUGGCACCAAUAGAGCUAUUUAUACAACUUUUGAGAGAUUAUUAUUCUACCGAAAAGUAGAGAGAAUUUAUUCUCAACUUAUAAACAUAUUUUUUAGAAUAACAAUUUUACCGAUUUCUAUUAAAGAAGAGAGAAUUUUCGUUUUCACCCUAAAAGGAAAACCUUUUCUAGUUUUGUGUUUUGAUUCAAUUGGUUUGAGCCCACACUCGAAGCAGUUCGUGGUACGAGAAUAGCGCAGAAGAUCGUUUGGUUGAAAGCCUAAAAACAUCAAGGAUUCACCCAUCUAAAAACACAUGUAUGAAUUCGGUUAAGUUUUUUUUGCUACAAAUAUCACAAACUGAGUUGAUUUUCAAAAUUUUAACUUUUGAUGUGCAAGAAAACCAUUUUCAAACUGAGUUUUUUUUUUCAACAGUUUUAUCUCUCAACUUUGUAAAGAGCUCAAGUGCCUAAAUCUACCUAAAGAGGUGAUAGGUUCAAUAGAGUAGGAGUGCCUUGUUGGGACAAACGGUACGUGAUGCAUGACCACCUACCAAGGAAAUUUGAGCAUUUGAGUUUGGCAGGGUUUGAGCUCAUGCCUUACAACAGAUAUGACACUUAUGGACAACUGCUACCAUUUAAUUAGGUCACUUUAUAAAUUCUCAUUAAUUGGAGGGCGAUUGCUAUUAAUAUUUUUCCAGAGUGGCUUUUGUCACCAUCACCUCGGCCAACUACAACCUCGUCAACUAUGACUUCAGUUGAGGGCUACACUUUGCCAGCUAUAGACCUCAUCAAUACAUAUAUGCCUAGUACACGAUACUUCUAAUAUACCUCGUUAGUGAAAGAUGUUGGAUCCUUCUAUGCAUGGAUCAUACGUAGGGUACUCUUGCUUAGGAAUGGCAAUAGGUUAGUAUCUACAUUUCUUGAAUUAUUAGAAUUUGGAUAUGCAUAUUUGCUUAAAAAUCAAAAUUUGCUUAUUAUGUAUAAAUCAUCUGAGUAUUACUAUCUAAAUUUGGCUUAAUUUAAGUACUAUUAUCUGUCAAAUAUCUGAAUUCGCAAAAAAAGAGCAAUUUUAAAAUUUUCAAUCAUUUUUUGGAUAUCCAAAUUCACGAAAAUUCAAAAUUGAAUCCACCAAAUUUUUUUAUAUAUAAUCAAAAAUAUACACAUUUCGUGACUAGUUGAUUUAGAUAUUGAAAUUCCAAUCUACAUCUGCUAUUCGAAUAAGUAAUGUUGUAACACCUUAAAUAAUUUAAGUUUGUUUUUGUGAAAUUUAACACAAAAUGUGUACUUGCUUCAGUGGUUAAGUGUUCUAGGUGUGUGUGUGAGGUAUUGGGUUCAAUUCCCACUUUUGGCAAAACUUUGUUAUUUUAUAUCCAAGCCUAACUCUUAUUGAGUAGGCUUAUGUUAAAUUGUUUGUUAAUCCAUAUCAGAAUAAGCUUGUUGGUUUGAGUGGUAAGGAGUUGGUGUGUAGGAGGUCCUGUUUUUGAAUCCCUACGUGAGCGUAGGUAUUAAUUUUUUCUCGGUUGUCUGAUAGAGUUUGAGUGGUCUUGAAAGUCUGAGGUUGUUAAGGCUGGGUGUUAGUCUGAAGUUAGGAUAUUGUGGGGGGGAUUUUUAUGUUGAUUAUUAUUAUUUUAUUUUAUUCCUUUUUCAAAUUUUCCUCUCUCUUUCCAAAAUUUCCCUUUAAUGUUAUUCUUCAAGUUUUUUUUAUUGUCUCUGAUAUUUUUCCCCCUUUUCAUUAAAUCUUUGUUUUGUUCUUCUUUUUUGAUUAUGUUCGUCAACCUAUCAUUCGAUCGUGCCAUUGGAGUUGUCGGGUUAUCUAAUCGGUUGGUAAGUAAAACUUUGCUUCCCUUUAACUUUUGAUUUGGGAUUAUAGUGAUUUCAAUAUGUAGCAAUUGAUUAGUGGAACUUCGUGUUUAGGAGAAGAUUAUGGAGCAAUGAAUUGCACUCCAACAGUUUAGUGUGCAUUGAAGUGGUUUGUCAUCGACGGUAAGUCAGUUUCGUGUUGUUUCUUGUUGUCAAAUUCAUUAAUCAAACUACUAAAUCAAUGUUGGGUACUUUAAUUUUAGGAUUUGGAAGGCUCGGGAGUAUUUUUGCAUUAAAAUCGUAAUAGGUGUGUCCCCAAAACAUAGAAAGUCAGGUUUCGAUAAAAGUCAAAAAUGCAUUUUGUCGAUGCGACAAGGGCAUGUGCCUGGUCAUGUGGCUAGUCGUGUGUGAGACACGGCCGUGUAUUUGACGAGGGUGUGGCUGUGCGCAAGCCACGGUCAUGUGGUAGUGUAAGUGUCGCUAUGUAGGCCAUACGGGCUAGGCCAGUCUAGGUUUGUGGGCCUACAUAGGCAUGCCACACGGACGUGUAGGCCCAUACGGCCAUGUAGGCCCACAAUUUUGAGAUUUUCCCUUAGGUCGCACGGUUCGUUUCGAACGAUUGUGGACCUACCAUAGGGUCAGUAAGGGCUAAUCAAACCCUAAAUUAUGUGAAAUGAUAUUUUGAUAGUUCGCCUUGUGUAGGAUGUCGAUAUGUACAUCUGUUUUAUUUACGUAUAUAUAUGCUAUCUGUAUAUGAGCAUGUUAUGCAUGAUAUUACUGUAUCUGUUAUUUCUGUAUUAUGUAUUUGUAAAUGGGGUGGGUUUUGUAUAUGUAGAGAAAGUGAUCUGUACGAUAACACUUCCAUUAUAUUUUGACAGUUGACUGCAUAUUAUUUGUAAUGUGUCGUAUUGACACUAUAUGGUGUGUAGGGAUGGGUGGGUGCUUUUAACCCUAUAUGGUAUGAUGGGAUAGUCGAAGAUGUUGUGUAGAGGAUGGGGGUAGGAUUCUGUAUAUCUGUACUACUUAUCUGAUUUUGUUAUCUGUAUCUGGAAUGGAUAUAAGUCCGGAUCUUGAUCUGACUGUAUAUAAGACUUCUAUUUGUAUUGCAUUUCUAUUUUUGUUAGGUUACACAAUAAGUUUACGAAACCUCACAUCUGUUUGUCUGUUCUGUUCAGGUCUAUAGACUUAGGCGGAUCAGUGUGACGGAGCCUCACAGUAACCACGAGAUUGUAAACUAUUUAAUAUUACGGUUUUUAUUUAAUUUAAGGAUUCUUUCUGGAAGUUUGUAAUAAUUGGACUUUCUAGAAUAUUUGACUUUUAUUUCAGUUUUGGAGGUGUUUUAACUUUUAUGGCCACGUUUGACCAAAUUCACGGUUUUACUAAAAUAAAGGAUUUUCUGAAUACACGAAUUAGAUUUCCAAGAUUCAAUGCUUUUUGAAAACUUCCGCUAUAGAUUAUGUUUUGGAAAAUGAAUGAAUUAAAUAACGCUUCUAGUAACAGAUAGUACACUUGGGGUGAUUUAUUGAACGACUAAACAAAGCUUUAUUAAAAGAUCACUAUUUUAAAAACCCUUCCAUGUAACACUCUUAGAUUAGGCCACAACGUCUAGGCCAGGAUUAGGGUGUUACAUUUAAUGGUAUCAGAGUUAGGUUACAAAACUCGAGCUGUGAAUUUUGGGUUUCAAAAUUAUGUUUUGAAAAAGAACAGGUUUUCAAAUAAUUUGGAUCAUUUUGAAUAAGUAUGUGGUACACUGAGUCUCCGGCAUUGAUCCUAUAAGUACUUUUGAACUUAGAUAAAACUUUCUGAAAACACUAUAGUUAGUACUUUCUGAAACUGUACUGAGUUAGUUAAAAAAUAAAAACUUUUGAAAUAUGUUCGAACUUCUGAUAAUUUGAGCAUGAAAUAUAUGUUAAUAAACAUUGGAGCUGAUGCAUAAAAUUUUAUAAUGUAGAUAAAUUUGAAAAUAUACGAUGAGCGCUUAUGGAACUUGCGGUCAUGGUAUUCGUGGGCUCAGUGGGAGCCGUAAGGGGCUGGAGCUGAGUCUUUUUCUCUGGGCAGUAUGCCAAACUUAGAUAUGAGUAAGCCACCAGUGUCACUUGCUACUGAGACAAGGUCUCAAAGCCACUUUGGUGGGGACGACGCACUAUCCCAAGCCAUGUUGAGGGUGUUGGAGAGGGUCAUUGGACCCCAUUCUGGAUCUGUGGGCCGUAGGACGGUAACUGAACGACUCUGGUCCAAUAGAGCUGAGUUGUUUAGGGGUGUCAUUGAAGUCGCCCCUAUUGUGGUCGAGUAUUGGUUGGAGGGCACAAAGAGGAUUAUGAACGACAUCGAUUGUACUCUUAAGUAGAAAUUUAAUGGUGCAGCCUCUCUACUUCGCGAUGAGGCAUAUCAGUGAUGGUUGUCGGUUGAGGAGGGUACUCAACGGGACUGUCUGAACUGGGAUUAUUUUAAGACUACCUUUCAGGGGAAGUAUGUGGGUGCAAGCUAUCUUGAUACUUGUAGGCGUGGGUUCAUGAAUCUCACGCAAGGUGAUAAAUCUGUGGCUAAGUAUGAGGCCGAGUUUCUAAGGUUAAGCCGCUACGCUUAAGGCAUGGUGGUGACUAAAUAUGAGAAAUUCAUCUAUUUUAAGGAUAGCUUGAGGUAUAAUCUGAGGGUAUUGAUUGCUCCACAGAGGGAAUGAGAGUUUGAGUUCUUGUGGAUAAGGUGAAGAUCGCCGAGGAGAUUAAGUGCGUGGAGCGCUAAAAUAGGGAUCGUGAGUGAGGCAAGAAUAAGAGGGAUUCAGAGCCCUCUAGUUCUGUUUAGAGGGCUAUUAGAGUAGGGGUUCCUAUUACUUCUAAUAGGAUUCAGCCACGUGAUGAUUGUGGUAGGCACCAUCCGGGUGAGUGUUAGAGGAGGUUGGGGGCUUGUUUGAGGUGUUGGUCUUUGGAGCACCACAUUAGAGAAUGUUCACUCCAUGCGGAUUAGAUGCAAGCUGUAGGAUCAAGUUUUAUACAACCUUAGAGGGCAGUUCAGCAGCCAUCUAAGGGUCGUGGUCCUACUAGGGGUGGUAAUGGUAUGGGUCGAGGACAUAGAAUAUCGGGAAAAGGUGUUAGUUAGAUUGAAUCCUAAAUUAGAGUUAAGUUUGGUUUGAAUCAAGCCUUAACUUUGACCAAAUCCAACUAAAAACACGUCUAACAAUUAUCUAGUAUUGUUUUUAUGAAUUGAAUUUUAACUUGUAAUUUUCAAUUUUAUUACAAAAUUUCUUUGCGGACGAUAAGAAAAUAACAUAUUUGUAACUUCUUCAACCCGGCGUAAAGGUUAAGUCUGAAUUUGGAUUACAUCAGCCAUAAAGAUGGCCUAGCAGGAUUAUCGGAGUUUUUAAAAACAAACAUCUUUAAAACGUUUGUUUAAUUUAUAGAAAAGCUUAUUUAAUUUCCAAAUUAUUUAUUACUUGAAAUCUUAAUUACACUUUAAAAGUAGGAAGUGGUAACUAUUUAUUUUUAAUAAAAUUCGGGGUUCAUGUAUAAUUGAUUAAUAACCGUAAUUCGAAAACAUUAAAACUUAAAUUAAAUGUCAUGCAAAACAAAACAAGCUUAAAUCUAAAUCUCAUGCCGCAGUUCAAAAUUAUUUAUUGUAGUCUUAGAAAAUAAAAACAAUCAUAUAAUGAACCUAAAUUUUUUAUUUUACUUUAAUAAUGUGUCAAGGUCUUACAGAUGUCACGCCUGCGUUCAAUCUUGGUGGGUUAUCUGUAAGGAUGAAAAUUUAAGGGGGAGUGAGCUAUGACGCUUAGUGUGAGUUCAUUCACAAUAAAUUCAAUGCAAACGGUUGGUAAGGCACAUUAAAUAACAUCGCAUAAAGUAAUCACAGUCAGAUAACAGUUUAGAAUGGCGAUUUUACAAUUUAACUACCAAUAUUAUCACAAUAUUCACAGCUGUAAUUUCAGAAUAUCAAAUUUCCACAUCAUUCACAAUACUAACAUAUAUAUAAAUAUAUCAUAAUAGAAUUCCAGAUUUGUAUGCACAUGAUUUAGAAGAUGCCAUACAAUUUUGGGUUUUAACAGAAUAAAUCCUACCCCACGUUACAUAUCAUAAUGGGAGUUCCCCUAAACUCCCUUCUCCAACACACUAGGUUGUGGAUAAACCACUACUCGUCCACAGAUAAUAACUAUCAUUUGGCUGUGGACACACAACAAAUCCCCACAGUUGGAUUCUAGCUUUGGCUGUGGGUUCACAGCCAAGAGUCCUGCAAAUGAAGCCUGUUUUUGCAUGUAGAUUAUACAACCUAUACCCGCAGUUGGAAUCUGUCUUUGGCUAUGGAUGCACUGUAACACCCCAAACCCGACCUGGACGUUAUGGCUCAAUCUUGACGUAAUGCCCCAAAAUUUCUAAUUUCGUUAUUGUGAAAAUAUGACACAAAAUAUUUGUCUGCUUUAGUGGUUAUGUGUUCUGGGAGUGUUUAGGAGGUCCCAAGUUCACGCCUUCACAUGGGAAAAUUUUGGUAUUUUGAAUGAAUUAGGUAUUACUCUUAUUCAGUAGGCUUUUAUUUGAUUGUUGGGUAAAUUAUAUUAGAAUGGGCUUGCUGGUCUAGUGGUUAAAUGGUUUAUUAUUAUGGUGGAGGUCUUGUGUUCAAGUCCCUAUGUAGGCAAGGGUAUUAUUAUUAUUAUUUGCUCAAAUUUCUGGAUAGAGUUGUGUAAUAGGGGGAUUCUGAGUAGUAGAUGUGUAGUGGGAAUUAGGGGAGAAGAUUAAGGAGUUUCAGGGGUUAUCGAGAUUUUAUUUUAUUUUUUCCCAUAACCGAAUUUUGACUUUCUUUUUCCAAAAAAAAUCUGCCAUCUAUUCUUCUCCCUCUCCUCUUGUUGAAAUUCUCUUAGUUUUUUCACCUUUCUCUUCUUUUUCUUCUUCUUGAUUUUUCCCUAAUCCAUUUAUUUUUCUUCAUUUUCGCACGCGGUUAGUUUUCGCUUAGUUUCGGUAAGUGUUUCUCUUCGUUUCUAUCAUGAAUCUCCUAGCGACUAAAGUGGUAACUUUUUUCUCUGUGAUUUGGGCGUAGGGGAAGGCUCGAACUGUUGAAUUCAGUAUUCUCGUCUUAACAAUAGUUAAAUGGAGGGUUAUUGUUGGUGGUAAGUUGGGUUUCUGUUCAUUCUUAGUUGUCAAUUUGCUUGUAAAUCUGUUAAAUUGAUGUUGAGUAUCUUGAUUAUAGGCUUUGGAGUGCUUGGGGACUGUUUUAGCAUCAAACAAAACCAGGUGUGUACCCGGGACGCAAAAAAAAGGGAUUCGAUCGAAAGCCGAAAUUGUUUGCUGUUUGGACAGUAGCAGUAGGCUAACUUUGAAAAAUCGCCAUAAAUUGUGGAAAUCGAAAUAGAGGAUGAAAAAAAUAUGAAAUUAAAUCUUAUUGAGUCUAGUUUCUCAUAGAAGAACGGUGUAAGUAAUGGAAUUUUAAAUCAUGAGAUAUAAUAAACUAUGUGAGACAAGGUCAGAAUAAAUUCGGGUUCCCUUGUUCUGACUUUGGAAAAUCAUCAAAAAUUGGAUAAAAAUAAUUAGGAAUUAAAAUUUACAUGUUUAAAUUAUUAAUUAGUCUUUUUUCAAUAGAAACAAAUGGGAACUUCAUCCAAAAUUUUUACUAAGAGAUAAUUAAUUUUUAGCAAUGAAGGGUCGAAGCUGUCAAACAGCAGAACAAGGGUAAGUUUGAAGAUUUUACCAUACUUAUUGGCUGAGCCAAAAAUUCUAAAAAUUUUAUGGUAGAAAGGUAUUUGAGUCUAUUUUCAAAUACAUCAAGUGAAUUUUAAUUAGGAAUUCUUUAGCUCAAGAUAUAAAUAAUUUAGUUACAGUGAGUCAAGUAGAAAGCUUUGAAGGAACACAUAAGUAAAUUGUGAUAACAUAUAUGAAUAUUUAGCUAGCACAGGUUACAUUGAAAAUGGAUCACGUAGCCAAGGCCAAUUUGGGCUGAGUGGGCCACAUGGGCAUGUGAGCCCAUUUUUCUAAAAAAUUCUGUAAGGUUGCACGGGUCGCCCAAGUCGACUAUGGACCUACUGUAGGGUCGGUAAGCUUUACUUAGACGCCUAUAUGUGUGAUCUAUCUGGCUGAUUUCUAUACCGAGCAUGACUUAUGAUAUUUGAAUGUAUGUACUUUUAAUUACAUAAUGGCAUGACAAAUUUUGUAUGUUGCAUUGCAUCGGAGUGGGUUGAUGAUAUUUGGAGGAAGUGUCUAAAAGGCUAUUAAGCCUGUUAUCUGGCAGCUCAGCUGCAACCUUCUGAUUAUGUGCGCAUUUCAGUACAACAUGGUGUGUAAGGAUGGGUGGGUUGAUCUAACCCCCACAUGGUGUGUAAGGUUGGACAAAGAUGUGCGUAGAGGCUGGUGGGUAGGAUUCUGAUUUACUGUAUCUACAUUAUGUAUCUGAUAUGGGCCAAGGCUCUAAUGUAUUUCUGAGACUGUAUCUAAACGGGCUAAGGCCCAAACUGAUUGUGUGAUGGGCCUAGGACCCAGACUGUAUCUAACUAAAUUCUGUUGAUUAUUUGUAUGCAUGAUUUCUAUGGGAAUUACACACUGAGUUUACGAAAACUCACCCUUUCUCUAUUUAAUCUGUACAGGUAAUCCCCAGACUUGAUGGGUCAGUGCAACAAAGGAUUCGACAGUGGCCACACGUAAAUUAUGGAUUGUUUUCCGUUAAUACCUAGAAUUUAUUAAUUAUUUGGGGUUUUUGAUGUAUCUUCUGGACUAUGGACUGGUUGGCUAACAUACCUUUUUGCAUUGCAUCAUGUGCACGACAUAUUCGAAUAUUAUUGGUUUAUGCUACGUAGUGUAUUUUGUUGUAUUGAAUGGUAUCAAAAUUAAUGAUUGUCACUCGAAUGAAUUAUGACCUAUGCUCAUACACUGUUUGACAUCAAUUUGAUAAUGGCUAUGUAACGAUAUGAAAUUCCUAUAAUGGUUCUAUUUUCUUCUGUUAAAGCUAAUUAGUUUUACUGUAUUUGAUAUUUAUGUUUGUUUCAAUAAUUGUUCGACUCAUGCUGAGCUUUUCAUAAGCGCACCCCUAAUAUGUUAAACUUUUCAGGUAAACCUCGAAAUUAAGACCAGACUUGGCAUUCGAAGAAUCACCUUAGACCUUGAAUUAUUUUUCUAAUAAGUAUUAAUCAAUCUCUAAUGGUUUUCGUUUGUAAUUUUUAAUUAUAUCUAGUCUGUGGCUUGAUAACUUUUCUUCUGGGAUUUUUGCAUGCAUGGAUUACUCAAGCAUAAUAACCGGAUAAUGCAUGAUAUUAGGCUUAAGUAAAAUUUGAUAUUGUUCCCUAGAUUCCGCUGCAUUGCAAAGGAUUUGUUUUUGAAAAACAAAUUGAUAAGGUAACUAAGUUUUCAAAAUGACUUGAAAAAUGGUUUUUCCCCUGCAUUAGUUUAACAUCGAAUUUUUUUUAAAGGAGAGCAACAAGUAAAUGAUUUUUCUAAAACAACACUAUCAACAAUAAAAUGAAUUCUAAGUAUACACAACCUAAUGAAUGAAUGCUUUUAAGCUAACUUAAAGUACAACUAUGGUUUUCUCUAAAAUGAGUUUAUUUAAAGUUUUCAUAAGUAAUGUAAGUUAGCUUAGCCAUUUCGGUGGCUAAUGUAGCCUUCUCAUUCUAGCCAUAACGUCUAGGCCAGGUUUGGGAGGUUACAGUAUUGAUAGGAACUGUGGUAUAAAUUUUAUUUUGGACAUUCUUAAAUUGUUAUUUGGACUAAACUUUAGAAACUAUGGAUUUUAUACUGAGCCUAAAUUUACGAAGUUCAUGCGUGGUUUUUACGAAAAUGAAACUCAUAUGAAAUUUCAAAACCGUGAUGUUUUUAUUAACGCUCCAAUUUGAAAUUGUACAAGAAAUGUCAAUUUGAAUUAUUUUUGAAUGUUUUUUAUGCCAAUUAAAUAUUGUUUCAAAACAUAGCUAAGUAUUAUUUAAUUUCGUAAAGAUGAAGCAAACUCCGAACAAUCUAAAACUUCAAGGACUAGUUUGCAAUUUUUGUUUUUCCUCAAUUGUCUCCGGUUUGAUUCAAUUCUUGAUCUAUACAAUUAUUCCAUUCAAUUCAUCAAUAUUAAACAUUUAUACAUUAUGUCAUGUCAUGAAUGAACCUAGAUAAAUUCAUUUUUUGAUACCCUUAAAGUUUUACAUUUAUUUCAAUUUAGUCUCUAAAAUCGAAAUAGUCAUAACUUUAAAUUCUGAACUUCGGUUUGAAAAUCGACCUCAAUUUCAUUAUAGACUCUCUACUAUCCAUUAUUAUCAAAAUUUCACAUCAAUUUCACAAUUUAUUUACUUUAGUUAUUAUGUAAAAAAUUAACAACCAAACAUCACAAUUUAGUCAUUUUUCAUAAUUUAAGCUUAAAAUCUAUCAAUUUAAUACCAAUUUCUUCAAGAAAUCAACCAUGAUAACUAUAAAAAAAAUUAACAGUUUUGCAAAUUGAUACAUAGGUCAUUUAAAUCAAACUUUCAUGACCUCAGAAACACAAAAAAAAAUUAUACGAAAAUGAUUUAGAAAUGCAUACCAAUUGAGGACCGAAAGCUUGAAGCUCAAAAUGGCUUUUUCCCUUGAGGUUUUAUGUUGAUUAAAUGAUGAAGAAGAAGAAAUAAAGAUGACAACUUGCACUAAGUCACCUUUAUAUACUUAGAUUAAAUCUUAAUUAAUCAAAUUUAAUUAAUUAAAUCUUAAUUAAUUAACCUUAAUCACAAUUAAAAAAAAUUAGUAGAUGUUAACAUCAUCCUACACUAUUUGAUAUAACCAAAUGAUCUAUUUACCAUUUUGAACCUUUAGCUAAUUAGAAAUCUAUAGCGAUAAGACUUUUAAAAUUUAGUUUCUGUAUCUUAAUUAUGCAAUUAAUAGACAAAGUUGAAGGUUUAAAAUUUAAUGUUCUAUUAUACCAACUCUGUAAAUAUUCAUAUUUAAUAUUUACAGACCCGAAUUACGAAAAUGAGAUUUUGAAAUUGUAUUUUCCAAUACCACUGAAAAUCGAACAAUUACGUAACCUAUUUGCACCAAAGGGCCAAACAUGGCAAAUACUUGACAUGUAUGUCUUAAUAUCCUCAUCUAUUCUCUUCAAUAUAAUAACAUCCAAUAAUUGUUUCAUCCACUGUAACUAUCACGAAGAUUAGAUUUACCAAUACAGCCUACAAUUUGCAGAAGCGCGACAUUUUCAUUCUAGAGAAAGGUAUAAUUGAAACAAAAUUGAAAUAAAGAUUUCAAUACAGAAUCAACAGACAUUCCAGCUAAUACUUAUCAAUUAUUUGCAGCUUCAUUGCUCCAACUAAGAUGGUUUUUAGUCGAAUAUGGUAAAUGAAAUCAAUGAACACCAGCUACUUGAUGAACGAGUGAAUCAAAGUCCUGAUAUGUGCCGGCUUAUUGGUGAAAAAAUACAUGGGUUAGUUUUGCAGCAAUUCAUGAUCUUACAUUUUAUAACCUUUGCUUACAAUUAUUCACUGACUAAUCAUUCAAUGAAUGUAGGCCUCAAAUUUAGCCACUAAACUUUAUUCUUUAUUUUUAGAUACAUAUUAUUUGAUCACUUCAUACAGCCUAUUACUCAUAAUAACUUCCAAUUUCCCUUCUUUAGGUUAGUUGCAAAUGUACAGCUUUUUCUAGAAGAAGAAAAUUGUCAAGAGCCACCUGUUCAAGAGAGGCGCAAACAGAAUGUAACAAUACCUGACCUACUUACGGUACAGCCAAGUAAUCAUGUGUUUCUAUGCUAGAACAUUAAAUCAAUGACUACAAAUUUCAUGUCAUGGUUGUGUAUCAUUUAUGCCACUGAUGCUGCUAUUUUCUAUUCUAAUGCAUAAUAGGGAUUUAGUGUUUUUACCGUUAAAAUUGUGUCCUUUAAUUUUGGCUCUUUUCAAUUGUUGAUCAUGUCCACCUAUGCUUUAUUUUACUACUAUUGCUUUCUUCAAUGAUAGAUGAUUGAAUCGGUAGAAUUUUAUUAAUCCUCUACAUGUUUUAGCUUGAUAUGUGGAUCCUAAGCAUUCCUUGGAUUGUGCCCUCUUUGUUCAUUUAUUUUUUUUCCUGGAACCUUAUUACAUGUUGUAACACUCCAGUUUUUUGGAGACAUUGAAGACGACUAACUGCUGAAUUCUUUCUUCUGCAGAGGAACCAAUGGCAAGAGACUCUAAAACUCCUACUCUUUUUUAUACCUUCCUCACCUCUUUGUGACAUUAUAGCUGAAAAAUGAUGUAUGCUAAUACAUGAAAUGUUUCCUCUUGCCUUUCUUUUUGUAGUACUAAAACUACAAAUAGUGUCUGUAAAUCUCUUUUCCCGUAAUCUUAUCUUUUCCUCAUUGUAAUAGUUGGAAAACAGCUUUGUUGAAGACAAUGUCAACUACUGGGAUAAGUUACAAACACUGUUAUUGUUUAUUUUGUAGUCUAAAUUAUGAUAAUUUCUGCACAAAAUUCACAUAAAUGGUUACCCUCCCGAAGCGGAGCGAGGGUGAUGCUUACUAGUUAUUAAGAAAACAGGACCUUGUAGGGCUUAACUGUUGAAUCAAGAAAGAAAUUUCUUUUAAUGCCUUAAAAAAAAGAAAUUUCUUUUAAUGCCUUCAAUUUUUUUUAAAGCUGAUUUUUUUUUUACAAAUUAAAGUUUUGAUUGUAUGUUAAUUGCUUGAGGGAAGGUCGGAUACUUUAUUAUCCCUAUUUUUAUUUGUUAUAUAUUUUAACCAUACUGAUUUUUUUGGCCCUACAAUUUUACCAAAAAAAUCAUAUUAGCUUUCAUUUAAUUUUCGUCUCUUUUAACCCUUUAACUUGUAUUUUUUUUGUCAAAUCACCCCAAAAUGGAUCGAAAACUUUAACAUUUGUGAACUUUGAUUAUGUGACAUACACAUGAAUUGUCACAUGGAUGACAAGUCAACAUUUCUUUAAAAAAAAACUUAAAAAAUAUUAAAUAAAAUAUUUUUGAUAUUUUUUAAUGAUUUUUAAAUUAAAAAAAGUUUUUAAAUAUAUUUUAAUUUUUAAAAAUUAAUAAAACGCAGACAUGGAAAUUCACAUCUAUGUGUCACAGACCGUGGAUUAAAGCCUGUGACCAUUGCGCAUAGAACACCCCAUAGAAUUUUGGCUUUUUAUUUGGUCAAUCAUGUCCACCUAUGCUUUAUUUUUACUAUUAUUGCUUUCUUUAAUGAUAGAUGAUUGAAUCGGUAGAAUUUUAUUAAUCCUCUAUGUAAUAACCAAAUUUUUCCCGGGCCCAAUGCCAAACAAAUAAAACCCAAACCAAAUAAAUAAAAUAAGAGUCCAAAUUACAGUCCAUCAGAGCUCAAUUCAGACCAGCCCACUAUUCAAUCAGACUGGCCCAACACCCAAAUAACCUAACAACCCUAGCCCAACAAAAUCAGAAAAAUGAACAGCAAAAAAACCCUAGGUGCGCCGCACCUAGGUCUUCUGGCCUAACCGCCGUUGUUCGCCUAUCACCAGCCUCCACGCUGCCACCGCCGCAUGCGCACCAGGCCUCCUCCAUGUGUGUCUGACACCUGCAAAGAGAGUCACACGCAACAGUAGAAACAAAAACAAAAAACAAAUAGCAAAACGACAAAAAAAAUAAUGAUUAAGGAGUUCGUAAUCCGACUAUAAAAGCCCUAAUCUGUGACUUGUAAUUUUUUGACACACAUUAGAAAAUAAAAACCAAAAAAAAAAACUUUAAGGUGAUACUCAUUUCAUUUUAUUUUUGUUUUAUUUUAUUUUAUCAUUUUUAUCUUUUUAUUUCGAAAUAACAUAAAUAAAAAGGGGAGGCUGGGUUGCCGUUGCCAGAGCAUAUUUUGUGCUAAAGGGGGUUGCGCCGGAGGAAAAGAGGAAACUUUUCAGUUUCCCGCCGCCGUGAUGGCCAAACCUCUGACUGGCGCUUGGAGAAAGAAGGGGAGAGUUUGAGAGAAUUUUAGGUUUUUUGUUUAAUAAAAGUGAAAAAUGAAGAAUUCUGAAAAAAUUAAUAUUUAUAGCACCUAGAAAUGGCGUCGUUUUGGCCAGUUUCAUUUGGCCCCAAAAUGACACCAUUUAAUGGCCUAUACCGGCACAGUGACCCAACCCGGGGAAGGAUCCGAGCGUUUUGUGCUAUUGGGUAAUUUUCACAUUUGGUCCCUCUUAUUUUGUAGUGUUUUCAAAUUAGAUUUUAUUUAUUUUAAAUUUCAACUUACAUUUUUGUUUUUGUUUCACUUAGAUCCUGAACAAUGCGCAGCGUUUUGGGGGCGAGGAAAUAUUUCCAAUAUGGCCCCAUGUAAUCUGCAUAUUACACUUUAACCCCUCGUCUUGUUUAUAAUUCUAUUCUUUUCUUGUUAAUUUAGAUUCAAUUGCGAUUUAAUCUUUUGUUAAAACAUUUGUUUUCUUUAUUAAUUUAUUAACUAUUUUAUUAUUAUUUUAGUGGUAUAUUCGGUCAUAUUUUCAUUAUCUUAUUAUAUAUUAUCAUUUUGAGUUUUACUUAUAUUAUUAUUAUAAUUUAUAAUGUGUUAUUUUAUUAACUCAAUAUAACAUAUAUAUAUAUGUAUUUUUUUGUGGUUUUAUUUUUAUAAUAUAUUUUUUAAAUCCAUUUUUAUGCACUUUAUAUUUAAGUAUUUAUACAAUAAUAUUCUUAUAAUAUUUUUAUACAUGUACAAUUUAUAUAUAAUUAUUUCUUAUACGUGUAUAUAUACAUAAUAAAUCAUCGAUUACAUGUUAUUAUAUUAUUUCCACUUAUUUCAUAUAUAAUUUAUUUCUUUUAAAAUACUCUAUUAUAUACUUCAUUUAUUUCAACCUUUUAUGUGUAUCAUUAUAGAUAUACUAUUAUAUGAAGUUUUUCAAUCCCUAUGCAUUACUUAUUUAAAUUAAUAUAUGUAUAUUAUUUUAUGUAUUUAGAUUUAUUUUGUAUAUAAUAUCUACUUUUAAAUUUAUUUGGAUACUAUUAUUUUAAGUGGAAUUUAUUUUUAUCUAUAUUUUUUUUAUUUAUUUCAAUUUUUCAUAUAUGUAUAUAUUAUUUAUUUUAAAUUUAUUUUAAUCAUAAUUUCCCUUCUUUCAUAUUUCUUAAGUUUAAAAAAAAACUUGUACAAUUUCAUUUGGUGCUUUGAUUGUUUUUUAAUUCAUUAGCCUUUGAAUGUUAGCAUAAUACAUUAUGUGAGAUUAUUGCUCUUAUACGUAUUAUAUUGCUUAUUUUUAUUUACUAAUUAUUCGUAGAUCAUUAGAAUACAUUUUGGUUUACAAAUUAUCGCUUUGUAUUGUACAUUAAUAUUCAAUUGUUUUUUUAUUCGUUCGAAAGAUUACGUUUAAUAUCAUUUAAGUAUCAAAAUCGAUUUAUUCAAAAACUUUCAAGAUAACGUAAUAUUCUGUAUUUGGGAUAUUCGAGAGAAUUGAGCCUUAAUGUAUUGGGUUCCAAUUUUCCUCGUUGAAUCUAGAUAAUCGAGAAUAAUCUUCAAUCAAAAUACAUACAUAAAAAGCUCAUUAUCGGGAAUUCGAUACAUUGUGUCCUAACGCAUUGGAUACGACAUGUUGUUUUCUCGAGAUGAGGAUUUUUCUAAAAAAAAUAAUAAAGGCAAUAUUCCGUAUUUGGGAAAUUUGAGAGAUCGUGCCCUAACUUACUGGGUUUCGAUUUUUCUCCUUUAACCCAAAUAAUCAAAUAUCCUUCUCAAAAUGCAUAGGUUUUAAAAGUCAAAAGAUAAACUUAAUUUUGAAGAUUAAGAAUGUUGCGCCCUAACUCACUGGGUGUGACAUUUUAUCUCUUUGAAAUAAGAGUGUCUUAUCAUUUAAUUCAAUUUAUUCAAGGUUAAAAGGAUCGUAUUUUAAAACCUUUUCAAAAUUUCAACACUAAGACAUUAAGUAAUCAACUAGGUACCAAUUUUUGGGCGUUACGAGGGUGCUAAUCCUUCCUUGUACGUAACCGACUCCCGAACCUAUUUUUUUGAAUUUCGUGGACCAAAAUCAUUAUUUUAAUAAAAUCAAACCAUUUAUUAAAAACAACCACUUUUCGAGGUGACCCGAUCACACUUCAUCGAAAAAGAUCGGUGGCGACUCCCAUAUUCAUUUUCAUUUUCAAAAUCCAAAUUGACCCUGUUUUAUCAAAAAAUGGUGUCAACACUGCACAUGUUUUAUCUUGACAUAUGGAUCCUAAGCAUUCCUUGGAUUUUGCCCUCUUUGUUCAUUUAUUUUUUCUUGGAACCUUAUUACAUGUUGUACCAUUCCAGUUUUUUGGAGACAUUGAAGACGACUAACUGCUGAAUUCUUUCUUCUGCAGAGGAACCAAUGGCAAGAGACUCUAAAAAUCCUACUCUUUUUUAUACCUUCCUCACCUCUUUGUGACAUUAUAGCUGAAAAAUGAUGUAUGCUAAUACAUGAAAUGUUUCCUUUUGCCUUUCUUUUUGUAGUACUAAGACUACAAAUAGUGUCUGCAAAACUCUUUAGAGAAAAACAAAUGUCUGUAAAUCUCUUUUCCCGUAAUCUUAUCUUUUCCUCAUUGUAAUAGUUGGAAAACAGUUUUGUUGAAGACAAUGUCAACUACUGGGAUAAGUUAUUGUAAGCAUCUUUUCUUUAAGUGUUUCAUAUUAAAAACAAACACUGUUAUUGUUUAUUUUGUAGUCUAAAUUAUGAUAAUUUCUGCACAAAAUUCACAUAAAUGGUUACCGUCCCGAAGCGGAGCGAGGGUGAUGCUUACUAGUUAUUAAGAAAACAGGACCUUGUAGGGCUUAACUGUUGAAUCAAGAAAGAAAUUUCUUUUAAUGCUUUCAGUUUUUUUAAAGCUGAUUUUUUUUACAAAUUAAAGUUUGGAUUGUAUGUUAAUUGCUUGAGGGAAGGUCGGAUGCUUUAUUAUCCCUAUUUUUAUUUGUUAUAUAUUUUAGCCAUAAUGAUUUUUUUGGCCCUACAACUUUACCAAAAAAAUCAUAUUAGCUUUCAUUUAAUUUUCGUCUCUUUUAACCCUUUAACUUAUAUUUUUUUGUCAAAUCACCCCAAAAUGGAUCGAAAACUUAACAUUUGUGAACUUUGAUUAUGUGGCAUACACAUGAAUUGUCACAUGGAUGACAAGUCAACAUUUAGUUUUUUUUUUAAAAAAAAAAACUUAAAAAAUAUUAAAUAAAAUAUUUUUGAUAUUUUUUAAUGAUUUUUAAAUUAAAAAAAGUUUUUUAAUAUUUUUUAAUUUUUAAAAAUUAAUUAAAUGCAAACAUGGAAAUUCACAUCUAUGUGUCACAGGCCGCGGAUUAAAGCCCGUGACCAUUGUGCAUAGAACACCCCAUAGAGGUCAACUUAUUAAACAAGGUUCAUUUGACCCGCAUGAACUGGCCCGACCCAUGGAACCCGUGGAGAAGCCCAUCUACUUGAAGCCUUGGUGGUCUAGUGAAAUAUAGUUUAAUUUUUUUUAAACAUAGGGUAAGGGAAGAAGAAUGCCUUAAAAUUAAUUUUUGUUAGAAAACUAAUAAGAAUGAGUUUGUUGGUUUAGUGUUAAGGCCUUAUCCUAUCCAUAGAUCCCAAGUUUGAAUCCCUUGGUGAGCAUUCAACCAAAAUAUUUUUAUUUCCUUGUUUUUACCACACCAAAAGUGACAAAUUUUAAAAUAACCCAGCCCAAAAACUAUUUUUUUUUAAUUUUAGUCCUUAAUUUAAAAUUUUCCCAAACCUACAUAAAUUUUUAAAACCUAUUCCAAUUAGGAAAAAUAAGUAUUAUAAAUAGACAAUUUCAAAACAAACUCUAGAAUUUCAUCUAGCAAAUUUUCAAGAAAAAAUCCAUAAACACUUUCUUUUCCAAAUCAAACUUUCAAGCUAAAGAAAUCAGAAUCUUCAAAAUCAUCCCUCAAGUAGAUCUUCAAUCUUUUCUCCAGCACUAAGGUUUCUAAGUAUUCAAAAUAGGUGUGGGAACAAAACCUAAAUCUUUGUGUAUAAUUGAAUCUAAUAGCAAGUAGAGAACCAGUAUAGGCUAACCCUAGGAGAAACCCCCUGUAUGUGCAAUCAUGUAGGUGUGAGCCUAUAGAUGCAAAACCCCUUGUACAUGAAAACCCCAUGCAUGCAAACCCUUACGUGAAACCCCCCUUUCAUGCGAACCCUGUAUGAAUACCAUGUGAACCCUAGAUUAUAGUUGCGAACCCUAGGUUGUUAUGUGGAUACCCAUACUGUGAACCCAAGUGCACAAACAUAUAGGAAUAUUCAUGCGAGCCCCCUUGCAUGCGAACCCUAGUUAGUGUACAUACGGGUCUCAUAUUUACAUGCAAACCACUACUAGUGCGAGUCAAUUAUAUGAUAUCACAUACGAACCCUACUAUUACAUGCAAACCUUUAUACAUGUUAUAUUCGAACCUUUUUUUGUUAAAACAGGUGAGACUUGUCUAGUAUUACAUACGACCUAAUUUGCGAACUCAUAUGUUAAAAGUAUGUGAACCUAUCUAUGUUUGUUAUGCGAGCUCACAUGUUAGCAGUAUGUGAACCUAUAUAUAUCAGUUAUGCAAACUCACAUGUUAGCAGUAUACGAACCAUAAGUCUGUUAUGCAAACUCACACAUUGGCAGUAUGCGAACCCUAUAUACACCUUUAUGCAAACUCACACAUUAACAGUAUGCGAACCCUAUAUACGCCUCUAUGCAAACUCACACGUUAGCAGUAUGCGAACCCUAUAUACGCCUUCAUGCAAACUCAUAUGAUUUGCAGCAUGCGAUCUCUAUAUUUAUGCGAACCCUUGUAAUAAAAAAUAUGCGAACCUUAACUUGCGAACCCUUGGCAGGAACCCUGCACUCGCAAAGCCUUCUUCCGGACCUGUACAUAUGCUAGAUAACCAAGCCUAUUAGUUUACAUUAAAUCACUGUACAUAUGAGACUGUUUGUUUACUUGCACAAGUUAUAUGUGUAUUUACUAUUCGAUACAAGAGUACCUAUCGACCUUUUGAUGAGAAUUCAGAGAUUAACGAUGAUAAUUCCAACAAUCAGUGUAAGAACGAGUUAAAUCGAGAGUUGAUGUAAUUUAAGGUAAUAAAGUUAAUUUUUCAGUAAUAAAUGUAAAAUUGUUAUGGAAAGAAACGAUGGGUAAAAAAAAAUGAGAGUUUUAAAUAAAAGAGAGGAAAACUUCAAUUUAGGGUUGAAGAGGAACUAAAAAUUUACGUGAAAUUAGGAAAAAAUAUAAAAUACCUAGGAUUAAGAAAUUUGAGGGGGUUGAAUGGUAAAAUACCCUUUUUUCUUAAAAAUGAAAAAAAAUGGAAAUGGGUAUUAAGUUUGGCACGACUUGAACCUUGGAAGCAAAGGAAAAAAUUACAAAGGCCUUACCAUUUGGGUUGCUACCCACAUUUGGCAUUUUUUUACACUAUUUAAAAUAUAUCCUAGCUUAGUUUUGAUCAUAGGUUGUUGAAAAAAAAAAAAAGGGGUAAGAGUGUGGCUUCAACCUUAAUUCUCUAGUUAGUAUACUAAGCUCUGAACCAUUAAGAUUAAGGCCCAUGUCUUAGUCAAUUAAUUCAUCUAACUCUAUAUAUUUUGAGGUGUUACAUCUUGAAUUAGAAAAACCCAUAAAAUGCAUGUAGACUUGUAUUGCUCGGUACUUGGUAGUAUAUAUGUAGACUUGUAUGUUGAUUAAGCUAGCUUAAUUAAGACCAAUGUGUUAGACUUGUCUAUGCAUUGAACAAUCUAGAAGAAAAUGAAGAAAAAGACUCUGAAAACACUUGAAAACAGAUAAAACUCAUAUGUCAUCGACUAGUUAAACUAUGAUCACCCAUAAUAGACCUUGUAUUUGACUUUUUGUUGAGGGAGAAGUUUCGUGAGUGUUGUUUGUCAGGGAGUCAGUGUUGCCCUAAACAACUAAAGGUAUUGUCCCCAUGUCGAGAUUUUACCCCCAGCCUCUGCAAAAUAAUCAUGAAGAAUACGUGCGAAGGAAUUCAAACACCAACCAAUGCAUGUGUAGCCUUUACCUUCCCACUAUCUUUGGGAACUCAUAAGGAUAAAAUCCCAACAAGAGAAUUGUAUCAGAGGGGUCUGUCAACACAAUGAAUGAAAUUUCAUACUUUUUUUUUAAUGAAAGUAAAUAUCAUAUUUAGUUAGAGAAAAGCAACGAAAAAUCUAACAAUAAAAUCCUUAGCAAAAGAUUAAAACACAAUUGUACCAUAAAUUAAAUAAGAAAUUAAAAAAAUUCAAAUCUAACAAAGACAGUAACUUGAUUCCUCAAAGCUACCACAAACAGUAAUUCAUAGGAAGGCCUGCUGCUCAUUUAUAACACAAACUUCAUGGUGACGGAUACCAACAUACCAUCAACUGAAGUCAUAGUUGACGAGGUUGUAGUUGGCCGAGGUGAUGGUGACAAAAGCCACUCUGGAAAAAUAUUAAUAGCAAUCGCCCUCCAAUUAAUGAGAAUUUAUAAAGUGACCUAAUUAAAUGGUAGCAGUUGUCCAUAAGUGUCAUAUCUGUUGUAAGGCAUGAGCUCAAACCCUACCAAACUCAAAUGAUCAAAUUUCCUUGGUAGGUGGUCAUACGUCACGUACCGUUUGUCCCAACAAGGCGCUCCCACUCUGUUGAACCUCUCAUCUCUUUAGGUAGCUUUAGGCACUUGAGAUCUUUACAAAGUCGAGAGGUAAAAUUAUUGGAAAAAAAAACUCGGUUUGAAAAUGGUUUUCUUGCACAGUAGAAAAAUAAAAUUUUGAAAAUUGACUUGGUUUGUGAUAUUUAUAACAAAAAAAAACCUUAACUGAAUUCAUACAUGUGUUUUUGGAUAAGUGGAUCCUUGAUGUUUUCAGGCUUUCAACCAAACGAUCUUUUGCACUAUUCUCGUACCACGAUCUGCUUCGAGUGUGGCCUCGAACCAAUUGAAUCAAAACACAAAACUAGAAAAGGUUUUCCUUUUUGGGUGAAAACCAAAAUUCUCUCUUCUUUAAUAGAAAUCGGUAAAAUUAUUAUUAUGAAAAAUAUGUUUAUAAGUUGAGAAUAAAUUCUCUCUAUUUUUCGACAGAAUAAAAAUCUCUGAAAAGUUGUGUAAAUAGCUCUACUGGUGCCAUUUAUUUAUAAGAAGAGAAAGUAGAACCCUUGUAGAGUUGUAAAAGUUUAUAUCCACUAGAAAAAUAAUAUCCUAGCCUAUCUAGGAUAUAGGGAGCAACAACCCUAGUUAAUGAUACUAGGGUUUUGUCGUCCCACCUCCUUAUAUGAGGGGUUUUAGGCCUCUCUCACAUCAGGUCCAAGUACAAGUAAUUCUUAAAUAUAAAUUUGAAUUUGAUAUAUUGAUUACAUAUGAAUUUAUAUAUUGUGAGUAAAAUUUUUAUUUGAUAUAUUAAUAAUGUAUAAAUUUAUAUAUUGUUAAUACAUCAUAUGUUUAAAAAAUCUAAUAAUUAUAUAUUAUUUUCAAUAAUUUUUAAAUUUAUUAAUUGAUUUAUUGGUAUAUUAAUAUUAUUUAUUAGUAAUAUGUAAAUUUAUACCCUGUCAAUUUAUGAAAUAACAUUUAGUGAGUGGAAUAUAUAUAAAAGAAGAUAUUCUAAAUCUUUCUAAGAUUUCUAAUUCUUCCUUAAAAUAGAAAAAGAAAUAAAUUGUUGAUAUAGAUAUGUUGAUAAGAUUUUCAUGUAGGGCUUUUCUGUAAUUCAUGAUUUUGUUACAUGCAUAAAUUGUAAUUGUGAUAUUUUAUAUUUUAUUUAUAUAAAUCAUGUUAAAUUUGAUUUAAAUUCCUUUUUUAAUUAUUUAUUCUUUUAAGAAAUUUCAAGUAUUCAAUAAAUAUUAAUGUAUACUUUUUCUUAAAUUGAUAUAAUAGUGAUAUCAGAUUAGUUUAAAAUUUUGCGUGUAUGACAAGUACAAUUAUAUCGAUAGAUUCAAUAGUCGGAUUAUUCAAAUAUUACUCCUACAAAUAUAUAUUUGAAGAAGUAUAAACUGCUUUAAUUUUACACUGGUAUAAGUAGAUCUCUCUCUUACAUCUGUUGUAUAUAUGAAAUUUUGAUUUUGAUUCAAACGUACUCAUUUAAAGAAAUAAAUAUAUCAAUUUAUUUUUAUAUUGAAUAAGUAUAAUUAUUUGGAUAUGCAAUAUAUAGAUGUAAAAUGAUGGUAUAUAAAUAACGAUGUUAGAUGUUUGUGAAAAUUGAAUCAAAUCAAUAUUUCAUGUAUAAAAUUGCACAAUGGACCAAAGUUCAUGUACAAUUUUGAUCUUUAUAUCUGAAAUUUAUUAAUGCAAAUUAUUUUCCAAAAGAUCACAUUGAGUAAGUUUAAUUUAAAUUUCAAUAUUUAAAUUUUUUUCUCAUAUAGAAAUAUAAUUUUUUUAAAAGAAGUGUAUACUAAUUGUUGAAAGAUUUUCGACUCUUUUGGAAAGUCUUCGAAGUGGCAUAUUUUGAAGAUGGUGGACCCUCAACACGUCCAAUAUUAUCAUUGGUUAAGGUUUUUGUUGGAUCUAGUGUCCUAAGUGUAGUACUUUUCAUCAAUAUACAGUUGUAAAUUUUUUUAACAAAUUGGUUAAUAAAACAAAUUUAUUGAUUAUAUUAAUAUACUUUAUAUAAUUGUCCUAACAUAGUUUUUGCACGCAAAGCAAAAUGGAAGCAAAUGUUGCUCAUUGGUUGCCUAAAUAUUUAAUUAAUACUAAGCGGUAUUAUGUGUAUAAAAAGACAGCUUGUAUUAGUAGACAAACCUAAACAUGUCCUUAGCAUAAUUGGAAAUUAGUAAAUUGAUUGAAAGACUAAUAUGUCGUCUAUCAAGUGUAUUUGGGGAAAUGCCUUGUCUUGGGCAUCGAAACGGAUGACUCCCAAAAGGUAGAGACAUAGAUGUGACUGACUGGACUGGUAGUAAAUUGGAUAGGACACAAACAGAAUAGAUCCUGAAUUCGUUUAUGGACUUAUUCACUUGUGAUGUCCAUAGUGUGGCAUACAUAAAUCUUGAAUGGAUAGCGGAGUACGUAUGUGUGACUUUUACACUUUGAUGUAAGUAAAAACAUAAGUUCAAUUAGAUAAGGAACCAGAAUCUGGUACAUUUGGUUUACGACUUCUAUAGUAUGUAGCAUCAUUUAUAAUAGUGAAAUUCAUAGCGCAAAAAAUGGGUAAAUGAUAUCCUCUCAUUGACAUUACAUGGUUAAUGAAAAGUAAACGUGGCCACGGGUUGUCCGUCUUUGUGAUGGAAACUUGAUCACUAAUUGAUAAUGAUUGAUUUUUCACGAAAGAAGAUGUAAUGGCUACCAUGAGAUAAAAUAUGAUCAUAUUAGGAGAACAAAUAUUAUCCCAAAGAGAUCAAGGAUAUCCUAUGAGGGUAACACACUAAUGACAAGGUUAUUGGACGAGCAUUAAGUAGUUGCUUUCGUAAUGGUAUGUCGUUAGGGAUAUUUCAUUCACGACACUAUAGUGGAAUGACUUCGUGACUAAAUGAUUUUAUAAUUAAUAGGUGAAAAAAUAGAAUUUAAUUAUAAAUCAUUUGAGCCUCAAGUUUAUAUGUCUACUCGGUCCCCCAACUGUUAGUUCAUUGAAACCAAAAAUUAAUUGCACGUUUGAAUGGAAAUCAGCGAAAUGGAUAGAAAAAGAGAAAUGAGAAACAUUCAGGAAUGAUUAUGGUUUCCUCUAAAAUGGAGAAAUGGAAUAAUUUGAAAAUGAAUGUAGGUUUCCAAAAAUGGAAAUAGAAAUGAAAAUGGAAACUUGCAAUUUUAUAUAUGAUUACUUAAAAAAUGAUGGAAGAAUGAGUUUAUAUUUUUGGACUAUUUUGAAGCUCGAAAAUGAAAAUAAAUCAUUCAGUCAUAGUGAACAUAUUGAGUUGUGUCAUAUUAAACGAAUUUUCUUGAAAUUUUAUUGGAGGUAAAAUUGCCAAAAUUUUACUGGGUAAAAUUGUCGUGAGAAAAUAAUUUAAUAUGUAAAUAUUAAAAUUUAUUUUGGAAAUAGAAAAAUUGAAUUGGGUUGGACCAUAUUACAAAGUACUAGAUCAAAAAGGCCCAGAAAGUACUCGUACUUGGACCCGAUGUGAGAGAGGCCCAAAACCCCUCAUAUAAGGUGGGACGGCAAAACCCUAUUAACUAGGGUUGUCGACCCUUAUAUCCUAGAUAGGCUAGGAUAUUAUUUUUCUAGCAGAAAUAAACUUUUACAACUGUACAUGGGUUCUACUUUCUUCUCCUAUAAAUAGAUGGCACCAAUAGAGCUAUUUGUACAACUUUUGAGAGAUUAUUAUUCUACCGAAAAGUAGAGAGAAUUUAUUCUCAACUUAUAAACAUAUUUUUUAGAAUAACAAUUUUACCGAUUUCUAUUAAAAAAGAGAGAAUUUUCGUUUUCACCCUAAAAGGAAAACCUUUUCUAGUUUUGUGUUUUGAUUCAAUUGGUUUGAGCCCACACUCGAAGCAGUUCGUGGUACGAGAAUAGCGCAGAAGAUCGUUUGGUUGAAAGCCUAAAAACAUCAAGGAUUCACCCAUCUAAAAACACAUGUAUGAAUUCGGUUAAGUUUUUUUUGCUACAAAUAUCACAAACCGAGUUGAUUUUCAAAAUUUUAACUUUUGAUGUGCAAGAAAACCAUUUCCAAACUGAGUUUUUUUUCAACAGUUUUAUCUCUCAACUUUGUAAAGAGCUCAAGUGCCUAAAGCUACCUAAAGAGGUGACAGGUUCAAUAGAGUAGGAGUGCCUUGUUGGGACAAACGGUACGUGAUGCAUGACCACCUACCAAGGAAAUUUGAGUAUUUGAGUUUGGCAGGGUUUGAGCUCAUGCCUUACAACAGAUAUGACACUUAUGGACAACUGCUACCAUUUAAUUAGGUCACUUUAUAAAUUCUCAUUAAUUGGAGGGCGAUUGCUAUUAAUAUUUUUCCAGAGUGGCUUUUGUCACCAUCACCUCGGCCAACUACAACCUCGUCAACUAUGACUUCAGUUGAUGGCUACACUUUGCCAGCUAUAGACCUCAUCAAUACAUAUAUGCCUAGUACAUGAUACUUCUAAUAUACCUCGUUAGUGAAAGAUGUUGGAUCCUUCUAUGCAUGGAUCACACGUAGGGUACUCUUGCUUAGGAAUGGCAAUAGGUUAGUAUCUACAUUUCUUGAAUUAUUAGAAUUUGGAUAUGCAUAUUUGCUUAAAAAUCAAAAUUUUUUUAUUAUCUAUAAAUCAUCUGAGUAUUACUAUCUAAAUUUGGCUUAAUUUAAGUACUAUUAUCUGUCAAAUAUCUGAAUCCACAAAAAAAGGGCAAUUUUAAAAUUUUCAAUCAUUUUUUGGAUAUCCAAAUUCACGAAAAUUCAAAAUUGAAUCCACCAAAUUUUUUUAUAUAUAAUCAAAACUAUACAUAUUUCGUGACUAGUUUAUUUAGAUAUUGAAAUUCCAAUCUACAUCUGCUAUUCGAAUAAGUAAUGUUGUAACACCUUAAAUAAUUUAAGUUUGUUUUUGUGAAAUUUAACACAAAAUGUGUACCUGCUUCAGUGGUUAAGUGUUCUAGGUGUGUGUGUGAGGUAUUGGGUUCAAUUCCCACUUUUGGCAAAACUUUGUUAUUUUAUAUCCAAGCCUAACUCUUAUUGAGUGGGCUUAUGUUAAUUGUUUGUUAAUCCAUAUCAGAAUAAGCUUGUUGGUUUGAGUGGUAAGGAGUUGGUGUGUAGGAGGUCUUGUUUUUGAAUCCCUACGUGAGUGUAGGUAUUAAUUUUUGCUCGGUUGUCUGAUAGAGUUUGAGUGGUCUUGAAAGUCUGAGGUUGUUAAGGUUGAGUGUUAGUCUGAAGUUAGGAUAUUGUGAGGGGAUUUUUAUGUUGAUUAUUAUUAUUUUAUUUUAUUCCUUUUUCAAAUUUUCCUCUCUCUUUCCAAAAUUUCCCUUUAAUGUUAUUCUUCAAGUUUUUUUUGUUGUCUCUGAUAUUUUUCCCCCUUUUCAUUAAAUCUUUAUUUUGUUCUUCUUUUUUGAUUAUGUUCGUCAACCUAUCAUUCGAUCGUGCCAUUGGAGUUGUCGGGUUAUCUAAUCGGUUGGUAAGUAAAACCUUGCUUCCCUUUAACUUUUGAUUUGGGAUUAUAGUGAUUUCAAUAUGUAGCAAUUGAUUAGUGGAACUUCGUGUUUAGGAGAAGAUUAUGGAGCAAUGAAUUGCACUCCAACAGUUUAGUGUGUAUUGAAGUGGUUUGUCAUCGACGGUAAGUCAGUUUCGUGUUGUUUCUUGUUGUCAAAUUCAUUAAUCAAACUACUAAAUCAAUGUUGGGUACUUUAAUUUUAGGAUUCGGAAGGCUCGGGAGUAUUUUUGCAUUAAAAUCGUAAUAGGUGUGUCCCCAAAACACAGAAAGUCAGGUUUCGAUAAAAGUCAAAAAUGCAUUUUGUCGAUGCGACAAGGGCAUGUGCCUGGUCGUGUGGCUAGUCCUGUGUGAGACACGGCCAUGUAUUUGACGAGGGUGUGGCUGUGCGCAAGCCACGGUCAUGUGGUAGUGUAAGUGUGGCUGUGUAGGCCAUACGGGCUAGGCCAGUCUAGGUUUGUGGGCCUACACAGGCAUGCCACACGGACGUGUAGGCCCAUACGGCCAUGUAGGCCCACAAUUUUGAGAUUUUCCCUUAGGUCGCACGGUUCGUUUCGAACGAUUGUGGACCUACCAUAGGGUCGGUAAGGGCUAAUCAAACCCUAAAUUAUGUGAAAUGAUAUUUUGAUCGUUCGCCUUGUGUAGGAUGUCAAUAUGUACAUCUGUUUUAUUUACGUAUAUAUAUGCUAUCUGUAUAUGAGCAUGUUAUGCAUGAUAUUACUGUAUCUGUUAUUUCUAUAUUAUGUAUCUGUAAUUGGGGUGGGUUUUGUAUAUGUAGAGAAAGUGAUCUGUACGAUAACACUUCCAUUAUAUUUUGACAGUUGACUGCAUAUUAUUUGUAAUGUGUCGCAUUGACACUAUAUGGUGUGUAGGGAUGGGUGGGUGCUUUUAACCCCAUAUGGUGUGAUGGGAUAGUCGAAGAUGUUGUGUAGAGGAUGGGGGUAGGAUUCUGUAUAUCUGUACUACUUAUCUGAUUUUGUUAUCUGUAUCUGGAAUGGAUAUAAGUCCGGAUCUUGAUCUGACUGUAUAUAAGACUUCUAUUUGUAUUGCAUGUCUAUUUUUGUUAGGUUACACAAUAAGUUUACGAAAACUCACAUCUGUUUGUCUGUUCUGUUUAGGUCUAUAGACUUAGGCGGAUCAGUGUGACGGAGCCUCACAGUAACCACGAGAUUGUAAACUAUUUAAGAUUACGGUUUUUAUUUAAUUUAAGGAUUCUUUCUGGAAGUUUGUAAUAAUUGGACUUUCUAGAAUAUUUGACUUUUAUUUCAGUUUUGGAGGUGUUUUAACUUUUAUGGCCACGUUUGACCAAAUUCACGGUUUUACUAAAAUAAAGGAUUUUCUGAAUACACGAAUUAAAUUUCCAAGAUUCAAUGCUUUUUGAAAACUUCCGCUGUAGAUUAUGUUUUGGAAAAUGAAUGAAUUAAAUAACGCUUCUAGUAACAGAUAGUACACUUGGGGUGAUUUAUCGAACGACUAAACAAAGCUUUAUUAAAAUAUCACUAUUUUAAAAACCCUUCCAUGUAACACUCUUAGAUUAGGCCACAACGUCUAGGCCAGGAUUAGGGUGUUACAUUUAAUGGUAUCAGAGUCAGGUUACAAAACUCGAGCUGUGAAUUUUGGGUUUCAAAAUUAUGUUUUGAAAAGAACAGGUUUUCAAAUAAUUUGGAUCAUUUUGAAUAAGUAUGUGGUACACUGAGUCUCCGGCGUUGAUCCUAUAAGUACUUUUGAACUUAGAUAAAACUUUCUGAAAACACUAUAGUUAGUACUUUCUGAAAUUGUACUGAGUUAGUUAAAAAAUAAAAACUUUUGAAAUAUGUUCGAACUUUUGAUAAUUUGAGCAUGAAAUAUAUGUUAAUAAACAUUGGAGCUGAUGCAUAAAAUUUUCUAAUGUAGAUAAAUUUGAAAAUAUACGAUGAGCGCUUGUGGAACUUGCGGUCAUGGUAUUCGUAGGCUCAGUGGGGGCCGUAAGGGGCUGGAGCUGAGUCUUUUUCUCUGGGCAGUAUGCCAAACUUAGAUAUGAGUAAGCCACCAGUGUCACUUGCUACUGAGACAAGGUCUCAAAGCCACUUGGCUGGGGACGACACACUAUCCCAAGCCAUGUUGAGGGUGUUGGAGAGGGUCACUGGACCCCAUUCUGGAUCUGUGGGCCGUAGGACGGUAACUGAACGACUCUGGUCCAAUAGAGCUGAGUUGUUUAGGGGUGUCAUUGAAGUCGCCCCUAUUGUGGUCGAGUAUUGCUUGGAGGGCACAAAGAGGAUUAUGAACGACAUCAAUUGUACUCCUAAGUAGAAAUUUAAUGGUGCAGCCUCUGUACUUCGCGAUGAGGCAUAUCAGUGGUGGUUGUCGGUUGAGGAGGGUACUCAACGGGACUGUCUGAACUGGGAUUAUUUUAAGACUACCUUUCAGGGGAAGUUUGUGGGCGCAAGCUAUGUUGAUACUUGUAGGCGUGGGUUCAUGAAUCUCACGCAAGGUGAUAAAUCUGUGGCUAAGUAUGAGGCCGAGUUUCUAAGGUUAAGCCGCUACGCUUGAGGCAUGGUGGUGACUAAAUAUGAGAAAUUCAUCUAUUUUAAGGAUAGCUUGAGGUAUAAUCUGAGGGUAUUGAUUGCUCCACAAAGGGAACGACAGUUCGCAGUUCUUGUGGAUAAGGUGAAGAUCGCCGAGGAGAUUAAGUGCGUGGAGCGCUAAAAUAGGGAUCGUGAGUGAGGCAAGAAUAAGAGGGAUUCAGAGCCCUCUAGUUCUGUUUAGAGGGCUAUUAGAGUAGGGGUUCCUAUUACUUCUAAUAGGAUUCAGCCACGUGAUGAUUGUGGUAGGCACCAUCCGGGUGAGUGUUAGAGGAGGUUAGGGGCUUGUUUGAGGUGUUGGUCUUUGGAGCACCACAUUAGAGAAUGUUCACUCCAUGCGGAUUAGAUGCAAGCUGUAGGAUCAAGUUUUAUACAACCUUAGAGGGCAGUUCAGCAGCCAUCUAAGGGUCGUGGUCCUACUAGGGGUGGUAAUGGUAUGGGUCGAGGACAUAGAAUAUCGGGAAAAGGUGUUAGUUAGAUUGAGGCAAGGCAGCCUGCACUGGUUUAUGCUACUCGAUGCCGAGAGGAUAGAGACGCUCCUGAUGUUAUCACAGGUACUUCUUUAUUUUUGGUGUUCCAUAUACUGCUCUGAUAGACAUAGGUUCUACUCAUUCCUAUGUAGGUAGUACUAUUUCUAAAAAUUUAGGGAUUUUUGGUGAGGGUACUUCUAGUGAAAUUAUUGUACUGAGUUCGUUGGGGCAGUCUGUUCAAGUAAGUAGGCUUUAUAGGAAUGUAACUUUGGAAGUACAAGGGAUUGUGUUUUCGGCAGAUCUGAUGGAGUUACUGUUUAGGGAGUUUGACUUAAUUUUGGAUAUAGAUUGGUUGGUUGAGCUUCGAGUUAGCUUGGAUUGCACGACUAAGAGGGUCAGUCUAAGGGCUGUGGAUGAAAGAGAGAUAGUAGUGAUCGGUGAGCAUCGAGAUUAUCUACUUAAUGUGAUCUCUGCUAUUGUGGCUGAAAAAUUGGUUCAGAAAGGGUGUGAGGCGUAUUUAGCUUACGUCAGUGUUCCAGUUUUUGGGGACUCUUCUGUCCGGGAUAUCAGAACAAUAAGGUAAUUUUUGGAUGUAUUUCUUGAGGAAUUAUCGGGUUUACCUCCGAAUUGAGAAGUUGAGUUCGAUAUUGAGCUUCUACCAGGUAUAGCUUCAGUGUCCAUCGCUCCCUAUCGAAUGGCAUCGAAGGAGCUUACAGAGCUUAAGGCUCAACUUCAAGAGCUUUUGCAUUGUGGUUUCAUCUAUCCUAGUGUGUCUCUAUGGGGGGCACCGAUUCUGUUUGUAAAGAAAAAGGAUGGUACCACAAGGAUGUGUAUUGACUACCUGCAGUUGAAUAAACUAACAGUAAAGAAUAAGUAUCCACUUUCGAGGAUUUAGGACUUGUUUGAUCAGUUCCGAGGGGCUGCAGUGUUUUCAAAAAUAGACCUUCGUUCUGGGUAUCAUCAGCUUAACAUUAGAUUUUCAAAUUUAAAAAUUAUUUUUUUUACAGCUGCAUAAUUAAUAAGAUAUCAAUUUUGAGUGCUGUAGAAGUGUUAUAACCUUCUCAACGCAUAACCAACUCUUGAAUUCACUUUUUUCUCUAAAAUUCUACAUAGAACACAAAUUUAUUUUUUAAAAGAAUUUUAAAUCUCACAAUUUUUUUAGGUGAUUCACCAAAGAAUAAAAAGAUAGGAGGUGAUUCCUCCUUUUUCAUAAAACCUUGUGCUUUUGCAAACACCAAAUUAUUGCUAAGCUUUACAUUAAUAGACAUGAUUUAUUUGUUCGUUAUUACUAUUUCUAUGAUUAUAAUACUAAACUUAUCGGACUACAAUCAUAACCAUGUUUAUUAUAAUUCAAUAAAAAGAAAUAAGUGUUGGGUGUAAUGGCAAGGUUCAUUACACUCUUAAUAAGAGAUCAGGGUUUUGGACAAAGGAAGAAUAUGAUUCGAAUUUUGGAGAUGCCAUUCUUAAAAUGAGCAACCACGAAGCCCGAUUAUGAACCAUAAAAUGAACAAGAAAAGUACAAAAAAUACGUCUAUUAUCAAAUUAGUAAUCCAUCCCAAGGCUUAAAUUAACAAAAUUCACCAUGCAACCGUGUAGACUAUUUUACGUAUAUACUAUAUUCAUUCUUCAUGCAAAAUGUUUAUUAUAUUUAAAAAUUAAAAUAUAUGGUUGAUUGAGUUUUAGUUGAGUUAAUAUUGAUAUUGUUGUUAGUGCAGAAGAAUGUGAGUUCAAUCAUGUUUAAACGCGUUUUUCUUUCAAUUUAGGAGUUGGAAAGGGUUCUCAAUAGUUAAAUUAUAUAAGUUUUUUUGUCUAUUUAAAAUUGAUUUAUAAACAAUAUAAAUAAAAAGAUUUAAAAUAUAUAUAUUCAUAUUGAUGGGCUUUUUCAUUAUUAGACUUUUUUCCUUACAGGUAAAAGUAUAUAUGGACAUGAUGAUGUAAAAUUAUGACCUGAAUAAUUUUAAACCUUUCAUCACUGCAAAAAUGAAAAUAAUAGAAAUGAAAGACUAGCCAUUGUAUGAAAUUUAUAAUUGAACUGCCAACAAAAUUGGGAGAAAUUUUUAAAUUUUAUGAAAUUUUAAAAUUAAACUAUCAAUAAUAGAAAAUUGCCUGAGUGACUUGGGAUUAGAGGUUGAACAUUUCUGGACCACAAUACAUUUAAGAUGGGUCUUUAAAGUUAUACUUUAGUUAUUGAGAACAUUUUCCACAAAUUGUCAUUAUUGUUUACUGCAGCAAAACAGGCUUUUAGCAUCGUUUUUUUAGGCCUAUAGCGGCGUUUUCACAAGAGUCGCAAAAAAUGCCACUAUAAAAAACGCUGUUAAAUUUUGCGGCGUUUUAGAACAUGACCUUUAGCGGCACUUUACCCACAAAUGCCACUGAAGAACAUGAUCUUUAGCGGCGCUUUCCCAUAAACACCACUAAAGAACUUGAUCUUUAGCGACACUUUUAUCACAAACGCCGCUAAAGAACAUGACCUUUAGCGGCGCUUUUAUCACAAACGCCGCUGAAGAGCAUGGCCUUUUGUGGUGCUUUUAUCACAAACGCCGUUAAAAGUACCAUUCUUUAGCGGCGUUUAUGAAAAAACACCACUAACUUUGGCAGAUUUGUAACAUCCAAUUUUCAUCCAUAUACAACCCUUCCUGUAGCAUGAAAUCCAACCAAAAACAACAAAUCUAAAUGAUACUUCAAAUUCUACAAAAGAUAUAUGAUAUAAAUUGAUAACUGAAGUAUAAUUCAAAAUAUUCUUACAAUAAUGUUAAAAGUUACAACGUUAAAAAUAUUCUUACGAUAAGAAAGCAAUGUCUAAGAUGGCGGAUUUUGCGACUGCUGAAACAUCUUCAUCAUAUUCUGAAGCUGUAGCUGGAGUGCGUAGUACUUUUUGACUGAAUAAACACAAAUCUAUUUUUCGACAGCUAUAUCAAAUUAGCUAUAAACCUUCAACAGGACCAGUACUUGCAAAAACCUCUUGGAGUAGUGGUUCAGCCCACCAACCUGCAGUUUCUCAAAAAUUAAAAUAAAAAAUUAAAAGUUAAAGAAAAAAUAGAAAAAAGAAGAGAUAAAUAAAACUAUAUAAGUAACUUUCUAAGUUGUUAAAAAGAUGCAAGAACAUGCAAGCAUCUAUCAGAUUCCAAAAACCAUUUAACUAGCAAUUAAAAGAGCCAUUAGCUUAGAAUUUUGCACAGAGGGUCAUAGCCACAUAUCCAAUCAGCAACUCAUGAAGGAAAGUGUCUCUAAUUCAUGCAGUUAUAAGCACAAAAGUGACUAGGGUAUGUGCUUAAGCAAGAAGGGGAAAUAAGAGACUCACAAUAUACAAAUAAAACAAAAUGGAAAAAAGGGGAAAAAGAAGUAAAAAAAACCUAGGCAAACACUCACACACUGCGGCAAGUACUUGGAUCAAAACCAUGAGGCAAAUUUCCACUUGGUAUUGGCUCUGUUUGUAGAAUAGAAAAGUGAAAAAUAAAAAAGAGGAGAAAAGAAGAAACGAUGUACAAAAAAUUCAAAUCCCACUCAACUCAAUUCUAAAGCCUCCAUAUCCAAGAAAAAGGAUGAGUUUUUGAAGAAAUCCAAUAGUCAACCUAAAUGAACAAACAAGAUGCUAACUACGACCAUGACAAAUGUAAGCAUCACUUCUCCUACUUUGGAAACACUUUCCACUUGAAAAGACAACAGACUUCCUUGCUUUUACUAUUAUCACAUUUUCCCCCUUCAUUUUUUUAGUGCCGACCAGAAAAAAAAUAUUUUAGCCUCAUCUAAAUAAGACAAAUUUCAGCAGAACAAUAGACAGUAGAUCAGACCCAAUUCAAGGGUAAUGUAGUCCAAAGUUCCUUGAACUCCCUCCUUCAAAGUGAAAAACAAAUCUAUAUCUUUCUGCAUGAUUCAAACAAAAAUGACUGUUGGACAUGUAACUCAGAAAGAAUGCAAAUACAUUGAAAGCACCACAGACUUUAUAAAUUAGCUUCAUGCUGCUAAAUUUCAACACUAUAAACCUAACAAAGCCCAGAAUGAAAUGCGGGAAUCAUGUCUUAAACUCUAAUACUCAAACAAGAGACAGAUAAAUUGCACGUUUUUUUAUAUAAUAUUUACAAACUAGAGAUAAAGAUAUAGAAAAAUAUAAACAUGGACAUGGACAAAAAGACUAAUUGACUGUGCAUGUGUGCCAAAGAGAUGGCAACUAAACAUUAUCCAAACACAAUCAUUUCUCAACAUUUGCAAAACAAAAUGAAGAUUAAGAUUAGCGGUAAACUAAAUAAAACCAAAGAAAUGAGAACCACAAGUAAAUGAGAAAGAAAACAAAAUAGAGAACCUAAUAGCUUUCCCAUUGAACUUCGUAUAAAAGAAAUAACAACAUUCGAACUUCAAGCAAAUAAAAAUGUAAAAUAUUUAGAAUCAAAACAAUCUUUUAUCAAAAUUCAAACCAAAAACAAUGAGCUUCACUCUAUACAAGAAGCAUGUUAACCUCAUAGGCUUUCUGAUUUCUGGAAACCAAAUCCAGAAACGUCUCCCACCAAAAAUCAAGAAAAUAAAUUUUGUUUUUAAAAAUUACAUUCAAAUCGUGAAAUAGGAGCAAGGUCCUUCGAAUUCAAGCAAAGUUGAUGGUAAAAGCUUAGCUUUCAAAGGUCAAACAUCACAGCAUUAAAUAUAAAACUAACCCAAUCUCCACCAAUUCAAAAACAAGAAACCAAACACGAACCAGAAGAUCCAAACACGAUUUCGAAAAAAAGAAAAAUAGAUAUUCCUGAAAACUGGAUCAAAAACUAGCAUAUACUUAAUAAAAAGAGAAAUUGACGGAAAAUCAUAGGAGAUCUGCAUGCAAAUAGAGGCACACUUUUGCUUGAUUAUUCGCUUAAAAAAGUAACAAUGGAAAAUAAGAUGCAAGUUCUAGGUAAAACCAUCAUGUCUUCUUACUCACCACAAACAAAGGCCCUCUAGGACCUUCAUGAAUUUUUGUCUCAUAAGUGCUUCUAUUGUGAGCCCGAACAGCUUGAUAGCCCACAAGAUAAGGAUAUCGAUCUUCAUCCUACAGAUUAACAAGGUUAAAUCCACUUAAAUGAAACACCAUUAGUCCAUAACAAUUUACUUCAAUUUUCUGCUGUUAGUUCAAAUAUGUAUUUUUUUUAAUUUGACAAAACUUGUUAGGAUCGAAUAUUCGGAAUUCCUAAAUUUCAAUUCAAAUUUACACCAUACUUGCAGAAAAAUAUACUACUAUUAGAGACACCGGCAAUCAACCAGAGUUCUUUAGUUUUCAAUCAAGUUAUUCGGCAGGAAUCUAUAUUGAUUACACAAAAAAAAAAUCAUACACCGUGAGAAUGUCGAGUAAAUUGCAAAUAGAAAAGCAAACGAACCCUAGAGGAGCUCCAAUACUUCUUCUCCCAAGGGCCUUUGUAUAGAGAUCCAAUGGAAAUGAUCUCUAGAUCGUCUAAUUUCGCUGUUUGUUCUGCUUCUUUAGUUUUUGCCAUUCAAAGAAAUGAGAAGAAAGCAAGAUUUCCAAACAACUAACAAUAAGCGAGUAGACAGAAUUUUCAAGAUAGAUGAAGAGAUGGCAUUUUAAAAUAGCGGGAACUAAAAUCUUGAAAUGCGUCAUUUCCCUCAAAAUUCUAAAUAAAAACUUUAUUUAAUUAGGAAAAAUGUGAAUCGAUUUUGGGAAAAAUAAGAGGAAAAAAAAAGAAGAUAUUUCAUUUGAAAUUUUGGGAUAAAAAAUAUAAUUACAAAACGACGCUGUUUUGCAAAAUAUAUAUUCGUGGCAUUUGGACCAAAAACGCUACUAUUGUUCAACUUUUUUGCGACGAUUGCAACAAAAACGCCGCUAUUGCUUACCUUUUGUGGCAUUUUUUUUAUAAACGCAGCUAACGCUCGACUUUUUUACAAUUUUUAUAUUGAAUUAUUGUAUCUUUCAUAUAAAUUUUAAAUAAAUAAUUUUUUAAAUUUUACGUAAUAUUUAAAAGAAUUAGAUAAAAUUAUAAUUUUUUAUUUUUUGUAUUUCAUUUUUAUUUUUGUAUUUCAUUUUUAUUUGUUAUAAUUUGGUCCUAUCCAAAAUAGAUAGUUACCUAUCCAUAUCAAUCUGUUACUUUUUUUAUUUAUUUAUCAAUGUUUUUUUAAAUCUAAUAUUUAAAUAUAUCAAAUGGUUUAGAUUAAAUAUUUUUAAAUAUAAAAGCAUUAAUUGAUUGUAUAAAAUUUCAUCAUUUAACAAAUCUCAAGUAAACCUUAAAUCCUAAACCAUUUAAUAUUUAUAAAGUUUAUCUAUUAUCUCUUAUAUAAUUUAAACUAUAAUCAUAAUUUUAAUAUAUUAAAAUUAAUAUUAUCUCUUUUACAAUUAUAUAAGAAAUGAUUUAAUAUAUAAAUUAAAAAACACUAAUUAAUCUAAACUCUAAACCCCUAUCCCCUAUCCCCUAAACCUUAAAUCAUAAAACAUAACCCUUAACCCUUAACCCUUAACCCUUAAUCCUUAAUCCUUAACCCCUAAACCUUAAACCCCAACCCUUAAACCAAAAAUCAUAAACCAUAAACCAUAAUCCCUAAACCCAUAAUCCAUAAACCUUAAAAUAGUAACUCCUAAGCCAUAAACCAUAAACCAUAACCCUAAACCCUAAACUAUAAUGAUAAUUAAUUCAAUAUUUUAAAAUUAAUACUAUCUCUUUUACAAUUAUAUAAGAAAUUAUUUAAUAUAUAAAUUAAAAAACAAUAAGUCAUGAACCCAAAAAACUUUAAAAUUAUUUUAAAUAAUAGUAUUUUAAUUUUUUUCAUUUUUAACAAAUAUUUUCUAUGUUUUUACUUCCAAAAAUUGUCUACAUGUCAUUAUUUUUUUUUGAAGAAUUUAAAUAUUCAAUUAAAAAUAAAUUUUAUUUUAAUUAUAUAAAUAAACCAGUUAAAUAAUAAAUAGACAAAUAAAAUAUUUUUUGCGGCAUUUUUGAUAAAGUGCCGCUAAAGCUCGAUCUAUAGCAGCGUUUUACAAAAAAGCGUCGCUAAUGCCACUAAAGCUCAUUACUGAAUUUUUUGCGGCAUUUUUCAAAAAGCGCUGCUAAUGCUCGACCUAUAGUGGCGUUUUUCAAGAAGCGCCGCUAAUGCCACUAAAGCUCAACAUAAAGGUACUUGAGUCUAGUUUCAAAGACAUCAAGCGGAUAUUAAUUCGGAAUUCUGUAGCUCAAGAUAUAAAUUUAUGUUAAUCUUGUUAUCUUUCUUAUUUUAGAAUUGAUUACAUGAAAGUUAAUUGCUAAUACUAUUAGUUAAUUAUUAGUUUUCUUCAAAUCAAAUUAAAACCCGAAAGGUCCCUCUUUUUUUAUAUUAGUUUUAGUUUUCCAUUAAAUUUGUUUCUUUGUAAUAAAAUUAAAUUAUAGAAAUAACAUUAAAAUUUUAAAUAAAAAUAGUUCACAAUAAUUUAUUAUUUAAAAAACUCCCUGAAAUUUAAAAUUAUUGUUAUAAGUAUACCAUUAAAUUAUACAGAAUUUAAUUUUUCUUUCAAAUACUACAGUUAAUAAGGAAAGAGAAUAUAGUUCAUAUCAAUAAAACUUUAAAAAAGAAAUAUUGUUUAAUUAGUUAAUUUAAAAAUCAAUAGCGUCUAAAAACGGUCAGAAUGAAAUAUUAGAUUUUGUAAGAUUUCAUUAUUCUAAAAAAUAAAAUAUGACCAUGCUUAAAAAUUUUAUUAAAAAAGUUUUAAAUUUUAUAUAAAAAUAAAAAAAUAGUACUAAAAAUUUUUAUAAGCAAAUUUAAAUAUUAAUUAGUAAAUUUUUUUUGUAAUAUUUAUAUGUAUUUUCAUUCUUAUAAAUACUAUUAAAACUUUUUAAAAAAAUUUGAAUGCUAUUUAAAAACAUUAUUAAAAAUAAAAUAUUAUAUGAAAGUUAAAAUGAUCUAAAAACAUAUUUUAAAAAUUUAAAUACUUUAUAAAAUAUUUAAAACUGUUUAAAAAUUUCUAAACCCUAAAAAAAUAAUAAAAUAUAAUUCUUUCUAAGAAAUCAACAAAAAUAUAUUUAUAAUUGAACUCUCAACAAAAUUGUGAGAAAUAUUUAAAUUUUAUGAAAUUUUAUACUUAAACUGUCAAUAAUAGAAAAUUGCCUGAGUGACAUGGGAUAAGAGGUUCAACAUUUCUGGAUCACAUUGCAUUUAAGGCGGGUCUUUAGGGUUAUACUUUAGUUUUUUAGAACAUUUUCCACAAUUUGCCAUCAUUACUUGUGAGUGAUUUGUGGGGUAAGAGGUUGAACACUUCUGGAUCACAUUGCAUUUAAGACUGGUAUCAUUCAUAAAUUAUAUAUCUACAACAAGAAUGGUAGCCUCUUAUAUUAUAUUCAUGUAUCUAUUUUGCAUCUUUCAUUAUAAUAUGAUUUAGUAAUUUUAAUAUUUUUAUAGAAUAAUAUGAUUUAAAUUUUUUUGUAUUUUUCGUAAAAAUUAUAAUAAACUUACAAAAUGAUUUAAUGAUAUUUAAUUAUUAACGGAAAAAUUAUAUCAUAUAUAUUCUGUAUAUAUUAAGAUUCUGAAUUAUUAAUUAUAUAUCUACAUAUUAUAAUAAAUUCAUCUUUCAAAAUUUUCCUAAACUAUAUUCACAAUAUUAUAAAUAUAUUAUAUCAAAAAUAUUCUUUCAAAUGUUUUUUAAUGUUUAAUAAUAAAUUAAUUUAUAAAAUAUUCUUUCAAUAAAUUAACGUGAUGAGAUCGUUAAUUAGGUGCUUGGAUUUGGUGAUGGGGACGAAGAGAAAAGGGAUGGAAGUGAAGACAAAUGUUGGGAAAUUGAAAGGGUUAGCGAGGGAGGCCAGCGUGAAAGGUGGUUCUACGGAUAUGAACCUUCAAGCUUUUGUGGAUGAUGUUACUAAAGGUUAUUGCAAGUAAAUUUAAAAAUGUUUUUUAAUUAUUUUUUGUUAAAAAAUAUUUUUUUUUCUAUGUGGCUUUCCACAUUAGCAUGCUACCAUGUGGUAACUUCUAGUGAUUUCCGUCUGUAAUAUUAGACAGGUUAACAGUUAAACCAUUCAACUGACAAAUUUCGUUAAAGGAAGAGGUCAAUUAAUUUUUUUUGGACUCAUUGAGUACUCAAUUGGUGCAUUUUUUUAUAAAGACUAAAUUAAUUUUUUUAAUUUGUUAUUGCUGAGGGCUACAGUAAUAAAAAGUUUUGAGGUAAAAUUGGAAUAACGUCCCAAAAAUCUAAUACUUAAUUUUUAAAAUUUUAUCAUUAAUAAAUAUUUGUCUUAGUGAUUAAGUAUUUGAGUCGUGUUUAUAAGAUAUUGUAUUCAAGUUCCUACGUGAAUGGAUUGUUAUUAUUAUUAUUUUUUAAUUUUUGAGUUUGAGUCCAUUUCGAACUCUGGAAAAAGGUGGUUACUUAUCUGAGAUGGGGUUAGUGCUUAGUAGAUUUGGAUUUGGUUUAUUUUAAAAUUUAUUAAUUAAUUUGUUAAAAAAUUAAAUUAGUUUUUUCCUAAUUUUUGGCUCACCGUUCUUUCUCUUGUUUUUCUUUAUGCUUUCUUUUUCUUUUCUUUUUCUGUUACCUUUCAAAUCACGUCGAUUUGUUCCUAUUUCGCUUUUGAGUUUUUCUUUUCUUUCCUUUACGCUCCUCUACGAUCGUGUCUUAAUUCCUUCAUUAUUUUCUCUUUGUUGGCGUUGCUCGUUCGUAAGUGGGUUAGUUUCCGUUUUGAUGUAUUUUUACGUGGUUAGUAAAAGAAAUGUGUUAAUUUUUGGAUUAUGGAGUUGAUCGUUUUUAAUCAAUUCUCCAGUAAGUUGACUCGUUCGCUGUUAUUAUGUCCUAGGGUAAAGGAUUAACUCUGAUUUGGGCCCGUGUGGUUGUGUAGAUUUUUCAUGUGAAUUCGUUUGGUAUUUUUAGGAUAAAUCAUUCUUUAAGUCGUAUUGCUACCAUCGCUAAUGUGAUGUUUUAAUUUAUGCAUUUAGGAUUUGAUAGUCUUAUGGGUGUUUUCGUAUAAAAAUCAAACCAAGUGUGUAACGAAAAACCCGACAACAACGAGCGACGAAAGUCAAAAAAUUGCACUGUCGACACCACACGGCCGUGUGUCGGGCCGUGUGACAAGCCGUGUUUCAGACCGUGUGCGACAUAUUGUUUGGGCUAGUUGAGCCGUGUGGAACACACAGGUGUGUGUGAGGAUGUGUGCCACGCCAUGUGAGCCACACGGGCUGGCCAUUUAGGCCGUUUGAGACCAAAAUACUAAAUUUUUCCCUAGGGUUAUACACAUCGUUAUGAUCGAUCGUAGGCCUUUCGUGGGGUCGAUAUAUAAUCAAAUAGACUGUAAAGUAUGAAAUCCGGUCAACUAAUAGUAUAAAUUCUGAUAUCUGUUCAUAUAUUUGAGAUGUUAUUUGUUCAAUAAACCUUGUAAUAGGCUAUGAGAAACUUGAGAAAUAUUAUGUAUGCUUUGUAUCUGUUAUGUCAUACAUGUAUAACUGUAUUAUGUCUGAUUUUGUUCUAUUCUUUUCUGUAUUUGCAUUUGGGGUGGGUUAUAUUAUGUGGAGGAAGUGUUUCUUUGAAUGGCGAUAAUUCGCCUAUUACACUGGCAGCUCAGCUACAAAUAUUCUGAAAAGUGUUAUAUCGACACUAAAUGGUGUGUAAGGUUGGAUGAGUGUUUCAUACCCCAUAUGGUGUGUUGAGCUGGUCGGAGAUAGUGUGUAGCAGAUGGGGGUAGGAAUAUAUGUUUGUAUCUGUACUGCUCUGAUAUGAAUAUGUUCUGCUAAAUCUAUCUGAUAUAAAUUAACUGUUUAAAGUUAUUUGUUAUACAUUGAGUUUUGUAAACUCACUUUCUGUUUGUUUGAUAUUUUUAGGUAACCCUCAGACUUUGGCAAAUUGGUGCGAAGGAGCUCGGUUAAAUUGAUUUAGUUUCAUCAUCUAUUAUAAUCAAAUUUUGUGUUAUUGUGUUUCAUUAUUUUUGAACUUUUGGGACUUUUUGGACUGUUUUGGUUUUUGAGAUUUUAUUUUCAAUUUUUGCAUGAUAUUAUUAAAAAUGUUUUAUCGGAAAUGUCUGUUUUCUUGAAAAACAACUGAUUUCAAAAAAAUAAACUUAGUUUUCCAAACAUAAUGAUUUGAGAAUUUCCGCUGCUAAGUAUUCAUUUUAGAAAAUGUAAGCAAACAUCGUUUUCAACUACAAAGUUAAGUUAGAUGUAUUUUCUCUUAAAUCGAGGUUUAAGUAAUAAAAGAUUAUGUCAUUUUUCCAAAUUUUACGAAAAAUUGGAUUUACAAUUGUUUUAUGUAACAUCUCUAGAUUUGGCCAUAACGUCUAAGUCGGAUUUCGGGCGUUACAUUUUGUGAUAUCAGAGUCAGGUUGCAAAACUCGGGCUGUGAAAUUUUCGGUUCAAAAUUUUGUGAAAACUAUUUUUCGAGUAAAGUUCAUUUCUGCAUUAAUUUGAAAAAUUAAUUAUAUGAAGUAUCGAGUCUCUAACGUUGAUCCUGUAAGUACUUUUGACUUAGAUAAACUUUAGUUUAGAAAACUCUGAAAUGAUUAGAACUAUACUUGGAUAGUUAGAGACUGAAACAUCUUUAUAAAUUCUUUUGAUAACUUUUUGAGAACAAAAUAUCUGCUAAUAAAUACUAAAAUUGAUACAUAAAAUUCGUAAUGUAAGUAAUAUAUACGAUGAGUACUUGUGGAACAUGUGGAUGCGUUACCCGUAGGCGUGGCGGGCGCCGAAGAGGGGCUCGAGCUGAGUCAUCCUCGAUGGGUACCUGAUAGGCUAUUGCUGGAGAGAGCAAUAGUCUUGAGAGAAGAAAUGUUGAAGAUCGAAGUCAAAAUCUGACCUAUAAAGCCUUUAAUUGCUUGAAUGAUAAGCAUUUCUAAACUAAAAAGAUUACCGAUUUUUUCAGGAAUUUGACCUGCAGACAUAGUUGAAACAUCAAGGUGUUAAAUUACCUAUUUUGUUAGUGUAAAUCAAAGAGGCGUUUUAUUUUUUUCGUUUUGAAAUAAUAUGGAUAUGUUAGAUUCUAAUCAUAUUUAAGUAUAUAUUAGUUCUUGAAAGAAAGAGUUCUUAUUUUUGGUAUUUAUAUUGCAAAUAUAUUUUUUUAAAUUUAAAAAAGGGGGGGGGCAAAUGUGUUUAAAACUAAAGACAUCAAGGAAAAGGCAUACCUUCUAGGUUAUUUAACCCCAAGUAUAAUUGUUUAAGUUGUGUCAAAUUCCCAAUGCUUUUUGGAAUGAUCCCACUAAAUUGAUUAAUAGACAAUUCCAAAAUUUGAAGGUUGCAGCAUUUGUCUAUACUUGAUGGAAUAGAACUUGAUAAUUCAUUUCUACUCAAGUAAAGCUCUUUAAGCUUGGGAAGAUGGACACACUAAAUUGAUUAAUAGACAACUCCAAAAUUUAAAAGAUAUUCUGGCUUCGCCCUUAAUAAAAUUUUUGGAAAAAGAUUAAAAAAAAGUUAUACGGUAAAUGAAAAAAAGAAGAAAAUAACUUGAUGUCCAAAAGCUACCAUAAACAGUAAUUCGUGGGAAGGCUUGUUGCUCAUUUUAUUGGUUUCCAUUUUGAUUUUGCAAAAGAAGUUUGAAUUUUGAAGAGAGCAUACUACGUGAGAGCAAAAGAAAAAAUAUAGUUUAUUAAUUUUUACGAAUACCGACAUAUUAUAUAUACGAUUAAAAUUCAGAAUAGAUUAAAAAUGUUCAAUUAAAGAUAAAAUUAAAUGUGAAUUAAUAACCACAAGUCUACUCAUUACUCAUUACUCACCGUCUCUGUUAAAAAUGUUGGAUGUUGUUCAGCAACCUUUGUUUGAUUUUCUUCAGCUCAACCACAACAUCUUUCAUAUCUUUUCUUUCUUCUGGUAACUCAGCUGAACAAUUCAAAGCCAACUCCAUGAUAGAUGAAAUGCAAUUUGCUUUAACAACAAAGUACUCAUCGUCUCUUCUUAGUAAAUCAACAUCUGCAAUUUCUAUCGCUCCUUUAGGCAAUGAACUUUCCAUCCAAUGCCUUAUAGUCUCUUCUUCAACAAAAACAUUAUCAGUUGGCUUUUUCUUUGUAAAAGUUUCUAUAAGGACGAUCCCAAAACUAUAGACGUCAGAUUUUAUAGAAACAAUUCCUGCCGAUCCAAAUUCUGCAUUUCAAGUAUAAUUAGAACAUCAUUCAUCCUCAAUUAUUUCUAAAAUGCUUAUUCAAAUAUAUAUCCUCAUACACAUGAAACAAAAAUAUAAAAUGCAAAUUAGGAAAAUAAUCAUACAAAAAUAAAAAUGAAUUCACCUGGUGCCAUAUACCCGAUAGUUGCAAGAGUCAUGGUUUGCUUCAUUACUUCACCUUCCCCCAACAAUUUGACAAGGCCAAAAUCUCCAACAUGUGCAACCAUGUCUUCAUCUAGUAAAAUAUUGCUUGGUUUUAUGUCACAAUGAAUUGUAGGUGUUGGAUGUCCAUUGUGGAGGUGUUCUAUAGCUACCGCAACAUCUAUCAUUAUGUCGACCCUUUGUAUGAUAUCAAGGAAACAAUUUUCAGAAUGUAACCAUUUCUCAAGGUUUCCAUUAGACAUGUAAUCAAGCACCAAGGCUUUGAAGCCAACACUUGAGCAGCAAGUAACGACCUUCACAAUAUUACGAUGAACUACAUUACGCAUAGCAUCACAUUCAAUGUCAAAACUCCUAAAUGCUCCCUCUGUUUGCAAAUUGAAAACUUUUAUUGCAACUUCCAUUCCAUCCGAAAGCCUCCCUUUAUAUACAUAUCCAAAACUCCCUGAACAAAGCAUAUUGCUUUCCUUAAAUCCAUUAGUUGCUCGUGAAAGUUCAGCAUGUGAAAUUCUUCUCGGUGUUUUCAAAGACAACAAAUCAUCUUUAAUUGGUAGAGUUGUACUCCUUCUUUGGCAUCUUCUAUACAUAAUAGUUAAGACUAUUAGUACUACGACAACACCAAUUGUUGGUAAACCAUACCUAAAAGCAUGCAAUAUAAUCAUUUGGGAGUUUUUGUGGAUGUCGUUUUUGCAAGGUGGAACUAGAAAUCUAUGUGGACCACAAAGUGCAUAAUUCUUCAUGAAUGAUGUGCUAGAAAAGUUUGAAAAACAUCCUUUGCUGGGAAUUUCCCCUUCAAGUCUAUUGAAAGACACAUUAAAAUACUUUAGAUAUAAAAGCUUUUCCAAAGAUUUGGGAAUGACUCCAGAGAGAUUGUUAUUGCAUAAAUCCAAGAAUUCCAAACUAAUCAACCCAUCAAAUGAUUCAGGGAUAUGACCAUGUAGUAUAUUAUUUGAUAAAUCUAAUGAAACCAAAGUUUGAAGACCCCCAAAUGUGGAUAAGAUAUCACCCGUGAGAAGAUUCCUAGAUAAAUUUAGUUUCAGUAGACUCCUCAAAUUUCCAACAUCAAUAGCGUGUGAAUUGUGAAGAUGGUUUGAUGAUAAAUCUAUUUCUAAGAUAUCUUUAAGAUUCCACAAAGUUGAGGGAAUUGCGGAACUCAAUUUGUUGGAAUCUAAGCAAAGAUAUCCCAAAGAAGUAAUAUUACCUAAACAAGAGGGUAUGGAUCCAUGCAGCUUAUUCAACCCUAAACACAAGUUGUAUAGUCUCUCCAAACCACAGAGGCUUUCUGAGAUGGGCCCUCCUAAUUUAUUAGAGGAAAGAUCUAGACCUUGGAGAUUUCGCAGUCCUCCUAUUGAUGUUGGAAUGAAUCCACUUAAUUUAUUAGAGCCAAGUUCUAAACCGAACAUAUUGGUUAAGUUACCUAUUUCCAUAGGAAUAAUGCCUUGAAGCUCACACUCUUCGGCAUAAAAGUAUUGAAGGGAUUUUGAAAGGUUCCCAAUAUAAGUAGGAAGAACGCCACUCAAUGGAUUUCCUGAAACUUCUAUGUCUUUCAAAUUCUUACAAUUCGUCAAAGAAGAAAGAAAGCUCCACUCAUGAUCAGUAGCAGAUCCUGUGAUCAAAUUAUUGUCAAAGAUUUUGAGCACUUCAAGGUGUUUUAAGCUGCAAAGCAUUCUAGGGAUUGGGCCAGAGAAUAAGUUUUGUGACAAUUCUAGUUCCUUAAGCAUGGAAGCAUUGGAGAUAGAGUUGGGAAUGUUUCCGCUAAGUUUAUUUCUCCACAAUAAAAGAAUCUCAAGCUUUGGAGCAUUGGUGAUGGGUGGUAAAUUACCUGUAAAAUAGCAUCUUUUAGUAUACAUAUUCAUUGAAUACCAAAUUUACAAAAUAUAUAAUACAUUAAAAUAAAAACUGUACAACUUUAAAUCAAUUAAGAAUAGAAUUUUGGCAUGGAAAAAUGUGAUGAAAUCACUUAGAAAGUUGAGACAUAAUAAGAAGUUUUAAGUAGUAAUUAUUCCUUGUGAUUUGUAUAGAAAAAACAUAUAAUACACUAACAAUUUUUUAAAAAUAAAAAUAAAAGUUUGGCAUGAGAAUGUGGCAUCUAAUCCAUCUUAAAAAUGAGUCUGACACUGAAUAAUAAUUAGUUAUGAUUUGGGAAAAAAAUGUUAAAGCCAUUGUUUUUAAUGUAAACUGGUAUGAUUUUUAUCUAUUGGGUAUAUUAUUUAUUUUUAUUAAAUUAUAGUGUAAAAUUUAAAGAUUAUUAUUUGCUCAAAAUUUUUGUAUUUUUCGUAUAUUUGAAAUUUAAUCUUUAUAUUUUUUAUUUUCUGUGAUUUAGUCUCUCUACUUUUUGAAUUGUAAAUUUUAGGUUUAUUUAUUAAUGCUGUUAAAAAGUUUUUGUGUUAGUAUGGCAUUUUGAAAAAUAAAAUAAACUUGAUAUCUAUGUUUUUAAUUAUUCCAAAUAUUGUUUUACUAUUUCAAGAUAAAUUAUUUGUGUCUAGACCAAUAUCUUAAGAACUAUUAUUGCAUGUUUAAUUAUUCUAAAGAAUUGUCGAUUGAGUCUUAGCUUGAUUGGCAUGUGCAUUGUUGCCAAUGUAGGAGAAUGUGGGUUCAAGUAUGCUGAAGUGUAUUAUCCUUCUAUUUAUGAAUCAAGGAGUUGGCAAAGUAUUAUAUUUUGAUAUAUUUUAGAAUAUUAAAAAAUUAUUAAAAUAUUUUUUUAUAAAAAUUGGUUGUACCACAAUAUACAUCAAAUUUUUAAUUUUUUUAAAAAUAUUAGCGAAUUUAUAUUUUAUUUCAAGUUACACAAUUUUUACUAGUUUUUAACUUUUUUUUAAAAAUUUUUAUCGUCUUUCAUAAUUUCUAAUAAAUUUUUAUAUAUUUUUGACAAUAUUUAACAAUUUCUAACAAUUUUUAAUAAUUUUAUUAUUAAUUACAAAUUUAAAAAUUAACACAUUUUUAUUUUUUAAAACAAUUUUAUAUUUAUAAUGUAGUUGUUUUUUUUAUAAUUUUAUUUGAAAAUUUAAAGCUUUUUUGGUUUUUUUAAGAUAAUGAUGCCAUCAUGAUGUCAUCAUAUGCCACAUGGCAAUUUAUGAUUAGUUGGAUAUCUCAAUCUAUUUUUUUAACGUCCAAUUGACUAAACCAAGAACACCUGAUAAUGUUAGAGACUACACUAGAAAUGCUUGAUAAUAUUAGGUACUAAAGUGGGCAAAAACUCAUUAAGGACCAAAGUAAAAAAAAAAAAAGAGCAAUAUGCUGUAGGGAAUAAAUGCAUGAAUUUUGAGAAACUUUUGAACUAAUAAUUACAUAGUAAUUAUUAGUGAAUUUGUUAUUUUAAAUAUUUUUAUUACUUUUAGGAUUUAUCAUAUGUAUGGAUAAGAAUUUUGGUUUUACUAAAAUAUUUGGUUAAAUAAAUUCAUAAAAAAAUUUAGCAUCCUUAUAAAUAACAAUUUUGAUUCUAUUAAAAAAAUCAUUUUAAAAAAUAUAUAAUAAAAAUUUAAAAUUUAUAUUGAAUUACUUUAUACGUAAAUUAUUAUUAGAAACGUUAUCAUACACAUAUGUAUAUGAGAACUACGUAUUUAGAACAUAAAUUUAUGUUUGAAAAUAACUUAUGAUAAAUAAUGAAAUGUAUAAUUUGAAACUAUUUAAUAAUAACACAUGGCAUAUCUACCAUAUUAAAAAUAAAAAUAGAUUAAAUUGUAAGUAAAACAUAAUUUAAACAUAUGGAUACAUCAAAUUAAGAAUACUAAAUGAAUACAGUUAUUUAUGAUGAUGUUGUUGUCAAUUCUUAAGUUGGUGUCGAGUUAAUUUGUGACAUCAUAAUUUUAAGUGAUAAAUUUAAAGUUUUAUGUAUUGAUGUGGAUUCAAAUAUCACCAUAACUUUUUUAAAAUAAAAAAUUAAAUUCAACACAAUAAAAUGAAACAAAUUCAACACAAUGUUUUUGGAGUUUGCAAAAAAUUAAAGUGAAAAACAUACCUUCUAAUUUGUUGUCAUAUAGAACUAUUUCUUCGAGCGUAGUUGAAUUAAAAAUACUUGAUGGAAUCUGGCCUGCACACAUAGUCGAAAAUUGAAGUGAAAAAUACACCUUCUAAACUGUUCAACUAAAAAUACUUUAAGCAUAUUUUUUUUUCCAUCAAAUUAACUAUUUUGCCUUGAAUGAAAUAAAAUGCUCUUACUUUUGUUAUCUAUUACAAAUCAAACUCUUUUGUGAAUAAAAUAUUACCAGAUAAUUCAUUCCAACCCAGGUUAAGCCCUUCAAGCUUGGGAAGUUGUUGACACAUAUCAUUAGGCAAACUACCUGAUAGGCUAUUGCUGGAGAGGUCAAUGGUCUUCAGAGAAGAAAUGUUGAAGAUCGAAGUUGGAAUUUGACCUGUAAGGCCUUUAGUUGCUUCAAUAUCAAGCAGUUCCAAACCAAGAAGAUUACCGAUUUCCUUAGGAAUUUGACCUGCAGACAUAGUUGAAAAAUCAAUGUUUUUUAGCAUAUAUUUUUCAUCAAAUUAACUAUUUUUCUUCGAAUGAAAUAAAAAGUUCUUCCUUUUGUUAUCUAUUACAAAUUAAACUCUUUCAUAAAAAAAUACUUUAAAUUCAAGAAAUUAAGGAAAUUGAUUACCUUUUAGAUUAUUAAACCCUAAAUAUAAUUCCUGGAGUCGUGUUAGAUUUCCAAUACUUCUUGGAAUGAUCCCCAUAAAUUGAUUACCGAACAAUGACAAAUUUUUAAGGUUGUUGCAUUUGCCCAUGCCAAAUGGAAUGUAACCAGAUAAUUCAUUCCAACUCACGAAAAGCCCUUCAAGCUUGGGAAGAUGUUGACACAUAUCAUUAGGCAAAGUACCUGAUAGGCUAUUGCUGGAGAGAUCAAUAAUCUUCAGAGAAGAAAUCUUGAAGAUGGAAGAUGGAACCUGACCAGAUAAUUGAUUGAAUCCUAAGUUCAAGAUCCCUAGAUUAGACAUGUUAACAAGUGUUUCAGGGAUUGUGCCUGUAAAGUUAUUAUUUUUCAUUUGCAGCCUUCGAACUCUCUGUAAAUUCCCAAGCCAUGAUGGAAUUUCCCGAUUAAGACGGUUGUAGCUUAAUUGAAGGAUCCUCAAACGAUGCAAUUGGCCCAAUUCUUUAGAGAGAUGGCCAUAGAAAUGGUUGCUACUCAAGUCGAGAGAGACUAGAAAUGAAAGAUUUCCAAGGUGUGGAGGGAUAAUACCCCUAAGAUUCAUGCUUGUAAGAUUCAAUGCUAUAACUCUUUUAUGGAGGAUGCCACAAGAAACACCAAUCCAAUUGCAAACAGAGGUUGAGGCUGUCCAAUUGUCUGCCAAGACAUUUUGAGGACCGGCAAUGCGAUCCUUAAACUCGAGAAGUGCAAACUGAUCAGAGUUGAGAUUCCUGGCUGUCAUAGCCAAGCGAAGUACGGAACAUGGUAUGAAUAAAGCUAAGAGAAGAUGAAAGCAAGUGUUGUAGUUCAUGAUUGCAAGACGGAAUAAGGCAAGAAAAAAGGAAAAAAAAAGUAGGAAAAGGGAAGUUAAGUUGAUAAAAUAGUUUGGAUGAUGAAGAAAAGCCCAGAGAGCAUGCUUUAAUAUGUUUCAACCCUCGCACACUUGAUAAACUUGAUAAAUUUAAGACUACCCUAAAAAUUAAAAAGGAAAACAAAGUUUUGAUGAGAUUUCAAAAAAAAUGUCAAGUAUUCUUCUUUUAAAAAUACGUACAAAGAAGCGAAUUUUCAAAAUUUCUCCUAAAUUUUCUUCAAAUUACUCCACAUAAUCCAUUAAAAAAACUUAAAAAAUAUAUUUUAUUAAUUACUAUAUAUUCUUUUGUUUUCAUAAUAAUAAAUUGUUUAAAAUAUGCUAUUAGUGGCCGUAAUUUAAAGUUUAAAAAAAAAUCCAAUCCUCCUUUUUUUUAAUUUAAAAAUUCUAAUCCAAUCAUUUUUAAUUCCAUUAAAAAGUUUUCAACUUAAUAGAUUUUUUAUUAUCAAUCUUAUGCAACAUUAUAUGAAGGCAGUCUACUCAGCAUAUAUCCAAGUUUACAGAUUUUAAUAGAAAAUACUUACAAUCCUAAUGGUAGGACUAAGUUUUUUAAACUAGAAAAGUAAAAAAAAAAAAAACUUAAUUUUUAACUUUUUUAAGUACAAGGAUUAAAUUUUAAAUGUUGUCAAAGUACAAGCACUAACAAAAUAUUUUGAUCUAAUAAAUGUAAAAAAGCAUUUUAAACAAAAGAAGGUUGAAAUAAUCUAUUUGUCCUUAUACUUUGAUAAAAUUUGAGAUACCAUAAAAUUUGUAUCUUUUUUCGAAUUAUUUAAUGACAUUUCAACAUUUUCAUUCAAAAAAAAAUAUCAUUUUGAAUUUGAUCUUUUUCAAGAUGAAAUAUUGAAAUGAUGUUAAAUUAUUAGAAAGAGAUACAAGUUUCAUGGUGUCCCAAAUUCAUUUAAUCUUAUCUCUCUAAGAAAGCUGAAUUAAGAUAUUAAUGACAUCAUUUGAAACAAAGUUUUAGGUCAAAUUAUUCAUCUAUUCCUUGUAAUUGUUCUUUAAGGUGAAUUUCAUUAUUAUUCUUUUAUUUUCUUUGGCUUAAAUACACAAUUACUCCUAAUUUUAUCACAUUCUCCUUAAUUGGUAUUUAUAGUUUAUAAAAUUUUAUAAAUAUAUUAUUUUUUAAGAAAUUAUAAGAAGAUUACAAAAAUUCCAAAAUAAUAUAAAAAAGCUAAGAAAAACCUAGAAAUUCAAAAAAAAAAAUCAUGUUUUUACAAAUUGGAAAAUACCUAAAUUUACUUUUCAGCCCGUCCGAUGCUAUGAAAGAAGAAGAAAGAGAGUCUUUGCUAACAUUUUUUUUUCUUCGUCAUCUCUAUGUUUCUUGGCAAAUACAAUGAAAGAAGAACAAAGAAAACUGUUGGCUAUUUAUUUCCCAAUAAUCCUGAAAUUACUUGCCAUAGGCGUAGAAUUUGCUAACCAAUUUUCAAGCAAUCUGACAUGAAUUCUUGUUAAGUAUGACUCCUAUUUUCAGUCAAAUUUGAGAAAUAAUCUUCUAGUUAAUUCUGUUUAUUUGUUUCAAUCAAACACUGAUUAGUUUAGAUUAUUUUAUUAUUAUUUGACAUAUGAAUUUAGCCUAUAAAUAGGUUAUUUUACAACCUUAGAAAAUACACCCAAUAGAGUUUAGAACUCAUAACAUAUUUAGAGAAUUUUGUGUUUACGUUUUGAGAGUUCUUUGUUUUCGGAUUUUCGGGGUUUAGUUUUUAUCUCCAUCUCUUGUAUUCUUUGUUCUUUUGCCAUUAUAAUAAAAUUAUCUUUACCCGUGGUUUUUUAUCCUUUUUGGAGGAGUUUUUUCACGUUAAAUUUGUGUGUUCAAUUUCUCAAUUUAUUCCGCUAUUUUGUUACUUGUUGCUUAAUCGGGUCGAUCCCUAACAAUUCUCAAUCACAAUUAAUUGAAUUCAAGAUAUAUUUGGAUGAGAACACAAAUAUUUCAAUUUUACCACAAUCCAAUGUUUGGGAUGAUUUGGGAUAAGAACUCCAACAUUUUAAGAUCACAUUUUCUUUUAUAAUUUCAGGCUUAUCAACUAUUUUGAAAACAACAAAACGUCUUACACCAAAAACUAAAAAAUUAAAACGUCGACAUUAAAUUUGUUGGUAUGCAAUCAAUUUUAAGAUGGGUCUUGGAGUUAUAUAUCACUUUAGCAUUGACUUACUUUUCUACUCUUAGUCUUCUCCAAUAAGUUAAAUAUUUCAAUUUUAACAGCACUGACAGGUCUUUGGGGUAGGGUCCAGCAAAACUCAAUAGAAACAGAUGAUAUAGGCAGAGUUGGCUCGGCCAAGUCGAGUCGACUUGUUCAAAUUAGUUAAAUUAGUAAAUUUUAGGGUGCAGUUAGAACUUUUUUUUUUUUUUUGAGAUGCUAAUAUUAAAAAAUUUUAGUUGCUAAAACAAAAAAUUUAUAUUUAAAAAGGAAUAAAUUAAAUUAUUAAGUUUUUCAAGUUUCCAUUUAAUCAAAGGUUAAAAGGACUAAAUUGAAGCUUUUUAUUUUAAAGAAAGGCUGAAUGACAAAUUGCCCAAAGCCCAUGCCCCUAGCUAUAUGCCCCUGGUAAAAUCAAUUUUAAAAUUAGUUAUAAUAGUUGAAGCGAAUUGAUUAUUGAGUAUUGAAAUACAUAGUUCAACAAAAUAAACAAACUGACAAAUUUUGACCAAAAAAAAAAAUCAAAGGUGAUAAUAAUUAAAUUAUAAAAUUUAAAUUGAGAAAAUAGGGGAUUGAAUUUAUAAUUUUUAAAGUAUAAAGAAUGAAUUUAUAACUAACAUCAUAUUUUAACCACAUAAUAAAAGUAGUUAUGGAGAGGAUCAUGUAAAAUAAUGACCUGAAUAAUUUUAAACGUCUCAUCCUUGCAAAAAUGAAAUAAUAGAAAAGAAAGAGUAAAGAGUAGCCAUUUUAUGAAAUCUAUAAUUCCAACUGUGAAUAAAAUAUAAAUUUUAUGAAUGUGGACAAGCCAUUUUAUUUAUAAUUUUCUGUGUUUUUCUGACUUUUUUUUAAGUCAUUUUCUUUGUUUCCUAACCAAAAAGUUUGCCCAUCACUUUCAAUAUAAAUUUAAAUCUAAAUUUUCUUUUUAAAAUAUAAGUUACUCGUCACAAUUCAUCUUUCGAAAACAAUUUGCCAUCACUUUAACAUACACUAACUUUUCUAUGAUUAGUCCUUGGUUUGCUUUGGGUGCAAUCUUCCAACUAGCCACAUCCUUGGUUUUACUUUCCAACAAUUAGUGUAUCACGGGUUUUGUUUUCUUUAAAAAAAUAUUUUUGUGGAUAUUAGGAGAUAAUGAAAAUUAUUUUACUAUUAAAUUUUAAUAAAACUGGAAAAUAAGUAAUGUCUUUUAAGUGAUCACAAUUAAACAUUAGAUUUUUAAUUUUAAAAUUUUAAAAUUUUUUGAUAAUUGCAUAAUUAAUAAGGUACCAAUUUUUUGAUAAUGCUAUAAUCUUCUCCACACAUAAUCGACUCUUGAGCAUGAUGGAUCUAGACCUUAUCCUGUAUUCUCGUACCACAAAUUGCUUCGAGUGUGGGUUCAAACAAUCACAAAUUAAACACAAAAUCAGAAAUGAUUUAUUACUUUCAAUAGCAAAGUAAUUCUCUCUCAAUAGAAACCAACAGAAUUGUAAUUCCGAAAAAUAAAAUUUAUUUUUUGAAAAUAUAUUCUCACUACUUCCUAGCAUAAUAACAAUAUUUAAAACUUAUGUCUUGUGUUAAUAGCUCUACCAGUACUAUCCAUUUAUAGAGAGAGACACAAGAAUCCUGGUUGAAUUAGUAAAACACGAGUAAUAUUUAUUUCAUAGAAAACAAUAUUCUACCCUAAGUAGAUCAAGUUUGGAUGACGCAUGGGUCGAAGUUCAAUCUAAGAGAAAAAAAUAAAGGAAUUUUCUUUGUAAAGAAAAUUUGAGAUUGUACUAUUUUCGAAGUUAUAAAUAAAAUUAUAAGCCAAACUUUCAAGUCAAUUUUUGACUCGAAUUUUGUACGUACAAAUUUCUAAUACACUUGGUGGGACAUUCUUUGACUUUUAUCUAUUCUCUCAGAAAGUUAAAAGUUAAAAGUUGCAUUAAACUCAAAGAAGAUAAUCAUUAGUAAACCAGCUCACAAGCCUGCUCAAGCUAAUCCUACAACUCGUUCCACUUCAUCAUCAAACACCAAUGUUCUUGCUUAUCCUUAUGGAAUUAAACAAAAGACAAAAGCUCUUUAAGAGUUAUUUGAACAGACAAAAGAUUCAGACGUGUUGAGAUGGAAAGUGACAAUGCAAUGUUGAUUGAAGCUAUUCGUAACCGGUUGGCUACAAUAAGUAGUGUUGCUGAAGUAAGACAGAUUCACGAUUGGUGUUCUAAAAAUUGGGAAGUCAAAUUUUGAUAUAUUUAGUAGAAUGCCAAAAAAGUUGUUGAUUGCAUAGCUAAGGCAGAUGGAGGAGUAAUUGAGCAGCUAGUUUUUUGGAAGAUCCUCCGCAUUUUGUGAGAUGUUGGCUUGAAGAAAAUAUUAGACAAUCGCUGGUGACUUAUGAUAAUUUUCAUUUGGACUGAUGCUCGCUUAGUUUUCUAAGGUUAUGUUCAACCAAAAAAAAAUAAUUUAAAUAUGUCUAUAUUAUCAUAGAGUUAGCAUUUAGUGUAUAAAAAAAUAGUGUAUAAAAUUUUUUCAAUUGCAGUUUAGUUCCACAAAUACUGACGAUGAACCUUAAAACGAAAAUGAAAAUUACAAAAAGAAAAACAAACCACAUCUAUUAUCAAACCAGCAAUCCGUGUCUAAACUUAAAUUAACAAAAUUCAUCAUGCAACUCGGUACACUAUUUUAUAAUAUAUAUAUUAGAUUUAUUCUUGAUGCACAUGUUUUAUUAUAGUUAAAAAUUAAAAUAUAUGAUUAACUGAGUUUUAGUUGAGUUAGUAUUGGUAUUAUAUCAGUGUAGAAAAAUGUGAGUUCAAUCGUACUUAAAUAUGUAUCCUCCAACUCAACAGUUGGGAAAAGGUUAUUGAUAAUUAAAUUACACCAAUUUUUACAAUAUCUAAAAAGCAUUCAUAAACAUAUUCAUAUUGAUGGGCUCUUUCAUUAUUAAACUUUUUUUCUCUCACAAGUAAAAGUACUUGUGGUGAGGAUCAUGUAAAAUAAUAAACUGAAUAAUUUUAAACGUCUCAUCAUUGCUAAAAUGAAAUAAUAGAAAAGAAGACAUUUUAUGAAAUUUACAAUUCCAACUGUGAAUAAAAUAUAAAUUUAUGAAUGUGAACAAGCCAUUUUAUUUAUAAUUUUCUGUGUUUUUCUUCUUUUUCUGACUUUUUUUUAGUCAUUUUCUUUGUUUCCUAACCACCAUGAAAUUACUUGUCACAAUUCAUCUUUUUAAAUGAGAAGCAUUUUCCACAAUUUGCCAUCACUUUAACAUACACUAACUUUUCUAUGAUUAGUCCUUGGUUUGCUUGUCACCAUGAAAUUACUUGUCACAAUUUUCCACAAUCUUCCAACUAGCCUCAUCCUUGGUUUUACUUUCCAACAAUUAUUGUAUCCUUCUCAUUACUUGUACUUACCCGACUGAUAAAAAAUUCACUGAUCAAAUUAGUUCAAAGUUUUUUUUUUUUUUCUAAAUCAUGUGAAUUCACGAGUUUUUUUUCUUUAAAAAAUAUUUUUGUGGAUAUUAGGAGAUACUGAAAAUUAUUUUACUAUGAAAUUUUAAUAAAACUGGACAAUAAGUGAUUUAUUUAAAGGGAUCACAAUUAAACAUUAGAUUUUUAAUUUUUUAAUUUUAAAACUUUUUGACAAUUGCGUAAUUAAUAAGGUACUAAUUUUGAGCGUUGUAGGAGUGCUAUAAACUUCACUACGCAUAAUCGACUCUUAAAUCCACCUUUUUCUCUAGAAUUAUAACAAAUUUACAAAAUGAUUUAAUGAUAUUUAAUUAUUGACCGGUAAAAAAAUUAUAUCAUAUAAAUUCCGAAUUAUUAAUUAUAUAUCUACAUAUUAUAACCAAUUCAUCUUUCAAAAUUAUUUCCUUAUAAUUAAAGCAAAAAUUAUAUUUAUAAAAUUCUAAAUAUAUUAUAAUUCUUGUAAAUAUAUAUAUUUAUAUAUAUAAGUUCAAAUUGUAAUAGAGUUAACAUUUAAUGUAUAAAAAAUGUCUUGAAAAUUAUUAUUUUUUUCAAUUCCAAAAGAACUAUUCCAUUUAUAGAACCAUAAAACUUUAAAAAUAUAAACUCUAUUAAAUAAAAAUAAUAAUAUAUUUAAACAAUAAAUAUUGACUUUAUUUUAAAUUGACAUUAUCUAAUUCUUUUUAAUAAAUAUAGCUAAGCUUUACAUUAAUAUACAUGAUUUAUUUGUUCGUGGUUGUUAUUAUUAUUAUUAUUAUUAUUAUUAUUAUUUCUAUGAUUUUUAUAUCAUACUUAUCGGACUACAAUCAUAACCAUGUCUAUUAUCAUUUGAUAAAAAAAAUUAAGUGUUGAGUAUAAUGACAAGGCACGUUACACUCUUAAGGGGAGAUCAAGGUUUGGACAAGGGAAGAAUAUCAUUUAAAUUUUGGAGACAACAUUCUUUAAAUGAGCAACCACAAACCCCGAUUAUGAACCAUAAAACGAGCAUGAAAAGUACCCAAAAAAACAAGUUUAUUAUCAAAAUAGUAAUCCAUCCAAGGAUUAAAUUAACAAAAUUCACCAUCCAACCGUGUAGACUAUUAUAUAUAUAUAUACCAUAUUUAUUCUUCAUGCAAAUGUUUAUUAUAUUUAAAAAUUAAAAUAUAUGAUUGAUUGAGUUUUAGUUGAGUUAAUAUUGAUAUUAUUGUCAGUGCAAAAGAAUAUGAGUUCAAUCAUGUUUAAAUACAUUUUAUACUCCAAUUUAGGAGUUGGAGAGGAUUCUCAGUAGUUAAAUUAUAUCAGUUUUUGUCUAUUUAAAAUUGAUUUAUAAAUAAUAUAAGUAGAAAAUUUUAUAAAAAUAUACAUACUCAUAUUGAUUGGCUUUUUCAUUAUUAGACAUUUUUCCCCAUAGGUAAAAGUAUUUAUCGAAUUCAAAUUUUGGGUUUUAAAUAAGGGUUUUCGGAUUUUUUUUUAACAUUUGUGAGAGUUUUUGCCAAAUUUUAUGUUUUCAAAAACGCAUAACUAAGUUGAUUUUUAAUUAGUUUUUCAAAUGAGUCAAUGUAAUUCCUUAAAAAUCUAGUGAUAGCGUCUAGCCUGGGUUUGGGGGUGUUACACUGACGUUACUAAAGUUAAUCUUAAUCUAUUUAGUCUAGAUCUGAACAUUAAUAUUCUCUUCCAAUAAAAAUAAAGAUCAUCAAAUUAUUACAAUUGUGAAGCCAGACAAUCAUAUUAAAUAAGCAUAAAACUUAAUAAAUAAUUAGCGAAGAUUGAAACAAUCAAAGAAAAAAUAAAUUAAUUAACUAAGAAAUAAGGAUCCAUUAUUGUUUCAAGAAAACAGAGUUUAGUUCAUAUUGAGUUGAGAAAACCAAAAAUUAGAUUCAAAACAAACUUGUGAUAAGGGGAACAAUGUCAACAGAUCAUAUUCAAGUUGUUCGACUCGAGAAAGCAAGAUUCGGAUUUGACCUGAAAAGAAGAAACCAAACAGAUUAGGAAAACAAGAAAAAAACAAAGAAAAAAAAAUAAAAUGAGAAAUUUAAGAAUAAAGAAUAAAUAUUAAAAAAUAAUAAAGAAAUAAAUAAAUUAUAGAAUAAAAAGUGGCAGAUGGAAUGAAUAAAUGAUGGAUAUGACAUAUAGAUGGAUAAGUGUCUGAUAACCCUUGAAAAAAAGUUAUAUUUUGUUAGGGAUCGACCCGAUUAAGCAACAAGUAACAAAAAAAGGGAAUAAAUUGAGAAAUUGAACACACAAAUUUAACGUGAAAAAAACCUUCCGAAGAGGAUAAAAAAACCACGGGAAAAGAUAAAUUUACUAUAAUGGCAAAAGAACGAAGAGUACAAAAGAUGGAGAUAAAACUAAACUCCAAAAACCCGAAAAUAAAGAACCCUCAAAACGUAAACACAAAAUUCUCUAAAUGUGUUAUGAGUUCUAAUCUCUAAUGUGUGUCAACUAAGGUUGUAAAAGAGCCUAUUUAUAGGCUAAAUUCAUAUGUCAAAUAAUAAUAAAAUAAUCUAAACUAAUCAGUGUUUGACUGAAAUAAAUAAACAAAGUUUAACUAAAAGAUUAUUUUUUAAAUUUGACUGAAAAUAGGAGUCAUACUUAACAAAUCUCCACCUUGACUCAUAUUUCUACAAUGCCAUCUUUGCCAAAGCCCGCUACGAGCCUAUCUUGAACUAUACAGGGAAUUAACUGAGUCGAAUCUGUGCUUAGAAACUGGAAGACUUCUAGCUUUCGACUUGUACACUGCCAAAUCAAAACUAACCCGAGUUUGAUUUUCACGAACACAGUGUCCUAACUUUUCAAAACCUGCAUCCAAAAGAGAACCUCUCUUCAAUGAAACGGUCAUACAUUUUUCCCUCCUAUGACCAAGUUGCCUCUGCUCCAAACGAGUUGACUUCGACUCUGUAACAGACGAGGGAUGUCCGAUUUCACCGGUCAUUGUAGAACCUUCCAGAAUAUAAAGACUGCCAUUUCUUUUACCUUUGAACAAAAUGAGAGCUCCACGAGAUACUUUAAUGCUGCUCGACUCGAUGUUGAUUCUGCAUCAUUUCAAGUCUAAAAUACUCAAGGAGAUGAGAUUCUUUCGUAAAUUAGGUACAUACCUGACAUCUGAGAGUGUCCUAAUCGUCCCAUCGUGUGUCCUAAUUUUAACAGUACCAACACCAAUUACCUUACUAGAUGAAUUGUUUCCCAUGCGCACAACUCCACCUUCAACCGAACUGUAUGUGGAGAACCAUUCUCUAUUGGGACACAUGUGGAAAGAACAUCCCAAAUCUAGGAUUCACUCGAACGUGAGCUUGGAGUUAUCACUCGUUGACACUAACAAGAAAUCAUCACCACUUUCAUCGAUCAAAUUAGCACUAGCUACAUCUUCCUCGUUACUCUCAGCAGCUCCUUUAUUUCGCAGUUUAUAACAAUUUGCUUUGACAUGACCUAACUUUUUACAAUAGUGACACCUUUUGUCUCGUUUCUUUGAUGCCAUCAAAAUGGAAGAUUGCCUAUCUGCCUUGCUAUCUAAAUGAAACUCAUUUUCGAGUUUGUCUCUACUCAACAAAUGACCCUUCACAUCUUCGAACGAGAGUUUGUCUCUGCCAUAGGGUCUCCUUGAAAGAUUUGUAUGAAGGGGGUAAAGAGCAUAAUAAUAGCAUAGCUUGAUCUUCAUCAUCAAUAUGAACCUCAAAGUUCUUUAAAUCAUUUAAAAGAAUAAUGAAUUGACUGAUGUGAUCUCUAAGAAGCUCACAUUCGUUCCUGCGAAACGUAAAUAGACGUUGUUUCAACAGUAAACGGUUAGCCAGAGACUUAGUCGCAUAAAGAGUUUCUAACCUUUUCCAUAAGGUGGAUGAGGUCUUCUCCAUCAAUACCUCCUGCAAUACCGUAUUCGCGAGGCACAACUGGAUUGCAGACAAGGCAUUUUCAUCAAGCUCUUCCCAUUCUGUUUUAUUUAGAUUCUCAGGCUUUUUUUGGUAACAACCUUUUUCAAACCGGAUUGAACUAGAAUUGCCAUCAUCCAAACUUGCCAUAGAUUGAAAUUGGUCUCACCAUCGAACUUCUCAAUUUCAAACCUUGUUGUUGCCAUAUCUGAAUGGGCUGAUUUAUGAAAAUUGAACUAGCUCUGAUACCACUUGUUAGGGAUCGACCCGAUUAAGCAACAAGUAACAAAAAAGGAAAUAAAUUGAGAAAUUGAACACACAAAUUUAACGUGAAAAAAACCCUCCGAAGAGGAUAAAAAAACCACAGGAAAAGAUAAAUUUACUAUAAUGGCAAAAGAACGAAGAGUACAAAAGAUGGAGAUAAAACUAAACUCCAAAAACCCGAAAAUAAAGAACCCUCAAAACGUAAACACAAAAUUCUCUAAAUGUGUUAUGAGUUCUAAUCUCUAAUGUGUGUCAACUAAGGUUGUAAAAGAGCCUAUUUAUAGGCUAAAUUCAUAUGUCAAAUAAUAAUAAAAUAAUCUAAACUAAUCAGUGUUUGACUGAAAUAAAUAAACAAAGUUUAACUAAAAGAUUAUUUUUUAAAUUUGACUGAAAAUAGGAGUCAUACUUAACAAAUCUCCACCUUGACUCAUAUUUCUACAAUGCCAUCUUUGCCAAAGCCCGCCACGAGCCUAUCUUGAACUAUGCAGGGAAUUAACUGAGUCGAAUCUGUGCUUAGAAACUGGAAGACUUCUAGCUUUCGACUUGUACAUUGCCAAAUCAAAACUAACCCGAGUCUGAUUUUCACGAACACAGUGUCCUAACUUUUCAAAUCCUACAUUGAAAAGAGAACCUCUCUUCAAUGAAACCGUCAUACAUUUUUCCCUCCUAUGACCAAGUUGCCUCUGCUCCAAACGAGUUGACUUCGACUCUGUAACAGACGAGGGAUGUCCGAUUUCACCGAUCAUUGUAGAACCUUCCAGAAUAUAAAGACUGCCAGUUCUUUUACCUUUGAACAAAACGAGAGCUCCACGAGAUACUUUAAUGCUGCUCGACUCGAUGUUGAUUCUGCAUCAUUUCAAGUCUAAAAUACUCAAGGAGAUGAGAUUCUUUCAUAAAUUAGGUACAUACCUGACAUCUGAGAGUGUCCUAAUCGUCCCAUCGUAUGUCCUAAUUUUAACAGUACCAACACCAAUUACCUUACUAGAUGAAUCAUUUCCCAUGCGCACAACUCCACCUUCAACCGAACUGUAUGUGGAGAACCAUUCUCUAUUGGGACACAUGUGGAAAGAACAUCCCAAAUCUAGGAUCCACUCGAACGUGAGCUUGGAGUUAUCACUCGUUGACACUAACAAGAAAUCAUCACCACUUUUAUCGAUCAAAUUAGCACUAGCUACAUCUUCCUCAUUACUCUCAGCAGCUCUUUUAUUUCGCAGUUUAUAACAAUCUGCUUUGACGUGACCUAACUUUUUACAAUAGUGACACAUCUCGUUUCUUUGAUGCCAUCAAAAUGGAAGAUUGCCUAUUUGCCUUACUAUUUAAAUGAAACUCAUUUUCGAGUUUGUCUCUACUCAACAAAUGACCCUUCACAUCUUCGAACGAGAGUUUGUCUCUGCCAUAAGGUCUCCUUAAAAGACUUGUAUGAAGGGGGUAAAGAGCAUAAUAAUAGCAUAGCUUGAUCUUCAUCAUCAAUAUGAACCUCAAAGUUCUUUAAAUCAUUUAAAAGAAUAAUGAAUUGACUGAUGUGAUCUCUAAGAAGCUCACCUUCGUUCCUGCGAAACGUAAAUAGACGUUGUUUCAACACUAAACGGUUAGCUAGAGACUUAGUCGCAUAAAGAGUUUCUAACCUUUUCCAUAAGGUGGAUGAGGUCUUCUCCAUCAAUACCUCCUGCAAUACCGUAUUCGCGAGGCACAACUGGAUUACAGAUAAGGCCUUUUCAUCAAGCUCUUCCCAUUCUGUUUUAUUUAGAUUCUCAGGCUUUUUUUGGUAACAACCUUUUUCAAACCGGAUUGAACUAGAAUUGCCAUCAUCCAAACUUGCCAUAGAUUGAAAUUGGUCUCACCAUCGAACUUCUCAAUUUCAAACCUUGUUGUUGCCAUAUCUAAAUGGGCUGAUUUAUGAAAAUUGAACUAGCUCUGAUACCACUUGUUAGGGAUCGACCCGAUUAAGCAACAAGUAACAAAAAAGUGAAAUAAUUUGAGAAAUUGAACACACAAAUUUAACGUGGAAAAACCCCUCCAAAGAGGAUAAAAAACCACGGGCAAAGAUAAGUUUACUAUAAUGGCAAAAGAACGAAGAGUACAAAAGAUGGAGAUAAAACUAAACUCGAAAAACCCAAAAACAAAGAACCCUCAAAACGUAAACACAAAUGGGUGUCAACUAAGGUUGUAAAAGAGCCUAUUUAUAGGCUAAAUUCAUAUGUCAAAUAAUAAUAAAAUAAUCUAAACUAAUCAGUGUUUGACUGAAAUAAAUAAACAGAGUUUAACUAAAAGAUUAUGUUUUAAAUUUGACUGAAAAUAGGAGUCAUACUUAACAUAUUUCAUGCCUUUAAACCUAACUAAUUGUUUGUACUUAAGUAUAUUUUUUUCUUUUUAAGACAUUGUAGCGAACAUUUUUAAUAUUGUAUUAGGACAUAGACUAUGUUGGAAUUAGGUGCUUUUAAUCUCUUGUGGUGGAGUUUUUGUGUGUUGGUAUGGCAGGAACAUGUUUUAAAACGAGGAAAUAAAUGAGUGAAGUUUUGUUAGGGAAAAAGUGCAAACAGUUUGCCAACACAGAUGUCGUGGCAAUGCCGGGAAGACCAAGUUCAUAUUUUUUGUGCAGCAAUCCCGGUUCAAACUCAAACUUGUAUGAGAUAAAUCCCCCUAAAAGAGGAGAAGAUAAUCACAUUGCUGUUAGCUGACCCUAGCCUAAUCUAUCUAUUAAAGCCAAUGAAAAGGAUCUCACAAAGGGUAGAAAAAAGUGAGAGAGAUCCUUAGGGAUGAAUAAGGGUUUGGCUGCGCAAAAGAACAGAAGUCGAAGGGAAUCAUUCUUAGCCAUCACAGAACGUUGUGCUGCCAAAGUGUGGACUAGGCAAGUGAAAGAUGUUUCCAAAAGUUCUUCUGUUAUUUCCAUUAGUGUUCCUUCCAAAGAUUGAAUUGAAGUAGUUGAACACAAUGUCGGAUAAUAUUUUGGUUUGAAAUUUUAUUUCCCAGCUUAUGAGCUAAAUCUCAUAAGGUUAGGAUUACUUUCGAUGAAACCUUAAAUUUUUUUAUAGAUGAAGUAUAUAUCUAAUUUACAUUAUUGUUUCAUUUGAUUGUUCUAAUUUCUUAAUUAAAAUGCAAAUGAUCUCUAGACAUAGAAGACUGUUCGCAUACUUAUAAAUUGAUUGUAAUUAUAAAAGGGUUGGAUUAAAAUUAAAUGAAAUGAGCAGGUAUUUGAUAGACACUUGUAGUCGACUCUAGACAUAGAGUCACGAUCAUACAGAAGAAGCCCAUGCAAGAUAUCGAAAAAGCCUUUAGACACCAGGCAAGGCAACUUGAGGUUUUUCUCUCACGAGAGGCAGACCAUUUUAGAACUCUUCUGUGUUGUAAAGUAGAUACAAUUUUGCCAAGACAAUAUUGACAAUGAGGGUUGAUUCUGGGUAAUCCCGACCUUCCAAAUCCACUUCGUAUAUCCUUUAAUCUUUUUCAUAAUAUCUUUGCCACAUAAUUAUUAGUUAUUUAUUUGUUCAUUUACAUAAUAUUCCCAUAGUAAUUCUCAUAAUUGCCAUUAUGUUUCUACUCUCGGUUGGCCAUAGCAUUACUAAUUAUUCAUUAAUUCCACAUAUUGAUUACAUCAUUAAUCUACUCAUUGUCAUUGCAUAUUUAUCAUUGACUUUGUCAUAGCAUUAAUUGCAUUUUAUUAUAAUAACUUGACCAAUUUUGUGCCUCAAUCCGAUUUUCGUGGGAACAAUACUCACUCAUCACUUUAUUACUUGAUUCAACGUGUAUACUUGCACAAAUCGCAUAUCAUUUCACAUGCGACAGUGUCCAAUUUAACCUUUUGAGAUAUAAACUCAAACAAACUCAAUUAAUGGCUUUAAUCAACCCACCAAGAAAUAAUAAUUGGCAAAUUGAAGGAUGAAGAAUGAAUUCCCAUGACUCCUUAAAGAAAAUUGAGAAGAAAACUGCUUCUAAAAAUUACAAGAAAUAAUCUUGCACAAAGAAACUUACCCUCAGAGUUGGAAAUUUUAGUAAUGAGCAAAAACAAUUGUGUCUCUAAUGAACAUGAAGGGGCCUUUACAUAGGAUAGAUAAGUACAUCCAAAUAAAAUUUUGAAGUAUAUUAAAACUUUAAUUAAUGUAAGAAAAAAAGUAAUUUUCAACUAAAAUAGUCAUAAUUUCUAUAAUAAUCCCGUCUAGAAAUUCUGCUCACAUAGCCAUCACUAAAAUAGUCAUAAAUUGAGCUCUUGAACUCGAAAUUGAAUGAAUAAAAGUGUGUUUGAAAGUUAAGUAAUAGAUCUUAGAACUCCAUCAAGACAUAUCAAUCAAAAAAUGUCUGGAUCCCAUCCAAAAAGUCAUUGCAAGUUAACUAAUUUUCCAAACUUGAAAAUUGACAGCUUCGGGGAAUGGAAUUUAAUAAAGUUCACCCCAUCUACUCAAGUAUAAACUUGCAGUGGUAAAAAGUAAAAAUAAAUAAUCUAUAGAGAAACUAGUUGAAGAAUUUAUGACAAUUUAUUUAGAUCUUUUUUUCUUCUAGCCUUUGCAAACUUGAAGUUUCCCUUGGUGUGAGAGAGUUGUUCCUUACCCUCUAAGUUAUUUUUUUUCUUUUCCUUUUUUUUUCUUUCUCUUCGAUCUUGUCACCUAAGGGUGUUCAAAUGAUUGAUUCAGUUAAUACCCGAACAAUGCUAUCAUUAACUGAAAUUUUGAAACCUUAAUCGUUAAUGAAACCAAUUUUUUGUUGAAACCUAUUAACCGGCCGGAUUGAUUUCGGUUAAUUCAGGCGGCUAGCCGGAAUUUAUACAUUAUUUUUUUCAAACAAUUUUAAAACAAAGAACAAUCCAUGACAACUUUUUCCUUGUUUUUUAUUCAAAAAUUAUUAAAAGAAUUUUAAAAAAUAACAUAAUAACAACACUAAAUUAAAAACAUAAUAGCAUUCAUUACAUUACAAAGCAUAAUUUCUUUUUUUUUUUACUUUUUGUUGACUUUUUAGUUUAAUUUUAGUUUUUUUUUUCAAAUAUUUUUAGUUUUCAUAUUUUUGUUAAGCUUAUUAUAAGAAAACUUAUAAAUCCAUUAGUUUUUAUAUAUUAGGUUUGUAUAAUGUAUUGGACCUAUCUCUAACAUAUUGGGCCUAUAAUAUAUUUUUAUUGAUUUCGGUUAAUCAAUUAAUUUGGUUAAUUAGUCGAUUUCAAACUAAACUAAUCGAUAAACAAAAUUUUCUAAAACAUUUAACCAACUCCCAACCAAAUUAGAUUCGUUGAUCGACUGCUUAAUCAAAUUAAUCAUAUGGUAGAAUGGCAUGUUUUUGGAAUGGCUAUUUGGCAUUAUUGGUAUAGGUUUAAGUUAUGAUCUAAAGAUGUUGAAUUGAAUUAAGUUUGAUAUGUAUACUAUGAUGUCUUCAUUGGCAUAUUGGUUAGAUAUUAAAGGAUGGUUGAUUUGGUAUGUUUUGAAAAUGGUUCUUGGUAUGUUUGAUCUAAGUUGAUUAAAUGAACUUGUAAUGUUGAAUGGUAUAAUAUUUGUUGUUACAUUAGUUAGUCUUAUAGGUUGAUGGAAUUGGUAUGUUUUAAAUGUGUUUAAAAUGUGUUUUGAUUAUUUAAAUGUUUGUGGAAAUGGUGUGUCUUGGUGUACAAGAUUUGAAAUUGAAAUGGCUUGAUUUAGAAAGCAACUUAUGCUGCACACCGCCUAGGACAUGGGUUGUCACAUGGCUGUGUGUCAUUAUUGUUUUAGGUACAGGUUUCACACAAUCUAAGACUUGGCUCACGACAUGGCUACGUAUCAUAAGUCAAUAUGUAACACGGUUUGGUACAUGGCCUGUAACACGACCGUGUGUCCAAACUUCAAAUGUUUACACGUCCUGGGCUAUGUCACACGACUUGGCCACAUGGCCGUGUGACCCUUGUUUUAAAGUUUUCUGAAAUUUUCUAUUUUAUUUCAAAUUGAUCCUAGAAUAUUCUCAAACUAUUUUUAGGGCCUCGUAGGUUCAAAUUAAGGCCCACAAAUGUAUGCUUGCUAUAAUUAAGUUGUGCUAAUUAAUGUUAUUAAUUAAAUGGCAUGAAUAUUUUAUUGUAAGUUAAAUUUUUUAAUUUGUCCUAUAAUGCUCCGUAACCCAAAUCAAGUGACGGAGAUAGGUUUGGGUGUUACAAUUUUGGACUGUAAAUUUGUUUUGAGGCUUUGUUCUUUGGUUCUUGCAAUGUUUGUUGGAUUUUAGUGUUUUAACAUUAAACUGCAAAAUUGUAUGAUUUAACAAACUAAAAAUUAGGUUUUCAAAAUUAAAACUCUAGAAAUUUUCAUUACAAAGAUUAAGUAAUCACUUAAGUGUUUUCCCAUAAAUAAUUAAAUGGUUUUUAACAAAUGUUUUCCUUAGUUUUGGGAAUGAUAUGCCAACAUUAGUACUUUUAAAACACAUGGUUUUAAAUAAGGGUUUUCAAACUUUGGUUUUUUAACAUUUGUGAGAGGUUUUUGCCAAAUUUUAUGUUUUCAGAAUGUGUAACUAAGUUGAUUUUAAUUAGUUUUUCAACGAGUUUAUGUAAUUCCUCAAAAAUCCAGUCAUAGCAUCUAGGCCGGGUUUGGGGUGUUACACUAACAUUACUAAAGUUAAUCUUAAUCUAUUUAGUCUAGAUCUAAACAUUAAUAUUCUCUUCAAAGAAAAUCAAGAUUAUCAAAUUAUUACAACUUGGUAGGCAGACAAUCUUAUUAAAUAUGCAUAAAAGUUAAUAAAUAGUUAGCGAAGAUUGAAACAAUCAAAGAAAAAAUAAAUUAAUUAACUAAGAAAUAGGAUCCAUUAUUGUUCCAAGAAAAUAGAGUUUAGUUCAUAUUGAUUGAGAAAAUCAAAAGGGAGAUUCAAAAAACACUUGUGAUAAGGGGAACAAUGUCAAUAGAUCAUAUUCAAGUUGUUCGACUCAAGAAAGAAAUAUUUGGAUCUAGCCUGAAAAGAAGAAACCAAACAGAUUUAGGAAAAAAAGAAAAAAAAGAAAAAAACUUAAAUAAUAAAUUUAAGAAUAAAUAAUAAAUAUUAAAAAUAAUAAAGAAAUAAAGAAAUUAUAGAAUAAAUAGUGGAAGAUGGAAUGAAUAAACGAUGGAUAUGACAUAUAGAUGGAUAAGUGUCUGAUAAUUCUUGAAAAGAGUUAUAUUUCAUGCCUUUAGACCUAACUAAUUGCUUGUACUUAAGUACAUUUUGUUGCAUUUUAAGAUAUUUUAGUUAGUAUUUGUAAUAUUGCAUUAGGAUUUAGAUUGUGUUGGAAUUAGGUGUUUUUAAUCACUUGUGGUGGAGUUUUUGGUGUGCUGGUAUGGCAGGAACAUUAUUUAGAACGAGGAAAUAAAUGAGUGAAGUUUUGCCAAUGCAAAAGUGCAGAUAGUUUGCCAGCACAGAUGCCGUGGAAAUGCCGAGAAGACCAAGUCAACAUUUUUUUGUGCAACAGUCCCAGUUCAAAUUCAAACUUGUACCAAAUAAAUCUCCCUAAAAGAGGAGAAGAUAAUCACAACUUGUUAGCCAACCCUAGCCUAAUCUAUCUAUAAAAGCCAAUGAAGGGGAUCUCACAAAUGGCAGAAAAAAGUGGGAGAGAUCCUUAGGUGUGAAUAAUGAUUCAGCUGUGCAAAGGAAAGGAAGUCAAAGGCAGUCCCUUUUAGCCAUCACAGGACGUUGUGCUGCCGAUGUGUGGACUAGGCAAGUGAAAGUUGUAUCCCAAAGUUCUUUCGUUAUUUCCAUUAGUGUUCCUUCAAAAUAUUGAAGUAGUUGAACACAACGUUGGAUAAUAUUUUGGUUUGGAAUUUUAUAUCCCAGCUCAUGAGCUAAAUCUCGUAGGGUUGAGAUUACUUUUGAAGAAACCUUAAACUGCUUUUAUGAAUGCAAAUGAUCUCUGGACAUAGAAGACUGUUCGUAUACUUAUAAACUGAUUCUAAUUCUAAAACGGUUGGAUUGGUUGGAUUAAAAUUAAAUGAAAUGAGCAAGCAUUCGAUAGACACUUGUAGUAGACUCUAGACAUAGAGUCACGCUCAUACAAAAGGAACCCAUGCAAGAUAUCUAAAAAGCCUUUAGACACAGGCAAGGUAACUUGAGGUGUUGCUCUCACGAGAGGCAGGCCAUUUUAGUACUCUUCUGUGCUUUAAAGUAGAUAUGAUUUUGCCAAGGCAUUAUUGAAAAUAAGGGUCGAUUUUGGGUAAUCUCGACCUUCCAAAUCCACAUCGUAUAUCUUUUAUUCUUUCCCAUAGUAUAUUUGCCACAUCAUUAUUAGUUAUUUAUUUGCUCAUUUACAUAAUAUUCCUAUAGUAAUUCUCAUAAUUGUCAUUACAUUUCUACUCUCGAUUUGGCACAACAUUACCAGUUAUUUAUUAAUUCCACGCAUUGCUUACAUCAUUACUCUACUAAUUACCACUGUAUAUUUACCAUUGACUUUCCCAUAGUAUUAAUCGUAUUUUAUUAUAAUAACUUGACCAAUUUUGUGCCUCAAUUCGAUCCUCAUGGAACGAUACUCACUCAUCACUUUAUUUGUAACAUCCCAAACUUGGAUUAGAAGUUAUGACUGAAUCCGGCGAUAUCACAUGGAAAGGGAUUUGAAGACAAGAUUGUCGAGUUUAAAAACCAUUAUAGAAAGUUAGCUUUUAUUUAAUUCGGGAAAAAAACUAGUUGAUUUUCUUUAAAACUUGUCUCUUAGCAGAAGCUUUUGUAACCAAUUAAUUUACGAAAAAUCGUUUCUAUUUACAAAAAACUUUAGUAGGAAAAACUAUGUUUUGUGGAGUUGCAGUUUUUAAAAGAAACCCAUAAAAAAAGUAUAAAGUCCCAAAUUUAAAACCAACCAGUCCAUAGUCUAGAAGAUACAUCAAAAACUCCAAANNNNNNNNNNNNNNNNNNNNNNNNNNNNNNNNNNNNNNNNNNNNNNNNNNNNNNNNNNNNNNNNNNNNNNNNNNNNNNNNNNNNNNNNNNNNNNNNNNNNNNNNNNNNNNNNNNNNNNNNNNNNNNNNNNNNNNNNNNNNNNNNNNNNNNNNNNNNNNNNNNNNNNNNNNNNNNNNNNNNNNNNNNNNNNNNNNNNNNNNNNNNNNNNNNNNNNNNNNNNNNNNNNNNNNNNNNNNNNNNNNNNNNNNNNNNNNNNNNNNNNNNNNNNNNNNNNNNNNNNNNNNNNNNNNNNNNNNNNNNNNNNNNNNNNNNNNNNNNNNNNNNNNNNNNNNNNNNNNNNNNNNNNNNNNNNNNNNNNNNNNNNNNNNNNNNNNNNNNNNNNNNNNNNNNNNNNNNNNNNNNNNNNNNNNNNNNNNNNNNNNNNNNNNNNNNNNNNNNNNNNNNNNNNNNNNNNNNNNNNNNNNNNNNNNNNNNNNNNNNNNNNNNNNNNNNNNNNNNNNAGUUCUACACUUACGCCCAUAUAAUGCUUCAUACGGUGCCAUUCGUAUACUUGACUGAUAGCUAUUGUUAUAAGCAAAUUCAACCAAUGGUAGAUAUUUCUCCCAACUGCCUUUCAAUUCUAAAAUACAACACCGGAGCAUAUCUUCAAGAAUUUGAAUCACUCUUUCCGAUUGCCCGUCAGUUUGCGGAUGAAACGCAGUACUGAAAUUCAAUUUUGUACCCAAGGCUUCCUGCAACUUUAUCCAAAACCUCGAAGUAAAUCUCAGAUCUCUAUCCGAUAUAAUAGAUUUAGGCACCCCAUGUAAUCUCACUAUUUCAGCAACAUAUAAUUCUGCCAACCUGUCAAGUGAGUAAUCAAUGCGUAUCGGAAUAAAAUGAGCCGACUUUGUCAAUCUAUCAACAAUUACCCAAAUAGCAUCUUUCUUCUUUGGAGUUAAAGGCAAUCCUGUCACAAAAUCCAUCGUAAUACUAUCCCACUUCCACUCUGGAAUCGUUAUCGGUUGAAGUAAACCCGAUGGUACUUGAUGCUCAGCCUUCACUUGUUGACAGAUUAAACACUUUGAUACAAAUUCCGAGAUAUCCUUUUUCAUGCCUGGCCACCAAUACAACUUCUUCAAAUCAUUAUACAUUUUCACACUACCCGGAUGAACUGACAAGUCACCACUAUGUGCCUCACAUAAAAUGGUCUGAAUUAACUCAUCAUUUCUUGGUACACAUACUCUAUCCCGGAACAUCAAGCAAUCAUCUGAACCAAUUUGAAAAUCUGAGUCAACACCUGCUUCACACUGAGCUCUCUUGGCUUGCAAUUUACUGUCAUUCUUUUGAGAUUCCCGAAUUUACUGAAGAAAUAAUGGUCUAGCUCUCAAUUCAACCAACAUUGAGCCAUCAUCAGAUAAAGUUAACAUCGUACCCAUAGCUCUCAAAGCAAAUAAAGAUUUUCUGCUCAAGGCAUCAGCAACCACAUUAGCUUUCCCGGGGUGAUAAUCAAUCACUAGCUCAUAGUCUUUGAUUAGCUCGAGCCAUCUUCGUUGCCGCAAAUUCAAAUCUUUUUGGCUCAUCAAAUACUUCAAACUCUUAUGAUCAGUGAAGAUUCGGCACUUUUCACCAUACAAAUAAUGACGCCAAAUUUUUAAAGCAAAAACAAUGGCAGCCAAUUCUAAAUCAUGCGUCGGAUAAUUCUUCUCAUGCGGUUUCAAUUGUCUCGAAGCAUAAGCUAUUACUUUGCCCUCUUGCAUUAACACACACCCAAGACCAUUCAACGAUGCAUCACUGUAAAUUACAAACUCCUUCCCGGACUCAGGUUGCACCAACACUGGCGCCUCAGUCAAUAAUGCCUUCAACUUUUCAAAACUCUGUUGACAUUUAUUGGUCCAUUCAAACUUGACAUUCUUCUGCAGUAACUUAGUCAUAGGAGAAGCAAUCAUCGAAAAUCCCUUGACAAAGCGUCUGUAAUACCCAGCUAAGCCCAGAAAGCUUCUAACUUCUGUCACAUUCUUUGGUGGCUCCCAAUCAACAAUUGCUGAAAUUUUGCUUGGAUCAACCCGAAUACCUUCACUUGAAACUAUAUGUCCCAAGAAUCCAACCUCACGAAGCCAAAACUCACUUUUGCUGAAUUUAGCAUACAAUUUCUUUUCUCUCAGAAUCUGCAACACAGUUCUUAAAUGUUCUGCAUGCUCAGAUUCAUCCCGAGAAUAGAUUAAAAUAUCAUCUAUGAACACCACCACGAACUUAUCCAAGUACGGCCGAAAAAUUUGGUUCAUCAAGUCCAUAAAAAUAGCUGGAGCAUUUGUUAACCCAAAAGGCAUUACCAGAAAUUCAUAGUGUCCAUACCUUGUUCUAAAGGCGGUUUUCGGCACAUCAGACUCUUUAACUCUUAACUGAUAGUAACCAGACCUCAAAUCAAUCUUAGAAAACACUGUUGCCCCUUUUAAUUGAUCAAAUAAAUCAUCAAUUCUCGGCAAAGGAUACUUGUUCUUUAUAGUCACCUUGUUGAGCUGACGAUAGUCAAUACAAAGUCUCAUAGAGCCGUCCUUUUUUUUCACAAAUAACACAGGAGCACCCCAAGGAGAAAAACUCGGUCUCACAAAUCCUUUAUCUGUCAACUCUUGUAACUGAGCUUUUAAUUCCUUCAACUCAGUCGGAGCCAUUUGAUACAGUGCAAUAGAAAUCGGUGCAGUACCAGGUAACAGAUCAAUAGAAAACUCAACUUCUCUAAUCGGAGGUAACCCAGGCAAUUCCUCUGGAAAUACAUCUGGAAAUUCACAAACUACCGGCACUGAUUCAAGCUUCGACCCAGUAAUAUCCGUGUUUAGCACAUAAGCAAGAUAAACUUCACAUCCCUUUCUCAAGUAUUUCUGAGCAGACAUGUGCGAAAUCACCAUAGGCAACUUAUUCGGCUCCUUUGUUUCAACCCGGAGAAUUUCACCGUUUUCACAAUUUAAUUCAAGAAUUUUCUGUCUACAAUUUCCCUUGGCAUCAUGCAAUAUCAACCAAUCCAUCCCCAAAAUAACAUCAAACUCAUCAAAUGGUAACAACAUCAAAUUAGCCGGGAAACAGUGGCCUUGAAUCAUCAGGGGACAAUUCUUGCAAACCUUAUCGACUAAGACAUAUUUGCCUAAAGGAUUUGAUACUUUAACUACAAAUUCAGUUUUUUCAACAGGCAAUUUCUUACUAGACACCAAAUUCAUGCAUAUAUAUGAAUGAGUAGAGCCGGGAUCAAUCAAAGCAAUAACAUCAAUAUCAUGAAGAGAAAAUGUACCAGUAAUCACAUCGGGAGAUGAGGCAUCCUCUCGAGCGCGUAUAGCAUAAGUCCUAGCAGGCGCUCUAGUUUCUGAUCCUCCAGCUGUAUCUUUUAUCACACUCUUACCACUGGCUUUGCUUCCCACAUUUCUCGGUGGUCUGCCUCUACUGACAACAUCACCCGAUCCAGCUCUUUGUAAUCUUUCUUCUUCUAUUCUCUCAGGGCAGUCUUUUACAUAAUGCUCUUGGGAACCACAUCUGAAACAAGCUCGUUUAAAUCCCCAACACUCACCAGUAUGUCGCCUGCCACACUGUUGACAUUCAGGUCUGGUGUUUCCUACAUUACCCACACUUGCCACUGAGGUAGCUCGAGUUGUAGUUCCGGAAUAUGACCUCCCUCGGUCUCUGCGUGAAUACCCAACUGAACCGGUUGGUCGUGGAUCCAUCCCUUUAAACUUCUUCGGGUGAGAUUGAAAUGUUCUGCCCAUUGACCUCUUCCUUACAUCUCGAGCUUCCAUCUCUGCCCUUCUCUUUUCUCUACUCAGCUCUUCAGCUUUGCAAGCACGAUCAACUAAUACCACAAAUUCUUUUAACUCUAAAAUUCCAACAUGUAAUCUGAUGUCUUCAUUUAGCCCCUCUUCAAAUCUUUUACACAUAAUAGCCUCCGUAGGCACACAUUCCUGGGCAUAUUUACUAAGCCGGACAAACUCCCGUUCAUAUUCUGCUACUGACAUUCGGCCCUGUUUCAAUCCGAGAAACUCUUUGCGCUUCUGAUCAAUAAACCGUUGGCUUACAUAUUUCUUUCUGAAUUCUUCCUGAAAGAAGUCCCAAGUAACUCUUUCUUUUGGAACCACCGUUAUUAAUGUUUUCCACCAACGGUAUGCCGAAUCCUUCAAUAAAGACACAGCACAUUUCAAACAUUCCUCAGGAGUACAAGAUAAUUCAUCAAAUACCUGGAUAGUAUUUUCAAGCCAAAACUCGGCUUUUUCCGGAUCAUCAUCAACAUUGGCCCUGAAAUCUUCAACCCCAUGCUUUCGAAUUCUAUCAACGGGUGGUUUACUUGAUCUCACCAAUUCAGCACUUCGUGGAGCUACGGGGACCGGCGGAGGAAUAGGAGGGGGUGGAGGAGGUGGAACAUUCGGAUUUACACGGACAUAUUCUGUAUACCAAUCACUCAUCAUUCGGAGGAAGGCUUCUCGAGCCUCAUCCUGUCCAUGUGUCUCAUGUCUACUCUCUUCAUGCGCGGUCCCUUGUGUGGGAACCGGCGUGUUACUUUCAACAUCAUCUGCCAUACUUCGAUUAGGAUCCAUUUACUAUAUAAAACAAAAUUUUAAAUUGUCAGAAAUCAUCACACUAUCACAAUAUAUUGAUGGCAUGUAUAGACUGACUUUCACACAUAUUUUAUUGGUCCGAGAACUGACUAAACCGUAGCUCUGAUACCACUAAAAUGUAACACCCCUUACUCGUAUUCCGGCUCGGAACAGAGUAUGAGGUAUUACUAAGUUUUUUAAAAAAAAUUUCGACAGCAUUUCUUCUUAAUUUUGCUUAAACCUCCUGCAAAUUUAAAUCACAAUCCAAUAUAUAUAUAUCAACCAAACUCAUUUAUAAUAAUACUCACAAUUUAACUAUUAAUGAACACCACAUUUUAAAUCAAACCAUAACAUAUAUUUACAUGAUGAUUCCAUAUUUCAUAGGUCGUCUAUACAUGCCAUAAUUUUCCGGAACGAUAGUAGCAAAAUACCCCAAGUGUGAAGGAUAGUGUGGAUGAUUGUCUGACUUCGUUCCAAAUUUCCGAGUUGUCGGAAGUCACUAUAAUCAAGGGAAAAAUAAAAUCGAGUAAGCAUAUAGCUUAGUAAGUAAACACAUGAUAAAUAAGUAAUUACUCACAUAACUACACCAAAAUAUAAACUUAUUCAUGAAUAACUUCAUUGUUUAGGCAAUUUCCAGCAAACUGUUUUUCUGCGUCAUAUUCGCUAAUUUAUUUUUAUCCGGAGCUACAGGGCUCCAAAUUGAGUUUCGUAAAUUUUCCCUGAAACUAGACUCAUAUACCAUUUCACCAUAAAAAUUUCAGAAUUUUUUACCCAGCCAAUUAGUACAUUUUAUUCAUUAAAACUUCCCCUGUUUCACUGCCCAACGGUUCUGACCCUUCCUCAAAAAAAUUCACUUAACUCUCUGUACAAAAUUUUAAAAAUGGUUUCGCUUGUUUCUAUUAAAAAUAGAGUCAAUAAGGAAUCCAGGAAUAUAAAUUUCACACCAUAAUUAUUUUUGUACAAUUUUUGGUGAUUUUCCAAAGUUAGAACAGGGGAUCCCGAAAUCAAUCCAGCCCUGUUUCAGUAAAAUUCAGAUAUCUCCAAAAAUACAACUCUUUUGCUUAUUCUAUUUAUUUCAUAUGAAAAUAGACACAUUCAGCUUCAAUUUCAUAUAUUAUUCAGCUUCCCAUUCAUUUUCCACCAUUUAUGGUGAUUUUUCAAAGUUACCCAUCUGCUGUUGUUCAACACAGUUUAUAACUAAAUCGUUCCUUUUUUCGUUUUUGAUAUUUUCUCCCAUCUCAUACAUGGAUCGAUUUAGUAUCCAACUCAAUAUUUGCCCCAUAAAAAUUUCCACCAUAUGGCAAUAUUCACCUUCCACACUUUUUCGUUGAGCACUCGGAAUGUUAACCGUUAUUGGUGGAUCUCGCACUUAGCACCACCACUUAAUCGGGGAAUCAGCACUUAGCAACCCCUUGGGGGAAUCAGCACAUAGCAACCCCCUUUUUAUUUCAGAGAUACGGUGGAUAUCGCACUUAGCACCACCAAUGAACCGGGGAAUCAGCACUUAGCAACCCCUCGGGGGAAUCAGCACAUAGCAACCCCCUUUCACAUUUCAAAGAUACGGUGGAUAUCGCACAUAGCACCACCAAUGAAUCGGGGAAUCAGCACACAGCAACCCCUUUAUGUACAACAUACUUCGGCUUAUUCCGAGUGUUCAACCCAUAAAUCAUAUAUUGCAACCCUUUACCACAUUUCCCGAUUUAACAACAUUUUUAGGAUAUGGCCAAACAUUUAUUUUAAUUCCAAAUAAAUCUCAACAUAUAUCAAUUAAUGUCAAAAUAAUACAUCAAGUCACGUGUUUACUUACCUCGGUGCAAAAUAUCGUAAUUUUGCACUUCACUUCACUCCACUAUCUUUUCUUUUCCUCGUUUGAGAUAAUCUUCACGUCUUUCUUGAUCUAUAAUAGCAAAUUUAACUCAUUUAAUGUUCACAUUCAUUAAAAUAAUCCACCACCCAACUUUUUGAAAAAUUACAAUUUUGCCCCCAAACUUUUGCAUAAUUACACUUUUGUCCCCAAGCUCGGAAAUUAAACUUCAUCACUUAUUCUUAGGUUUUAUGACAUGCUGAACAUUUUUCCCUUCUAUGGCAACAUCAAAUUCUCACUCUAACAUACACUUAUGAACAAUAAUUAUUUUUACCGAUUAUGCCUAUUUACCCGUUUUCGCUUAAAAUCGCUUAGCAAAAGUUGUUUAACAUAAUUUAUAGCUUCAUAUUCCACCAUAAAACAGAAAAAUAAACACAUUUCACCUAUGGGUAUUUUUCCAAAUAUGAGCCCUAACACGAAUUAUUGCUAGAAUAAGCUAAAUCGAGUUACGAGGAUUCCAAAAAUGCGAAGAACAUUAAAAACAGGGCUAGGAUGCACUUACUAUGAGCUUGAGAAAGCAAAGAAAACUUAGCUAUGGCUUCCUUCAAAUUUCGGCAGCAACUAAUGAGGAAGAUGAUGAUUUUUGUCAUCUUUUUCCCAUUUUAUUUUAUUUUAUUACCAAAUGACUAAUAUGCCCCAUUUAAAAAAAUCUAUUUCUCUCAUUUCUUAUGUCUAUUUUUGUCCAUCAACUAACUAAUGGUCUAAUUACCACAUAAAGACCUCUAAUUUAAAAUUUCAUAUCAAUUAGAUACUUCUACAUAUAGAACUCAACUUUUACACUAUUUACAAUUUAGUCCUUUUGACUAAAUUGAGUGCCCAAACGUCGAAAUUUUCGAACGAAAUUUUUACGAAAAUUUUCCGUGAAAUUGUAGACCAUAAAAAUAUAAUAAUAAUCAUAUUUUCCCUCGUCGGAUUUGUGGUCCCGAAACCACUAUUCCGACUAGGCCCAAAAUCGGCCUGUUACAUAUAGGCUAUUAAAAUGGUGAAAUUAUAUUUUUACAAUAGUAAAAAUUACAAUUUAAUUUCACCCCUAAAAGGAUUUUUUGGCUUCGACCCUAAUAAAAUCUUUGGCAAAAGAUUAAAAUAAAAUUAUACCGUGAAUGGAAAAAGAAACUAAGAAAAUCCAAUCUAACAAAGAAAAUAACUUUGUUUAGCAACCUUUGUUUGAUUAAAAAUGUUGAAUUAAAAAUUCCAGAAUAGAUUAAAAAUUAUACCGUGAAUGGCAAAAGAUUACAAUUUUUUUGGUAAUAUUUUAAAAUUCCAGAAUAGAUUAAAAAUGUUGAAUUAAAGAUAAAAUUAAUAACCACAAGUGUACUCAUUACUCACCAUCUCUGUUAAAAAUGAUCGAUGUUGUUUAGCAACCUUUGUUUGAUUUUCUUCAGCUCAACCACAACAUCUUUCAUAUCUUUUCUUUCUUCCGGUAACUCAGCUGAACAAUUCAAAGCCAACUCCAUGAUAGAUGAAAUACAAUUUGCUUUAACAACAAUGUACUCAUCCUCUCUUCUUAAUAAAUCAACAUCUGCAAUUUCUAUCGCUCCUUUCGGCAAUGAACUUUCCAUCCAAUGCCUUAUACUCUCUUCUUCAACAAAAACAUUACCAGUUGGCUUUUUCUUUGUGAAAGUUUCUAUAAGGACGAUCCCAUAACUAUAGACGUCAGAUUUUAUAGAAACGAUUCCUGCUGAUCCAAAUUCUGCAUUUCAAGUAUAAUUACAACAUCAUUCAUCCUCAAUUAUUUCUAAAAUGCUUAUUCAAAUAUAUAUUCACAUCCACAUGAAACAAAAAUAUAAAAUGCAAAUUAGGAAAAUAAUCAUACAAAAAUAAAAAAUAAUUCACCUGGUGCCAUAUACCCGAUAGUUGCAAGAGUCAUGGUUUGCUUCAUUACUUCACCUUCUCCCAACAAUUUGGCAACGCCAAAAUCUCCAACAUGUGCAACCAUGUCUUCAUCUAGUAAAAUAUUGCUUGGUUUUAUGUCACAAUGAAUAUAGGUGUUGGAUGUCCAUUGUGGAGGUGUUCUAUGCCUACCGCAACAUUUAUCAUUAUGUCGACCCUUUGUAUGAUAUCAAGGAAACAAUUUUCAGAAUGUAACCAUUUCUCAAGGUUUCCAUUAGACAUGUAAUCAAGCACCAAGGCUUUGAAGUCAAGACUUGAGCAGCAAGUAAUGACCUUCACAAUAUUACGAUGAACUAUAUUACGCAUAGCAUCACAUUCAAUGUCAAAACUCCUAAAUGCUCCCUCUGUUUGCAAAUUGAAAACUUUUAUUGCAACUUCCAUUCCAUCUGAAAGCCUCCCUUUAUAUACAUAUCCAAAACUCCCUGAACCAAGCAUAUUGCUUUCCUCAAAUCCAUUAGUUGCUCGUGAAAGUUCAGCAUGUGAAAUUCUUCUCGGUGUCUUCAAAGACAACAAAUCAUCUUUAAUUGGUAGAGCUGUACUCCUUCUUUGGCAUCUUCUAUACAUAAUAGUUAAGACUAUUAAUACUACGACAAUACCAAUUGUUGGUAAACCAUACCUAAAAGCAUGCAAUAUAAUCAUUUGGGAGUUUUUGUGGAUGUCGUUUUUACAAGGUGGGACUAGCAGUCUAGGUGGACCACAAAGUGCAUAAUUCUUUAUGAAUGAUGUGCUAGAAAAGUUUGAAAAACAUCCUUCGCUGGGAAUUUCCCCUUCAAGUCUAUUGAAAGACACAUUAAAAUACUUUAGAUAUAAAAGCUUCUCCAAAGAUUUGGGAAUGACUCCAGAGAGAUUGUUAUUGCAUAAAUCCAAGAAUUCCAAACUAAUCAACCCAUCAAAUGAUUCAGGGAUAUGACCAUGUAGUAUAUUAUUUGAUAAAUCUAAUGAAACCAAAGUUAUAAGACCCCCAAAUGUGGAUAAGAUAUCCCCCGUGAGAAGAUUCCUUGAUAAAUUUAGUUUCAGUAGACUCCUCAAAUUUCCGACAUCAAUAGCAUGUGAAUUGUGAAGAUGGUUUGAUGAUAAAUCUAUUUUUAAGAUAUCUUGAAGAUUCCACAAAGUUGAGGGUAUUGCGGAACUCAGUUUGUUGGAAUCUAAGUAAAGAUAUCCCAAAGAAGUAAUAUUACCCAAACAAGAGGGUAUGGAUCCAUGUAGCUUAUUCAACCCUAAAUACAUCUCGUAUAGUCUCUCCAAAUCACAAAAACUUUCUGAGAUGGGCCCUCCUAAUUUAUUAGAGGAAAGAUCUAGACCUUGGAGAUUUCGCAGUCCUCCUAUUGAUGCUGGAAUGAAUCCACUUAAUUUAUUAUGGCGAAGUUGUAAAAGCAAUAGGUUGGUUAAGUUACCUAUUUCCAUAGGAAUAAUGCCUUGAAGCUCACAAUUAGAGGCAUAAAAGUAUUGAAGGGUUUUUGAAAGGUUCCCGAUAUAAGUAGGAAGAACACCACUCAAUGGAUUUCCUGAAACAUCUAUUGUGCUCAAAUUCCUACAAUUCGUCAAAGAAGAAAGAAAGCUCCACUCAUGAUCGGUAGAAGAUCCUGUGAUCAAAUUAUUGUUUUUGAUUCGGAACCAUUCAAGGUGUCUUAAGUUGCCAAGCGUUUUAGGGAUUGGGCCAGAGAAUAAGUUAUGCGCCAAGUCUAGUUCCUUAAGCAUGGAAGCAUUGGAGAUAGAGUUGGGAAUGUUUCCGCUAAGUUUAUUUCUCCACAAUAAAAGAAUCUCAGGCUUUGGAGCAUUGGUGAUGGGUGGUAAAUUACCUGUAAAAUAUCAUCUUUUAGUAUACAUAUUCAUUGAAUACCAAAUUCACAAAAUAUAUUAUACAUUAAAAUAAAAACUGUAAAACUUUAAAUCAAUUAAGAAUAAAAUUUUGGCAUGGAAAAAUGUGAUGAAAUCAAUUACAAAGUUGAGACAUACUAAGAAGUUUCAAGUAGUAAUUAGUCUUGUGAUUUGUAUAGACAAAACAUAUAGAUUUGGGAAUGUGGCAUCUAAUCAAUCUUAAAAAUGAGACUGGCACUGAAUAAUAAUUAGUUAUGAUUUGGGAAACAAAAAGGUUAAAGCCAUUGUUUUUAAUGUAAACUGAUAUGAUUUUUAUUUAUUGGGUUAAUUAUUUAUUGUUAUUAAAUUAUAGUGUAAAAUUUAACGAUUAUUAUUUGCUCAAAAUUUCUGUAUUUUUCGUAUAUUUGAAAUUUAAUCUUUAUAUUUUUUAUUUUUUGUGAUUUAGUCUCUCUACUUUUUGAAUUGAAAAUUUUAGGUUCAUUUACUAACACUAUUAAAAAGUUUUUGUGUCUAGUAUGGCAUUUUGAAAAAUAAAAUAAACUUGAUAUCUAUGUUUUUAAUUAUUCCAAAUAUUGCUUUACUAUUUCAAGAUAAAUUAUUUGUGUCUAGACUAAUAUCUUAAGAACUAUUGUUGCAUGUUUAAUUAUCUAAAAAAUUAUCGAUUGAGUCUUAGCUUGAUUGGCAUGUGCGUUGUUGCCAAUGUAGGAGAAUGUGGGUUCAAGUAUGUUGAAGUGUAUUAUCUUCUUAUUUAUGAAUUAGGGAGUUGGUAAAGUACUAAAAUUUGAUAUAUUUUAAAAUAUUAAAAUUUAUUAAAAUAUUUUUUAUAAAAAAUGAUUCUACCACAAUAUACAAUUUUAAUAUCAAAUUUUUAAUUUUUUUUAAAAAUGUUAGCGAAUAUAUACUUUAUUUCAAGUUAUGCAAUUUUUACUAGUUUUUAACUUUUUUUCAAAUUUUUAUCGUCUUUUAUAAUUUCUAAUAAUUUUUUAUAAUUUUUUUACAAUAUUUAACAAUUUCUAAAUUUUUUUUAAUAAUUUUAUUAUGUAUUACAAAUUUAAAAAUUAACAAAUUUUUAUAUUUUUAAAAAAAUUAUAUAUUUAUAAUGUAUUUAUUUUUUAUAAUUUUAUUUGAAAUUUUAAAGAUUUUUUUGGUUUGUUUUCUAGAUGAUGAUGCCAUCAUGAUGCUAACAUAUUAUGAUUAGAUAUCUCAAUCUAUUCUUUUAACGCCCAGUGAAUGAAACCAAGAACACCUAAUGUUAAAGUGGGUAAAAACACAUUAAGGACCAAAGUUAAAAAAAGAAAAAGAAAAAGAGCAAUAUGCUGUAGGGAAUAAACUGUGCAUUAAGCCAUUAAAAAUAUAUGUAUAAUAUAUAUAAAUGCAUGGAUUUUGAGAAACUUUUGAACUGAUAAUUAUAUAGUCUUUGUUGUUUACUAUAUUAUUGAAUUUGUUAUUUUAAAUUAAUUUUAUUACUUUUAAGAUUUAUAUAAGAAUUUUGGUUUUACUAAAAUAUUUGCUUAAAUAAGUUCACUUCAUAAGAAAAUUUAGCAUCCUUAUAAAUAACAAUUUUGAUUCUAUUAAAAAACUUAUUUUAAAAAAUUAUAUAAUCAAAAUUUAAAAUUUAUAUUGAAUUACUUUAUACUUAAAUUAUUAUUAGAAACUUUAUCAUACACAUACGUGUAUGAGAACCACGUAUUUAGAACAUAAAUUUGUGUUUUAAAAUAACUUAUGAUAAAUAAUGAAAUGUAUAAUUUGAAACUAUUUAAUAAUAACACAUAGCAUAUCUACCAUAUUAAAAUAAAAAUAGAUUAAAUUGUAAGUAAAACAUAAUUUAAACAUAUGAACACAUCAAAUUAAGAAUACUAAAUGAAUAAAGUUAUUUAUAAUGAUAUUGUUGUCAAUUCCUAAAUUGGUGUCGAGUUAAUCUGUGACAUCAUAAAUUUAAGUGAUAAAUUUAAGGAUUUAUGUAUUGAUGUGGAUUCAAAUAUCACCAUAAGUUUUUUAAAAAUAAAAAACUAAAAUACCUUAAAAUACUAUAACUUAUAUUAAAUACGAAAGAGUAUUUUUGUAAUUUUCCUAACCGAGUUGGUGCCCGGUUGACUCAUGACACCAACUCAAUUAAAAGAUUUAAUAAUAAUAUAGAUAUUCACGUUAAAAAAACAAAAAAAAAGUACUUUAGUUCCAAAUAAUUAUAUAACAAGUAAAUUUAUAAUUGAUGAAUAAAUUUAUAGAUAAUAUAUUUAUAUGAUCUAAUAUAUUAUAUUAAUAUUAAUUAUAUAUCAUCUACAAUCUUUGAAGAUCAAUUUAUUAAGUAUCAAGAAAAGAAAAAAAUGAAAUUGAGUUAACACUAAAUCAAUUUUUAGAUUUUGUACAGAUGAUUUAAUGAUGAUAAAAAAAUUAUUAGCACUAUUUUUGAAUUAACAAAAAAUUAGUGAUAUAUUUUAAUUAUAUUUAUUAUUUAUUAUUUUUAAUAAUAUUUUUUAAAAUUAUAUGAAGUAAAAUUAUACUGUAUACUAAAUAUGGUACAUAUACUUUAAUUGUAACUUGAAAAUUUAUUAUAUAAAUUAAUAUAUUUUAAUUAUAUUCAACCAUUUGAAUAACAAAAUAAAAAAAAACUAAUUAGAAUAAUUUUUAGAAAAAAGAAAAAACAUUAUUUAAAGGCUAGUUAAAAAUCACGUGCAACAGGUGAUAUGAGAAUCUAUGUAUAUAAAUGUGUAUAUAUAUAUCGUUGUUUCAUUUUUUUUUUAAAUAAAUAUAUUUUCCACAUUGGUUUCUUUUCUUGUACAGACAAAGGAUUUCUAAUGAUUUUAAAAAAAAAAAUUUACUUAUAUAAAAUAGAUCAGUUUAUUCAGUAAAAUAAAUCAAUUCAUAUAAAUGUUAUUGUUUAUUAUCAGAUUGAAAUGAUAAAAGUAUAUGACAUAAAUAGAAGAAACAAAUUCAACACAAUGUUUUCCGAGUUUGGAAAAAAUUAAAGUGAAAAACAUACCUUCUAAUUUGUUGCCAUAUAGAGCUAUUACUUCGACCAUAGUUGAAUUAAAAAUACUUGAUGGAAUCUGACCUGCAAACAUAGUUGAAAAUUGAAGUAAAAAACAUACCUUCUAAACUCUUCAACUAAAAAUACUUUAAGCAUAUUUUUUUUCCCAUCAAAUUAACUAUUUUGCCUUGAAUGAAAUAAAAUGCUCUUACUUUUGUUAUCUAUUACAAAUCAAAUUCUUCUAUGAAAAAAUAUUUUAAAUUAAAGAAACAAAGAAAAUUCAAUAUCUUCUAAGUAAAGCACUUCAAGCUUGGGAAGAUCAUUAGGCAAACUACCUGAUAUGCCAGUGUUGGAGAGAUCAAUGAUCUUCAGAGAAGAAAUGUUGAAGAUCGAAGUUGGAAUCUGACCUGUGAGGCCUUUAAUUUCUUUAAUACUAAGCAGCUCCAAACCAAGAAGAUUACCGAUUUCCUCAGGAAUUUGACCUGCACACAUAUUUAGUCGAAAAAUCAAGAUGUCAAACUGCCUAUAUUGUUAGCAUAAGUCAAAGAGGUUUUCGUUUCUGCUCUACAGUAAUUUGGAGAUGUUAGAUUUAAUAUAUUUCAGCAUAUGUUUUUCAUCAAAUGAAAUAAAAAAGUUUUUCCUUUUGUUAUCUAUUAAAAAUCAAACUCUUUUAUAAAAAAAUACUUUAAAUUUAAGAAAUCAAGGAAAUUGAUUACCUUCUAGAUUAUUAAACCCCAAAUAUAAUUUCUGGAGUUGUGUUAGAUUUCCAAUACUUCUUGGAAUGAUCCCCAUAAAUUGAUUAUAGGACAACGACAAACUUUUAAGGUUGCUGCAUUUGCCCAUGCCAAAUGGAAUGUUACCAGAUAAUUCAUUCCAACUCAGGUAAAGCUCUUCAAGCUUGGGAAGAUGUUGACACAUAUCAUUAGGCAAACUACCUGAUAGGCUAUUGCUGGUGAGACUAAUAGAUUUCAAAGAAGAAAUCUUGAAGAUGGAAGAUGGAACCUGGCCAGAUAAUUGAUUCAAUUCCAAGUUCAAGAUCUCUAGGUUAGACAUGUUAACAAGUGUUUCAGGGAUUGUGCCUGUAAAGUUAUUAUUUUUCAUUUUCAGCGUUCGAACUCUCUGUAAGUUCCCAAGCCAUGAUGGAAUUUCUCCAUUAAGACGGUUGUAGCUUAAUCGAAGGAUCCUCAAACGAUGCAAUUGGCCCAAUUCUUUAGGGAGAUAGCCAUAGAAAUGGUUGCUACUCAAGUCGAGUGAGAGUAGAAGUGAAAGAUUUCCAAGGUGUGGAGGGAUAGUACCCCUAAGAUUCAUGCUUGUAAGAUUCAAAGCUAUAACUCUUUUAUGGAGGAUGCCACAAGUAACACCAAUCCAAUUGCAAACAGAGGUUGAGGCCGUCCAAUUGUUUGCCAAGACAUUUUGAGGACCGGCAAUGUGAUCCUUAAACUCGAGAAGUGCAAACUGAUCGGAGUUGAGAUUCUUGACUGUCAUAGCCAAGCAAAGUACGGAACAUGGUAUGAAUAAAGCUAAGAGAAGAUGAAAGCCAGCGUUGUAGUUCAUGAUUGCAAGACGGAAUAAGGCAAGAAAAUAAAAAAAAGUAGGAAAAGGGAAGUUGAGCUGAUAAAAUAGUUUGGAUGAUGAAGAAAAGCCCAGAGAGCAUGCUUUAAUAUGUUUCAACCCUCGUACACUUGAUAAACUUGAUAAAUUUAAGACUACCCUAAAAAUUAAAAAGGAAAGCAAAGUUUUGAAGAAAUUUCAAAAUAAAUGUCAAGUCUUCUUCUUUAGAAAAUACGUACAAAGAAUCGAAUUUUCAAAAUUUCUCCUAAAUUUUCUUCACGUUACUCCACAUAAUCCAUUAAAAAUACUUAAAAAUAUAUUUUAAUAAUUACUAUAUAUUCUUUUAUUUAAUAAAUUGUUUAAAAAUGCUAUUAGUCCCUGUAAUUUAAAAGUUAAAAAAAAAAUCCAAUCCUCCUAUUUUUCUAAUUUGAAAAUUCUAGUCCAAUAAUUCUUAAUUCCAUUAAAAAAUUUCAGCUUAAUAGGUUUUUUAUUAUCAAUCAUAUGCAACAGUAUAUGAAUGCAGUCUACUCAGCAUAUAUCCAAGUUUACAGAUUUUAAUAGAAAAUACUUACAAUCCUAAUGGUAGGACUAAGUUUUUUAAACUAGAAAAGUGAGAAGACUUAAUUUUUAACUUUUUAAGCACAAGGAUUAAAUUUUAAAUGUUGUCAAAGUACAAGCACUAACAAAAUAUUUUGAUCUAAUAAAUGUAAAAAACUUUUUAAACAAAAUAAGGUUGAAAUAAUCUAUUUGUCCUUGUACUUUGAUAAAAUUUGAGAUUUAGUCCUUAUAUUUAAAAACUUAAAAAUUAAGUCUUAUUGUUUUUAUUUAAAAAUCUUAGUCCUAUCCUUAAUUUUAUUUUAUCAAAAUUGGUCAACUUUACAUAUUAAUUAGGUUUCCCUUAUAUGUCGCGGUAUCAAUCAAAACUUAAUUAAUAUCCAUCAAUAUCCAUCAAUACGUCAUACAUAAAAAAAGCAAGCAUAAAAUACAGUUAAAAGUCCUCCUUUUAUUAUUAAAUGUUUUAUUUUAGUUAUUUUAAUCAAAUAUAUCCAAAUUACAAUAGAGUUAACAUUUAUUGUGUAAAAAAUAUUUUAAAUUUUUUUUUCAAUUUUAGUUUAAUUCUAGAAGAAAUAUUUCAUUUAUAAAAUCAUAAAACUUUAAAAAUAUUAACUCUGUUAAAUAAAAAUUAUUUUUUUAAAUAGUAAAUGUUAACUUUAUUAACACAAAUGGGCCUCAGUAAUUGACAAGCUCUUCCACAAACUGUGGAAGAUUUGGGGAUAAAAGCUUCAAUAAUUAUGGAGUUAUAGUGUAAAUUUGCCACUAUAUUAUAAGUGUAUUGAAAUUUAUCACUAUAUUUUAUUUGAUGUUUAUCAUUACACUUUGAAAAUAUAAGUAAAUUUACCAUUUAACUCAGAUUUACCUUUGCAAGUAAACUUAAAAUUUUAUUUAAUUUUGUCACUAAAUUUGAUUUGUUCAAUAUAGAUUUUGGUGACUUAAAACUCACUAAAUUUGAUUUUUUCAAUAUACAUUUUGGUGACUUAAAACAAAAUUAAUAAAUAAUUAUUCUUUUGGAUAUCUUUUUAAUGUUUAAUAAUAAGUUAAUUUAUAAAAUAUACUGUCAUUGGACACAAGCCUCUAAGGCGGUGAACCACUAAUCAAAUUAAUUUGGAGAUAUCUUUUUUUCUAAAUAAAGUGAAUUUACGAGUUUUGUUUUCUUUUAAAAACAUUUUUAAUAUUUUUGUGGAUAUCAAAAAAUUUUUCAAUAAGAAAUUUUAAUUCACUCGAAAAGUUAGUGUUUUAUUUCAAGGGGUCAUAAUUAAUCAUUAGAUUUCCCAAUUUUAAAUUUUAAAUUUUUCGACAAUUGCGUAAUUAAUAAGUACCAAUUUUGAGUGUUGUAGGGCUAGUACAAUCUUCCUUACACAUAACCGACUCUUAAACCUACUCUUUUCUCUAGAAUUCAAUGCAAACAUCGAAUUUAUCUUUUGAAAAGAAUUUUAAAAUAAUAUAAAAGGUGUUUUUUUAUGACUGAUCACACUUAACAAAAAUUUAAAAAUUAUUAAAAAAAUUUCAUUUUGAAAUUUAAAGUGAUCUAAAAACAUAUUUUUAAGUGCUUUGGACCAUCUGUUGCUGAUUUCCUUAUUAUAUUAAAUGUUUGCAAUCACUCCUAAUAUAUUGUGCUUGAGUUGUGACAGAGCAAAUCGCCAACGUGCCAUAUUGAUCUAUUGAUGCUGAAACUGAAGUUUUUGUUAUAUUGAUAGAGCUUGUCCUUCAACGCAUACAACGUGUUUGUUAUUUUUCUCCCUUCAAAUUGUAUGAUCUUAUUUAUUUAAUGAAUUAAUGAAUUUCCCUUUUAAAAAGAUAUAUUUUUAAAAUUAAAUACUUUAUAAAAUAUUUAAAACUACUUAAAAAAUUGUAAGCCUUAAAACAAUCAACAAAAUAUAUUUUUCUCUAAAAAAAUCAAUAAAAAUAUGUUUAAAAUUUUAUAUGAAAUUAAAUUUUUUUUAACAAUAAUAUAUUUUAAAAUUAUAGUAACGCUAUAAAAUAUAUAUAUACAUAUAUAUAUAUAUUUACUAAUUAUAUACACCUUUCCAUACAUCCUUUUUCUACAUAGAAUUUCAAAAGUAAAUGUGAAUUAAUGUAGGCGUAAGAAGACUUACAGGUAAGUCACCCAACGAAAGUGUCCUAAACCGACUUAUGGAAGAAUCAAACAAUAAUUUUGUAUCGUAUAAUAUAUUUAAUUACAUUUAUUAGUUUAUCAAUCAAAACUUAAGUAGAAUCCAUCAAUAUUUCACACAUCAAAACCCAAACAUAAAAUUCACUUUUAAAUUAUUCGGGGAAUAUUUGUAUUAUAGGAAAUGGAUUAAAUUAGACUUUUAUUAUUAAAUGUAUUAUCUUAAUCUUUGUAUUAGGUAUGAAUGAUAUCUCUUAGAUUGAAGCUAGAGCUAUUCUUGAAUGAUUGAAAUUAAGAUUAAGAUGUGUUGAGAUGGAAAGUGGCAACACAAUGCUGAUUGAUGCUAUUUGUAAUGGGUUGGCUACAAUAAGUAGUGCUGCUGAAGUAAGACAAAUUUAUGAUUGGUGUUCCAAAAUUUUGGGAAGUCAAAUUUUGACAUUUUCAGCGGAAUGCCAAUAAAGUUGUUGAUUGCAUAGCUAUGGCAGAUGGAGGCAUAAUUGAGCAGCUGGUUAUCUUGAAAGAUCCUCUGCAUUAUGUGAGAUACUAGCUUGAAGAAGAUAUUAGACGGUCACUGGUGACUGAUGAUAAUUUUCAUUUGGACUGAUGAGCGCUUAAUUUUCUAAGCUUAUGGUCAACCAAAAAAAAUAAAUAAAUGCGUCUAAAUUGUAAUAGAGUUAACAUUUAGUGUUUAAAAAAAUCUUAAAAUUUUUUUUUCAAUUGCAGUUCAAUUCCAAAAAUAUCGAUGAUGAACCCGAACAUAAAAAUUACCAAAAAAAAAAACACAUCUAUUAUCAAACCAACAAUCCAUGUCUAAACUUAAAUUAACAAAAUUCGCCACCCAACCCAAUACACUAUUUUAUAUAUAUAUUAGAUUUAUUCUAGAUGCGCAUGUUUUAUUAUAUUUAAAAAUUAAAAUAUAUGGUUGACUGAGUUUUAGCUGAGUUGAUAUUGGUAUUAUUGUUAGUGUAAGAAAAUUUGAGUUUAAUCGUGUUCAAAUGUGUUUUAUCCUCCAAUUUAAAGGUUAGGAAAAUAUUAUUGAUAAUUAAAUUAUACCAACUUGAUGAUAUUAAAAAAAGGAUGUAUAAAAAAUAUAAGGGAGAAAAAAAAAAGGAGAAACAUAUUCAUAUUGAUGGGCUCUUUCAAUAUUAGACUUUUUUUCUCUCACAAGUAAAAGUAGUUAUGGAGAGGAUCAUGUAAAAUAAUAGCCUGAAUAAUUUUAAACGUCUCAUCAUUGCAAAAAUGAAAUAGUAGAAAAGAAAGAGUAGACAUUCUAUGAAAUUUAUAAUUCCAACCGUGAAUAAAAUAUAAAUUUUAUGAAUGUGGACAAGCAAUUUUAUUUAACUUUUUUUAAAGUCAUUUUGUUUGUUUCCUAAUCACCAUGAAAUUACUUGUCACAAUUCAUCUUUUUAAAUGAGAAACAUUUUCCACAAUUUGCCAUCACUUUAACAUACACUAACUUUUCUAUGAUUAGUCCUUUGUUUGCUUUGGGUGCAAUCUUCCAACUAGCCUCAUCCUUGGUUUUACUUUCCAACAUUUAGUGUAUUACGAGUUUUGUUUUCUUUAAAAAAUAUUUUUGUGGAUAUUAGGAGAUAAUGAAAUUAUUUUACUAUGAAAUUUUAAUAAAACUGGAAAAUAAGUCAUUUAUUUUAAGAGAUCACAAUUAAACAUUAGAUUUCCAAUUUUUUAAUUUUAAUUUUUUUUGACAAUUGCAUAAUAUUUUGAGCGUUGUAGGAAUGCCAUAACCUUCCCUACGCAUAAUCGACUCUUAAGUAUGAUGGAUCCUAGACCUUCUCCUCUAUUCUUGUACCACAAAUUGCUUCGAGUGUGGGUUCGGAAAAUCACAAAUUAAGCACAAAACCAAAAAUGAUUUUGUAACACCCCAAACCCAGCCUAGUCAUUAUGGAUUAAUGUAGACCUGAGAAGACUUAAUUACAUUUAUUAGUUUAUCAAUCAAAACUUAAUUAGAAUCCAUCAAUAUUUCACACAUAAAAAACCCAAACAUAAAAUUCACUUUUAAAUUAUUUGAAGAUAUAUUUGUAUUAUAGGAAAUGGAUUAAAUUAGUCUUUUUAUUAGUAAAUGUAUUAUUUUAAUCUUUUUAUUAGGUAUGAAUGAUAUCUCCUAGAUUGAAGGCAGAGCUAUUCUUAAAAGACUAAAGUUAGGAUUCAGAUGUGUUGAGAUGGAAAGUGACAACGCAAUGUUGAUUGAAACUAUUUGUAACGGGUUGACUACAAUAAGUAGUGCUACCGAAGUAAGACAGAUUCACGAUUGGUGUUCCAAAAAUUGGAAAGUCAAAUUUCGACAUAUUCAGCGGAAUGCCAAUAAAGUUGUUGAUUGCAUAGCUAAGGCAAAUGGAGGCAUAAUUGAGCAGCUGGUUAUCUUGGAAGAUCCUCCGCAUUAUGUGAGAUGCUAGCUUGAAGAAGAUAUUAGACAGUCACUGGUGGCUGAUGAUAAUUUUCAUUUGGACUGAUGAGCGCUUAAUUUUUUAAGCUUAUAUUCAACAAAAAAAAAAUUAAAUACGUCUCAAUUGUAAUAGAGUUAACAUUUAGUGUUUAAAAAAUAUCUUAAAAAUUAUUUUUUCCAAUUGCAAUUCAAUUCCACAAAUAUCAACGAUGAACCUGGACAUAAAAAUUACAAAAAAAAAAAAACACAUCUAUUAUCAAACCAGCAAUCCAUGUCUAAACUUAAAUUAACAAAAUUUGCCACGCAACCCGAUACACUAUUUUAUAUAUAUACUAGAUUUAUUCUAGAUGCACAUGUUUUAUUAUAUUUAAAAAUUAAAAUAUAUGGUUGACUAAGUUUUAGUUGAGUUAGUAUUGGUAUUAUUGUCAGUGUAGGAAAAUGUGAGUCUAAUUGUGCUCAAAUUUGUUUUAUACUCCAAUUCAAGGGUUAGGAAAAGGUUAUUGAUAAUUAAAUUAUACCAACUUUUAUGAUAUUAAAAAAAGGAUUUAUAAAUAAUAUAAGGAAAAGAAAAAAAGAGAGAAACAUAUUCAUAUUGAUGGGCUCUUUCAAUAUUAGACUUUUUUUCUAUCACAAGUAAAAAUAUCAAAGGUGAUAAUAAUUAAAUUAUAAAAUUUAAAUUGAGAAAAUAGGGGAUUGAAUUUAUAACUUUUAAAGUAUAAAGAAUGAAUUUAUAACUAACAACAUAUUUUAACCACACAAUAAAAGUAGUUAUGGAGAGGAUCAUGUAAAAUAAUGACCUGAAUAAUUUUAAACGUCUCAUCCUUGCAAAAAUGAAAUAAUAGAAAAGAAAUAAGUGUUGGGUGUAGUGGCAAUGUACAUUAUACUUCUAAGGGGAGAUCAGGGUUUUAUACAAGGGAAGAAUUUUAAACCUGCUUUUUUCUCUAGAACUCAACGCAAACCUCAAAUUUAUCUUUUUAUAAGAAUUUUAAUAUAUCUAUAUAAAAGGUGAUUUUUUUGCCGAUCACACUUAACAAAAUUUUAAAUUUUUUUUUUUGAAAUUUAAAGUGAUCUAAAAACAUAUUUUUAAGUGCUUUAGACCAUCCUGUGUUGAUUUCUUUAGUAAUUUGAUUUGUUCAAUAUAGAUUUUGGUGACUUAACACAAAAUUAAUAAAAAAUAUUUUUUCAGAUAUCUUUUUAAUGUUUAAUAAUAAGUUAAUUUAUAAAAUAUACUUUCAUAGGACACAGGCCUCCAAGGCGGUGAACCACUAAUGAAAUUAAUUUUGAGAUACUUAAAUUUGUUUUCAUCAAUUAAGAAAUUUGAAAAAUUGUUGAGACCUCAUGAUUAUCUUUUAUAAUUUCAGGCUUAUCACCAAAAAACUAAAAAACAAAAUCGUCGACAUUAAAUUUGUUGGCAUGCAAUCAAUUUUAAGAUGGUUUUUGGAGUUAUAUAUCACUUUAGCAUGGACUUACUUUUCUACAGUUAGUCUUCUCCAACAAGUUAAAUAUUUCAAUUUUAACAACAUUGACAGGUCUUUGGGGUAGGGUCGAGCAAAACUCAAUAGAAAUAGAUGAUAUAGAUUGAGUUAGCUCGGCCAAGUCGAGUCGACUUGUUCAAAUUAGUUAAAUUAGUAAAUUUUAGGGUGCAGUUAGAAUUUUUUUUUGUUUUGAGAUGCUAAGAUUAAAAAAUUUCAGUUGCUAAAACAAAAAAAUUGUAUUUAAAAAAAGGCAUAAAGAAAGGCUGAAUGACAAAUUGCCCAAAGCCCAUGCCCCUAGCUAUACGCCCCUGGUAAAAUCAAUUUUAAAAUUAGUUAUAAUAGUUGAAGCGAUUGAUUAUUGAGGAAUGAAAUACAUAGUUCAACAAAAUAAAUAAGUUGACAAAUUUUGACAAAAAAAAUCAAAAAUAAAAUAAUAGAAAAGAAAGAGUAGCCAUUUUAUGAAUUUAUAAUUCCAACCGUGAAUAAAAUAUAAAUUUUAUGAAUGUGGACAAGCCAUUUUAUUUAUAAUUUUCUGUGUUUUUCUUCUUUUCCUGACUUUUUUUUAAAGUCAUUUUCUUUGUUUCCUAAUCACCAUGAAAUUACUUGUCACAAUUCAUCUUUUUAAAUGAGAAACAUUUUCCACAAUUUGCCAUCACUUUAACAUACACUAACUUUUCUAUGAUUAGUCCUUGGUUUGCUUUGGGUGGAAUCUUCCAACAAUUAGUGUAUCACGAGUUUCGUUUUCUUUAAAAAAUAUUUUUGUGGAUAUUAGGAGAUAAUGAAAAUUAUUUUACUAUGAAAUUUUAAUAAAACUUUAAAAUAAGUAAUUUAUUUUAAGAGAUCACAAUUAAACAUUAGAUUUCCAAUUUUUUAAUUUUACAAUUUUUUGACAAUUACAUAAUUAAUAAGGUACCAAUGUUGAGCGUUGUAGGAAUGCUAUAACCUUCCCUAAACAUAAUCGACUCUUGAGCAUGAUGGAUCCUAGACCUUCUCCUCUAUUCUCGUACCACAAAUUGCUUUGAGUGUGGGUACGAACAAUCACAAAUUAAACACAAAACCAGAAAUGAUUUAUUACUUUUAAUAGCAAAGUAAUUCUCUCUCAAUAGAAACCAAUAGAAUUGUAAUUCCCAUAAAAUAAAAUUUAUUUUCUGAAAUAUAUUCUCACUACUUUCUAGCAGAGUAACAAUAUUUAAAACUUAUGUCUUGUGUUAAUAGCUUUACUAGCACUAUCUAUUUAUAGGGAGAGAGAUGAGAGUCCUGGUUGAAUUAGUAAAACACGAAUAAUAUUUAUUUCAUAGAAGACAAUUUCAUAGAAAACUUAUGUCUUGUGUUAAUAAUGUUGAAUUUGUAUGUACAAGUUUCUAAUACACUUGUUGGGACAUUCUUUGACUUUUAUCUAUUCUCUCAAAAAGUUAAAGUUCAAAGUUGCAUUAAACUCAAAUAAGAUAACCAUUAGCAAACCAGCUCACAAGCCUGCUCAAGCUAAUCCUACAAGUCAUUCCACUUCAUCAUCAAGCACCAAUGUUCUUGCUUAUCCUUAUGGAAUUAAACAAAAGAAAAAAGCUCUUUAAGAGUUAUUUCAAUAGACUUCUUUAAUGGUAAAUGACAAUCCACUCUAUUGAUGCUUCUUCGCCCAACUCAUGAUUUAAAAGAAGUUUAUACUCAUGGAUCAAGUGUAGCUCACCAGUUAUCAUUAAGGAGAAAAAAGAGUCAAUCAAGUGAAAAUUAUAUUCCAACAUCCCCCCUGAACCAAAUUUUAGAGUGAUGAAUGUCAUGACAACUGACACUACAUUCUUAGAAGAAUAAGUAGAUCUCUAGCAAAAACGAUGGAGAGUCUUACUACAAGCAUAAAAGGAAUGGAUGAUCAAAUUGAACAUCUUAGAGGAAGUAACCAAACCUUUUCCUACGAAACUCAACAUCCUCUUCACAAAGUUGUUGGAAUCAAAAUUGUUGAAGGACUUUAAAGUGUUUCUUUAGAUCAAGUUAAGGAGCUCAUUAAAGAAACCAUUAAAGAUCAAGUCAAAAGUGUUGCUCUACCUUCAUAUACAUACUUGAAGCCAUACAUUUGAAGGGCUUAUCAUUUGAAUAUGCCUGAACAUUAUCCACCUCCAAAAUUGCAAUAGUUUGAUGGUAAAGGAAAUCUAUGUAAACAUGUCGCUCACUUCGUGGAAACUUGUGAUUGCGUCGAUGUAACACCCCACUCGCGACCUAAUCGCUGGAUUCGAGAAGAGAGAUACCGAAAUCAUGUUGGAAAAAUCUAGUUUGAAAAUGGUUUUAUUUAUAGAGGAAAAUAAAAAUUUUGAAAACUGACUCGGUUUGUGAUAUUUAUGGCAAUAAAUGUUAAACUGAAAUCAUAAAUGUGCUUUUGAAUAAGCAAAUCCUUGAUGUUUUCUAGCUUUAAACCAAAUUAUCUUCUUCACUAUUCUCAUACCACAAAAUGCUUUGAAGUGUGGACUUGAACCAAUUGAAUCAAAACACAAAACUUGAAAAAGCUUUUUAUUCUUUUCGGGGUGAAACCUAAAAUUUUCUCUUAUUUAAUAGAAACCAGUAGAAAUGUUUAUUUUGGAAAAAUAUAUUUAAUAGUUAAGAAUAAAUUCUCCUUAUUUUUCAAUAGAGUAACAAUCUCUCAAAGUUGUAUAUAAAUCCCUACUGAUGCCAGAUAUUUUUAAGAAGAGAAGAUAGAACCCUUGUGGAAUUGUAGAAGCUUAUUUCAACUAGAAAAAUAACUUCCUACUUAGAGUAGGAGCAGGUUGGAUGGCAUCCCCUGUCGCCCCUUCGUUUUCCAUGAAGGGAUUUUGGAUCUCUCUCACAUUAGAUCCAACUAUGAGUGCUUUUCGAGCAUUUAGACUCAGUACUUUGUAAUUUGACCCAACUCAAUUCUAUUUUUUUAUUUCCCAAAAUAAACUUCAAUAUUUUAUAUUAAAUAAUUUUCUCAUCCAAAUUUUACCCUCAAUAGAAUUUUUGAGAAAAUAUAUUUAAUAUUUCACAAUUCAACUUGUUCAUUAUGAUCGAAUGAUUUAUUUUCAUUUUCUAGAUUUUAUAUAGCUGAAAAACAUAAACUCAUUCUCCUGAUCAUUUUUAAGUAUAUUCAUCUACAUUUGAAAAUGAAUCAUUUCUCAUUUUCGUUUCCAAAUGAUUUCAUUUCUCCAUUUCGAAGAAAUGUAUAAUCAUUCCUGAAUGUUUGUCAUUUCUUUAUUUCUAUUCAUUUCGAUUCAAACAUGCAAUUCAUUUAUGGUUUCAACGAGCUAGUGAAGGGACUAAUUGGACAUAUACAAUUAGGGCUCAAAUGAUUUAUAUUUGAAGUUUCAACUUUUCAUCUAUUAAUUAUAAACUCAUUUAGUCAUGAAGUCAUUCCACUAUAGUAUCAUGGCUGAGCUUGUGGUUCCCCAAACUUGGACGAGACAGUCUGACCCAAAAUUUGAAACUUACAUUAGCCACCAAAAUGAUUCUCUGUUAAAAUACUACAAAACAGACCAACCAACCAUGCAGGCCACACAUUUUCAACAUAAAUCAUAAUACAAUUAAUCCUAAUUGCAUGCCUUUCUAAACAUACCAUAAAAAAUGAAGAAAAAAAAUUCAUAUUUAGGUCACCUGUGAACCCACCCACUUAGAAACCUAGUAGCACGCAUCAACUUGGCGAGCACCAGCUGAAGACCUCCUCGCGACCCCCAGCUCAUUGCUAGCCCUACGAACCACUAGUUUGCUACUACCCUGUGAUCCCUAAAUAUUGGCAAACCUAGACACACAACUCCCCUUUUAUUUUAAUAGACUACUCAAGUCGUUGGCUCACUUGCGAACUCCUCUAUUUAGUGAACCUACCUAAUAAGGCAAACUCACUAUCCUGACGUACGCAUUAACUAUGGAGAACCUUCUAUUGCUUGGCGUACUCCCUCCUAAUGGCAAACACUAGGUUAUAUAGGGCUAGUCUAUACUAGCGGACUCCCUAUACUUUGGCGAACACUCUAUUAGGGAACUUAUGGUUUUUGGUGAACACACUUUUGUUUGGCGAAACCUACCUUUGGUGAACUCACCCCUAUUGUUGAACACUGUGUUAUGGUAAGGUCCUAUUCCCUUAUGACCCCUGUCUCACACUAUGCUAGGUUGGCUCGUAAGUAUUCUUUCAAUGCGUUAUUACUUCUAUAACAUGCAUUCUAUGUUAUCACUUUAUCUCAACCAAAAAAUUGGUUCAAGGGCGUACCUCAAAAUUCGGCGAACUCCUUGUUUUACAUAAGUAUGUUAGUUCAUCAAUUUACCUAGCAAAAUCAUGUAUUAUAAUCCAAACAAUCAAGCAUUCAAUCAAGCACUUAUAAAGUCUAAAAAUCCAAAAUUUAAAUAGUUCGUAAUAUCUGUUUACAACUUGUCAAAGUUUAUUUAAAAAUUCUAGGUCUACAUCUGAUUCCUUAGGAUAGUCCCACAUUGCCUUCAACUAUAGGGUUUGUAAAAACAAAUCACGUACUCGAAUGGAUUUGCCUUAUGUUGCAUCACUAGAUUGCCAUGCUUCACAACUAGUCACGUGAACUACUUAUCUGCAAGAUAUAUGCAAGGAGUGUGAGCUUAUUGAAGCUCAGAGAAUGCUUAAGCACACAACACAUAAAACACAUCAGUCAUGCUAAAAUUUAGACAUGUUGUAACAAUUCACAUAAAAUAUAAUAAUCAUGCUCGUCAUAGUAAAAUAAUGGCAAUUUGUGAAUAUGAAACAUAAUCAUAUUAUAUAUGCAUUGGAUAAGUAGAUCUUUAGAAUACUCCAAAUGACAUAGAGAGUCAUGCGCUAUCUUUGAUAAGUGUAGUAUGAAUGCUCACACUCUCCAAACACUCCAUACUAUCCUCAAAAUUGGAGCUAAGCUCGACAUUCCCUUAUCUCUCCAAUGCUAUCUUCAGGCCAUAAUGCCCCAUCAUAUAGUAAAAAUGGUGAGUACUCACAAUCCUAUGACAUGCCAAUGAUAUCUAACGGUUUCAAGUGUUCACAAUGCCAACAUAUGAUUUUUAUUUCAUUCACUUUACACAAUUUAAAAGGCCCACAAUAUAGUAGAUCUCACAUAUAAUAGUUCUUAAUAACACAACUCACAUUUUUGUAGGGCUCGCAUGAUACAUAAGUUCGUAAUAACAUAGAUUCGCAUAACACUUAUGGCUCACAUAUAUUUAGGGCUCGAAUGCAACAUUUGGGUUUCCAUAUAUUUAAACUAGCAUAAUACAGGGGCUCGCGUAACAUGUUUUGGCUUGCAUGUAAUAUAGGGCUUGAUCACAUAUAUAGGUUUGCAUGAUCUUAGGGUUCGCAUCACAUAUAUAAGUACGCAUGAUACAUGGGUUCACUCAACAUGUAUAUAUAAACUUGCACAUCAAAGUAUAGGCUCGCAUGCAUUAAGGUAAUAGAUUUUGCAAACAAUUUAGAGCUAGCACACAUCUUAGGCUUGCAUACAUACAUGUUAGCAAGGUCUGCAGGUCACAAAUCGGGGCUCGAAUAACUAUAGAGGCUUGCAUAGAAAUAUAACAGUGUUCGCAUAUCAUUUUAAUCAGCUUCACACAUUAAAUCAGAUAGUUUGUAUGCCUUACUUGGCUUUCAUUAGCAUGCGAACUCUUGUUUUUGACGUAGUGUGUAAGGACACUCACUAGUUGUUUGUUGAUACUGUCAAACCUAUACCACAUUUUGCUUGACUUUUUCCUUGCUUGUAGAUGCACCUUUAUAUUGAGAGGCUUUGCAUAAAACAAGAAAAUAUACAGAUUGCUACUUUCACAAACAUAUUAACCUUCUUAACUAACAUAGCAGCUCACCACUUCUAAAUUUACCGAACUCACCUCAUGUGACCUUAAACUUUUAGUUACUUUAUUUUAGUUCAAUUAAAUCCCCAAUUAUUACUUCCUAAUCUCAUAAGUAAGGUUUAAUUAUAGAUCUAGGCCAUUAAUUUUAGUCAAUUCUUAAAAUCAACAUUUUUCAAAAAAUCAUGCUCAUUUUCUAUCUCAAGAAGAAAAAUCACUUGAUUCAUGCAAUUCCUUUAAGGAUUUGUUAAAUCAAGUUUAUAAACCUCUUAAUUAUGCCAAAAUGAGUUAAAAAUUAUUUUAAAAUCAUGACUUAGCUCACUAUUAUGAGAUUCACCAUUUUUUUAUAUAAACCAAGCUUUAAAGCCAUAGAUCCAAUGAUUUCUCUUGAAACUUCAGGUGCAGUGCACUAACUAUGAAUAAUGUGGACUGAAUAUGUUUUUGGUACUCCAUGGAACUCCUCCUUCAACCACAAAAUCCCAACCCAAUUUAUAUGCAAUAUGUCACACAAUCUCAUACAUAAUCCUAUCUUAAUACUUUUCACAUUCAUUUGACAUGCUCAGCAUGUCCUCAAUAAUCACAUACUUUCAUACUUUUAGAAAAUGGAAACAGUGUUCCAAAGUUUCAAUUACCAUUGUGUUGGUAUCAAUCAAUAUCAUUCAAUUACACAUACUUUAUAGAUUUCCAUUGUGUUUAAAUAGCACCCUUUUCAAUACACAAUAUAAAAAAUAUCUCAUGCAUUUAAUCAUACAUAAGCUUUAUAUCUCAACACAUUAUAUCAUUCAGUCAAACAUUCUCAUAUCUUAUAAUUCAAAUAUGCAAUUACAAACUCAAUCAAACAUUCAUACUAUCAAACUAGCAAUUUUGCCAACAUGUUAAUCUUUUAAGGCUCAAAACAUAAUUGGUUCAGCCACUCACAAAAUCAAUAAUUUGGCUAUUAAGCCAAUCCAAUCAACAAGCUAAUUUAUCACAUAUAACAUGAUAUUUAACAUUUUCAAAAAAAAUUAUAAGUUUAGGACCCACGCAUUAUUUUUUGCUUCCUCGCAACAUACUAGCGAAUCUUCCAAUCUUCCUUAAUAAUUCCUUAAACGAACCUAAACCAAAAUGAAGCAUAAAUUCAAUCAAUUUACCAUUAAGCCAACCCCCAAACACCCACUUGUGAGUUCAAACUGAUCAUUGAAAUUAAAACUACUUUAUGAAUCCAAACUAGUUAGAUUCCUUAAACUGUAUCGAUGCAAAUCGUACGUACAAUCGUUCUUCACCUUUAUGGAUGAUUGGGGGUGUUUGGGUCAGCACCUAAUUCAAUAAUAUACUGGAAAAUCAGUAGUUAAUCAAUGAUUAACUUUCUUUAUUUAACCAAUUCAUAACCUUUACCCAACAACUAUGCCAAAAUAACAAACUAGUUUACAAUUAAUCGUACUUAUACUUCUCAAAUUAUAAGAUUCGAAUGGCUAAUUGAUCAAGAAUGUCUUUUGUAACAUCCCAAAAAUUAGGUUAGAAGAAAUGAGAUUUUGAAACCAAGAGUGGUCAUCCCUCGAUUAUGAGUUUAUAUCUUGGAAAAUUUGACAAGUAAAUUGAUCUGGCUUAAUGGUUAAUUGCUAUGGUUAUAUGUGUUAGGUUCUGGGUUCAAAUCUUGUUUUUGGAAAAUUUGUUACUUUUCUUAAACCCUUACCUUGAAUGUUUGGCUUUUAAGUUAAAUUUAGUCAAUUGAGGUCAAGAAUGAGCCUGUUGGUUUAAUGGUUAAGUUUCUGCAUAAUCCUUGGUCUUGUGUUCGAAUCUCAGCGAAAGCAACAGGGAAUGUUUUGUUUUUGAAUUUUUUAUAAGGUAGUUAGUUUCGAUUGGUUAUUUAAAGCCUUCUAGAAACCUCCGUUGCUUUUACUUUUAUUUUGUUCUUUCUUUUUCUACAAUGUUUUCUAUCAUUUUGUUUUCGAUCUUCAGUUUCCUCAUUUUGGUUUUUUAUUUUCAAGCAACCUUCUUUUUGUUAUGUUACGUUACACUAAUUGUGUAUAAGGUUUAACUUCUCCUUCUAGUUAAUUUGCUGGUUGGUAAGUUCAAUUUAAAGUUUUGGUGUCGAAAGUUCUUUAACAUAACUUCAAUUUUGGAAUGUUAGUUUCUAGUGGUUUGACUGCGAAUUAAUCGUUUGUUAGGGAAUUGCUUGUCGUUUAGGGACCUGAAUUUAUCCUUGUUACUCCUACAUCGAGUUCGUAUCAAGUGGGUAUCAAAAAUAUCUUCUUCUUCAAAUUUUAGUCGUCGAAGAAUAGGACUAUCAAUGCCACAUGGUCAUGCGCAAACUAUCUAGGUACAAUCUGUAUUCUAUUAAGUUUGUUGGUAUGCCUCUGCAUUACUCUAUUGAUAAAGAAUAUGUGACAUUUGAUUAUGUUAGAUUGGUUGUUACUGAUUCUAAUUUAUAACCCUCUGUUUUACUUUAUAGAUGUGGAAUACACAAUAUCUGAAAAUGUUAGACUAAUUGUUACUGAUUCUGAUUUAUUGUCGUGCAUGUGACUUCAUGGCAAAUAUGAUAUGAUCUGUUGAGGUUUGAUAGGUCUAUUUUCCAAAACAUGGACUCUCAUGUCUCCUAAUUCUGUUAUUGAAAGAUAUCAUAACUUACAUGCUCAUCACUCUGAUUCUGCAUAUGUAUGUCAUGACACGUUGCAUGGGAUUUGGGUUGAUGUGAAAGGUAAAAGUUACUGGCAGUUAAUGAUCCGCAUUAUCUGAGGUUUAUCCUCAAUUCUGUUUCGGCAGCUUAGUUGUACUAUAUUAACUUGACCACAUGUAACCGAUAUGGCAGUCUUAACUACAAAAUUCUAGUGGCACCAUCCACAGUUAUCUGUUGGUGUGAUUUGGCUAGACGAGUUCUGAGGGAACUCUAUUUUGGAUUGUAGUGGAGUUUUGGUAGGAUGUUUUCUGAUAAUUCUGCAUUCUGAUCUAUUUGAGAAAUACAACAUCUUCAUAACACAUUUUCUACUUUGCUCUAUUCUGUUCUAUUCUGUUCUGCUCUCUUCGGUUCUAUUCUAUUUGAUUUGUUAUGUUCUGCUUCAUUCUGUUGUGCUUGGUUCUAUUGUACUAUCGUUAUGGAAAUUUUCAUGAUAUUCUCGAUCUAUUCCAUACUAGCUAUAAAACUAUUAUUAAGUUCUUUGAGUUACUUUGAUUUAUAUAAUAAAAUCUAUUUAUUUGUAUCUAAGUUUGGUUAUACGCGACGCUUGGUAGUUCUCCCUUUGUCUUAUCUUAAUCUAUUUAGGUGGAUGUUUUACAUUGAUAUAACUAUGAUUUGAUCUUUUAGGUUGUAAUUUGUUUUUGGACUUGCAUUGCUUUUCUUUUGAUAAUCUCAUCAAUAUUUGUCAUUUUCUUACACAAAAAUAAAAAAACCACCUAAGUCGACUAAAAUGAAUUUCUGGUUUUCAAUGUUAAAAUUUUGAAAAGAAAUUAGUUUUCUACAUGUUGGUGUAGCUCGUCCAAAUUUGACUUAAACUUCUAGGUUGGGUUUGGGGUGUUGUAUCUUUCCAUAAUUAACAUGUGAUUAAUCUUUUAUUAGGAGGAUUCAAGAACUCAACUUAAUGAUGGAAAAAUAUAGGUAAGAACCAAGAAACAAAACAACCCCCUUUCUUGCACACAGGCGUACGCACCACCACCCAUGGUGGCCAAAAUUGGGGAAGAAUUUUAAAAUGGUUUGAAAUCUCAUUAAAAUCUAGAAAAAUACAAUUGAAUUCAUUUAAAAUCCCCCAAAUUCCAGAUCUAAAAAUUUUUCUUUUUAAUUGACAAAAUUAAUUAAGAAUUUGAAGAGAAAAGAGAUCUUCCCAAGCUAGUUAAAAGAAACGACAAUGACACUUUCUUGGCAAUGUUCAAGAUUGAUCUUGGGUUCAAGAUUUUAGAAUUGGGGAUGAUUUAGAUGAGAAAAAAUGGUAGGAAUAGAGUAAAGGAGAUGGUGUACAAUCUUGAUGCAAAAAGAAGAAGAAAGAGUUGGUAAAUGGGAGGUGUAGGCGACGACAACAAUAGGAGAAAGAAAGAAAAUUAAAGAGAAAAGUGGAGAGGAAGAUGGUGAACGGAUAGAGUAGGGAAAAUUUGAAUUAAAGGCUGAAAAAUACAAUAAAAAUUUCUAUUUAUACUUAGGGUUCAAGGGUAUGGAUCGCACAUACAUUUAAAAAAAUAAAGGAUUUUACGAAAUUUAAAAUUUCGUAAAGGAAAGGAUUCGAAAUUGGGACCUCAUUUAAUUUUCAUGUGUUCUCAUAUUUCUUUUAACCAUUAUGAUAUUUUCUCAUUCUUAAAAUCAUUUUACAAGAUUUAGUUUAAAAAUAAGGCAUGCCACAUUCUAGGGUUUAAGGCAAAAUUAGCAAAAUAAUAAAAAUAGUGAGAGAGAAGGGAUUUGAACUUGGGUUUCAUGGAAUGUUUGACUAACACUUAUCCAACAAACCAACACCUUAUUGAUUUCCUAAAAAUGCAUAGAUAAUCUCAAAAAUUAAGGCAUGACCACUCUUUCUCGAUUCACAAACCCGAUUAUGCUAAACCCUAAUUUUUGGAAUGUUACAAGGUAAGUUUGUAGUGUAACAAUAUAUAUGUGUGUGUUUUAGGGAUACGAUUGGCAUGCCAAUAGGGUUAGUAUGCAUGCUUGUACUGGAUCACACUUUGGUUCUUCUCUUUACACUUUGGUGCCUCUCUUUGCACUUCAGUGCCACUGUAUUUGCACUACAGUGCCUCUAUUAGCAUUUCGAUGUUUGGGGGAAACCCAAGUAUCGAAGUCAUUUUGCUGUAGUUCAACAUGCUGUGAAAUUUUAUGUUUAAAUGUUAAAUUACUCUUGAAUUUGAUUUAUAUACAAUGAUAUAUUUGUGUAUCUAUGUACAUAAGCAUUGAUUGCUUUGGUUUGAGCCAUUGUUUAUAUUGAAUCAUAUGAGAUGAAUGUUUUGAUUACUAUAGUUUGAGAAUAAAUAUUAAUUCCUUGGUGUAAUUAUAUGAUUCAUAUGUCUUUAAACAUGUUAUCUAAUUAUGUUUAUGGUGUGUUUAGAGAAUUAAAUUAUUAUAUGAGUAUUUUCCAGGUAUUCAAUGUUGUUUCAUUUGGUUUAAUGGGUAAAUAAAGCUUUAAAGGGUAUGUGAUUACACGAAAUGCACUACGAUAUUUGAGCAAUGAUAUGGAUCAUGAUGAAAUGUUUAAUUGAAAAGGAAAUAUGGUUUAGUAUAUAUAUAUGAGUGGUGAAUUAUGAAAGUGAAAUAUAGAUAUGUUAUAUACCAUGUUUUAUUCAAAUUAUAUAUGAUAUGUUACACCAACUAACCUUGUGAGGUGGUGGGUAUAGGAAAGGAAAGUUGGCUUAAAACAUAAUGAAAUUAUGCCUGCCUUUUUAACAUAAAAUAUUCAGUAAAUUAAGUUUCCUUUAUAUGAACUUACUCAACAUUAGUUGCUUGCAUAGUUAUUUUUCUUUAUUUUAUAGUUCAUCAGAAGCUCGACCGGUUGGAAUCAUGUCAAAGCACGAUCACACUAUCCAUUCAACAUUUUGAUAGCUUUUUUUAUUUUGGUAAAUGGUUAUAAAUGACAUGUAAUAGGGUUUAAAUGUCAUUCUAGUGAUUUGACUUGUUUUGAGUUGUGUCAAACUUCUUGUGAUUGAUGUUGUUAGUUGUUGGCAUGUAAAUAAUGGUGUAAAUAUGUGACAGCCCAAAAUUGACCCUAGUCGGGAAGUGGUUUCGGGACCGCUAAACCGAGUCACCGAAAGGUUUGAAUGUGAUGUUUAUUAUCUAGAAUAUGUAAUAAUGAAUGUGUGAAAAUUUCAAGCUUCGAUUUAGUCGAUUGCAUGCGAGUUUAGUCAAUAGGACUUAUAUGAGAAAAACUUUAAAAUGUGAUAGGUCAAUGCAUGAGGACCUAUUAGUGCAUGUGGAAGAAAAAGGGGACUUGCAUGUCAAAUUCCCCCUCCCUAAUAUGUAGUGGCCGGCCAUGCUAUGGGUGGAAACAUGUCACCAACAUGUUGUGUUAGUGAUGUAUGGUAAGGAAAAUAAAAUAUUAAGCAUGAUAAUUAAAAUAAAUUAAAGAAAGGAAUUAAACAAUGAAAAGGAAGGGUGAUGAAAAAAAUGGUCUCAUCCAUACCCCCCCCCCUUGUUGCCGUGAGUUGAGGAAAGAAAACAAAAAAAAAUGUGUGUUCAUUCUUGAACACCUUUGGCCGAAUAGAGGAAAGAAAGGAAGGGGAAGAGCUUGAGAAAAUCGGCUAUGGUGGUUUGCUAGACUAAGGUAUGUUUGAUGUUGUUCUUGAGAUGCAUGCAUGUUUUAGUAGUUGACUUGAGUUCUAAAAACCCAUGGUUCAAUUUUGUGGAUUGAUGAAGAUUUUGUGUUUUGCCAUUGAUGAGUGCUUGAGCUUUUUGAUAGUUGUUGAUGAAAAGUGAAAGAUAUGUUAAAGAUUAAUAUGUUUUGUGUUGAAGUUUUUGGUGAUUUUGAGUAGUUAGGGCUAUAUUACAAAAACAAAUUUUUGAAGGACUCAAAGGUGAAAUAAAUGAGAUGUAUGGACUUAUAUGGGCACUAGGAAGAUUCGGCCCUUAAGGAGUGUGACCAAACUUUGUGUAUUUUGUGUUUUGUGGAAUAAAGACUAAAUUGUGAAAGUGCGAAAUAUUAGGGGUAAAAAUGUAAUUUACCCAUUUAUGCGUUAUUAGACUAAAUUGAAUGAAAAUAUGUUAAAUUAAGGCUUGGCAAGCUAGCUAUUAAGGUGAAAUGCUAAUGUUAGUAUUUGAUUCGGUAAUAAUCUGUUUGGGGACAGCAGCAGUAAGGUGAUUUUGGAAAAUCGCCAUAAUUUGUAGGAGUUGAAUUAGAAGCUGAGUGAAUUAUGCCAUUAAAGCUUGAAGAGUCUAUUUUCUUACAAAAGAAACUAUGAAAACAAAAGAGUUACCGAUCUUGAGAUAUUUGAAGUAUUGUGGGGCUGAGUCAAAAUGACUACUAGAUUCCCUGUUCUGUUUUUAGAAAAUCAUUAUAAAUUGUACAAAAAUUAUUAUAAGAUAAAAUUUAUAUGCUUAGACUCCUUAAUGAGUCUAGUUUCAAAUGAGAUCAAAUACAACACAUUUUGAAUUCUGUAAAAUGAGAAAUUUGAUUCGUAGUGAAGAGUGGUCAGAAUAGUCAAACAGUGAAACAGGGGAAACUUUAAGAAAAAUCUGGUAUUGAUUGGCCAAGCCAAAAAUUCUGAAAAUUUUAUGGAUGGAAGAUAUAUGAGUCUAUAUUCAGGGAAAAUUAACAGCUAGUGAUUUGGAGUUUUGUAGCUCCAGUUAUAAACAAUUUAGCGACUACUGCUCAGGAAAACAGCUCGUAGUGAAUAUGUGAUUUUGUUGUAAACAUUAAUGAAAAUUUGCCAAUGAGUUAUUUAUUGACUAUUACAAAGCUUACUAUAAUCUAUGUGUGUGAAAGUCAAAUCAAUAUAUAUAUUAUUCUGAAAGUAAUACUUGAAUAGUCGAUUAAUGACUAUUUUAAGUUAUUGAUUUGGCUCAAGGAGUUAAAGGAGGUGAAUCGAGCAAAGGCAAAGAAAAGGUUAUCGAGUAGCCGAGUUGGAACCGUCUUACCCAACACGAGGUAAGUCAUUAAGCAUGUAGUUGGUAUUAUUUCAAUGGUCAUAAUGUUUAUGUAUUGAUGCUGAAUGGAAUGAAUAAAUAUACAUAUAUAUAUAUAUAUGUGCAUGUACGUAUGUGAUGAUGAGAUUGUUGAAUGAAAGAAAAGAGGUAAGAUGUACUGAGUUGUUGAUCUCGGCACUAAACGUGCGGGAUAACCAUUUAUGACCAUGAGAUUGGCGCUAAGUGCGCGGGAUUAAAUUGUACAGCACUAAGUGUGCGAUUUGACUAUGUUGCACUAAGUGUGCGAAAUGAAUAUGAUGCACUAAGUGUGCGAAUUGACCAUGCGGCACUAAGUGUGCGAGUUUGACUAUGUAGCACUAAGUGUGCGAUUUGAUUAUGUAGCACUAAGUGUGCGAGUUGAUUAUAUAGCACUGAGUGUGCGGACUCGAUAUACAUUCGUGAAUCAUUAUGGACACUAUGUGUGCGACACUAUUGAGUCGAUCGCGGACAGCGGAUCGGGUAAGUGUCUUGAGUACAUGGCUAAUAGGUGCUAUGCUUAUACUUGGUGUUGAGCUCGGUAAGUUUGAACCUAUGUGACAAAUAUACUUGAAGUCACGUACAUAAAAUUUAUCGUAGGAUUGGUGAAAGGCCGUUUAGUCGUUUGAUUGUAACGAAAAUAAAUUGAUUUAUGAAAAUGCUUCAAUGUCCUAUUGAUGAGUAUAUGGAAUGUGAAUGCAUGAAUUGAUAUGAAAUUGAAUUGAUAGGUUGGAGGAACUAUGGUAUGGUUCGGAAUGGAUGGAGUAAUUAGCCUCGUUCCAUUUUGUUUUCUCUUGUGAUAAUGUUAUUGAUGGAUGGUAGUGCAUAGCUUAUGACUUACUGAGUUAUAAACUCACUCGGUGUUUCCUUGUCACCCAUUAUAGGUUGCUUGGACUCAUCUAUUUUUUUGCGUGGUCGGGCCGUCAUCGAAGUCAUCACACCGGAUAGCAAGUUUUGGUACUUUCUUCUUAGUUGGCUUAGAAGAACAUUUUGGCAUGUAUAAGCUAUUACGUUGUGUUUGAACUUUGGCAUGUAAACUUUAAGCCAUGUGAAAAUGGCACGAAUGUUCGAUUGAGUUGGAUCAAGGGUAGGCAUGAAAUGGACCUAGUUACUUUCGUAACAGAUGCUGGCAGCAGCAGUGUCAUGAGAUUGAAAAAUCAUUAAAAAUAGUAGGAGUGGAAUUAAUUGAUGAAUAAAUUAUGUAAUCGAAGCUCGAUGAGUCUGUUUUCAUGAGGAAGUAACGAAAAGAUCAUAUGGGCAGUAUAUUAAGAGAUAAUCAGAUUUUUGUGGGACAGGGCCAGAACGGUUUCUGGAUUCCCUUCUCCGACUUUGGAAAUUCAUUACAAAUUAACCAGAGAUAAUUAGGGGUCGUACCAUAUAUGUACAGAUUCCUCUCUGAGUCUAGUUUUCAUAGAAAUAAACGGCAUCAGUAUUGGAGCCCCGUGCAGGGAGAUAUCCAAGUCGGAAUGGGAAAAGGUCAGUGUAGUCGACCCCUGCAACUGGGGAGACUUUGACUAAUAAACUGUACUAAUUGGCCCGACCAAAAAUUCUAGAAAAAAAUACAUAGAUGGGCACAUGAGUCUAGUUUCUGGGAAAAAUUACGAAACUGAUUUUCGAGUUAGGAAACUCAAGAUAUGAUUUUUAAAACGACUAGUACACGGAUUGGGCAGUGUCUGGAAAAUAAAUUUUGUAAGGGGUUAAAGCCAGUUAACACCUCGUGUUCGACUCCGGUGUCGGUUUCGGGUUCGGGGUGUUACAAAAUAUGUGUGGUUGGACCCUUAUGCAUGCUUUAUUGAUUAAAGAUAUCAUAUGGUAAAAUGGCAUGUUUUUGGAAUGGUUAUUUGGCAUGAUUAAAAUAGGUUUAAGUUUUGAUCUUGAGACGUUGAAUUGAAUUAAGUUUAAGAUGUAUAUUGUGAUACCUUCAUUGGCAUAUUUGUUAGAUAUUAAAGGAUGGUUGAUUUGGUAUGUUUUUGAAAUGGUUGUUGGUAUGUUUGAUCUAAGUUGAUUAAAUGAACUUGUAAUGUUCAACGGUAUAAUACUUGUUGGUACAUUAGUUAGUCUUAUAGGUUGAUGGAAUUGGUAUGUUUUAAAUGUGUUUAAAAUAUGUUUUGGUUAUUUCAAUGUUUGUGGAAAUGGUGUGUCUUGGUGUACAAGAUUUGUAAUUGAAAUGGCUCUAUUUAGAAGCAACUUCUGCUGCACACUACCUGGGACACGAGUUGUCACAUGGUUGUGCAUCAUUAAUGUUUUAGGUGCAGGUUUCACACAAUCUAAGACUCGGCUCACGACACGGUCUGGGCUAUGUCACACAGCUUGGCCGCAUGGCCAUGUGACCCUUGUUUUCAAGUUUUCAAAAUUUUCUAUUUUAUUUCAAAUUGAUCAUAGAAUAUUCUCAAACUAUUUUUAAGGCCCCGUAGGUUCGGAUUAUGGCCCGUAAGUGUAUGUUUGCUAUAAUUAAGUUGUGUUAUUGAAUGUUAUUAAUUAAAUCACAUGAAUAUUUUAUUGUAAGUUAAAUGUUUUAAUUUGUACCAUAAUGCUUUGUAACCCUAAUCUGGCGAUGAAGACUAGUUUGGGGUGUUAUAAUUUUGGACUGUAAAUUUGUUUUGGGGGCUUUGUUCUUUGGUUAUUGCGAUGUUGGUUAGAUUUUGGUGUUUUAACAUUAAACUGCAAAAUUGUAUGAUUUAACAAACUAAAAAUUAGUUUUUCAAAAUUAAAACUCUUGAAAUUUCAGUUGCAAAGAUUAAGUAAUCACUUCAGUGUUUUUCCAUAAAUAAUUAAAUUUUUUUUAACAAAUGUUUUCCUUAGUUUGGGAAAUGAUUUGCCAACAUAUGUACUUUUAAAACACAUGAUUUCAAAUUCAAAUUCUCAAUUUUAAAUAAGGGUUUUCAAACUUUAGUUUUUUUUAACAGUUGUGAGAGGUUUUUGCCAAAUUUUAUGUUUUCAGAACAUAUUAGUAAGUUGAUUUUUAAUUUGUUUUUUAAACGAGUCGAUGUAAUUCCUCAAAAAUCCAUUCAUAGCGUCUUAGUCUAGAUCUAAACAUUAAUAUUCUCUUCCAAGAAAAAUCAAGAUUAUCAAAUUGUUACAACUUGGUAGGUAGACAAUCAUAUUAAAUAAGCAUAAAACUUAAUAAAUAAUUAGCGAAGAUUGAAACAAUCAAAGAAAAAAUAAAUUAAUUAACUAAGAAAUAGGAUCCAUUAUUGUUUCAAGAAAACAGAGUUUAGUUCAUAUUGAGUUGAGAAAUCCAAAAGGGAGAUUCAAAACAAACUUGUGAAAAGGGGAACAAUGUCAAUAGAUCGUAUUCAAGUUGUUCAACUCGAGAAGGAAAGAUUCAGAUCUAACCUAAAAAGAAGAAACCAAACAGAUUUAGAAAAACAAGAAAAACAAAGAAAAUAACUAAAAUGAGAAAUUUAAGAGUAAUUAAUAAAUAUUAAAACUAAUAAAGAAAUAAAGAAAUUAUAGAAUAAAUAGUGGAAGAUGGAAUGAAUAAACGAUGGAUAUGACAUAUAGAUGGAUAAGUGUCUGAUAAUUCUUGAAAAGAGUUAUUUUUCAUGCCUUUAGACCUAACUUGUAAUGCCCCAAAAAUCCCUUAUAUAUUUAUUUUCGUAAGUUUGUAACAGAAAUAUCUGUUAGCUUUAGUGGUUAUAUGCUUUGGGAGUGUUUAGGAGGUCCCAAGUUGAAACCUUAGCUUGGGCAAUUUUUUUUUGUUUUAAAUGAAUAAAACUCUAUCUUUGAUUAGUAGGCUUAUAAAUAGAUGUUGGUAAAAAAUGUCAGAAUGGUUUUACUGGUUUAGUGGUUAAGUGGGGUGUAAAUAUGCAGGAGCUCUUAUGUUCGAAUCUUUGUGCGAUCAAGAGCAUUUAUUUUAUUACUUGUGUCGUGUAGGUAUUUUGGUCCAGCCAAAAUACUGAAGAGGUUGACUAAGGGUUGGUUUCGGUUGUUGAGAGGUUUAUGGUGGGUUAGUAGAGAGGAUUUUAAGGAGAAAUUUUAGAGAUAUGAAGAGAGAGUUAGUGCCGAAUUGAAUUUCUUUUGCUUUCUCAAAUUUCAGCUGGGGUUUGAUUUUUCUUUUCAAUUUGUUUCUAUUGACUGUUUUCCAUUCUAGAGGGUCAAAUAUUGCUGAGGGUUCCUACUAGUUUCUUUUUUUUCUUUUUCUCUCUUCUCUCUUUCGACUUUGUUCUUCCCAACUGCAAAAGUGCUCUUCCCUAAACUGUUACUACCGUCUACUUUCUCUUUUCCUCCCUUGCUUUUUUUAUUGUCGAAUUUUGGGUUCUUUAUGCAUUUAAUUCUAAUGUCAAUUUAUCACUUCUCUACCAAAAGAUUAUUAUUUUCUCUCAUUGAUUUUCGUUUGGUUCAUCCUUGCUACCAGAAGUGUGGUUGCCCUUCUUUCUUGGUUUCGUUUGUCAUCAUCUGCUACAUGUUCUUUAACACUCUUUUGGUAAGUGUUCGUUUCUUCACCGCUCAGUUACUUGAAGUUAGUUUUUAAAUGGUUGUGUAUUGUUUUGAAUAAGAAUCUGAUAAAUCGUGUGUUCCAACCCUAUUUAGAUCAGUUCAUGGUGGUGUUUAUUGAUGAUAUACUGGUGUAUUCGAGAACUAAGGAUGAGCACGAUGAACACCUCAGAGUGGUUCUACAGAUUCUACGAGAAAAAGAACUGUACGCCAAGUUUAGUAAAUGUGAGUUCUAGUUAAGUGAAGUAACGUUUCUGGGACAUGUGGUUUCUACUGAGGGGAUUAGAGUUGAUCAUCGAAAGAUUGAGGCUGUCUUGGAUUGGAAGCAGCCUAAGACUGUAUAUGAGAUCUACAGUUUUCUCAGAUUGGCAGGGUAUCGACAAUUUGUGUAAAGGGUUUUCUCUAAUUGCCGUACCCUUGACUAAGCUGCUACGUAAAGGCUUACCGUUUAACUGGACUGAUUCAUAAUAAGAGAGCUUUGAGAAGCUCAAGACUGUACUGACUGAGGCCCCUGUUCUAAUAUAGCCAGAGUCUGGAAAAGAGUUUACUAUUUACACUGAUGCAUCACAUGUCUGUUUAGGAUGUGUGUUGAUGUAAGAAGGUAAGGUGGUAGUGUACACGUCUCAUCAGCUUAAGAAUCAUGAGGUGAAUUAUCUUACGCAUGACUUGGAGUUGAAGUGAUUGAGUAUAAUAACAUUUAACAUAUUAGAGCCAAUUGGUUGUCCAUAAACAUAAAAAGGUGACCUUAAUGAGAUACGCCAUAGACUCAAAAGUGUAUCAUUUACACUGAUCACAAGAGCCUCAACUACCUCCUCACUCAUAAGGAGCUGAAUCUUAGGCAACAUAGAUGGAUUGAGAUGCUUAAGGACUACGACUGUACUAUUGAAUACCACCCUGGUGAGGCUAAUGUGGUGGCUGACGCACUAAGCCGUAAAACUAUGACUGAACUGAGGGUGAUGUUUUCUCGCCUUAUUUUAUUUGAUAAUGGUAGUCUGUUGGCCAAACUUCAGGUUAAACCGAUUUGGAUAGAGUAGAUUAAGUGUAUACAAGUAGAGAAUGAGUUGUUGGGUCUUCGUUUUUGACAGGUUGAGAGUGGGAAUACCAAGGAUUUUAGACUGAAUAGUGAAGGGGUGCUCUAUAUCUGUGGGAGAAUCUAUGUAAAGACCUUCGUGAGUUAUACUAGUGGCCAGGUCUUAAAUGAGAAUUUACUAAAUUUUUGGCUAAGUGUCUGACAUGCUAGCAGGUUAAGGCUGAACAGCAGUUACCUUCGGGAUUGUUGCAGCCAGUCAAGAUUUCAGUUUGGAAGUGGGAGCAUGUAACUAUGGAUUUCAUUAGUGGGUUACCCCUCACACCCACUAAAAAGGAUUCGAUGUAGGUCAUCGUGGAUUGAUUGACCAAAUCCGCCCACUUCAUACCAAUUUGUACUGAUUACUCUCUGUAGAAGCUGGCUAAAUUGUAUGUGUCUGAAAUAGUGAGAUUACAUGGGGUACCGAUUUUAAUAAUAUCUUAUAGGGAUCCUCAUUUCACAUCUCGGUUCUGGAAGAAGCUAUAUGAAGCUUUGGGUACAAGAUUGGAGUUUAGUACUGCGUUUUAUCCUCAGACUGACGGUCAGUCAGAGAGGGUGAUUCAGAUACUAGAGGAUAUGUUGAGAAGUUGUGUGAUUGACUUUCGAGGUAGUUAGGAGGAUUACUUACCGCUAGUAGAAUUUGCAUAUAACAACAACUAUCAGUCUAGCAUUCAAAUGACACCCUAUGAGGCAUUAUAUGGUCGUAGGUGUCGCACACCUUCAUGUUAGACUGAGUUAGGCGAGCAGCGUAUUUUGGGGCCUGAACCAGUUUCUGAUACAGAGGAUAAAGUUAGACUAAUUCAGGACCAACUGAAAGCGAUAUCUAAUAGGCAUAAGUCCUACACCGAUCUAAAGAGUCGAGGGAUUGAGUAUUCUGUGGGGGACUUCAUUUUUCUCAAGGUCUCACCAUGGAAGAAGGUAUUAAGGUUUGGUCGUAAGGGCAAGUUGAGCCCUAGUUUAUUGGGCCCUAUCGCAUACUAAAACGUGUGAGAUGAGUUGCCUACCAGUUGGAGUUACCUCUAGAGUUAGAUCGGAUUUAUGACGUGUUCCAUGUCUCUAUGUUGAGGUUACCGCUCUAAUCCUACGCAUAUUAUUCCUAUUAAGGAAAUCAAGGUUAGGCUAGAUCUAACCUUUGAGGAGGAGUCAAUUCAGAUAUUGGAGUGAGAUAUAAAGGUUCUAAGAAGAAAAUUCAUCCCACUAGUUAAGGUUAUUUGGCGUAACCAUAGCACUGAGGAGGCCAUAUGGGAGUCUAAGGAUGUAAUGCUUUAGCAGUAUCCUCACCUAUUCUGAUCAGGUAAAUUUUCAAGGCCAAAAUUUUCUUUUAGGGGGUAGAGUUGUAGCGCCCCAAAAAUCCCUUAUAUAUUUAUUUUCGUAUUUUUUAUACAAAUAUCUGUCAGCUUUAGAGGCUAUGUGCUCUGGUAGUGUUUGGGAGGUCCCAAGUUCAAGCCUUAGCUUGGGCAAUUUUUUAGUUUUAAAUGAAUAAAAUCAUAUCUUUGAUCAAUAGGCUUAUAAAUAGAUGUUGGUAAAAUAUGUCAGAAUGGGCAUGCUGGUCUAGUGGUUAAGUGGGGUGCAAAUAUGCUGCAGGUCUUGUGCUUGAAUCUCUAUGUAUAGAGCAUGUUGUUAAACUGUACUACAUGCAUAUAUGAUACCAUGAUAUGACAUGACAUGAUUGUGUGGUGCAUGGCAUGGGGAUAGGUUAUUAUUGAUCGAAGGAAGUGUACUGGAAGGCUUUGAGCCUAACUUACUGGCAGCUCAGCUGCAUAUUACUGUAUAGUGUCGCCAUUGGUACUACUUAGAGUGUAGGGAUGGGUGGGUUGAUUAUAUCCCCACAUGAAGUGUAGGGUUGGUCGGAGUUGGUGUGUAGAGGUUGGCUAGGUAGGACUUGUAUACUGCAUAAUCUGUUAAUGUACUGAUUGCUAAUAUUGUAAUGGGCCAAGGCCCAAAUGCAUGAUUACUUUUGUACUAAGAUGGGCUAAAGCCCAAACCAAUACUGUCACUGAUACUGGAAAGGGCUUAGGCCGGACUGAGUUUAUUCUGUUUUCUGUCUGAUUAUUUUGUGUACUGUCUAUUUGUUUGCACUAGGAAUAUCACACUGAGUUUUGAAAACUCACCCUUUCUGUUAAUCUGUGUAGGUAAUCCCCAGUCGUAGGUAGAUCGGUGUGGCGGAGGAUUCAGCGGUGGCCACACGACUCCUUUUUAUUGUUUCGUAUCUAAUGAUAUUUAUUUUUAAGUCUUUAUUUGGGGUUUUUAUCUGUAAUAAUUGCUGCUAUGGAUUUUUUAUUUAAAUUUGGAUUUAACACUACUUCAUGUUUACAUCUGCUAGAGGUAGAUAUAGCACGGAUUUUUGAAAAGAAAUGCAUGUGUUUUAGCAAAAUACCCCAAUGUCACAAACUGUUUUAAAAAGCUUCCGCAACGUAUAAUGAUUUGCAAACUAACAAUUGAAUAAAAAUCACUAUUUUGGGAUUAACAAAAGAUAACGACGACCUCUAAUCGAAAAAUGUUUUAAGCAAAGUUACCAUUUUUCAACAUGAGCUUCGGUUUUGAAAAAUACCACCAUGUGACAUCGCCAAAUUCGCCCGUAACAUCCAGGCUGGGUUUGGGGUGUUAGAUAACUAAUUGCUUGAACUUAAGUACAUUUUGUUGCAUUUUAAGACAUUUUAGUUAGCAUUUCUAAUAUUGCAUUAGGACUUAGAUUGUGUUGGACUUAUGUGUUUUUAAUAUGGUGGAGUUUUUUUGUGUGUUGGUAUGGCAAGAACAUAUUUUAGAACGAGGAAAUAAAUGAGUGAAGUUUUGUCAGGGAAAAAGUGCAGACAGUUUGCCAGCACGGAUGCCGUGACAAUGCCAGGAAGACCAAGUAAACAUUUUUUUGCGCAACAGUCUCAAUUGAAAUUAAAACUUGUACCAGAUAAAUCUUCAAAAAAGAGGAGAAGAUAAUCACAAGUUGUUACUUGACACUAGCCUAAUCUACCUAUAAAAGCCAAUAAAGGGGAUCUCACAAAUGGCAGAAAAAAGUGGGAGGGAUCCUUAGGUGUGAAUAAGGUUUUAGUUGCGCAAAGGAAAGGAAGUCGAAGGCAGUGCUUUUUAGCCAUCACAGGAUGUUGUGCUACCGAAGUGUAAACUAGGCAAGUGAAAGUUGUUUCCCAAAGUUCUUUCGUUAUUUCCAUCAGCGUUCCUUCAAAAUAUUGAAGUAGUUGAACACAAUGUCAGAUAAUAUUUUGCUUUUGAAUUUUAUUUCUCAGCCCAUGAGCUAAAUCUCGUAGGGUUGGGAUUACUUUUGAUGAAACCUUAAACUAUUUUUAUGGAUGCAGUAUAUAUCUAAUUUACUUUACUGUUUCAUUUGAUUGUUCUUAUUUCUUAAUUAAAAUGCAAAUGAUUUCUAAACAUAGAAGACUGUUCGCAUACUUAUAAACUCAUUCUAAUUCUGAAAGGGUUGGAUUGGUUGGAUUAAAAUUAAAUGAAAUGAGCAAGUAUUCGAUGGACACUUGUAGUAGACUCUAUACAUAGAGUGACGAUCAUACAGAAGGAACCCAUGCAAGGUAUCUAAAAAGUCUUUAGACAUAGGCAAGGUAACUUGAUGUUUUCCUCUCAUGAGAGGAGAGCCAUUUUAGUACUCUUCUGUGCUUUAUAGUAGAUACGAUUUUCCCAAGGCAUUAUUGACAAUAAGGGUCAAUAUUCGGUAAUCCUGACCUUCGAAAUCCACAUCGUAUAUCCUUUAUUCUUUUCCACAUCAUUAUUAGUUAUUUAUUUGUUCAUUUACAUAAUAUUCCCAUAGUAAUUCUCAUCAUUGUCAUUACAUUUCUACUCUUGGUUUGACACAACAUUACCACUUAUUUAUUAAUUCUAUGUAUUGCUUACAUCAUUACUCUACUAAUUGCCACUGUAUAUUCAUCAUUGACUCUCCCAUAGCAUUAAUCGUAUUUUAUUAUAAUAAUUUGACCAAUUGUGUGCCUCAAUCCGAUCUUUAUGGGAACGAUACACACUCAUCACUUUAUUACGUGAUUCAACUGUAUACUUGCACAAAUCGCAUAUCAUUUCACACACGAUAGUGUUCAAUUGAACCCUUUGAGAUAUAAACCUAGACAAACUCAAUUAAUGGCUUUAAUUAACCCACCAAGAAAUAAUGAUUGGCAAAUUGAACGAUGAAGAAUGAAUUCCCAUGACUCCUUAAAAAAUUGAGAAGAAAAAUACUUCUAAAAAUCACAAGAAACAAAUCUUGGACAAAGAAACUAACUUUCAGAGUUGGAAAUUUUAGUAAUAAACAAAAACAAUUGCAUCUCUAAUGAACAUGAAGGGCCUUUACAUAGGCUAGAUAAGUACAUCCAGAUAAAAUAUUCAAGUAUCUUGAAACUUUAAUUAAUAUAAGUAAUAAGUAAUUUUAAACUAAAAUAGUCAUAAUUUUCGUCAUAAUCCCGUCCAAAAAUUCUGCUCACAUAAUCAUCAUUAAAAUAGUCAUAAUUUAAGCUCUUGAACUCAAAAUUGAGUGAAUAAAAGUGUGUUUCGAAGUUAAGUGCUAGAUCUUAGAACUUUAUGAAGACAUAUCAAUCGAAAAUUGUCCGGAUCCCAUCCAAAGAGUCACAGCAAGUUAACUAAUUUUUCAAACUUGAAAAUUGGCAACUUCGGGGAAUGGAAUUUAAUACAGUUCACCCCAUCUAUUCAUGUAUCAACUCGCAUUGGUAAAAAGUAAAAAGAAAUAAUCUAUAGAGAAAAUAGUUGAAGAAUUUAUGAAAAUUUAUUCAAAUCUCUUUUUUUUCUAGUCUUUGCAAGCUUGAAUUUUCCCUUGGUGUGUGAGAGUUGUUCCUUACCCUCUAAGUGAUUUUUUUUCUUUUUCUUUCUCUUCGAUCUCGUCACCUAAGGGUGUUCAAACAAUUGAUUCAGUUAGUACCCGUGCAAAACUAUCAUUAACUGAAAUUUUGAAACCCUUAAUCAUUAAUCAAACCAUUUUCUUUUUUGAAACCUACUAACCAGCUUGAUUGAUUUGGGUUAAUUUGAGUGGUUAACCAAAAUUUAAACAUUGUUUGUUUUUGUUCAAACAAUUUUAAAACAAAGAACAAUCCAUGACAAUUUUUCCUUGUUUUUUAUUCAAAAAAAUUAAAAGAAUUAAAAAAAUAACAUAAUAACAACACUAAAUUAAAAACAUAAUAGCAUUCAUUACAUUACAAAGCAUAUAUAUAUAUUUACUUUUUCUUGACUUUUUAGUUUAAUUUUCGUUUUAUUUUCCUAAUAUUUUUAGUUUUCAUAUUUUUGUUAAGCUUAUUAUAAGAACACUUAUAAAUCCAUUAGUUCUUAUAUAUUGGGUUUGUAUAAUGUAUUCGACCUAUCUCUAAUAUAUUGGGCCUAUAAUAUAUUUUUAUUGAUUUCGGUUAAUCAAUUCAUUCGAUUAAUUAGUCGAUUUCAAACUAAAAUAAUUGGUAAACAAAAUCUUCAAAAACCUUUAACCAACUCCAACCAAAUUAGAUUCAUUGAUCAACUUCUUAAUCAAAUUAAUUAGGUUUGAUAAAUUAAUUCGUUAAAACUGAAAAAUGCACACCCCUAUCAUCACCGUUGUUUUUAGGGAUUUUAAUCAUGUUGCUCCACCUGAUGCAGAAGUUGAGGUGGAAUGAACUACUUGCUACCAAAAUUUUUGAAUUAUAGAGCAUGCUCUACCGCAGUGAAUCAAAUUCGGUGGAGUGGAAGACUUUUCUUUACUACUUUAUGCUCUAUGCUCCAAGUCUUCUAUUCUUCUUCUGAGACCUAAAAUGGGAAAAAAAAAGAAGAAACAAGUCUAAACUAACUUUGAAAAUUAGAAAUUCUCAACAAAAUUGAAAUAAAAUAUAAUUAAUCCAUAAAAACUAUAAAAAAUACAAUAAAAACGAACCUAAAUACUAAAAUUACCUCCUAAAAAGCUAUGGAAACUAUACUAAAAUAAUUCUAAAUAUGAUAGUUAUCAAAAAUGACAUGAGGAAGCCAAUCGAGUAGAUGCUUUCAACUAUUGCAAAUACCAUUAGUCGAUUAGCCAUCAUCUUGAGAACAUCAUAGAGUUGAAAGAAAAAAUCAUACAACUCCAUAAAGAAGAAAAAAUCAUUUUUGAAAAAGAAUUGGCAUUAUCAAACUUGACAUCAAUGCUUUGGUUUCUCAAUACAAUAUUAUGGACAAAUUCAUCAAAUUUGGCUCUUUCAAUCCUAUUACACUAGCUCUAAGUAGAAGUAAGAUGGUGAGUUUCGAAGGGAUUGAGGGCAAUCAUCUAUUUUUGGAAUAUCAGAAUGGUCAUGAUUGGACUCUAGCCACAUGUCAAAGAAGCCAAUGAAAAGCAUCUCUCCUAGGUAUAAGCUUAUAUUAUCACAUUGCUCCUAAGCAUGAGCAUAAAUCGUUCAUCCAGAAUGAUGAUGAUCCUAAGCAUAAGCUUAAACUAUUCAUCUAAUGCUCCUAAGAUGGAGCUUAAUCUAUUCAACCUAAACGAUCAUGCUUUAAGCACAAUCUUAAACUAUUCACAAAAAAUAAAUGAUGAUCCAAUGAAGCAUGAGCUUAAACUAUUCAUACAAAAUAAGCGAUGACCUUCUAAGCAUGAAUUUAAAUUGUUCAUACAUAAUAAAUGAUGAUAUUACUAAGAACAAGCUUAAACUGUAGUCUAAAAAAUAUUGAACUAUAUUAUAACUUGAUCUUUUAAAAAUGAAGGUACGUAGAUAGCUUGGUUUCAUUGCCAAGUUCAGUCUAAUUAAAUAUGUUUAUGGUGUGUUUAGAGAAUUAAAUGAUUAUAUGAUUAUUUUCCAGGUAUUCGAGGUUGUUUCAUUUGGUUUAAUGGGUAAAUAAAGCUUUAAGGGGUAUGUGAUUACAUGAAAUGAACUAUCAUAUUUGAGUAAUGAUAUGGAUGAUGAUGAAAUGUUUAAUUGAAAAGGAAAUAUGGUUUAGUAUAUAUGUAUGAGUGGUGAAUUAUGAAAGUGAAAUGUAGAUAUGUUUUAUACCAUGUUUUGAUUCGAAUUAUAUAUGAUAUUUAAACCAACUAACCUUGUGAGGUGGUGUGUAUAGGAAAGGAAAGUUGGCUUAAAACAUAAUGAAAUUAUGCUUGGUUUUUUAACUUAAAAUAUUCAAUAAGUUAAGUUUCCUUUAUAUGAACUUACUAAACAUUAGUUGCUUACAUAGUUAUUUUUCUUUAUUUUGUAGUUCAUCAGAAGCUCGACCGAUUGGAAUCAUGUUAGAGCAUGAUCACACUAUCCAUUCAACAUUUUAAUAGUUCUUCGUUAUUUUGGUAAAUAGUUGUAAAUGACAUGUAAUGGGGUUUAACGGUCAUUCCAGUAAUUUGACUUGUUUUGAGUUGUGUCAAGCUUAUUGUGAUUAAUGUUGUUAGUUGCUGGCAUGUAAAUAAUGGUGUAAAUAUGUGUGAUCGGACCCUUAUGCAUGCUUUAUUGAUUAAAGAUAUCAUAUGUUAAAAUGGCAUGUUUUUGGAAUGGUUAUUUGGCAUGAUUGGUAUUUAUGAUCUUGAGAUGUUGAAUUGAAUUAAGUUUGAUAUGUAUAUUGUGAUACCUUCAUUGACAUAUUGGUUAGAUAUUAAAGGAUGGUUGAUUUGGUAUGUUUUUGAAAUGGUUGUUGGUAUGUUUUCUCUAAGUUAAUUAAAUGAAUUUGUAAUGUUGAAUGGUAUAAUAUUUGUUGGUACAUUAGUUAGUCUUAUAGGUUGAUGGAAUUGGUAUGUUUUAAAUGUGUUUUGGUUAUUUCAAUGUUUGUGGAAAUGGUGUGUCUUGGUGUACAAGAUUUGAAAUUGAAACGGCUUGAUUUAGAAGCAACUUAUGCUACACACCGCCUGGGACAUGGAUUGUCACAUGGCUGUGUCAUUAUUAUUUUAGGUAUAGGUUUCACACAAUCUAAGACUCAGCUCACGACACAGCUGUGUAUCACAAGUCAGUAUGUAACACGGUUUUGUACAUGGCCUGCGACACGAUCGUGUGUCCAGACUUCGAAUGUCCACAUGGUCUAGGCUAUGUCACAUGGCUUGGCCACAUGGCCGUGUGACUUUUGUUUUCAAGUUUUCCAAAAUUUUCUAUUUUAUUUCAAAUUGAUCCUAGAAUAUUCUCAAACUAUUUUUAAGGCCCCGUAGGUUCGGAUUAAGGCCCGUAAGUGUAUGUUUGCUAUAAUUAAGUUGUGUUAUUGAAUGUUAUUAAUUCAAACACAUGAAUACUUUGUUGUAAGUUAAAUGUUUUAAUUUGUACUAUAAUGCUUCGUAACCCUAAUCUGGCGAUGGAAACAAGUUUGGCGUGUUACAAUUUUGUAUUGUAAAUUUGUUUUGGGGCUUUGUUCUUUGGUUCUUGUGAUGUUGGUUGGAUUUUGGUGUUUUAACAUUAAACUGCAAAAUUGUAGGAUUUAACAAACUAAAAUUAGGUUUUCAAAAUUAAAACUCUGGAAAUUUUUGUUGCAAAGUUUAAGUAAUCACUUAAGUGUUUUUCUAUAGAUAAUUAAAUGGUUUUUAACAAAUGUUUUCCUUACUUUUGGAAAUGAUCUGCCAACAUUAGUACUUCUAAAACACAUGAUUUCAAAUUCAAAUUCUCAGUUUUAAAUAAGGGUUUUCACACUUCGAUUUUUUUUAAACAUUUUUGAGAGGUUUUUGCCAAAUUUUAUGUUUUCAGAACGUGUAACCAAGUUGAUUUUUAAUUAGUUUUUCAAAGUAGUCGAUGUAAUUCCUCAAAAAUCCAGUCAUAGCGUCUAGGCCGGGUUUGGGAUAUUAUACUGACGUUACUAAAGUUAAUCUUCAUCUAUUUAGUCUUGAUCUAAACAUUAAUAUUCUCUUCAAAAAAAAUCAAGAUUAUCAAAUUGUUAAAACUUGGUAGGCAGACAAUCAUAUUAAAUAAGCAUAAAACUUAAUAAAUAAUUACCGAAGAUUGAAAUAAUCAAAGAAAAAAUAAAUUAAUUAACUAAGAAAUAGGAUCCAUUAUUGUUUCAAGAAAAUAGAGUUUAGUUCACAUUGAGUUGAGAAAACCAAAAGGGAGAUUCAAAACAAACUUGUGAUAAGGGGAAUAAUGUCAAUAGAUCAUAUUCAAGUUGUUCGGCUUGAGAAAGAAAGAUUCAGAUCUAACUUGAAAACAAGAAACCAAAAAGAUUUAGAAAAACAAGAAAAAACAAAGAAAAUAACUAAAAUGAUAAAUUUAAGAAUAAAUAAUCAAUAUUAAAAAUAAUAAAGAAAUAAAGAAAUUAUAGAAUAAAUAGUGGAAGAUGGAAUGAAUAAACGAUGGAUAUGACAUAUAGAUGGAUAAGUGUCUUAUAAUUCAUGAAAAGAGUUAUAUUUCAUGCCUUUAGACCUAACUAAUUGUUUGUACUUAAGUACAUUUUGUUGCAUUUUAAGACAUUUUAGUUAGCAUUUCUAAUAUUGCAUUAGGACUUAGAUUGUGUUGGAAUUAUGUGUUUUUAAUAUGGUGGAGUUCUUUUGUGUGUUGGUAUGGCAAGAACAUAUUUUAGAACGAGGAAAUAAAUGAGUGAAGUUUUUUCAAGGAAAAAGUGCAGACAGUUUGCCAGAACAGAUGCCGUGACAAUGCCAGGAAGACAAAGUUAACAUUUCUUUGCGCAACAGUCUCAGUUGAAAUUAAAACUUGUACCAGAUAAAUCUCCCUAAAAGAGGAGAAGAUAAUCACAAGUUGUUACUUGACACUAGCCUAAUCUAUCUAUAAAAGCCAAUAAAGGGGAUCUCGCAAAUGGCAGAAAAAAAUGGGAGGGAUCCUUAGGUGUGAAUAAGGUUUUAGCUGCGCAAAGGAAAGGAAGUCGAAGGAAGUGCUUUUUAGCCAUCACAGGAUGUUGUGCUACCGAAGUGUGGACUAGGCAAGUGAAAGUUGUUUCCCAAAGUUCUUUCGUUAUUUCCAUCAGCGUUCCUUCAAAAUAUUGAAGUAGUUGAACACAAUGUCGGAUAAUAUUUUGCUUUUGAAUUUUAUUUCUCAGCCCAUGAGCUAAAUCUCGUAGGGUUGGGAUUACUUUUGAUGAAACCUUAAACUAUUUUUGUGGAUGCAGUAUAUAUCUAAUUUACUUUACUGUUUCAUUUGGUUGUUCUUAUUUCUUAAUUAAAAUGCAAAUGAUUUCUAAACAUAGAAGACUGUUCGCAUACUUAUAAACUCAUUCUAAUUCUGAAAGGGUUGGAUUGGUUGGAUUAAAAUUAAAUGAAAUGAGCAAGUAUUCGAUGGACACUUGUAGUAGACUCUAUACAUAGAGUGACGAUCAUACAGAAGGAACCCAUGCAAGGUAUCUAAAAAGUCUUUAGACACAGGCAAGGUAACUUGAUGUUUUGCUCUCACGAGAGUCAGGCCAUUUUAGUACUCUUUUGUGCUUUAAAGUAGAUACGAUUUUGCCAAGGCAUUAUUGACAGUAAGGGUCGAUUUUGGGUAAUCAACUUUCCAAAUCCACAUCGUAUAUCCUUUAUACCUUACCAUAGUAUAUUUGCCACAUCAUUAUUAGUUAUUUAUUUGUUCAUUUACAUAAUAUUCCCAUAGUAAUUCUCAUAAUUAUCAUUAGAUUUCUACUCUCAGUUUGCCACAACAUUACCAAUUAUUUAUUACCUCCACGUAUUGCUUACACCAUUACUCUACUAAUUUCAACUAUAUAUUUAUCAUUGAGUUUGCCAUGGCAUUAAUCGUAUUUUAUUAUAAUAACUUGACCAAUUGUGUGCCUCAAUCUGAUCCCCAUGGGAACGAUACUCACUCAUCACUUUAUUACGUGAUUCAACUGUAUACUUGCACAAAUCGCAUAUCAUUUCACACACGACAGUGUUCAAUUGAAACCUUUAAGAUAUAAACUCGGACAAACUCAAUUAAUGGCUUUAAUCAACCCACCAAGAAAUAAUGAUUGGCAAAUUGAACGAUGAAGAAUGAAUUCCCAUGACUCCUUAAAAAAUUGAGAAGAAAAAUACUUCUAAAAAUCACAAGAAACAAAUCUUGCACAAAGAAACUAACUUUUAGAGUUGGAAAUUUUAGUAAUAAACAAAAACAAUUGCAUCUCUAAUGAACAUGAAGGGCCUUUACAUAGGCUAGAUAAGUACAUCCAGAUAAAAUAUUCAAGUAUCAAGUACAUCCAGAUAAAAUAUUCAAGUAUCUUGAAACUUUAAUUAGUAUAAGUAAGAAGUAAUUUUAAACUAAAAUAGUUAUAAUUUCCGUCAUAAUCCCAUCCAAAAAUUCUGCUCACAUAAUCAUCAUUAAAAUAGUCAUAAUUUGAGCUCUUGAACUCAAAAUUGAGUGAAUAAAAGUGUGUUUCGAAGUUAAGUGCUAGAUCUUAGAACUUUAUGAAGACAUAUCAAUCGAAAAAUGUCUGGAUCCCAUCCAAAAAGUCACCACAAGUUAACUAAUUUUUCAAACUUGAAAAUUGGCAGCUUUGGUGAAUGGAAUUUAAUAAAGUUCACCCCAUCUAUUCAUGUAUCAACUCGCAUUGGUAAAAAGUAAAAAGAAAUAAUCUAUAGAGAAAAUAGUUGAAGAAUUUAUGAAAAUUUAUUCAAAUCUCUUUUUUUUCUAGUCUUUGCAAGCUUGAAGUUUCCCUUGGUGUGUGAGAGUUGUUCCUUACCCUCUAAGUGAUUUUUUUUCUUCUUCUUUCUCUUCGAUCUCGUCACCUAAGGGUGUUCAAACAAUUGAUUCAGUUAAUACCCGUACAAAACUAUCAUUAACUGAAAUUUUGAAACCCUUAAUCAUUAAUCAAACCAAUUUUUUUGAAACCUACUAACUAGCUUCAUUGUUUUCGGUUAAUUUGAGCGGUUAACCAAAAUUUACACAUUGUUUGUUUUUUUUCAAACAAUUUUAAAACAAAGAACAAUCCACGACAAUUUUUCCUUGUUUUUUAUUCAAAAAAAUUAAAAGAAUUAAAAAAAACAUAAUAACAACACUAAAUUAAAAACAUAAUAGCAUUCAUUAUAUAUAUAUUUACUUUUUCUUGACUUUUUAGUUUAAUUUUAGUUUUUUUUUUCCAAAUAUUUUUAGUUUUCAUAUUUUUGUUAAGCUUAUUAUAAGAAAACUUAUAAAUCCAUUAGUUUUUAUAUAUUGGGUUUGUAUAAUGCAUUGGACCUAUCUCACAUAGUCAUCAUUAAAAUAGUCAUAAUUUGAUCUCUUGAACUCAAAAUCGAGUGAAUAAAAGUGAGUUUCUAAGUUAAGUGAUAGAUCUUAGAACUCUAUGAAGACAUAUCAAUUGAAAAAUGUCUGAACUCCAUCCAAAAAUUCACGCAAGUUAACUAAUUUUUCAAACUUGAAAAUUGGUAGCUUCGGUGAAUGGAAUUUAGUAAAGUUCACCCCAUAUAUUGAUGUAUCAACUUUCAUUGUAAAAAGUAAAAAGAAAUAAUCUAUAGUGGUUAGUGUUUUAAUGGGGGUUUUGUGUUUACUCUCGGUUAGGGGAAGGGCAAGAAGAGUUGGUACUCCUGCAGCAAUUUGAGCGUUAAGGGUGUCUGUUCGUCGGCGGUAAGGUUUCAAAUUCUUUGUUGGUUAUUGUAAGGCUCCGUUUGUGGAAUGGUUUUGGAUUGAGUUUCGUAAGUGUACUGAAUUUGGGCUUCUGGAUGCUAUUUCUUAGGUUCGAUGGUCUCGGGGGUGCUUGUGCAUCAAAACGAUAUCAGGUGUGUACCCGAAAUGCAGAAAAUCGAGCUUCGAUGAAAUCUAAAACACCUUACUAUCGACACCACAAGGGCAUGUGCCUGGCCGUGUGGUUGGCUGUGUGUAGGACACGGUCAUGUGUUUGACGAGGGUAGGGUCGUGAGGAAGACAUGGCCGUGUGACGAUGUGGGCCCGCAGGCUAGGCCAAGUUAGGCUUGUGGGUUUUGGGCCACAUGUGCAUGUGGGUUUUGGGCCAAGCCAUGUGAACCACAUGGACAGGGCUAAUCUGGGUGUGUUGACCACAUGGGCAUGUGGGCCCGAAAUUCUAAAAUUUUUCGUAGGGUCUCACAGGUCAUUUUGGUCGACUUUGUGCCUACCGUAGGGUCAGUAAGGGCUAACCAAACCCUAAAACUAUGUGAUCUGUUAGUUUGAUAUUUGUUCUAAAUAUGAUACUACUAUGCAUGUCUGAUUAGUCUGGUGUAUAUAUAUAUAUCUGAUAUAUAUGUAUGAGCAUGUGAGCAUGAUAACUCUGAUUAUAUAUAUCUGAUUGAGGUGGGAUUUCUAUAUGUGGAGGAAGUGUUCUAUAUGGCGGUCAUCGCCUAUGUUCUGGCAGCUUGGCUAUACAUUAUCUGACAUGUAUCGUAAUGGCACGAUAUGGUGUGUAGGGAUUGGUGGGUGUUUUUAACCCCACAUGAUGUGAUGGGAUGGUCAGAGUUGGUUUGUAGAGGAUGGAGUUAGGAUUCUGUAUUUCUAAUAUGCAUAUAUGUUCUAUUAUUUGAAUCUAUAAAGGACUUAGGUCUGAAUCUGAAUCUGAAAUUGUAUCUGAUCGUGUAUGAGUUUAUUGCACGUAUUGCAUGUAUUUUUCUGUUGGGUUACACACUGAGUUUACGAAAACUCACAUUUGUUUGUCGGUUUUGUUUAGGUAAUCCACAGACUUAGACGGGUCAGUGUUACGGAGGCUCAGUGGUGACCACUUGAUUGAGAACUAUUUUACUUAGUAAAUUAUGUUUUAUUUAUAAUUUCGAUUUCAUUUGAGAGUUUGUAAUUUUUGGGACUCUCCGGACUGCUGGUUUUUAUUUUGGUUUUGGAUGCGAUUUUAGACUCUUUUGUUGCGAUGCAUAAUGGAAAACACGGUUUUAUGAAAACAAAGGUUAUUCUGAAAAUACGAACUGGAUUUCUAAAAUAUAACGGUUCAAAAACUUCUGCUAAAAAUCAUGUUUUGGUAAAUAAAUGAAUUAAGUAACACUUUCAAAAAUGGUUAUAAAGAAAUAUGAACUAUGAAUCUUUAAUGAUUUGACAAAAAGACCUUAUUUUCAAAACCAUACAUUGUGACCACUCCAGAUUCAGCUAUAACGUCUAGACCGAUUUGGGGUGUUACAGUAAGGAUGAAAAUUUAAGGGGGAGUGAGCUAUGGCGCUUAGUAUGAGUUCAUUCACAAUAAAUUCAAUGCAAACGGUUGGUAGGACACAUUAAAUAAUAUCACAUAAAAUAAUCACAGUCAGAUAAUAGUUUAGAAUGUCGGUUUUACAAUUUAACCACCAAUAUUAUCACAGUAUUCACAGUUGUAAUUUCAGAAUAUCAAAUUUUCACACCAUUCACAAUAUUUAGAUAUAUAUAAAUAUAUCAUAACAGAAUUCCAGAUUUGUAUGCACAUGAUUUAGAAGAUGCCAUACAAUUUCGGGUUUUAACAGAAUAAAUCCUACCCCACGUUACAUACCAUAAUGGGAGUUCCCCUAAACUCCCUUCUCCAACACACUGGGUACCACUACUGGUUUACAAAUAAUAACUAUCAUUUGGCUGUGGACACACAGCAAUCCCCCACAAUUGGAUUCUAGAUUUGGUUGUGGGUUCACAGCAAAAAAAUCUACAAAUGAAGCAUGCUUUUGCCUGUAGAUUAUACAACAUAUACCCAUAGUUGGAAUCUGCCUUCGGCUGUGGACACACUGUAACACCUCAAACCUGACCUGGACGUUAUGGCCGAAUCUUGAGGAAUUACUUUAACUCGCUAGAAAACCCAAGAGUUUACUUUGAAAUCAUGUGGUUAAACUAGUGUUCACUUUGAUAAAUCGUUUUCCAGUUUUAGGGAAAAUUAUUAUUAAAACUACUACUUUAUUACAAUAAAAAAUUAAAGUGAUUGUAUCAUUUUGUAACGGAAUCUACUGAGCUAUAAGGUUUUGAAAAUCGUGGUUUAAUUUGCAACAAAUCAUUUUGCAAAUAGAAAUUUAAUACUACUUAAUUUGGAAAAGCAUGCUAAAACGAAAGCAAAGUCCAAACUAAUUUACGAUUUAAAUUCUUAAAAGUCCAAAUUAAACAUAAAGUCAAUUUAAACCAGUUUAUCGAAAGUGUAACACCCCAAACCCGGCCUAGACAUUAUGGCCAAAUCUGGAUGUGUUACAAAAAAAAAGUUUAUAAAACGACUUCCUUGUUAUUGGCAAAUCAUCGCAACCAUUAUUACAUAGUAUGUCUGAUUUGUUUGGAGAACUUUUUGAUAUACUUAUUUGAUUUAAGAUCGUUGCUUGCUUAUGCCUUUCUAUUAAACCGAAUGUUUUGCAGUGGAGUUUCUUUAAAAUGUCAUAUUUUGGCAAAUCAAAUUGUUUCUUGAAAAUCGUUAUUUCAGAAAAGUUGUCAUUUUCAGGAAAACUAUUUUAUCGGUUGUUACGCUUAGAAAACCAAAAUAAAAUCCAAAACCAAAAAUAGUCCCAAAAAGUCCAAAGAGUCCCGAAAUUACAAAACUCUCAAAACCAGAAAAGUUUGAACUAAUUUUAAAAGAAUGAAAAUUUAUAGAAAUAUGGUCAACAUUGAGCUUCCGUCACACCGACCCACAUAAAUGUAAGGGUUACUUGAACAGAACAAACAAAUAGAGAGUGAGUUUUGAAACUCAGUGCGUAACGCGAAUAUAAACAAAAAUUUAGAAUCAAUCUAAUGCAUAACAGAUACAAAUGUAAACCUUUUAUAGAAUAAGAAUUAUACAGAUACAAAUGUGCAAAAUCCUACCCUCGUCCUCUACACACCAAUUCUGACCAGCCCAUCACACCACGUGGGGUAUAAAACACCCACCUAGCCAUACACACGGUAUAGUGUUUAUACGACACUUUUCAGAAUAAUCGCAGUAGAGUUGCCAGUAUAUAGGUGAGAUAUUUCCUCACACAGAACACUUCCUCCUCAUAAUACAAAUCCCGCUCCAUAGCCAGAUACAGACAGAAUAUUAGGUAAAACAAAUUAACAGAUACCAGAGUUAACAUAUCAUGCAUGAGCGUAUAACAAAUAUUACACAUGCUUGUACAUAACAGAACAAACCAUACAUACCGUAUUCCAUAAUACUCAUAUAAAUGUUAUUUUUUAAAUUGUAACAAAUAUUAUUAUUAAGAUGUUUUUCUUUUUAUAUUUUUAUAAAAAUAUAUUAAAAAACAAUUAGAAUAAUUUUAAGAGAAAAAACACUCAUAAAUAGUAGAAUUUAAUCUAAAAAUAUCAAAGUUUUAAAGCCUCAACUUUAACAUUUCAACCAAAAUUCCAUUAGUAUAUAAAUAUUUCAUAAAUAUAGAUUUUAUAUAAAAAAUUUAUGUUAACUUUUUUUUAACCCGCAUCACAAGUAUACCAUAUUUAGAGAUAUUCAUAGCUAGGCAGCCCACUUUGGGUCAAGCUUGAGCUUAGGUUUUAUCUCAAGUUGGCCCAAUUUAACCUAUUUUACUAUUUAAAAAUAUAAAUAUAUGUUAUAUUGAUAUUUAUAUAUUUCUAUAAUUAAAUUUUAAAUAAAUUUAUUGUUAACUUCUAAACAUAAAACAAAGAGAACUUUCACCCAAGUUAUAAGUUUGUGGUUAGACAGCCGACUUUCGGGGCAGGAUUCAGCUUACGUUUUUAAUCUUGGGAUUUAACAAUAAUAAAAAAUUUAAAAAUAAUAUUCUAUUAAUAUUUAUAAAUUUUAUAAAUUUAAAUUUAAUUAUAUUUUUUAAACAGUAAAAUGAACCAUUUAUAUGGGCUAAUUAGAGUUAAGUUUGGUUUGAAUCAAGGCUUAACUUUGACCAAAUCCAACUAAAAACACCUCUAACAAUUAUCUAGUAUUGUUUUUAUGAAUUGAAUUUUAACUUCUAAUUUUCAAUUUUAUUACAAAAUUUCUUUGCGGACGAUAAGAAAAUAACAUAUUUGUAACUUCUUCACUCCGACGUAAAGGUUAAGUCUGAAUUUGGAUUACAUCGGCCAUAAAUAUGGCCUAGCAGGAUUAUCGGAGUUUUUAAAAAUAGACAUCUUUAAAACGUUUGUUUAAUUUAUAAAAAAGCUUAUUUAAUUUCCAAAUUAUUUAUUACUUGAAAUCUUAAUUACAUUUUAAAAGCAGGAAGUGGUAACUAUUUAUUUUUAAUAAAAAUCGGGGUUCAUGUAUAAUUCAUUAAUAACCGUAAUUCGAAAACAUUAAAACUUAAAUUAAAUGUCAUGCAAAACAAAACAAACUUAAAUCUAAAUCUCAUGCCACAGUGCAAAACAAUUUAUUGUAGUCUUAGAAAAUAAAAAAAAAUCAUAUAAUGAACCUAAAAUAAUUUUUUUUACUUUAAUAAUGUGUCAAGACCUUACAAAUGUCACGCCCACGUUCAAUCCUGGUGGGUUAUCUAUAAGGAUGAAAAUUUAAGGGGGGUGAGCUUUGACGCUUAGUGUGAGUUCAUUCACAAUAAAUUCAAUGCAAACGGUUGGUAAGACACAUUAAAUAAUAUUGCAUAAAAUAAUCACAGUCACAUAACAGUUCAGAAUGUCGAUAUUACAGUUUAACUACCAAUAUUAUCACAAUAUUCAUAGUUGUAAUUUCAGAAUAUCAAAUUUCCACAUCAUUCACAAUAUUAACAUAUAUAUAAAUAUAUCAUAAUAGAAUUCUAGAUUUGUAUGCACAUGAUUUAGAAGAUGCCAUACAAUUUUGGGUUUUAACAGAAUAAACCCUACCCCACGUUACAUAUCAUAAUGGGAGUUCGCCUAAAAUCCCUUCUCCAACACACUAGGUUGUGGAUAAACCAAUACUCAUCCGCAGAUAAUAACUAUCAUUUGGCUGUGGACACACAGCAAAUCCCCACAGUUGGAUUCUAGGUUUGGCUAUGGGUUCACAGCAAAAAGUCCUGCAAAUGAAGCCUAUUUUUGCAUGUAGAUUAUACAACCUAUACCUGCAGUUGGAAUCUGCCUUUGGCUAUGGAUGCACUAUAACGCCCCAAACCUGACCUGGACGUUAUGGCUGAAUCUUGAUGUAACGCCCUAAAAUUUCUAAUUCUAUUAUUGUAAAAAUAUGACACAAAAUAUUUGUCUGCUUUAGUGGUUAUGUGUUCUGGGAGUGUUUGGGAGGUCCCAAGUUCACGUCUUUGCUUGGGCAAAUUUUGGUAUUUUGAAUGAAUUAGGCUUUACUCUUGUUCAGUAGGAUUUUAUUUGAUUGUUGGGAAAAUUAUAUCAGAAUGGGCUUGCUGGUCUAGUGGUUAAAUUGUGUGUUAUUAUGGUGAAGGUCUUGUGUUCAAAUCCUUAUGUAGGCAAAGGUAUUAUUAUUAUUAUUUUUGCUCAGAUUUCGGGAUAUAGUUGUGUAAUAGGGGGAUUCUGAGUAGUGGAUGUGUAGUGGGAAUUAGGGGAGAAGAUUAAGGGGUUUCGGGAUUUUAUUUUAUUUUUUCCCAGAACGGAAUUUUGACUCUCUUUUCCAAAAAAAUUCUGUCGUCUAUUCUUCUCCCUCUCCUCUUGUCGAUAUUCUCUAAGUUUUUUCAUCUUUCUCUUCUUUUUCUUCUUCUUGAUUUUUCCCUAAUCCAUUUAUUUUUCCUUCAUUUUCGCACGCGAUUAGUGCUCGCUUAGUUUCGGUAAGCGUUUCUCUUUGUUUUUAUCAUGAAUCUCCUAGGGACUAAAGUGGUAAUUUUUUUCUCUGCGAUUUGGGCAUAAGGGAAGGCUCGGACUGGUGAAUUCAGUAUUCUCAUCUUAUCAAUAGUUAAAUGGGGGGUUAUCGUUGGUGGUAUGUUGGGUUUCUGUUCGUUCUUGGUUGUCAAUUCGCUUGUAAAUCCAUUAAAUUGAUGUUUAGUAUCUUGAUUAUAGGCUUUGGAGUGCUUGGGGACUGUUUUAGCAUCAAACAAAACCAGGUGUGUACCCGAAACGCAAAAAAAAAGGGAUUCGGUGAAAAGUUAAAAUUGCUUGCUAUUUGGACAGCAGCAGUAGACUAAUUUUGAAAAAUCACCAUAAAUUGUGGAAAUCGAAUUAGAGGAUGAAAAAAAUAUGAAAUUAAAUCUUAUUGAGUCUAGUUUCUCAUAGAAGAAACGGUGUAAGUAAUGGAAUUGUAAAUCGUGAGAUAUAAUAAACUUUGUGAGACAAGGUUAGAAUAAAUUCGGGUUCCCCUGUUCUGAUUUUGGAAAAUCAUCAAAAAUUGGAGAAAAGUAAUUAGGAAUUAAAAUUUACAUGUUUAAAUUAUUAAUGAGUCUUUUUUUUCAAUAGAAACAAAUGGGAACUUCAUCCAAAUUUUGUACUAAAAGAUAAUUAAUUUUUAGCAAAGAAGGGUCAAAGCUGUCAGACAGCAGAACAAGGGUAAGUUUGAAGAUUUUACUGUACUUAUUAGCUGAACCAAAAAUUCUAAAAAUUUUAUGGUAGAAAGGUAUUUGAGUCUAUUUUUAAAGACAUCAAGCGAAUUUUAAUUAGAAAUUCUGUAGCACAAGAUAUAAAUAAUUUAGUAACAGUGACUCAAGUAGAAAGCUUUGAAGGAACACAUAAGUAAAUUGUGAUAACAUAUAUGAAUAUUUAGCUAACACAGGUUACACUGAAAAUGGAUCACGUGGCCAAGGCCAAUUUGGGCCGAGUGGGCCACGUGGGCGUGUGAGCCCAUUUUUUUGAAAAAUUCUGUAAGGUUGCACGGGUCACCCAAGUCGACUAUGGACCUACUGUAGGGUCAGUAACCUUUACUUAGACGCCUAUAUGUGUGAUCUGUCUAGCUGAUUUCUAUAACGAGCAUGACUUAUAAUAUCUAAAUGUAUGUACUAUUAAUUGCAUAAUGGCAUGGCAUAUUUUGUAUGUUGCAUUGCAUCGGGGUGGGUUGAUGAUAUUUGGAGGAAGUGUCUAAAGGGAUAUUAAGCCAGUUAUCUGGCAGCUCAGCUGCAACCUUCUGAUUAUGUGUCGAUUUCAGUAUAGCAUGGUGUGUAAGGAUGGGUGGGUUAAUUUAAUCCCUACAUGGUGUGUAGGGUUGGACGGAGAUGGUGUAUAGAGGCUGGUGGGUAGGAUUCUAAUUUACUAUAUCUACAUUCUGAAUCUGAUAUGGGCCAAGGCCCUAAUGUAUUUCUGAGACUGUAUCUGAACGGGCUAAGGCCCAAACUGAUUGUGUGAUGGGCCUAGGACGCAGACUGUAUCUAACUGAAUUCUGUUGAUUAUUUGUAUGCAUGUUUUCUAUGGGGAUUACACACUGAGUUUGAGAAAACUCACCCUUUCUCUGUUUAAUCUAUACAGGUAAUCCCCAAACUUGAUGGGUAGGUGCAGCGGAGGAUUCGACGGUGGCCACACGUAAAUUUCAGACUGUUUUCUGUUAAUGCCUAGAAUUUAUUAAUUAUUUGGGGUUUUUGAUGUAUCUUCUGGACUAUGGACUAGUAGGCUUUAAAUUUUAGACUUUAUACUAUUUUUUAUGUUUUUUUUAAAACUGCAACUCCACAAAACACGGUUUUUUUCUAAAAAAUAAGGAUUUUCGUAAAUAGAAAUGAUUUUCCCUAAAUUAAUUGGUUACAAAAGUUUUCUCUAAGAGACAAGUUUUAAAGCAAAUCAACUAGUUUUUUUUCAUAAUUAAAUAAAAGUUAACUUACUAUAACGAUUUUUCUUAAACUCGACAAUCUUGUCUUCAAAUCCCUUUUCAUGUGACAUCACCAGAUUCGGCCAUAACGUCUAGGCCGGGUUUGGGGUGUUACACCUGAUGAGUUACUUUAAAUCGCUUGAAAACCUAGAAAUUUACUUUGAAAUCAUAUGGUUAAACUAGUGUUCACUUUGAUAAAUCGUGAAAGUAUGUGAUUAUUGAGGACAUGCUGAGCAUGUCAAAUGAAUGUGAAAAGUAUUGUGAUAUGACUAUGUAUGAGAUUGUGUAACAUAUUGCAUAUGCAUUGGGUUGGGAUUUUUUGGUUGACGGAGUAGUUCUGUGGAGUACCGUCGGCAUAUUAAGCCCGCAUUAUUCGUAGUUAGUGCACUGCACCUGGAGUACUGAGGGGAUUGGUAAUUUUAUCGCAUAUUAUAUGUUAUUGGUGAUUGUAUAGCACUAUUUGAUAUCCGACAGAUUUUUUGCAUUAUUGAUUAUUCGGUGGUUUUACCACAUUGAGCUAUGCUCAGAAUGUUUUAGAGUUUGGUAGACGGGUUCUAGGGAACACGUGGUGUGUAGCGGAUGGUAUGGGUAGGAACCUUUUUGCAUUGCAUCAUGUGCACGACAUAUUCGAAUGUUAUUGGUUUAUGCUACGUAUUGUAUUUUUUUGUAUUGAAUGGUAUCAAAAUUAAUGAUUGUCACUCGAAUGAAUUAUGAACUAUGCUCAUACACUGUUUGACAUCAAUUUAAUAAUGGCUAUGUAACGAUAUGAAAUUCCUAUAAUGGUUUUAUUUUCUUCUAUUAAAGCUAAUAUGUUUCACUGUAUUUGAUAUUUAUGUUUGUUUAAAUAAUUGUUCGACUCACACUGAGCUUUUCAUAAGCUCACCCCUAAUAGUGUUAAACUUUUCACGUAAACCUCGAAAUUAAGACCAGACUUGGCAUUCGAAGAAUCACCUUGGACCUUGAAUUAUUUUUCUAAUAAGUAUUAAUCAAUCUCUAAUGGUUUUGGUUUGUAAUUUUUAAUUAUAUCUAGUCUGUGGCUUGAUAACUUUUCUUUUGGGAUUUUUGCAUGCAUGGAUUACUCAAGCAUAAUAACCGGAUAAUGCAUGAUAUCAGGCUUAAGUAAAAUUUGAUAUUGUUCCCUAGAUUCUGCUACAUUGCAAAGGAUUUGUUUUUGAAAAACAAAUUGAUAAGGUAACUAAGUUUUUAAAAUGACUUGAAAAAUGGUUUUUCCCCUAGAUUAGUUUAACAUCAAAUUUUUUUUAAAGGAGAGCAACAAGCAAAUGGUUUUUCUAAAACAACACUAUCAACAAUAAAAUGAAUUCUAAGUAUACACAACCUAAUGAAUGAAUGCUUUUAAGCUAACUUAAAGUACAAUUAUGGUUUUCUCUAAAAUGAGUUUAUUUAAGGUUUUCAUAAGUAAUGUAAGUUAGCUUAGCCAUUUCGGUGGCUAAUGUAGCCUUCUCAUUCUAGCCAUAACGUCUAGGCCAGGUUUGGGAGGUUACAGUAUUGAUAGGAACUGUGGUAUAAAUUUUAUUUUGGACAUUCUUAAAGUGUUAUUUGGACUAAACUUUAGAAACUAUGGAUUUUAUACUGAGCCUAAAUUUACGAAGUUCAUGCGUGGUUUUUACGAAAAUGAAACUAAUAUGAAUUUUUAAAACCAUGAUUUUUUUUAAAGCUCCAAUUUGAAAUUGUACAAGAAAUGUCAAUUUGAAUUAUUUUUGAAUGUUUUUUUAUGCCAAUAAAAUAUUGUUUCAAAACAUAGCUAAGUAUUAUUUAAUUUCGUAAAGACGAAGCAAACUCCAAACAAUCUAAAACUUUAAGGACUAGUUUGUAAUUUUUGUUUUUCCUCAAUUGUCUCUGGUUUGAUUCAAUUCUUGAUCUAUACAAUUAUUCCAUUCAAUUCAUCAAUAUUAAACAUUUAUACAUUAUGUCAUGUCAUGAAUGAACCUAGAUAAAUUCAUUUUUUGAUACCCUUAAAGUUUUACAUUUAUUUCAAUUUAGUCUCUAAAAUCGAAAUAGUCAUAACUUUAAAUUCUGAACUUCAGUUUGAAAAUCGACCUCAAUUUCAUUUUAGACUGUCUGUUAAAAAUUAGUGCAUCUUACUGGAUUUUUUAAUUUACUUGUUUUCUUUAUCAAAUAAGUUGGUUCCUAUUAUAUAGGGAUAUGAUCAGAUUAUGUUUUGUUAGUUGAGGUUUUAGUGGGCUAUUAGUUGCAGGUUUUUUAACUUUAACGUUACAUGUAGUUAAGCUAUUUAUAUGUCAUUUUAUCUAAUGUAAUUUUGUGUGUUUUUUUUAGUAAUCAAAAACGUUCUUUAAUACUUUAAGCUUUUCUUGUUAUUAUUUCUUUCAUUACCUCGGUCAUUCUUUUUUGUUUUAUGGUGUCAGUGCCAGGUUAUUCAUUGGUUAAUUGUGUGAAAGGGUGUUUUGCUAGUUGCUGCAAUGGAGGUUUCAAAUGGAGGAAAUAAUCAGAUUGGUAUGGAGAAGCUUGUAGGCACUAACUACAAGUAUUGGAGGAUGUGUAUGGAGGCAUUUCUUCAAGGCUAGGACUUGUGGGGAUUGGUUGUUGACCUGAUGCAACAAUCCCUCCCAAUAUUCUCGAGAAUGCCAAGUCACGAAGGAGGUGGAAGGUCAAAUGCGGUAAAGCUUCAUUGAUCAUGUUCAUGAUGUUAACUCUCCAAAAGAAGUUUGGGAAACGCUUGAAAGGUUGUUUACCAAGAAGAAUACUGCAAGGUUGCAAUUGUUGGAGAACGAAUUGGCCGGGUUAAAACAAUGAGGUAUGUCAGUUUUAGAAUAUUUUUUACGAGUUAAAAAUAUUUGUGCUGAAAUUUCAGAGAUAGAUACGGAUGAGAAAGUUAGUGAAGCUCGUUUGCGUCGUUAUCUUAUCCGCAGUUUGAAGAAGGAGUAUGGGCCUUUUGUCACUUCUAUUCAAGGGUGGUCGACACAGCCUUCGGUGGAGGAGUUAGAGAAUUUUCUCUCUAAUUAAGAAGCUUUGGCAAAGAAGAUGGUGAAAAGUUUCGAAUCUGAUGCCAGUCUCUUCUCAAAAGGGAAGCCAAACAAGAAGAAUGAGUCUGGAAAUAAAGGCAGAUCUGAAGACUCUAGUUCGAAAAAAGAUGGCAACUCACAAAGCAAAAAGUCUUUCAAAUGCUUCAGAUGCAGAAAGACUGGACAUAUCAAGAGAAAUUGCCGUGUGUAGAUUUCCAAGGCCAAUAUCGUGUCCACGGAAGAAACCGAUGAUCGACUCAAAUGGGAGCAUUGCUUUACUGUUGAAGCUAUUGAACAAAAGUCAUCAAAAGCUUUUGUCAAUUAUGCUGAUAACAAGAAGGAGGAGUGGAUCAUUGAUUCUGGUUGUUCUCACCAUGUAACCGGAAAUGAUACUUUGUUCUUAGAGAUGCAUGAACACCAUGGAGAUCGAGUUAUUGUGACUGCAGAUAACUCCACUCAUCCGGUAGCAAAAGAGGGCAUUGUGGUGAUCGAUGUUGUCGACGAUACGAGAACCGAAAGUGUCAAAUUGACUGAUGUGUAUCAUGUUCUAGAUGAAGCUUAUGUGAAGAAAACAAGCCAAACCGAUAACGCUGCUAUUUGGCAUGCUCGAUUGGGUCAUGUGGGGUACCAAAUGCUGCAACAAAUUUAUUCGAAAAGGUUGUUAGAUGGGAUGCCGAUCUUGAAGAGUGUACGUGAAGAUGUGAUUUGUCAAAGCUGUCAAUAUGGUAAAUCUCAUCGUCUUCCUUUCAAAAGCUCAUCAAAUCGGAGAUCUUCUUUGCUCGAAUUGGUUCAUACAGACUUGACGGGACCAACGAGAACACUGAGUUGUAGCAGCCACUGUUAUGUUAUGGUUUUGGUGGAUGAUUACUCAAGGUUCUCUUGGGUGAAAUUUUUGAAAGAGAAGAGUGAAGCAUUAUCCAAGUUUGUGGAGUUCAAAGCUGCUGUUAAAAAAGAGUUUGGAAAGAAGAUUAAGUGUCUUCGAAGUGACAAUGGCGGAGAAUACAUGUCCAAUAAUUUUUUUCAGUAUUGUGUUGACAACGGCAUCUGUCGUCAAAUGACUUGUCCAGAUACUCCAUAGCAGAACAGAGUUGCAGAAAGAAAGCUUGGUUAUCUUGCUUCGAUUUGCCUUUCAUGGCUGCAUGACAAGAAUCUUCCUCGAGAGCUUUGGGCGGAAGCUGUUCUUUGUGCAUGUCAUGUGACAAAUAGGCUGCCUCCUUGGCCAGGUACACAGAAAUCUCCUUUUGAGAUUUUAUAUGGUGAAAAGCCAAAUGUGAAUUAUUUUCGAGUCUUCGAUUCUAUUUGUUAUGUACAUGUUCCGAAAUCGAAAAGAACUAAACUUGAUCCGAAAGCAAAAAAGUGUGUAUUUGUUGGCUAUGAUUCUUAUAGGAAGGGAUGGAGGUGUAUGGAUCCGGAUACAAAGAAGUUUACUACUUCGAGAGAUGUCGUGUUCGAUGAAGUAUCAUCUUUCUACUCCACUCAAAGAUUUGCUGCAGAAAAUAUUAUUCUUGAAGAUGAUGAUGAAAACUUGGAUGAGCUAUUUCCAAGAGUUAAUUUGCAACCAUUCAUUGAUGAUGAGUUGGAAAAUGAAUCUCCAACACCAACUCCAAGUCAAAAUGUUCAAUGACAUGAAGGUGGUUAGCAACAGAGUGAGGAGGUCUACUAGAGAAACGAGACAACCUGAGUAUCUCAGAGACUAUGAGGUGCAGCUUAAUCAUUGUAGUAUCACUUCUUGUUUCUUUGUUUGAGCGUUUGAUGAAGAACCAGUAAGUUAUGAGAAGCCAAAAGCCAUUCAAAAUGGGAGGCAGCCAUGAAAGAAGAAAUUGAAGCUUUAGACAAAAAUGAGACGUGGGAGUUGGUUCUUAAACCAGAAAAUUGUAAGCCGAUCACUUGUAAAUGGGUUUUUUGCGUGAAGAAAAAAUUAGAUGGCACCAUUGAUAGAUUUAAAGCUCGUCUGGUGGCUCGUGGUUUUUCUCAAAAUUAUGGAUUGGACUACGAGGAGACGUUUAGCCUAGUAGCAAAGAUGGUGACGGUGAGAUCGAUUAUUUUGCUUGCUGCGUUUAAAGGUUGGAGACUAUGGCAACUUGAUGUAAAGAAUGCUUUCUUUACGGAGAUUUAGAUCGUGAAGUAUUUAUGGAGCAACCUAUUGGCUUUGUCUCUAAGGAAUUUCAAAAUCGUGUUUGCCGUUUGAAGAAAGCGUUAUAUGGCCUUAAGCAAGCGCCACGAGCAUGGUAUGGUAAAGCUGCUCAAUAUCUCAUUUUUUGUGGCUUUAGAGUUUCUGAAUCAGAUUCUAGUUUAUUUAUAAAAUUGGAAUCAGGUGCACAUCUCUUGGUAUUAUUAUAUGUUGAUGAUAUGAUAAUAACUGGAGAUAAUGAAUCAGAAAUUUGUAAUUUGAGGAAUGACUUGUCUGUUCGUCUUGAGAUGAAAAUUUUGGGGGAGAUUGGAUGUUUUCUUGGUCUAGAAGUGGAAAAAUCAGAUCAAAGUUGUUAUAGCCCGAUUUUGGGUCUAGUCAGAACAGUGGUUUUGGGACCACAAAUUCAACAAAAAGAAAAUGGGUAAAAAAUAUUAUUAAUUUAGUAAGUAUAAGUUAAAUGUGAAGUUAGGAAAAUUUUUUAAAUACUGAAUAGUGCACUAGAAAUAAAUAUUAAAAUAAUUAGAAUCGAAAUGAGGUAUCAAGACCUCGGGGAUUUUAAACCGAGCCAUAAAUAUUUUUAUAAAUAUUUAUGGAGUGUUAAAAAGUUAGUAUUAAAGUUUCGUUAGGAAAUUUUAAAGUUCCGAUAAUUAAUUGAACAAAAAGGACUAAAUUGUAACAAAUGCAAAAUUUUGGGAAAUGAUUAAGUAGCUUAAAUGAUAAAAGGAAGAGGGCUUAAAAGGCAAAUAGACCCAAGGUUUAUUUGGGCUGGACGGCAAAGGCAUGAAAUCAGCAAGAAAGUAAGGAGAAUUAAGGGCAAAAUUGGAAUAUUGCAAAAUUUGCUUAAUAAAGUUAGGACCCAAGUGGAAUUAUCUAGAUUUCUCUUCAUUUUUCUGAAUUCUCAUCAGCAAAAACACCAUGGAAGGGCUUCUUCAAGCUGGUUCUUCAUAUUUUUACUACAAGUAAGUUCAAUUCUUGACUAUUUCUUGAAAUUUUUGUAUUUUUAUGACUUUUACAAUUAGGCUCACUUGUUAAAUUCAUUAGUUUUUGAUUUUAUGAAAGAAGUUGAAAGUUGAUAUGAAUAUGUGCUGGAAUUAUAUGAUGAUUUAGCAUGGAAUUAGAGCUUUAAAUUGUUCAUAUGCUGAUUUUAUUGAAAGAAUUGAAUAGAAAGUGAAUGUUUGGGACCUAAUAGUAAAAGAGUUUGAAGAUAGAAUUAUAUGUGGAAAUUCUGAAUUUCAAUAGUUGUGUAACAACUUAUAAUGUCUAGGUAAAGUAUUAAUUCAGAAAAUUGGAUUAAUUGAGGGGUUAAUUGAGAAAGGACCGAAUUGUAUAAACUGUAAAAUUUGGGGCAAAAUGGAAAUCAACAUUUUGCACUAAAGCAGUUUUGGACAGCAGCAGUAGUGUAACUUUGAAAAAUCACAAAAAAUUGUAGAGAUUGAAUUAGAGGAUGAAUAAAAUAUGAAAUUAAAUCUUAUUGAGUCUAGUUUCUUAUAAAAGAAACGGUGUGAGCAAUGAAAUUGUAAAUCAUGAGAUAUAAUAGAUUUUGUGAGACAAGGUCAGAAUGAAUUCGGGUUCCCCUGUUCUGACUUUGGAAAAUCAUUAAAAAUUUUACAAAAAUUAUUAUGAGUUAUAAUUUAUAUGGUUAGAAUCCUUAAUGAGUCUAUUUUUAUAAGAAACAAACAAAAACAGCAUCCGAAUUCUGUACAAUGAGAUAAUUAAUUUUUAGUGAAGAGUGGUCGGAACUGUCAGACAGCAAAACAGGGAAAAAUUUAAAGAAUAAACUGUACUAUUUGGCUAAACAAAAAAUUCUGAAAAUUUUAUGGAAAUAAUAUAUGUGAGUCUAGUUCCAGGUAAAAUUAACGGAUCUUAAUUUGGAGCUUUUUAGCUCCGGAUAAAAAUAAUUUAGUGACUCUAACUCAGACAGACAGCCUAAAUUUUUCAUACAAGAAAAUAGUGAAAGUAUGAAUAAUGUUGUUUAAAUGUGUUAUACACAUUAAGGAUGAGGAAUGGAGAGGAGGUGGAGGAAAAUUGGGAAAUAUAUGAAUGGUUUAUCAUGUUGUUAGUUCCAAAAAGAGUUAUGUUUCAAUACACUAGCUUGCAACUAUGGUUGAAUGAUAUGUUUAUAUCUUGUGUGAUGUGCAUAGGAAACAAGUGUGGAAAGAUAAUGAAAUAGUAAGUUCAUAUGGCUGAAAUUUAAUGGUUAAAUGUUAAUUCCAUGAAUUAUAUGAUGUAUGAUGAGAUAUUUUUAUUGUUGAAAUAAGAAUAAAAUAAAAGUGCGAAAGCUGAAUAAAUGAUCAAAUUGAGCGGAACGCCGGAUUUGAGUACUUCUGAUCAAGUGACAAAGUGAUAAGUGAUAGCUUUAGCUACACUUAUUUGAUCAAGAACAAGUGAUAAGCGGUGACAAAGUGAUAAGUGGUAGCAUUAGCUACACUUAUCUGAUCAAGUGAGAAAGUGAUAAGUGGUAGCAUUAGCUACACUUAUCUAAUCAAGUGAGAAAGUGAUAAGUGGUAGCCUUAGCUACACUUAUCUGAUCAAGUGACAAAGUGAUAAGUGGUAGCCUAGCUACACUUAUCUGAUCAGGGACAGGUGAUAAGUGAUCAUACGUAAGACCAUAGUUAUACUAUGGCAAAGUGAAAGUGAAGUACUCAAUUUUCCGUGACCGUUCCCUAAUUUGAUUAAGGAUGGUAAGUGACAAAUGAGCCCAAAAGAAUUAAAGUAAAUGGAUAAGUGGUAGUAUAUUUAUAUCAGGACGAUGUUGUUAUUCAAGCUAAAGUGAUAUUUUCAUUGCAAAAUUGAGAAUUUCAUAAAUGUGUUAUUGAAUGGUAUAAUCAAUAAACAUUGAGUUAAAUGGUAAAUACGUAAUAGUGUUGAACUUGAUGUCAUUGAAUUGUAUGUGAAUUAAAUGGAAAUUGCUAGUGAUAUGAUGUAAAUUGUGAGCAUGAGAAAUUGCGACUUGAAUGAAAUGGAAAUGAAGCAUUGAAUUGCAUGAGUAUGUAUCGGGUCUCAUAGGCCCUAAUUAUUAUGAUUAUAAUAUUUCGAGGAUAUAUUGUGAAAAGUUAUAGAAGCAUGUUAAUUAUUUUGAAAGUUUAAAUUUAUAUGAAAUUUUAUAACUCGGUUAAAUAUGCUUACAAGUGCAUAUGUUUUGGUGAUACCUCGUACCCUAUUUCGGCGUUGGAUACGGGUAAGGGGUGUUACAAGGUUACUUUGUUUCUCAAAAAGGCUAUGCAAGGAAUCUCUUGGAGCUUUUCGGUAUGGGGGAGUCGAAAGAAAAAGCUACUCCGAUGGAGCCGAAUUUGAAGUUGAAGAAAGAUGAUGGGAGGCCGUUGGAAGAUGCAAGGAAGUUUCGACAACUUGUUGGAAGCUUAAUCUAUUUGACCAUUACAAGGCCUGAAAUUUCAUACUCUGUUAGUGUUGUUUCUCAAUUUAUGCAAAAUCCAACAAUUAUUCAUAUGGAUGGAGCAAAGAGGAUUUUGCGUUAUGUUAAAGGAACUAUUGGUUAUGGUCUUCUAUACAAGAGAUGUGAUAGCUUUAUGUUGAGUGGAUUUACUGAUGCUGAUUGGGCUGGAGAUACAAACGAUCGUCACUCGACUUCGGGAUAUUGUUUCAGUAUCAAUUCAGCAAUGGUUUCUUGGUGUAGCAAAAAGCAAGGUGUUGUUGCUUUGUUGAGUAUCGAAGCCGAGUAUCUGGCAGCAACUAUGGCUGCACAAGAGUGCAUUUGGUUGAAGAGGUUGAUUGGAGACAUAUGCAAAGUUAAUUAUGCUGUAAAAAUCAAGUGUGAUAAUGAAAGUGCUAUUAAGCUUGCAUCGAACCCGGUUUUUCAUGCUCGAACGAAGCACAUCGAGGUUCGACAUCAUUUUGUUCGAGGAAAGGUUCUAAGUGAAGAGAUUGAGCUUGUAAACAUUCGCACCAACGAUCAAGUGGCUGAUAUUUUCACUAAGGCUUUGGUGAAGCCUAAGUUUCAUCAAUUUAGAGAUGCUCUUGGAGUUCUUGAUCGUAAGCAUGCACUAAGGGGGAGUGUUAAAAAUUAGUGCAUCUUACUAGAUUUUUUAAUUUACUUGUUUUCUUUAUCAAAUAAGUUGGUUCCUAUUUUAUAGGGAUAUGAUCAGAUUAUGUUUUGUUAGUUGAGAUUUUAGUGGGCUAUUAGUUGCAGGUUUUUUAGCUUUAACGUUACAUGUAGUUAAGCUAUUUAUAUGUCAUUUUAUCUAAUGUAAUUCUGUGUGUUUUUUUUUUAGUAAUCAAAAACAUUCUUCAAUACUUUGAGCUUUUCUUGUUAUUAUUUCUUUCAUUACCUCGGUCAUUCUUUUUUGUUUUACUCUCUACUAUCCAUUAUUAUCAAAAUUUCACAUCAAUUUCACAAUUUAUUUACUUUAGUUAUUAUGUACAAAAUUAACAACCAAACAUCACAAUUUAGUCAUUUUUCAUAAUUUAAGCUUAAAAUCUAUAAAUUUAACACCAAUUUCUUCAAGAAAUCAACCAUGAAAUCUAUAAAAAAAAUUUAACAGUUUUGCAAAUUGAUACAUAGGUUAUUUAAAUCAAACUCUCAUGACCUCAGAAACACAAAAAAAAUUAUACGAAAAUGAUUUAGAAAUGCAUACCAAUUGAGGACCGAAAGCUUGAAGCUCAAAAAUGGCUUUUCCCCUUGAGGUUUUAUGUUGAUUAGAUGAAGAAGAAGAAGAAAUAAAGAUGACAACUUGCACUAAGUCACCUUUAUAUACUUAGAUUAAAUCUUAAUUAAUCAAAUUUAAUUAAUUAAAUCUUAAUUAAUUAACCUUAAUCACAAUUAAUAAAAAUUGGUGGAUGUUAACAUCAUCCUACACUAUUUGAUAUAACCAAAUGAUCUAUUUACCAUUUUGAACCUUUAGCUAAUUAGAAAUCUAUAGCGAUAAGACUUUCAAAAUUUAGUCUCUGUAUCUUAAUUAAGCAAUUAAUAGACAAAGUUGAAGGUUUAAAUUUUAAUGUUCUAUUAUACCAACUCUGUAAAUAUUCAUAUUUAAUAUUUACAGACCUGAAUUACGAAAAUGAGAUUUUGAAAUUGUAUUUUCCAGUACCACUGAAAAUCGGACAAUUACGUAACCUAUUUGCACCAAUGGGCCAAACAUGGCAAAUACUUGACAUGUAUGUCUUAAUAUCCUCAUCUAUUCUCUUCAAUAUAAUAACAUCCAAUAAUUGUUCCAUCCACUGUAACUAUCACGAAGAUUAGAUUGACCAAUACAGCCUACAAUUUGAAGAAGCGCGAUAUUUUCAUUCUAGAGAAAGAUAUAAUUGAAACAAAAUUGAAAUAAAGAUUUCAAUACAGAAUCAACAGACAUUCCAGCUAAUACUUAUCAAUUAUUUGCAGCUUUAUUGCUCCAACUAAGAUGGUUUUUAGUCGAAUAUGGUAAAUGAAAUCAAUGAACACCAGCUACUUGAUGAACGAGUGAAUCAAAGUCCUGAUAUGUGCCGGCUUAUUGGUGAAAAAAUACAUGGGCUAGUUUUGCAGCAAUUCAUGAUCUUACAUUUUAUAACCUUUGCUUACAAUUAUUCACUGACUAAUCAUUCAAUGAAUGUAGGCCUCAAAUUUAGCCACUAAACUUUAUUCUUUAUUUUUAGAUACAUAUUAUUUGAUCACUUCAUACAGCCUAUUACUCAUAAUAACUUCCAAUUUCCCUUCUUUAGGUUAGUUGCAAAUGUACAGCUUUUUCUAGAAGAAGAAAAUUGUCAAGAGCCACCUGUUCAAGAGAGGCGCAAACAAAAUGUAAAAAUACCUGACCUACUUACGGUACAGCCAAGUAAUCAUGUCUUUCUAUGCUAGAUCAUUAAAUCAAUGACUACAAAUUUCAUGCCAUGGUCGUGUAUCAUUUAUGCCAUUGAUGCUGCUAUUUUCUAUUCUAAUGCAUAAUAGGGAUUUAGUGUUUUUACCGUUAAAAUUGUGUCCUUUAAUUUUGGCUCUUUUCAGUUGUUGAUCAUGUCCACCUAUGCUUUAUUUUACUACUAUUGCUUUCUGUAAUGAUAGAUGAUUGAAUCGGUAGAAUUUUAUUAAUCCUCAACAUGUUUUAUCUUGACAUAUGGAUCCUAAGCAUUCCUUGGAUUGUGCCCUUUUUGUUCAUUUAUUUUUUCUUGGAACCUUAUUACAUGUUGUACCACUCCAGCUUUUUGGAGACAAUGAAGACGACUAACUGCUGAAUUCUUUCUUCUGCAGAGGAACCAAUGGCACGAGACUCAAAAAAUCCUACUCUUUUUUAUACCUUCCUCACCUCUUUGUGACAUUAUAGCUGAAAAAUGAUGUAUGCUAAUACAUGAAAUGUUUCCUCUUGCCUUUCUUUUUGUAGUACUAAAACUACAAAUAGUGUUUGCAAAACUCUUUAGAGAAAAACAAAUGUCUGUAAAUCUCUUUACCCGUAAUCUUAUCUUUUCCUCAUUGUAAUAGUUGGAAAACUUUUUAUUUGAAAACGAUGUCAACUACUGGGAUAAGUUAUUGUAAGCAUCUUAAGUGUUUCAUAUUAAAAACAAACACUGUUAUUGUUUAUUUUGUAGUCUAAAUUAUGAUAAUUUCUGCACAAAAUUCACAUAAAUGGUUACCCUCCCGAAGCAGAGCGAGGGUGAUGCAUACUAGUUAUUAAGAAAACAGGACCUUGUAGGGCUUAACUGUUGAAUCAAGAAAGAAAUUUCUUUUAAUGCCUUCAAUUGUAACAUCCCGAUUUUGGGCCUAGUCGAAACAAUGGUUUCGGGACCACAAAUCCGAUGAGGAAAAUUUUAUUUUUACUAUAUUAUUAUGGCCUAUAAUUUCACGGAAAGAUUUCUUGAAAAUUUCGUUCAAAAAUUUUGACGUUAGGGCACUCAAUUUAGCCAAAAGGACUAAAUUGUAAAAAGUGCAAAAGUUGAGUUUUAUUGGUUAAAGGUACUUAAUUGCUAUGGAAUUAUAACUUAGGGGUCCUUAUAUGGUAAUUAGACCAUUAGUUAGUGAUGGACAAAAAUGAACAUAAGUGAAAUAGGAUUUUUUUUAUGUAAGGGUAUUUUAGUCAUUUAGUAAAUAAAUAGAAUUAAAAGGGAAAAAUAUGUAAAAAAAAUUGUGUUCAUCAUCUUUGCUAGGUGCCAAAAUUUGAAGGAAGCCAUAGCUAGGGUUUCUUCACUUUCUCAAGCUCAUAAUCGAGAAGAACGAAAUUUGGAGGUAGAUCGGGGAAAGAAAAAAAUUGAGGACUAAAGUGUUAGAUUUGAUCACAUUUUUGUACCGAGGUAAGUUUACAGUAAAUAAAUGCAAUAUUUCAAUAAUUAUUAUUAAUGCUGUAUUUUUUAGCAAUUAUGUAUUUAUUUCAUGAAUAUAUUUAAUGUUGACUCAAGUAUGAGAUGACAGAGAAUUAGUGACACAAGCCUCAUUGAAACACUAGGAAUGUAUUGGAUACAAAUGCCAUGACAUUUGGGUAAAGAGGUCCCAUGUAAGACCAUGUCUGGGACAUGGCAUUGGCACCGAGAUGAGAGGUCCCCCGUAAGACCAUGUCUGGGACAUGGCAUGGGCACCGAUAUGAGAACUCCCAUGUAAGACCAUAUUUGGGAUAUGGCAUUGGCAGUACAGGAAACAUCCCAUGUGAGACCAUGUCUGGGACAUGGCAUGGGCACCGAUAUGAGAACUCCCAUGUAAGACCAUAUCUAGGAUAUGGCAUUGGCAGUAUGGGAAACAUCCCAUGUGAGACCAUGUCUGGGACAUGGCUUUGGCAUGUUAUUAUCAGAUAUGAGACCCAAGUAUCCUUAUUAUUCCAAUGUGACUCAACGGGCUAGAAAACAGAUUAUGUUCUACGAAAGUUCAAGUAAAAGUAUAAUUAGCAACUUCAGGUGAGUUAUAAGAGUUAAGAACAUAUUAUGUUAUUAGUGAGAACCAAUAUUUUAGCAAGAGAAGAGUAAGUUGUAAUCUUAAGCUAUCUAAGUAGAUAAGUAAGUAAACAAGUAAAUGAGAGUCAGUAAAGAGAAAACUUAAGAACAUGAUACUUGUAUAUCAUUAUUUAUGUUAAAUGAUGUCAUUUAUUUAUUUGUAAACUUACUAAGCUUUAUGCUUACUUCUUUUAUUUCUUUUUCUUUCAUAUAGUAUUAUCAAGCAUAGUCGGGAUCUUGAAGACGUCGGAGAGUGUUCACACUAUCAACCACCACAACUCGGUAUUUUAAGACGAUAAAUAUUUUGGGCUAUGGCAUGUAUAGGGACUUGGUCAUUUCAAUUGUAUAUUCUUAAAAUAUGACCAAAAGAUGAUAUGUAAAUGCUUGAUGAUGAAUAGUUAUUAAAAUGGCUAAGUAUGAAGGUGUUUGUGGUUAUAAAUGUCUAGGUUAUAAAUUAUGCAUAGAAAUCAUGAAAGAGUAAAAAUUUGUAGUGAAUCAGUUUUGAGACAGCAGUAGUGACGUGAAUUUGAAAAAUCACCAAGGAUAGUAGAAAAUGAAUUAGAGAGUGGAUGAGAUAUAGAAUUAAAUCUUAUUGAGUCUAUUUUUAUAGAAAAAUAACAGUGUAGACAAAGAAAUGAUAUAUUCCGAGAUAUUUGCAUUUUAGUUAGACAAGGUCAAAGUUGUUUUCGGAAUCCCCUGUUCUGAAUUUGGAAAAUCAUUAAAAAUUGUAAAAAAAUAUUUAUGAGUUUUAAUUUAUAUGUAGAGAUUCCUUAUUGAGUCUAUUUUCUUUAGAAAGAAUUUAGAACACUAUAUGAAGUAUGUACAAUGAGAUAAUUUAAUUUUAGUGACAAGAGGUUAGGACAGUUGAUUAGUGAAACAGGGGAGACUUUAACUAAUAAACUGUACUAAUUGGCUAAACCAAAAAUUCUGAAAAGUUUACAGUAAAAAUUUAUAUGAGUCUAGUUUCAGGGAAAAUUUAUGGAUCUCAAUUUCAAGUUUCAUAGCUCGAGUUAUAAUUAAUUUAGUAACUAUUGUGCAAGUGAAUAGACUUACUAUGAACAGUGAAUUAACUUUUAAAACUAAAUUUUUAUGCCCCGAACUUUUAAGUUAGUCAAGUAACGCCUCAUGCUCGACUCCGGAAAUGGACUCGGUUAAGGGGUGUUACAUCAAUUUUUUUUAAAGCUGAUUUUUUUUUUUACGAAUUAAAGUUUUGAUUGUAUGUUAAUUGCUUGAGGGAAGGUCGGAUACUUUAUUAUCCCUAUUUUUAUUUGUUAUAUAUUUUAGCCAUAAUGAUUUUUUUGGCUCUACAACUUUACCAAAAAAAUCAUAUUAUCUUUCAUUUAAUUUUCAUCUCUUUUAACCCUUUAACUUGUAUUUUUUUAUCAAAUCACCCCAAAAUGGAUCGAAAACUUAACAUUUGUAAACUUUGAUGAUGUGGCAUACACAUUAAUUGUCACAUGGAUGACAAGUCAACAUUUUUUAAAAAAAACUUAAAAAUAUUAAAGAAAAUAUUUUUGAUAUUUUUAAUGAUUUUUUUAAUUAAAAAAGUUUUUAUAUAUUUUUAAUUUUUAAAAAUUAAUUAAACACAAACAUAGAAAUUCGCAUCUAUGUGUCACAGGCCACAAAUUAAAGCCUGCGACCAUUUCGCAUAGAACACCCCAUAGAGGUCAAUUUAUUAAACGUGGUUCAUUUGACCCGCAUGAACUGGCUCGAAUCGUGGAACCCGUAGAGAAACCCAUCUACUUUAAGCCUUGGUGGUCUAGUGAAAUACUCCAAUAAAACUAGAGUUACUAGGGUAAAUAAUGUAAAUCUUAAAUGGAUAAGAUUGUAUAGAGUUUAAAUUCCUUAUAACUCUCAAUUGUAGAUAAGCGGUAACAUUAAUCAUCGAUGUAACUCAAUCUGUAUCGUUGCUUCUAGGAAGCUCAACUAUAACUAGAGGUCUCCCUCUUCAUUUGUAAUCAUUCCAUUCAUAGUUGUGAAUAUAUUUGAGAGCAUUUACUCAAACACCUUGUGUGCAUUGCUUUUCUUUGGCUAUUCUGCUCUUUCGAGCUUCUGUCUUUGAGUGUCACAUCCCAAAAUUGGGCCUAGAAGAAAUAGGGGGAAAAUUGAGUUUUAAUUUUUUUUUAACAUAGGGUAAGGGAAGUAGAAUGCCUUAAAAUUAAUUUUUUGCUAUAAAUCUAAUAAGAAUGAGUUUGUUGGUUUAGUGCUAAGGUCAUAGCCUACCUAUAGGUUCCAAGUUUGAACCCCUUGGUGAGCAUUCAACCAAAAUAUUUUUAUUUUCUUGUUUUUACCGCACCAAAAGUGACGAAUUUUAAAAUAACCCAGCCCAAAAACUAUAUUUUUUUAAAAUUUAGUCCUUAAUUUAAAAUUUUUCCCAAACCUACAUAAAUUUUUAAAACCUAUUCCAAUUAGGAAAGAUAAGUAUUAUAAAUAAACAAUUUCAAAACAAACCCUAGAAUUUCAUCUAGCAAUUUUUCGAGAAAACAUCCAUAAACACUUUAUUUUCCAAAUCAAACUUUCAAGCGAAAGGAAUCGAAAUCUUCAAAAUCAUCCCUCAAGUAGAUCUUCAAUCUCUUCUCCAACACUAAGGUUUUAAGUCUUCAAAAUAGGUGUGGGAACUAAACCUAAAUCUUUGUGUAUAAUUGAAUCUAAUAGCAUGUAGAGAACCAGUAUUGGCGAACCCUAGGAAAACCCCCCUGUAUGUGCGAUCAUGUAGGUGCGAGCCUGUAGAUGCGAAACCCCUUACACAUGAAAACCCCAUGCAUGCGAACCCUUACGUGAAACCCCCCCUUUCAUGCGAACCCUGUAUGAAUACCAUGCAAACCCUAGGUUGUUAUGUGGAUACUCAUACUGUGAACACAUGUGCACAAACAUAUAGGAAUAUUCAUGUGAACCCUACUAUUAGAUGCGAACCCCCUUAUACGUGAAAACCCCCUUGCAUGCGAACCCUAGUUAGUAUACAUACGAGUCUCAUAUUUACAUGCGAACCACUACUAGUGCGAGUCAAUUAUAUGAUACCACAUGCGAACCCUACUAUUACAUGCAAACCUUUAUACAUGUUAUAUUCUAACUUUUUUUGUUAAAAUAGGUGAGACUUGUCUAGUAUUACAGACGACCCUACAUAUACCUAAUUUGCGAACUCAUAUGUUAAAAGUAUGCAAAACUAUCUAUGUUUGUUAUGUGAACUCACAUGUUAGCAGUAUGUGAACCUAUAUAUAUCAGUUAUGCCAACUCACAUGUUAGCAGUAUAUGAACCCAUAUGUCUGUUAUGCAAACUCACACGUUGGCAAUAUGUGAACCCUAUAUACACCUUUAUGCAAACUCACACAUUAACAGUAUGCGAACCCUAUAUACGCCUUUGUUGAUGUUAGUUCCCAUGCAUCUUGUGGUGCAGCAAUCGUGGCCAUGCAGGUCACAUGGAGAAAAGAAGCAGCACAUGAAGGCAGUAACUGGAGCUUGUGGAUGCUGUCCAAAUUCAACUUAUUUUGUUGGUUUGAUUUUAUAGUUUGUAACUUAGUUCUUUUGGAACUUUCUUGGUAAAACUUUCGAUGUAUUUUUUAUGUUGAUUGACUGAAAAUUCAGCAAAGCAACUUAUGCAAGCUAGUUUAGCAAUUUUCAAUGUAUUAAGUGGUGUUAGGUAAGUGUUUAGGUAGUAUUUUGACUUGUAAGCUUAACUCAUGUUUGAUAUAUGUAAUGGCAACUUGCCAAUGCCUUGUUAAUGAAAAAAUUCAGCUUGUUUUCAAUUUCUGUUCUUAAAAACAAAAAGGUUUCUACUUUGUUUCUUCUCCAAGUCACGAGGCUUGCUGACAAAGCAAAGCUAAAUCAGCUUGCUCACUGCCUUUGACUCCAACAGCCUUUAUACAAACUCACACGUUAGCAGUAUGCGAUCCUUAUAUACGCCUUCAUGCAAACUCAUACGAUUAGCAGCAUGUGAUCCCUAUAUUUAUGCGAACCCUUCUAAUAACAAAUAUGCGAACCUUAACUUGCGAACCCUAGGCAGGAACCCUACACUCGCAAAGCCUUCUUCUGAACCUGUACAUAUGCUAGAUAACCAAGCCUAUUAGUUUACGUUAAAUCACUGUACAUAUGAGAUUGUUUGUUUACUUGCACAAAUUAUAUGUGUAUUUACUAUUCGAUACAAGAGUACCUAUCGACCUUUUGAUGAGAAUUCAGAGAUUAAUGAUGAUAAUUCCAACAAUCGGUGGAAGAACAAGUUAAAUCGAGAAUUGGUGUAAUUUAAGGUAAUAAAGAUUAAAUUUUCAGUAAUAAAUAUAAAAUUGUUAUGGAAAGAAAUGAUGGGUAAAAAAAUGAGAGUUUUAAACAGAAGAGAGGAAAACUUCAAUUUAGGGUUGAAGAGGAACUAAAAAUCCAUGUGAAAUUAGGAAAAAAAUAUUAAAUACCUAGGAUUAAAAAAUUUGAGGGGGCUGAAUGGUAAAAUACCCUUUUUGCUUAAAAAUGAAAAGAAAUGGAAAUGGGGAUUGAGUUUGGCAUGACUUGAACCUUGGAAGCAAAGGAAAAAAUUGCAAAGGCCAUACCAUUUGGGUUGCUACCUACAUUUGGCAUAUUUUUACACUAUUUAAUAUAUAUCCUAGCUUAGUUUUGAUCAUAGGUUGUUGAAAAAAAAACAAGGGGUAAGAGUGUGGCUUCAACCUUAGUUCUCUAGUUAGUAUACUAAGCUCUUAACCAUUAAGAUUAAGGCUCAUCUCUUAGUCAAUUAAUUCAUCUAACUCUAUAUAUUUUGGUGUGUUACAUCUUGAAUUAAAAAAACCCAUAAAAUGCAUGUAGACUUGUAUUGCUUGGUACUUGGUAGUAUAUAUGUAGACUUGUAUGUUGAUUAAGCCACCUUAAUUAAGACCAAUGUGUUAGACUUGUCUAUGCAUUGAACAAUUUAGAAGAAAAUGAAGAAAAAGACUCUAAAAGCACUUGAAAACAGAUAAAACUCAUAUGUCAUUGACUAGUUAAAUGUGGUCACCCAUAAUAGACCCUGUAUUUGACUUUUUGUUGAGGGAGAUUGACUCCUUUGGGAGAAGUCUCCUGAGUGUUGUUUGUCAAGCAGUCAGGGUUGUCCUAAACAACUAAAGGUAUUGUCCCCAUGUCGAGAUUUUAUCCCUAGCCUCUGCAAAAUAAUCAUGGAGAAUAUGUGCGAGAGAAUUCAAACACCAACCAAUGCAUGUGUAGCCUUUACCUUGCCACCAUCUUUGGGAACCCAUAAGGAUAAAAUCCCAACGAGAGAAUAGUAUCAUCUAUUGAGGGGUCUGUCAACCCAAUAAAUGAAAUUUAAAUGCAUACUUUUUUUUUAAUGAAAGUAAAUAUCAUAUUUAAUUAGAGAAAAGCAAUGAAAAAUCCAACAAUAAAAUCCUUAGCAAAAGAUUAAAACACAAUUGUACCAUAAAUUAAAUAAGAAACUAAAAAAAUUCAAAUCUAACGAAGACAAUAACUUGAUUCCUCAAAGCCACCAUAAACAGUAAUUCAUACGAAGGCCUGUUGCUCAUUUUAUAGGUUUCCAUUUUGAUUUUGCAAAAGAAGUUUGAAUUCCGAAGCGAGCCUAGUACAUGAGAGAAAAUUGUCGAAACCGUCUUUUUGAAAACAAAAAUUUAGUUGUCGACUUUAAAAAUAAAACUGGAGUCGCCACCGAUCCUUUAUUAGGGUGUGAUCGGCUCACCUUAAAAAUUAUUUUGGUCUACGAGCUUUAAGAAAACGAGUCCGGGAGUAAGUUACGCAUGAGGAAGGGUUAGCACCCUCGUAACGCCCAAAAUCGGUACCAAAUCGAUUAUUUAAUGUCUUAGUGUCGUGGACUAAAAAGAAGUUAAAAAAACCAAAUGAUGAAAUCAGAAAAGGAUAAUCAAUUGUUCAAGACAUGUAAAGAAAUCGAGUCCCAAUACGUUAGGGUACAAUUUCUCAAAAUUCCCGAACUUUGAAUAUCGCUUUUAUUUUAUGCGAAAACAUUCAUUGUGAGAAAGUAACAUGCCACACCCAAUACGUUAGGACACGACAAGUUAAGUUCCAAAAAAUGAUUUUUAUACUCAUGCAUUUUGAAUAAAAAAUAUUCUCGAUUAUUUAAAAUUAACAAAGAAAAUCGGAACCCAAUACGUUAGGGCUCAAUUUUCUCAGAAUUCCAAAUACCGAAUUGUGCCUUUUAUUCGAAAAUUCUUAUUUCGAGAAGUCAAAAUAUCAUGACCAGUAAGUUAGGACUUGACAUUUUUUGAUUCCCGAGAACAAGCUUCUAUUUGAAAUUUGCAUGAAUUUAUUUCAAAAUAAAUACCUGGUUUUCUAAAUUCACCAAGAAAUAAUCGCAAUCCAGUAAGUUAGGAUACUGUUUUUCUCGAGAAUCAUGAAUGCCAAAUAUUUUGGAAUUUUAUAAAAUAUGAUGAUUUUAAUGCUUUGACAGAACCAAAAUAUAUUUUCUUUAAAAAGUGUAGAAAAAUACUAAUGUAUCACAUAAAAUCAAUAUUUUAAUUUUAAAUUAUAUGCAUAUAUGUAUUUUCAAAAUAUAAGUAUGAUACAUAAAUAAAUUUUGAAAAUAUAAGUAUGAUACAUAAAUAAAUUUUGAAAACAUGUAUAUGCACAUAUUAAAACAAGUAUAUAUAAGUAUACACAUAUAAAAUAAAAUAAUGAAUGAGAUAUGUAUAUCAAAAUAAAAAUUAUCAAAAUUUCUACAAAAAAAAAUCAUGUAUGUAUAUACGUAAUGAAAAUUGUAAAAAUAAAAAUAAAAAAUAUGCAGAUGUGUAUAUAUUUACAAAAAAAAAUUUAAGUAUACAUGCUUUAGUAAAACAGAAAUAAUAAUAGUAUAUGAAGAAAUUAGGAAAAUGUGUAUAUAGAUGUACAUAUAUAAAAAAAAUGCAAAAAUAUAUUUACAAUAAUUUUGAAGGGCGUACGUGUAUAUCAAUAUCUAUUUAUGCAUAUAUAUUAUAAAAUAUGAAAGAAUAUAUAACUAUAAUAGAAAUAUAAAUGUAUAUACGUAUAUAUGUAUAUAAAAGCUAAAAAAGAAAUAAUAACAAUAUAUAUAUAUAUAAAUAUGUAUAUGUAUUAGAGAAAUAUUUAAUAUAUAUAUCUAUUAGCAUACAUAUGCGUAUGUAUGUAAGUAUAAUUAUAAUACUAUAUAAUAUAAUAAUAAUAAUAAUAGUAAUAAUAAUAAUAAUAAUAAUAACAAAAACUACAAAAAAAACCUUAAAAAGCACCAUUAAGGAUUAAACUGAGAGCUAAACGAAGUUAAAAGGCCAAAUUUAAAAAUAGAAAACACCAGGAAGGACAAAGUGAUACGCGCGCCAUGAGAGGAGGACUUAAAAAACAAUUUUCCCAAGUCGCUGAAGCACUGUGCAGUGACAUGGAUUAAAUCGUCACGCGAGCAAAAUAUUUGGGCCGAAUUUAAAAAGGAAAAAAAACUUGAUUGAAACACGUAGCAAAAGGGGAAGGGCUAAAAUAUAUAACAAAAAAACACAAAAAGUCAAUCUGGUAAAUCGAUGUUGGGUACUCUAAUUUUAGGAUUCAGAAGGCUUAAGAGUGUUUUCGCAUCAAAAUCGUACUAGGUGUGUCCCCAAAACACAAAAAGUCAGGUUUCGAUAAAAGCCGAAAAUGCAUCCAGUCGAUGCCACACGGACGUGUGCCUGGUCGUGUGGCUAGCCGUGUGUGAGACACGACCUUGUGGUGGUGUGAGUGUAGCGGUAUGGGCCACACGGGCUAGGCCAGUCUGGGCAUAUAGGCCCACAAUUUUAAAAUUUUCCUUAAGGCCACAUGGUUCGUUUCGAAUGAUUGUGGACCUACCAUAGGGUCGGUAAUGGCUAAUCAAACACUAAAUUAUGUGAUAUGAUAUUUUGAUAGUCUGCAUUGUGUAGGAUAUCGAUAUGUACAUCUGUUCUAUUUAAGUAUAUAUAUGCUAUCUGUAUAUGAGCAUGUUAUGCAUAAUAUUACUGUAUCUAUUAUUUCUAUAUUCUGUAUCUGUGAUUGUGGUGGGUUUUGUAUAUGUAGAGGAAGUGAUCUGUAUGGUGACACUUCCCUUAUAUUCUGGCAGUUGAUUGUAUAUUAUCUGUAAUGUGUUGUAUUGACACUAUAUGGUGUGUAGGGAUGGGUAGGUGUUUUAAACCUCAUAUGGUGUGAUGGGAUGGCCGAAGAUGUUGUGUAGAGGAUGGGGGUAAGAUUCUACAUAUCUGUACUACUUAUCUCAUUCUGUUAUCUAGAUUUGGAAUGGAUAUAAGUCCGAAUCUGGAUCUGACUGUAUAUAAGACUUCUGUUUGUAUUGCAUGUCUAUUUUUGUUGGGUUACACACUGAGUUUAUGAAAGCUCACAUAUGUUUGUCUGUUCUAUUCAGGUCUAUAGACUUAGGCGAAUCAGUGUGACGGAGCCUCACAGUGACCACGAGAUCGUAAACUGUUUAAGAUUAUGGUUUUUAUUUAAUUUAAGGAUUAUUUCUAGAAGUUUGUAAUAAUUGGACUUUCUAGACUAUUUGACUUUUAUUUCAAUUUUGGAGGCAUUUUAACUUUUAUGGCCACGUUUGACCAAAAUCACGGUUUUACUAAAAUAAAGGAUUUUCUAAAUACAUGAAUUAGAUUUCCAAGAUUCAAUGCUUUUUGAAAACUUCGACCUUAGAUUAUGUAUUGGAAAAUUAAUUAAUUAAAUAACGCUUCUAGUAACAAAUAGUACACUUGGGGUAUUUAUCAAAUGACUAAAUAAAGCUUUAUCAAAAUAUCACUGUUUUCAAAACCAUUCCAUGUAACACUCUUGGAUUCAGCCACAAUGUCUAGGCCGAGAUUAGGGUGUUACAUUUAAUGCUAUCAGAGCCAGGUUGCAAAACUCAAGCUAUGAAUUUUGGGUUUCAAAAAUUAUAUUUUGAAAAAGAACAGGUUUUCAAAUAAUUUGGAUCAUUCUGAGUAAGUAUGUGGUACACUGAGUCUAUGGUAUUGAUCCUGUAAGUACUUUUGAAAUUAGAUAGAACUUUCUGAAAACAUUGUAGUUAGUACUUUCUAAAACUAUACUGAAUUAGUUAAAAAUAGAAACCUCUGAAAUAUGUUCAAACUUCUGCUAAUUUGAGCAUAAAAUAUCUGUUAAUAAAGAUUGGAACUGAUGCAUAAAAUUUUGUAAUGUAGAUAAAUUUGAAAAUAUACGAUGAGCAAUUGUGGAACUCACGGUCAUGGUAUUCGUGGGCGCGUAGGGUCGUAGGGGGCUGGAGCUGAGUCUUUUUCUCUGGGCAGUAUGCCAAACUUAGAUAUGAGUGAGACACCGGUUUCACCUGCCAUUGAGACAAGGUCUCAAAGUCGCUUGGCUAGGGACGACGCACUGUCUCAAGCCAUGUUGAGGGUUUUGGAGAGGGUCACUAGACCUCAUUCUGGAUCUGUGGGUCGAUAACUGAACGACUCCGAUCCAAUAGAGCUGAGCUGUUUAGGUGUGUCAUUGGAGUCACCCCUACUGUGGCCGAGUAUUGGUUGGAGGCCACUGAGAGGAUUAUGAACGACAUUGACUGUACUCCUAAGUAGAAACUUAAGGGUGCAGUCACUUUACUUUGUGAUGAGGCAUAUCAAUGGUGGUUGUCGAUUGAGGAGGGUACUCAACGGGACUGUCUGAACUGGGAUUAUUUUAAGACUACCUUCUAGGGGAAGUAUGUGGGUGCGAGCUAUGUUGAUGCUUGUAGGCGUGAGUUCAUGAAUCUCACGUAAUGUGAUAAAUCUGUGGCUGAGUACGAGGUUGAGUUUCUGAGGUUGAGCCGCUACGCUUGAGGCAUAGUGGCGACUGAAUAUGAGAAAUGCAUAUGUUUUAAGGAUGGCUUGAGGUAUAAUCUGAGGGUAUUGAUUGCUCCACAGAGGGAGCGAGAGUUUUCAGUUCUUGUGGAUAUGGUGAAGAUCGCCAAGGAGAUUAAAUGCAUAGAGCGCUAAAAUAGGGAUCAUGAGUGAGGCAAGAAUAAGAGGGAUUCAGAGCCCUCUAGUUCUGUUUAGAGGCCUAAGAAACAGGUCAGACCUGAUUGGCUUGUUAGAGUAGGGGUUCCUAUUGCUUCUACUAGGAUUUAGCCAUGUGGUGAUUGUUUUAGGCGCCAUUCAGGUGAGUGUUGGAGGAGGUUAGAGGCUUGCCUGAGGUGUUGGUAUUUGGAGCACCACAUUAGAGAAUGUCCACUCCAUACGGAUUAGAUGCAAGCUUCAGGACUGAGUUUUAUAUAACCUCAGAGGGCAGUUCAACAGCCACCUAGGGGCCGUGGUCCGACUAGGGGUGGUAAUGGUAUGGGCCGAGGACAAAGAGCACUGGGAAAAGGUGUUAGUCAAACUGAGGCAAGGCAGCCUGCACUGGUUUAUGUUGCUUGAUGCCAAGAGGAUAGAGACGCUCUUGAUGUGAUCACAGGUACGUUCUUUAUUUUUGGUGUUCCAUAUACUACUCUGAUAGACAUAGGUUCUACUCAUUCCUAUGUAGGUAGUACUAUUUCCAAAAAUUUAUUGAUUUCUGGUGAGGGUACUUCUAGUGAAAUUAUUGUACUGAGUCCGUUGGGGCAGUCUGUUCGAGUAAGUAGACUUUAUAGGAAUGUACAUUUGGAAGUACAAGGGAUUGUGUUUUUGGCAGAUCUGGUAAGGGUAGUUCUAGUGAAAUUAUUAUACUGAGUCCUUUGGGGCAUUCUGUUCGAGUAAGUAGACUUUAUAGGAAUGUACCUUUGGAAGUACAAGGGAUUGUGUUUUCAGCGUUUUAUUCACAUAAAAGCAGCAAAAUUUAGCGGCGUUGUCUACAGCGGCAUUUUUUACGGUGCUUGUGAAAGCGCCGCUAUAGGCCUAAAAACACCGCUAAAAGCUUGUUUUGCUGCAGUGAAUUAAUAUUAUUAUAAGUGUAUUUUCACCUUUUCAUACUUUUAUAUAAUCUUUAAGUAAAACGAUUGAAAAUUAUUAUUUGAGAAUCAAACACAAGAGUAACAAUAUUCAUAUAGAAAACGCUUACCACUCCACUAAUAAUCAUUUGUUGAUGUAUUUUUGGUAAAAAGACCCCUCCAAUCCCUCUUAAUUUCACAAUUGCUCAAAUUAGUCCCUCUCAUAAAAAUUGGAGCAAUUUAAUCCCUAUCAAUUUUGAAAGUGAGUAACUAAGGACAAUUAAUUAUGGUGUUAAAUUCUUCCAUCAAUUGUACAUAAUUUUGAUUGGUAUAAGAAUAAAUUUAGCCUUCAAUGUUUAUAUAUUUUGUCAUUUUGGCCAUAAUUUAAAAAAAAUUCAAGAAAUUGAACCUCAACAUUUACAUAUUUACACAAACGUUGCGGGAAAAUUUUGUUAAAUUAAGACCAAAUUGCAAGUGUAAGUUUUGAGGGCUAAAUUUAUUAUUAUACCAACCAAAAUCAUGUACAUUUUAUGGGAAAUUAACAUCCUAAUUAAUUAUUCUUAGUUACUCACUUUCAAAAUUAAUAGGGACUAAAUUACUCUGAUUUUUUUAGGGUGACCAAUUUCCUCAAUUUGGAAUUUGAGAGAGACUAUUGAGAUCUUUUACAUAUUUUUUUAUAAAUAUAUAUAUUUAAUAUAAAAUAUAUUUGUUCACACACAUCGUGAGUAUGAUAAAAUAUUUUUAUUGUUAAUUAGUUGGUGUCAAAAAUUAACUCGACGCCAACUCAAUAUUAAUGAUAACAAUAUGAUAAAUAAUUGAUUUAUUUAAUAUUCUUAAUUUAACAUAUUGAUAUAAAUUUUAAGACAUGCUUGUCUUGAAGAAUUGUGAUUAUACUUUUCGAGUAUUGACUCAGUUUUCCACAAUUGUGGGUCUCUAUUUAAGACAAACAAUUUCAACAUUUCUUCAUAUUGUUUAAUCCAAAUGCAUUAAGGAUUUUCUUAUAUCAUUGUUUCAAAAAUGAUAAAAAAAAACAACGUCGACAUUGAAUUUGCUGUUUCACAUUCAAUUUUUGGAGAAGUAGAAUCUUCUAACUUAUUUUCCAUCAACUUCACUUCAAUUUUCAAUCACAAUCAAUUGCAUUCAAGAGCACCACAUAUUUUUUGGAUGAAACAAACCUAUCAAUUUUAAGAUAAACGGGUCUUUAGGGUUAUUAAUUGAGGGCCUUUUCCACAAUUGUCAUCGUUAAGCAUUUUUCAAUCUUGUCUACUGUGAAUAUCGUUUUUAAGCAUUUUUCAUUGAAAUAACGAUUAAUAGACAAAUAAUAUUCAAGUAAAACAAUUUUUGUAUAUUGGUUUGAAAGGUUUUCUAAAUAGUACAAGGACCUGAAACAGAACCACUGGACAAAGCUAACCAAAUCUAAGAGUUGGAAAUAUUUGGGAAUGAAUAGUUUAAAUUGUGAUUAUUUCUUCGGGUUCCUGUCAAAGAUAUCAGCUGAGCAAGAAGGCAGGGUAAUGUGCCAAUGAUAGAACCUUGAUGAACAACGAGCAAAUGUCAACCUAAGCAUUAAAAGGGGAUCAUUCUCAAAAAAUGACAUUCUACAUGUAACGCCCCAAAAUUUUAAUUUUGGGUAUUGUGAAUGUAUGACACAAAUAUCUGUCUGCUUUAGUGGUUAUGUGUUUUGGGUGUGUUUGGGAGGUCUCAAGUUCAAGUCAAUACUUGGGCAAAUUUUGGUAAUUUUAUGAAUAAGCCCUAUCUCUGGUUAUAGGCUUUUAAGUAAAAGUUGGCAAAUAAUUAAUAGAAUGGGUCUGUUGGUCUAGUGGUUAAGUGGAGUGUUGGUGUGAAGAAGGUCAUGGGUUCAAAUCUUUGGGACGGCAAGGUAAGUCGUUUUACUCUCCAUCUUUCUGACGUUUUCUCUCCCCCAUGUCUGCCGAAUUUUUUUUCUUUCUUCUUUACUUGUUACUCGGUUAUCUUUUCUUUUCUUUCCUCUACUACUGUCGAAAUUCCCUUGUUUCCCCUAAACCAUUCUUUCCUCUUGAUUUCGUAGCUUUAAGCAGCACUUGUUCAAAUUUAGUAAGUUGUUGGGUAUCAUUUUAAGAUAUUAUUUUGUAUUCAAUAGUCUAAUUUUGGGGUGUUGACAGUAGCAUUUCACGAGGAUUAAGGCUCUCCUCGUGAUUUUUGCAACGUACCGAUUUUAAGUUUUGCGGUAAGUGUUCAUCAUUUUAUGGGUAAGUAUUUUGGUUUCGGGAUUUUAAUUACUCACAAGGUAAGACUGAUUAUGGUGUUAUUUGCUCAAUUAUACGCUUAGGAGUGCUCGGGGACUAUUUUAGCAUCAAACAAAACCAAGUGUGCACCCGAAUCGCAAAAAUAAGGGAUUCGGCGAAAAGCCGAAAUUGCUUGCUGUUUGGACAGCAGCAGUAGGCUAACUUUGAAAAAUCAGCAUAAAUUGUGGAAAUCGAAUUAGAGGAUGAAAAAAAUAUGAGAUUAAAGCUUAUUGAGCCUAGUUUCUCAUAGAAGAAACGGUGUAAGUAAUGAAAUUGUAAAUCGUGAGUUAUAAUAGACUUAGUGAGACAAGGUCAGAAUGAAUUUGGGUUCCCCUGUUUUGACUUUGGAAAAUUAUCAAAAAUUGGAGAAAAAUAAUUAGGGGUUAAAUUUUACAUGCUUAAACUAUUAAUGAGUCUAUUUUCAAUAGAAACAAAUGAAAAUGUCAUCCAAAUUUUGUACUAAGAGAUAACUCAUUUUUAGCAAAGAAGAGUCAAAGUUGUCAGACAACAGAAAAGGGAUAAGUUUAAAUAUUUUACUGUACUUAUUAGCUGAACCAAAAAUUUUGGAAAUUUAUGGUAGAAAGUUAAUUGAGUCUAGUUUCAAAGACAUCAAACGGAUCUUAAUUCGGAAUUCUGUAGCUCAAGAUAUAAAUUUAUGUUUAUCUUAUUAUCUUUCUUAUUUUAGAAUUGAUUACAUGAAAGUUAAUUGCUAAUAUUAUUAGUUAAUUAUUAGUUUUCUUCAAAUCAAAUUAAACCCCGAAAGGUAUCUCUUUUUUUAUAUUAGUUUUAGUUAUCCAUUAAAUUUGUUUCUUUGUAGUAAAAUUAAAUUAUAGAAAUAACAUUAAAAUUUUAAAUAAAAAUAAUUCACAAUAAUUUAUUAUUUAAAAAACGCCCUGAAAUUUAAAAUUAUUGCUAUAAAUAUAUCAUUAAAUUAUACAGAAUUUAAUUUUUCUUUCAAAUACUAAAGUUAAUAAGGAAAGAGAAUAUAGUACAUAUCAAUAAAACUAUUAAAAAAGAAAUAUUGUUUAAAAUCAAUAGCGUCUAAAAAUUGUCAGAAUGAAAUAUUUGAUUUUAUAAGAUUUCAUUACUCUAAAAAAAUAAAAUAUGACAAUGCUUAAAAAUUUUAUUAAAAAAAGUUUUAAAUUUUAUAUAAAAUUUUAAAAAAUAAAAAAUAGUACUAAAAAUUUUUAUAAGCAAAUUUAAAUAUUAAUUAGUAAAUUUUUUUGUAAUAUUUAUAUGUAUUUUCAUUUUUAUAAAUACUAUUAAAACUUUUUAAAAAAAAAUUGAAUGCUAUUUAAAAACAUUAUUAAAAAAUAAAAUAUUAUAUGAAAGUUAAAAUGACCUAAAAACAUAUUUUAAAAAUUUAAAUACUUUAUACAAUAUUUAAAACUGCUUAAAAUUUCUAAACCCUAAAAAAUAAAUAAAAUAUAAUUUUUUUCUAAGAAAUCAAUAAAAAUAUAUUUAUAAUUGAACUGUCAACAAAAUUGUGGGAAAUAUUUAAAUUUUAUGAAAUUUUAAACUUAAACUGUCAAUAAUAGAAAAUUGCCUGAGUGACUUGGGAUAAGAGGUUCAACAUUUCUGGAUCGCAUUGCAUUUAAGGCGGGUCUUUAGGGUUAUGCUUUAGUUUUUUAGAACAUUUUCCACAAUUUGCCAUCAUUACUUGUGAGUGAUUUGUGGGGUAAGAGGUUGAACACUUCUGGAUCACAUUGCAUUUAAGACUGGUAUCAUUCAUAAAUUAUAUAUCUACAACAAGAAUGGUAGCCUCUUAUAUUAUAUUCAUGUAUCUAUUUUGCAUCUUUCAUUAUAAUAUGAUUUAGUAAUUUUAAUAUUUUUAUAGAAUAAUAUGCUUUAAUUUUUUUUGUAUCAUUCAUAAAAAUUAUAAUAAACUUACAAAAUGAUUUAAUGAUAUUUAAUUAUUAACGGAAAAAAUUUAUAUCAUAUAUAUUCUGUAUAUAUUAAGAUUUUGAAUGAUUAAUUAUAUAUCUACAUAUUAUAAUAAAUUCAUCUUUCAAAAUUUUCCUAAACUAUAUUCAUAAUAUUAUAAAUAUAUUAUAUCAUAAAUAUUCUUUCAAAUGUUUUUUAAUGUUUAAUAAUAAGUUAAUUUAUAAAAUAUUCUUUCAAUAAAUUAACGUGAUGAGAUCGUUAGGUGCUUGGAUUUGGUGACGGGGACGAGGAGAAAAGGGAUGGAAGUGAAGAGAAAUGUUGGGAAAUUGAAAGGGUUAGCAAGGGAGGCCUCCGUGAAAGGUGGUUCUAUAGAUGUGAACCUUCAAGCUUUUGUGGAUGAUGUUGCUCAAGGUUGUUGCAAGUAAAUUUAAAAAUAUUUUUUUAAUUAUUUUUUGUUAAAAAAUAUUUUUUUCUAUGUAGCAUGCCACAUUAGCAUACUACCAUGUGGUAACUUCUAGUGAUUUUCGUAUGUAACAUUAGACAAAUUAAUCGUUAAAUCGUUCAACUGACAGAUUUCGUUAAAGGAAGAGGUCAAUUGAUUUUUUUGGAAUCAUUGAGUACUCAAUUGGUGCACUAUUUUCAUAAAGACUAAAUUAAUUUUUUUAAUUUGUUAUCGCUGAGGGCUACAGUAAUAAAAAAUUUUGAGGUAAAAUUAGAAUAACGUCCCAAAAAUCUUAUAUUUAAUUUGUAAAAUUUUACCAUUAAUAAGUAUUUGUUUUAGUGGUUAAGUAUUUGAGUCGUGUUUAUAAUAUCUUGGAUUCAAGUCCCUACGUGAAUGGAUUGUUUUUUUUGUUUUUAAUUUUUGCAUGGGUCGGGUAGGUGGUUGAGUUUGAGUCCAUUUCGAACUUUGGAAAAAGGUGGUUAGUUAUCUGAGAUGGGUUAGUGUUAGUAGAUUUGGAUUUGGUUUAUUUUAAAAUUUAUUAAUUAAUUUGUUAAAAAAUUAAAUUAGUUUUUUCCUAAUUUUUGGCUCACCAUUCUUUCUCUUGUUCUUCUUUAUUCUUUCUUUUUCUGCUACCUUUCAAAUCACGUCGAUUUGUUCCUAUUUUGCUUUUGAGUUUUUCUUUUCUUUCCUUUACGCUCCUCUACGAUCGUGUCUUAAUUCCUUCAUUAUUUUCUCGUUGUUGGCGUUGCUCGUUCGAGAGUGGGUUAGUUUCCGUUUUGAUGUGUUUUUACGAGGUUAGUAAAAGAAAUGCGUUAAUUUUUGGAUUAUGGAGUUGAUCGUUUUUAAUCAAUUCUCCAGUAAGUUGACUCCUUUGCUGUUGUUAUGUGCUAGGUUAAGAGAUUAAUUCUGAUUUGGGCCUGCGUGGUUGUGUAGAUUUUCCAUGUGAAUUCGUUUGGUAUUUUUAGGAUAAAUCAUUCUUUAAGUCGUAUUGCUACCAUCGCUAAUGUGAUGUUUUAAUUUAUGCAUUUAGGAUUUGGUAGUUUUAUGGGUGUUUUCGUAUAAAAAUCAAACCAAGUGUGUAACGAAAAACCCGACAACAACGAGCGACGAAAGUCAAAAAAUUGCACUGUCGACACCACACGGCCGUGUGUCGGGCCGUGUGACAAGCCGUGUUUCAGACCGUGUGCGACACACUGUUUGGGCUAGUUAAGCCGUGUGGAACACACAGGUGUGUGUGAGGACGUGUGCCACGCCAUGUGAGCCACACGGGCUGGCCAUUUAGGCCGUUUGAGACCAAAAUACUAAGGGCACGUUUGGUUUGCUGUAUUGGAUUAGAGGUGUAUUGGAUUAGAGGUGUAAUGGAAUAGAUGUGUAAUAGCAAAUCAACUGUUUGGUUGAAUGUAAUGGAAUAGAGGCGUAAUAGUAAAACUGUGUUUGGUUGAAUGUAAUAGAGGUGUAAUAGCAUAAUGGAGAAAACUAAAAUGACCAGAAUACCCUUAGCAUAAAUUUGUUUUGGUAAAUGAUUAUUGUUAUUGUUAUUUAAAUUUUAAUAAGAUUAUUUAUUAUCAAAAAUAAAUAAUUUAAUCAUAUUUAAACAUAAUUAUUAUUUAAUAUAUUUUAAUUAAAAUAUAUAAUUUAAUAAAAUUCUUAAUAAUUAGCAGAAAUUUGUUUUGGUAAAUUAUUUUAUUUAAAUUUUAAUAAGAUUAUUAAUAUCAAUAAUAAAUAAUUUACUCAUAUUUAAACAUAAUUAUUAUUAAAUAUAUUUUAAUUAAAAUAUAUAAUUUAAUAAAAUUCUUAAUAAUUAAUAUUCUUAUAUGAAUUUACUCAAAUCAUAAUAUAUGAUACUGUAAAAUAUAAAUUAAAAUAAUAAUUAUUAAAUAUAUUUUAAUUAAAAUAUAUAAUUUAAUAAAAUUCUAAUAAUCAAUAUUCUUAUAUGAAUUUACUAAAAUCAUAAUAUAUGAUACUAUAAAAUAUAAUUUGAAAUAAUUAAUAUUAAAUAUAUUUUUAUUAAAAUAUAUGAUUUAAUAAAAUUUAAAAUAAUUAUCUAGAUUCAAAUUUAAGAAUUAUUUACAUGAACAAAAAUAUAAUAUUUGUUUCUAAGUUAAUUAUUUUAAUAAAAUAAUUAAAUAUUUAUAUAACGGUGUUCUCAUCUUUUGGUAUUUUUAUAUGCAAUUUUAAAGAUUGAAUCCAAACUUAAAAGAAUAUUUAUUUGUAAGCAUUUCACCGGUUUACUUCAACUCAAUUAUUGAUUAAUUUUUAAUAAACAUAAAUUCAAUCACUAAUUCUCUUGGCUCCUCUGUUUCAAUAUAUGAAACAUGACUCAAUCACUAAUCCUCAUAACUCAAAGGUGAGCCAGAUGGUCCAUCAGGGGGUGCAGAAGCAGCAUGAGUCAAAGCAACUAUGGCAUUUUUCCAGAAAGAGGAGCCAAGAGAAUUAGUGAUUGAUCUUAACAAUGGCAGAUCAUUAAGAUCCCGGGUCUGGCUGUCCAACCGAUCAACAUAGACUACAACAUCGGGGGGACACUUCUUUAUGUAUUGCUUUAUAGAAGCUAGGACUUUGUGAUUGGCACCUUGCUCCAUGGCAGAAGAUUUCAAACCUGGGGUAUCAAUGAUUCUCAGUUUAACACCAUCUACCAUUCCAGUAAUCUCUUUCACUACUGUAGUGGCAGGUUCAAAUGCAUGAAUUGAGGUCUUUGACUCACCAAAGAUUGAAUUUAUUGUGGCACUCUUGCCCACCCCAAUCUUCCCAAGCACAAGCAUGUUUAUGGAGAAGCUUAAAUCAUCUUUACCCUCUGUUUCAAGUUCCAAAGCUUUCCUCUUCGCAGAAUCAACACUAAACAGUUCACUGGUUUGUCUCCUUGCAACAUGUGCCAGUCUAUAAAGAACCUGUGCUGCUAAAGAAUCUUCAGUAGAAAGUCCGAGCCUUUGAAGAAUCCUCAAAAAUUUGACUCUUAUAAGCUGUAACUUUUCCAAUUUUAUUUUAUCUUCUUCUGUCAAGUUGUUGUCAGAAUCUCCCCUACUUGUUACAGCAGGACUAAAUAUGUUAGGCCUGUUUGAUCGAGGUGCGGAUGUUGCAUUUUGCAGUGAGGAUCCUAAGCCUGCAGGACGUUCAACAGUGAAAAGCCUAGAUCCAUCUUGAGAGGUUAUAGUAAUGUUGCCGCCAUCAGAGCCAGCACCAGUUGCUGCUUUCAAGAGGGCUGCCAAAGCAGCAGAAUCAAAUAACUCCUUCCCCUCUCCUUCUUCAUCCGUAUCCCCUUCUUCAUCUGAAUCAACAGCAUUUGUCUGUAUAUGAUUAUGAGAAGUAUCAGCACCCGAGUGAGAACCAAUGGCAGAUCCUCGUUCUAGCUCCUCCAAGAAUUGCUUAGCAGCUUCAGCAUUCUUAAAGAACAUACUUUCAGCCUCUCCAUCAGUCUCUGAGCCUUCAUUCUAAUGCUGCUUCUCUUCCAUUUCACCUUCAAAACUAACUUUUCCAGCCACUGUAGUUUGCUCUACUGACUCAGGCCAAUGAGAUUCUUCUCCUGGCAGGGUUACUGACCUUUUGCUUUGAGAAUCACUAUCUAAAUUCUCUGUUUCAUGAGCUGCCAUUAUUUCUGUAGGUUGAGCAGAACUAUCCUUUGCCUGAAUUCCAUCUCCACCCCCUCCAUCUACUUUCUCAGCAAAUGCUUGUUCCAAAAUAUCUAUGAUCUCCUCAUCUUUGAGAUCAUUUAGCUCAGUCCCAGAAUUGUCUUUACCAAGCAUAACCCCACUGGCAAUAUCAGCUUUAUUCUCAGCAUCAACAGCCAACUCGUCUCCGCCGGAAAACUUCGAACCAUCAGCAUGAUUCAAGCCGUUAUCCAAGCUCGCAUUAUCGUCAACUGGAACCACCUCUGUCUCCUUCAUCACCAAUGUCUCAAUGCCUAAAGCAGCUCCAGUCAAAGGUUUCGCAUCGACAGCCAACUCCUCUUCGCCAGAAAAUUUCGAACCAUCGACUUCAACUACCUGAUGAUCUACUGUUUCUACAAUCAUAGGAUUGAAACCCUUAGCUCCACCAUCUAACACCAAAUUAUUCUCAAAAAUCCCAAUUCUACCUUCCUCUCCACUUUCCAUUGAUAAAACAGAUUGGUCGACUUCUCCAAUGGAACCCAUUUCCACCUUAUCGUCCUUUUCACCAUUACCAACACUAUCAACAUCAACCUUCCCCAUCGAACCCUCACCUCUAUAUUCCUCUAAACCAUUAUCGCCAUCCCCAAACGAGUCCUCAUUCAAAAUCACAUUCGAACCAUCAGAACCAACAAAAGGGGCAUCACUAACAUCCCUCACGGUCGGAAUUACUUCAUCAGGGUCAGCCAUAAAUGGCCUCUCGGGUACUGUUUCAAACUUCCCCUCACCAUUCUCGUUACUAUCAUUAGUUUUACCAUUCCCAUUAUCUUCCAAAGUACGUUCACUUACUGAACUAGUUACAAACUCAGAAUCAUCAUUCGAAGUUAAAGAAGAAGAAGAGGAAGAAGAACCUGGAGAGGUAGAGAGCGACUGAGAAGUGAUUUCCGGGGCAGAAAGCAAGGCGUCCAUGGUUGAAAGAGAGGAAAGGGAGAUAGAGAGAAUUGGGUUUUAGGAUAUGGAAUGAAUUUUGAGUGGCACACAGAGGGAGCAAAUCGGCAGAAAGGGUAAAACAGGGAGGGGAAACCGAAGGGGCAACUAAUCUGCAGAAAAGAGGGGGAUUAGAAAUCGGUGGUUUUCACCGAUUAGGAAGGUAAAGGAUUACACCCGUAUUAGAAAUACAUCAAACCAAACGAUGGAAUACAGUCGCAUUAGGUGGGGCCCACCGAUUAGGGGUGUAUUGGCUAUGCCAAUACACCCAACCAAACAUGGUGUAAAUUUUUCCCUAGGGUUAUACACAUCGUUAUGAUCGAUCGUAGGCCUUUCGUGGGGUCGAUAUAUAAUCAAAUAGACUGUAAAGUAUGAAAUCCGGUCAACUAAUAGUAUAAAUUCUGAUAUCUGUUCAUAUAUUUGAGAUGUUAUUUGUUCAAUAAACCUUGUAAUAGGCUAUGAGAAACUUGAGAAAUAUUAUGUAUGCUUUGUAUCUGUUAUGUCAUACAUGUAUAAUGUAUUAUGUCUGAUUUUGUUCUAUUCUUUUCUGUAUUUGCAUCUGGGGUGGGUUAUAUUAUGUGGAGGAAGCGUUUCUUUGAAUGGCGAUAAUUCGCCUAUUACACUGGCAGCUCAGCUACAAAUAUUCUGAAAAGUGUCAUAUCAACACUAAGUGGUGUGCAGGGCUGGAUGAGUGUUUCAUACCCCAUAUAGUGUGUUGGAAAGGUCGGAGAUAGUGUUAGCGGAUGGGGGUAGGAAUAUAUGUCUGUAUCUGUACUGCUCUAAUAUGAAUAUGUUCUGCUAAAUCUAUCUUAUACAAAAUAAAUAUUUAAAGUUAUUCGUUAUACAUUGAGUUUUGUAAACUCACUUUCUAUUUGUUUGAUAAUUUUAGGUAUUCCUCAGACUUUGGCAAAUCGGUGUGAAAGAACUUGGUUAAAUUGAUUUAGUUUCAUUAUCUAUUAUAAUUAAAUUUUGGGUUAUUGUGUUUCAUUAUUUUUGGACUGUUGGGAAUUUUUGGAUUGUUUUGGUUUUUGAGAUUUUAUUUUCAAUUUUUGCAUGAUACUAUUAAAAAUGUUUUAUUGGAAAUGUUUGUUUUCCUGCAAAACAACUAAUUUCAGACAAAUAAACUUAGUUUUCCAAACAUAAUGAUAUGAGAAUUUUCGCUUUUAAGUAUUCAUUUUAGAAAAUGUAAGCAAACAUCGUUUCAACUAUAAAGUUAAGUUAGAUGUAUUUUUCUCUUAAAUCGAGGUUUAAGUAAUAAAAGUUUACGACAUUUUUCCAAAUUUUACAAAAAAUUGGAUUUACAAUUGUUUUAUGUAACAUCUCCAGAUUUGGUCAUAACAUCUAGUCGGAUUUCGGGUGUUACAUUUAGUGAUAUCAGGUCAGGUUGCAAAACUCAGGCUGUGAACUUUUUGGUUCAAAAUUUUGUGAAAACUAUUUUUCGAGUAAAGUUUGUCGAAACCACUUUUUCGAAACAAAAAAUAGCGUCGACUUAAAAAAUGAAAAUUGGAGUCGCCACCAGUCUUUUUUAUUUAGGUGUGAUCGGAUCACCUCCUAAUUUAAUCAUUUAAAUAAAAGUUAAAAUUUACUAAAACGAUUAAUGGGUUUAAAAAACCUUUUUCUUUACAAACAUUAACAAUAAUAAACGAACAUCGAAGAAAUAGAAAAGAAAAAAGAAAUCGAAAAGAAAAAAAAUUAGAUUUCAAAUCACCUCUCAAAAAUUUAAUUGCUUUCUGAUUUCUUUGGUAUCUUUUUUUACUGAUUUCUUAUUGUUCGCGUAAAAAACUUACAAAGGUCUUUUCUUCCGUUUUAUAGGCAAAAUAUGAAAUAAAUAAAAAAAUACAAUAUAUGUUUUUUCUGUGUUGCUUUUCGUCCUAUUUGUAGGUACGAAGACCAGCUAGCGCUGUACAGAGGCGGUGCAGCACGUGCUUGGCUGAGGUGACUAGAGGCGUGCGGUGGCUGGGUCUGCUGUGUAGUUUAGGGUUUCUGUUGAUUUUUGGUUAUUGGGCUGGGGUUUAAUUUGGGCUUGGGAUUGUGUUUGAUUUUUAAUCUGUAAAUGGACUUUUUAAUAUUGGACUUUUAUUUUUUAUUUGGAUUAUUAUUAUUUUUUGUGUAUGCGGGUCCGGGCUCUACAAAGUUCAUUUCUGGAUUAAUCUGAAAAUUAAUUAUGUGAAGUACCGAGUCUCUGACGUUGAUCCUGUAAGUACUUCUGACUUAGAAAAAUUUUAGUUUAGAAAACUCUAAAAUGAUUAGAACUGUAGUUGGAUAGUUAGAGACAGAAACAUUUCUAUAAAUUCUUUUGAUAACUUUUUGAGUAUAAAAUAUCUACUAAUAAAUACUAAAAUUGAUACAUAAAAUUCAUAAUAUAGGUAAUAUAUACGAUGAGUACUCGUGGAACACAUGGACGUGGUAACCGUAGGCGUGGCAGGCGCCGAAGAGGGGCUCGAGCUGAGUCAUCCUCGAUAGGUACCUGAUAGGCUAUCGCUGGAGAGAGCAAUAGUCUUGAGAGAAGAAAUUUGAAGAUCGAAGUCGGAAUCUGACCUUUAAGGCCUUUAAUUGCUUGAAUAAUAAGCAUUUCCAAACUAAAAGGAUUACAAUUUCUUCAAGAAUUUGACCUGCAGACAUAGUUGAAACAUGAAGGUGUUAAAUUACCUAUUUUGUUAGUGUAAAUCAAAGAGGCUUUUUAUUUUUAUUUUUCGUUGUGAAAUAAUAUGGAUAUGUUAGAUUCUAAUCAUAUUUAAGUAUAUAUUAGUUCUUGAAGAGUUCUUAUUUUUGGUAUUUAUAUUGCAAAUAAUUUUUUUAAAUUAAGAAAAAAGGGGGGAGGGGCAAAUGUGUUUAAACUAAAGACAUCAAGGAGAGUUGUGUCAAAUUCCCAAUGCUUUUUGGAAUGAUCCCACUAAAUUGAUUAACAGACAAUUCCAAAAUUUGAAAAUUGCAGCAUUUGUCUAUACUUGAUGGAAUAGAACUUGAUAAUUCAUUUCUACUGAUCAAGUAAAGCUCUUUAAGCUUGGGAAGAUGGACACACAAAUCAUCAGGCAAGCCACCAGAAAGACUAUUAUCACGUAAAUGAAUCCUUUUCAAAGAAGAAAUGUUAAACAUGGUGCAACCUGGCCAGGUAAUUGAUAAAAUUUUGAUUUAAUCCCUUAAAAAAUAUAAAAAUAUAGACUAUUAAAAUGGUAAAAUUACAUUUUUACUAUUGUAAAAAUUACAAUUUAAUUUCACUCCUAAAAAGAUUUUCUGGCUUCGACCCUAAUAAAUUCUUUGGCAAAAGAUUAAAAUAAAAUUAUACCGUAAAUGAAAAAAGGAAACUAUAAGAAAAUCCAAUCUAACAAAGAAAAUAACUUGAUGUCCAAAAGCUACCAUAAACCGUAAUUCAUGGGAAGGCUUGUUGCUCAUUUUAUUGGUUUCCAUUUUGAUUUUGCAAAAGAAGCUUGAAUUUUGAAGAGAGCCUACUACGUGAGAGCAAAAGAAAAAAAAAUUGUUUAUUAAUUUUUAGGAAUACCGAAAUAUUAUAUAUAUGAUUAAAAAUGUUGAAUUAAAGAUAAAAUUAAGUGUGAAUUAAUAACCACAAGUGUACUUAUUACUCACCAUCUCUGUUAAAAAUGUUGGAUGUUGUUUAGCAACCUUUGUUUGAUUUUCUUCAGCUCAACCACAACAUCUUUCAUAUCUUUUCUUUCUUCUGGCAACUCAGCUGAACAAUUCAAAGCCAACUCCAUGAUAGAUGUAAUACAAUUUGCUUUAACGACAAUGUACUCAUCCUCUCUUCUUAAUAAAUCAACAUCUGCAAUUUCUAUCGCUCCUUUAGGCAAUGAACUUUCCAUCCAAUGCCUUAUACUCUCUUCUUCAACAAAAACAUUAUCAGUAGGCUUUUUCUUCGUGAAAGUUUCUAUAAGGACGACCCCAUAACUAUAGACGUCAGAUUUUAUAGAAACAAUUCCUGCUGAUCCAAAUUCUGCAUUCAAGUAUAAUUAGAACGUCAUUCAUCCUCAAUUAUUUCUAAAAUGCUUAUUCAAAUAUAUAUUCACAUCCACAUGAAACAAAAAUAUAAAAUGCAUAUUAGGAAAAUAAUCAUACAAAAAUAAAAAAGAAUUCACCUGGUGCCAUAUACCCGAUAGUUGCAAGAGUCAUGGUUUGCUUCAUUACUUCACCUUCCCCCAACAAUUUGGCAACGCCAAAAUCUCCAACAUGUGCAACCAUGUCUUCAUCUAGUAAAAUAUUGCUUGGUUUUAUGUCACAGUGAAUUAUAGGUGUUGGAUGUCCAUUGUGGAGGUGUUCUAUAGCUACCGCAACAUCUAUCAUUAUAUCGACCCUUUGUAUGAUAU
rnacentral:lncRNA from 1 species